rnacentral:lncRNA from 1 species
CAGCAGAUGGAUUCGGAGUCACUGACUUUUCAUAUGUACUUCAACAGAUGAUGAAAUGCGAGAUCUCUCUGAAAAAAAAAAAGGCAAAACAUCUUUCAGUAAAAAGAACUCUACUCUGCAGAUGGGGACCUUCUAAGGCAGCUGAUUAUUGUCUUAAAAUGCAGACUUACUGAAUGUUUCAAGGUCUUAUCAGAUGCCACGGAUACAAUGACAUAAUUAUUAGAAGUCUCCGCAGAAAAAAAGUGACUAAAUAGAGAAUUUAGAAGUAGCUUCCUUUAUGUCCUUUCUCAAAGACUAGCAGAACCCUCCCCCCCAAACUAUUUUAGAAAAAGAAAACAAAUUGAAAAAAACAUGACAACAAAUCAAGAAAUAUUUUUGAUUUUGCUCCUACAUAGAUUUAUUUUAAGCGUACCACAUGGACUUCAAAUGUCACAAAAUUUGGAAAUAUGCCCCCUCAAUCAAAAAGGUAGAAAAUUGCAUGUAUAUAACUUAAAAUAAUAUUAAAAUGUUUUAUUUUAUGGAAUGAUAUAACACAAUGUCUAUACAUAUAUAUAUAUAUACAUAUAACUGUUGCGCAUCACCUGUAUAUCUCAAGUUGGACUUUGAGAGGUCCUCCUUGGGCACAGAAGCUCGAGAAACCAUGUUUCCACAACUAUCCCAGAGUUCCCAGCUUGACAUGCAAAUGAGCACAGACAGACCUCAUGUUUCAGACUUCAUUUUGCAUUUCUGUAGACAACCUUAGCAAUUGACGCUGUUUUAAGUAUAGUAUUUUUUUUAAACCAAAUCAUGGGUUGUAAUCCAAAAGGUUUAAUAACCAGAAACAAGCCAUGGACUGUGCAACGGUAAUGUUGUAUAGAUCUACAUUUAGCAGUGAGCUUUUAAACUAGAAGAUCCAGGAAUAAAACCUUGUGAAUCAUUCUUCCAUUGGGGCUGUCAUGAUAAAAAAAAUAUAUAUAUAUUCUUAAGAAAUUUAGUAAUCUCAUUUCUUUUUGAAAUAUGAGAAACUAGGAAACUUGCUUUUGUCUUCUUUUUUCAAACUCUACACUGUAUUCAGUUUUGAUGACUGCCAGAGGCUGUUAGUCUGAAAUAAUUGUUUCCCAAGUUUUGGUGAAGUUUUCUACUGUCUUGGUUACCACCAUCUUCGGAUCUGUUUGCUUCUGAUGUCUUGAUUAUUAAUUUUUUUCCCUAGAUUAAAUAGGUGAAGAAUGUUCUCCUCUCCUGCAUAUCUAGAGUAAUCUCUGACUGACUAUCUUCUAUUCUUCUGUCACUUCAAUCUCUGAGAACCUCUGACUUGACAUAACAUAACUUCCUUGCACUCUACUACACUUACAAACAUAGUCGGUUUCCCUCUUGGUGACUAUGCUUUAAAAUUGUUCAUGAGCAUCAAGGUGAGGGUAAGAGUUAGCAAGAUUUAGCAAAUGUGUAGGAUAGGAUGUGAGCAACGUUGGGUGAUGAAUUAGAAGGGGAAAAUUUGGAAAGAAAAGAGAAAAUAAAGAAAAGAGAAAAAAGGGAGGGGUGGUGAGGGGUGGGUUUAAAACCAGCAUGACCUGUAUCGCUCUUCUGCCUCCACCUGUACCUCUAGCAGGAGAAUCUGGCACCCAGCUGGCCCCACGCUCAUCAGCAGCUCAGAGCAAAUUCCGGGGGAUGUCUAUUCAACUAGGUUAAUGCAAAGCAGUGGCCUCGUCAGUGUGACAAAGUUGUGGCAUCUAUGGGGCUGACUGGAUCCCUUUCUCUUCAGGGGCAGUGGCCUCUGGAUCUUUCCCCUAGGGGUUACUUAACAGAACCACAUCAUCAAGGGGAGGACACAAUAGAUCAUGAAAGUGACGGUGACCCGCUCUGCCCGGAGCCUGCAGGUCCAGAAAAAAAGCCAUCAAAGACAACAGAACAACACAGUGGAGUAAGUUUUUCUCUUUCUGGAGGUGAAUGAAUCAACUCCUCAAUAAACCUAAUAUCCUCCACCCUCUCCACCUAGUCCCUGGCCAUAGGAGAUGCUCUUUGCCUCCAGAAGCAAGGACAUGUAAAUUAAUUUAACCCUGUAAGUCCACACACCAGAACCACUUCAGUGAUUUAUAUGUGUGGCAAUUCUUUUUGAAUUGCUAGCGAGGGAUAGUGAUGUCAUCUAAGGAGGAUUUUUAGGAGGACCUUUCGGGUAGGGGAACAGCACAAAAUAGCAUUACUACAACCAAAGUCAGUGUUUUUUAAAAAAAAAAAAAAAAUUUUUUUUUGAUUGGAGUAACCCUUUACCAUUAGAGGAAAUGUACAUGGAUACAUAUAUUCAUAUAGAUAUUCUUGCAAUUGUUGUGUAUUCUUUGUUUGUUUUCUAAAACUGGGAACCACAACAUAUCUGUUGCUGCAUCAUAUUUAAAAGAAUGUAUCUGCAAUUUAUGUGUUCCACCAAGCACCCAUCUUCUCUCACUGCUGAACUUUAUACAUUGUAUCCUGCACCACAUAUAAUAGUGCAUACAGUGGCUACUUUAAGAGAUACACCUGCUCAUUAAUGCAAAUAUCUGUGAACCACAGAGAGUGAAUCAUGCGGCUAUAAUUCAAUAACCACCACAAUGCAGACCAAGUUAAAUUUUCCUUCAACCAAAUAACAGAAUGGGGAAUCAAAGUCAUAUAUUUAAUUGACAUGGCCCACAAUUUGAGUAUUGGUGUUAGAUGUGGUGGCUUAAACUUUUCAAAAACAGCUAAUCUAGGAAUUCUUGGACUGUUAGUGGUCCAUGAAGACUGGGUUGGGGACCACUGUUGUAGAAAACACAUAACGAUUUGGUGCAGUGCUUAAAACCAUUAGCCGUGCACCACUAAACAGAACAACUGCCAGCACGGAGUGACCAUGGCACACUCAACAGAGAUAAAGUUCUACUCCCAGGGCGGAAUUUUCACAGUUUUUCACUAUUUUCACUAUUGAGCACCACUUUGAUGUAUACAGCAACAUAAAGUUAAGCCUGUGUGGGGUGGUGGGAAAGCAUCUCAAUUUGUUGAGGUGGUGAUGCAUCUUUUUAAAUGUAUUUUUAGUUAUUGAAUUAAAACAUAUGAAAAAAAAAAGAAAAGUUUAAAAAACAAAACAAAAAGGUUGCAGGAUUCCUACACUUUAGAACACUUGCAGUAAGAUUAGUCCUGACCCGGAAGUGACUUAUGUGUUUAUGACGUGUGGAAUUUCCUUUAAGACACUUGUUGCAUAAAAAGGUCCAUCAGGAAAGUCUAGAUAUUAUUUAAUUGAACAAAUAAAACAAUUAGAUCCUUAAAACAAUAAAAUAACAAUAAUAUUUUUUUUGUGAUGAGUCCAAGUGACAUCUUUGUAAGCAACACACUCAACCAAAUGGUGUUGAAAUGGUUGAUACCAAUGCCAUCUCUUCAACCAUGCCUACGUGUAAACUGGAUUAGCAGGUAACUAGGUAAGUUAAAACUGACACAUCAAAAAUAGAUCUCAGUGGUUAAUAUUUUUCGUCGGCUGGCUUUUUUUUUGUUUGUUAUUAGCAACAUUUUACUGCUACGAUAGAAAUGGGGGCCAAAAUAUAUUGAGGGCGCUGUCAAAAUAAAUAGUUUCUUUACAGGAAAAAAGGAAAUCAUUUUCUGGGAAAUAAAAUAUUUUGCUUGAAUAGAAAAACAACAAUUAACAAAAUGUGGGUGAUCUCAAUGAUCAGCAAUAAAAGCAAAUGUCACACAAACAAAAGUAGAACCACCUACCCAAACACAGAUAUCUCCUACUCAAAUUAAAUACCACAACGUGUUUUCAACUGAAUGAUUCAGGUGCUAAAUAAUGUCAGUAGUGACAAGUACGGAUGGAAAAUCAGAAGCAUACACACAAUAUUCAUUUCAAUCCAGUGUGUGAAAGAAAAAAAGUUUGCAUCUCUUGGACAAAAAGGUUUAAGAAAUGCAGACAGAAGUGAAUAAAACAAUAAACCACCAGCUAUGCACAAUACACAAAUGGUACUAAUGAAUCAAUCAUCAUAAUAAAAAUCUGCUUAGAAAUGAAAAAAUAUAUAUAUAUAUAUAAAAAAAAAAUUUAGUCGGGGGCGUGGCUAACCGCCGAGCUGAAUGGACGCACAUUGAGCUAGCUGCUCUCGACCCAAACUCAAUCCACAGCGAUCGGGGAAAUUAACACAUUAUGGGUAACCCCAAAAAGCACUCCAACCCCCAAGGACAAUCAGGGAAGACGCCUACGGCGAAAUCGGGAUCUCUUACCCGAUAUUUUAAGGAAAACUCGGACCGCAUGGCGGAGGCCGCGGCCGCGACCUCAAAUAUGGCUGAAACAGAACCUCUCUCAGAAUCACAACCUCGCAGUCCCUACUACUCAGACUGCUCACAGCCGGCAGACAAGCAAGACGAAACUGAUAUUCGGAUCUUGAUUCAGAACCUGCCAUCAAAAGCUGACAUACAACUUAUGCUGAGCAAAAUAGAAACUUCCUUCCAAUCCAAAAUGGAAGAAAUGGGCACGGACGUCCAACAACUAACCCUGCGGGUCACGGACCUGGAAGAAGAAAAAGACGUCCUACAAGCUCAAAUUACCAACAUAGCAACAACCCUGGACUCACAUAUCCUAAGCUGGACAUCUUCCCAACGACAUAUUGAUGACCUCGACAACAGGGGACGCAGAAACAAUCUGCGAAUUAGGGGGAUCCCAGAAACCCAGGGUGAGGACACCAUUUUAAUUCUUCAGGAGCUCUUUAACUUAAUUCUGGAAGCCCCUACUGACAACCUGAUCUUACUAGACAGAGCUCACAGAUCUCUCCGCCCGAGAGGCUUAUCCCAAGACACCCCAAGGGAUAUCAUCUGCAGAUUACACUAUUACAGUGUGAAAGAUAACAUCGUGAAAGCCCUAAGGGACACGAAUCAACCAUUGCUCUUUCAUGGCAAUCCGAUUCAAAUAUUCCCAGACCUAACCUGGUACACACUCCAAGCACGGAGAGCACUCAAACCUAUCACAGAGCUCUUAAGACAGCGCAACAUACGAUACCGCUGGGGAUUCCCUUUCGCUUUGAUUGUUUCCACUAAAGGCAAUGUCCACUCUAUCACCACAUUUCUGGAUGUAAUACCAUUUCUCAGAGCACUGGACCUUCCGAAUACUACAGUUGUGGACUGGAACUCACCUCCGCCGAAUCAAGACACGCUACCCUCUUCUCAGCGACAGAAAUGGUCCACUCCAUCGAGGAAGAGGCGCCCUGACCAGAGAUUCCAAUCCCCUAAUCAAAGGCAAGAUAAAAUUCCCACAGAAGGCACCCCUCGGAGACAUCGCCCAGGAGACAGACGUCCGAACUAACACCCGCAAAUUUACCCUAAAAAUCUGUUACCCUCUCAACUGGUGGACAACCUCUUCACUGUCAACUUAAAGUGAUACACUACCAUCACGGAAUAAGAAUAAGGAAGAAGCAACACAGUGACAGUCGUUAUGCACCUGAACCAACAAACUUUCUUUGGGGACUUACAAGCAUCACCGGCUAAGACACAUCUAGGACUUUGCUAUGGGCAGGGGACUUUUAAUUCACGGACUUGCCUCCCAAUCACCUCCUACCAGGUCAACCAGAGACUCGGGAAAUCCUAAAUAAUCAGGUCGUAUAGCAUCUAACAUUGUCAGCAACAUGUUUAAAGGUCCGUAUACUUUAGCAAACGGUCAGGCAAUACUGUUAUGAAAUAAUGCAUACUAACGCUACUAGUAAUUAAUAUAGAAAUAAUGAGUUAUUGAGAGAGGUUCACUCGUGGGGGCAUGUUGUGACACAUUUACUCCUCUUCGAGUAUCCGUACACGGUAUGCUCUUGGAGGUAGUGAGUCGCUGGAUCCUCCCUUGCAGGGAACCUGACUGCUACCGAAUAGCAAUUCGCCUCACUAGGAAGCAUUCUCGGGACAACCUAUAAGGUCAGUCCUAAAGCAAAGAAGUGGAUUAACUCCAUACUAUGAUACUAACGGACACAAUCAAUUUGGUCGUUGUUUGCUAGAGGCCAUUAUUAACGAGAUAGAUCUUAUUGCACCACAUAUUGCUCUCUUACUGAAUACUCGUACAUAACACAUUUACUGAAAUGACGAGUUGCCGUACAAUACUCCAUUAUAGAGGUGACAGCUGUUAUUAGUCAACAUAACGCUUGACUCCGUAUCGCACAUAUAGUAAAGAGUACUUCCUUUGACUUACGAUUGAACAUAGUUAAUUGCUUCCCCCCUGUGCAAGUCAUAGGUACUCCUACUUCGCUCGGGAGGACUCCAAACCCCACUAGCUUACAAAGCCCAUAGAAAAGCAAACACAAAAAAAAAAAAAAAAAAAAAAUUAUUAUAUAUUCUCUAUACAUCAGAACUUCAUGCUUACUUAUUUAGGGAGGUCAAAUAUGACGCAAUAAUAUAAUACUUGAUGCCACUGCACCAAAUUUCUCUAUGAUGACUCAGACCUACAAAAGACUUCUUACACCCCAAAGUAAAUCAUAUAUAUAAAAAAAAAAAAAAAAAUGGUUCAUGGAUGCCUAACAAACUCCACCAGAUAGAGAGGGAACUCGUACCAUUGCAUCUCCCCACUACAACUAAUUAAUAGAUUGGAUUGAGACUUGGGUCUCCAGCUUAAACGCGCUCACACGACCCCAAGCACCUACAGGUUCUAUCUCUAGCGUCGAGAUUGAACUACAUUCCCCAUAGGGAAUAUUUUCCCAAUCUUUCCACCAAACUCCACCACUCUUAUCCUUCCCCCUCCCCUCCCUCUUGUCCCCCUCCUCCCCCCCCCCACACCCACAAGACCUCACCCAGCGAGAUAUCUAGUAUCUCAUAAACUUACUAACCUGAGGACUAACCCCUCAGAGCAAAGACGACACCCGCAUUAGACAAAUACGGUGUUUCAAGCUAUUGCGAAUUGUUAAUUGUUCUCAUACAGUACAAGUGUUAAUUGGUUAUAUUGUGUAUUCAUUCUUUUGUAUAACUUAACUGGUUCUUUUGCUAUUUAUAAACUGGUAGACCAAGAGAUACUCUGCAACUCGGAAAACCUAGACCUCGGAACCUAUUAAACGCUUUUCAAUCUAUUAUAUAGUAACAUCCCCCCAGAUUGGGUUCACCUGUGCAGCCUUGCCAUAGACACACUCGACAAUAUUCUACACGGUGAGACAUUACCAAUACGACCCAGUCCUACGCCUACUAUAGUGAUUAUGACUACCAUACGUAUCCACACACAAAAUGCAAGGGGCCUAAAUACCCCCGAAAAAAGAUCUGUUGCGCUCACGGAUUUUAAGAGGAACAAAGCACACAUAGUGUUUAUACAGGAGACCCAUUUUAGGAAGGACUCUCCCCCCACACUACGUAAUAAAGACUUUCCAGUAGGAUACUUUAGCCACUUCUCCGAAUCUAAAUCCAGAGGAGUGGCAAUCCUCAUAGGGCAGCACUUACAAUACACACAUCAAGAACAUGAGGCAGACGACUCUGGCAGGUUUGUGUUCGUUAAGGGUAAAAUAGGCAACACCCAGGUCACCCUGGCGAACAUCUACCUGCCAAAUAAAAAACAGAAUCACGCUCUUACAAAAAUCUUACGCAAACUCUCAGUGUUUCAAGAAGGAAUUCUCAUAGUGGGAGGCGACUUCAACAUUGCUCUAGAUGGAUAUCUAGACACUACUUCUAAAUCUAGAGACUACCAAACUCAAACAAGGUCUCUCUUUAAAAACUCUCUCUAUGAAGCUCAACUCUAUGAUAGUUGGAGAGCCACACACCCUGCUAAAAAGGACUACUCCUUUUACUCCGCACCCAUAGGCACAUACUCUCGAAUUGACACCAUUUUUCUCCAACAUAGAUAUCUCCCUCUCAUACAGACAGCUGCAUAUGGCCCGAUCACCUGGUCGGAUCACGCUCCCAUGACCUUGACCCUAUCCAUUCCAGCGGCAUCCACUUCAUUCUCUCAAUGGAAGCUGAAUGACUUAAUUCUGAAUGACAAAGAAAUCUUGACCAAGAUUCGGGACUUAGCAACUAACUACUUCUCAGAAAAUACCCGCUCUGACACGACACCAAUCAUGACAUGGGAAGCCCACAAGGCAGUCAUUAGAGGGGAACUAAUCAAAUCGGCGGCGAUACUUAAAAAGAAUAGAGAAAAAGAAAUAGCACAAAUCACUAGAGACAUUAAAAACCUGGAAAACAAACACAAAACCACUCUUUCACUAGACGAGCAUAAAUUACUUUCCAGUAAACUAACUGAGCUGACAGCUAUUCUGCACCUGCACGCUAAGCGUAAACUAUCCCUAACAAAAAACACAUACUACACUCAAGGGGGCAAAGCAGGCAAACUUCUCGCAAAAUCUAUACAAUUGGACAGACAAUCCUCUUUCAUCUCUGAAAUUAGGAAAGAAGAUGGCACCCUAACGUGCCAUAUGCCAGACAUACUGGAAUCCUUCCACAAAUUUUACUCAAAAUUAUAUAACCUCACCAACACAAAACCCACAACAGAAGACAUAUUAGACUUCCUAAAACCCAGAGUUAAGCAUACUAUCCCUGUCAACGAAACGGCAUUUCUUGAUAACCCAAUCACUCUAGAAGAAUUCCAUGCCACGGUCAAAUCAUUGCCCCUAGGUAAAAGCCCAGGCCCAGACGGCUACACAGGGAAGUACUACAAGGCACUUUCACACAUACUAGCACAACCAUUUAUUGAGGCUUACAAUAUGAGCAAUAUUUCAUCACACAUCCCAAACUCAGCCCUUGAGGCGACUAUUUCAAUAAUCCCGAAACCGGGUAAAGAUACGACUGUUUGUGGUAACUACAGACCUAUUUCACUUAUAAAUAUUGACUUAAAGAUACUAACCAAAAUUAUGGCCACCAGACUAAAACCAUUCAUGCCGACUUUAACACAUCCAGACCAGGCGGGCUUCGUGGUAGGUAGGGAAGCUAAAAACAACACCACAAAAAUCAUCAAUAUCAUCCACUGGGCACAAACACAUAAGACACAGAGCGCUCUGCUGGCCAUAGACGCCGAAAAGGCUUUCGAUAGAGUCAACUGGACGCUACUGAAACACACCCUGCGAUAUUUAAAUUUUGGCACUAGAUGGUUGGAGUGGAUAGAUAUGAUAUACUCAAAACCAACAGCGAAACUGAGAAUCAAUGGUCAAUUAUCUAACGCGGUGACUAUUUCUAAUGGCACGAGACAGGGCUGUCCCUUAUCACCACUUUUAUUCAUUCUAGUUUUAGAACCAUUCCUCCAAGGCAUUAGAGACAAUGACCUCAUCCGAGGAAUCCAGGUUAACAAUCAUAACUAUAAAAUUACAGCGUUUGCGGACGAUCUCCUUUUUACCAUAGUGGAGCCCCUCAAGACCAUCCCCAUGAUUAUCUCUGAAAUGGAAUAUUACGGUAAACUCUCUUUUUUUCAGGCCAACCUCGCAAAAUGCGACUUGAUGCCAAUUUUCUCAACAGACCUGUUGAACGACCAGAUCAAAUCCAAAUUCUCCUUUAACUGGUCAUCCAGAUCAAUCAAAUACCUGGGUAUUCACCUCCCCACCCACCUACCAUCUACCUAUAAGAUUAACUUCCCCCCUCUAAUUGACUCAAUCACAAAAGACCUACAUAGAUGGCACAAACCAGUCUUUGGGUUGAUGUCCAGGGUAAACAUACUCAAAAUGAACGUUCUCCCCCGUGUCCUCUACCUACUUCAAACGAUUCCACUCAAACUCCCAGCUAAACUCUUCCUCUCCCUUAAGUCACUAUUCAUGAAAUUUAUCUGGGCCCACAAACCCCCACGCCUAGCAUACCAUACAUUAACUAAAAAACAGGAUCAAGGGGGUCUAAACCUUCCAGACAUAGAAACUUAUUAUAAAGCGACACAUUUGCAGAGAAUCUAUGAAUGGAUGAAAACACCCAAUACACUCCAAUGGGUAGCACUAGAAAACAGUUGUGUUGACACUCCACUCUGCGCCUAUCCCUGGCUCCGCAAAGACCCCAAACUAUUGGAAAAACUAAACAAUCACCCAACGAUUUCCUCGACAUUACACAUAUGGUUCAGACUAAGAACGCAAACAAAAAUCUCGCCCUUCCCUUCUCCUAUUUUUCCCCUAACUCUGAACCCUCACUUCCACAAAGGAACAACAGGGAAACAACUUGGACUUAUGUACGAGGGCCCCUUCCUGAGGUUGAGCGAAGCAGCAUCAGGAAAUAAACUAAAACCCUUACAUGAACUCACCCUCUCUAACACCCACUCGGGGGUCCAAAUCUUUUUCCACGACCAACUGAACCACUUCAUCAAAACCCAGUCACUACUACCAGAAGGCAUUAGACCUCUAACUAGAUUUGAACUGUUAUGCACCUCUCACCCACCAAAGGUAAAACUGCUUUCCACUCUACACUCAGUAAUUAGAGAGGCAUACCCUCAAAACCACCCAAACAUCACUCUAAAAUGGGCAGAGGAACUACAAACCAACAUCACUACCCAGCAAUGGAAGAAUGCCUUCAUUUCCGUCCACAAAUCCUCUAUCUCGGCAUACGCACAAGAAUGUAACUACAAAAAAGUAACACGAUGGCACAACACACCCGCUAAACUCCACAAAUUCUUUAACUCAGUCCCAGAUCUAUGCUGGAGAUGUCAAAACUCAAAUGCACACCACACCCACAUUUGGUGGAAAUGCCCAAUAAUUCAGAAAUUUGGGAAGAGAAUCCACACUAUAGUACAACUAAUACUCCAUAAGACUUUCCCGUGUACACCGGAAUGUUAUAUCCUUUUCUUAUCUCCCCAUACACUCACGACACUAGAAGCGGCCCUGUUCCGCCACUUGGCCAUGGCGGCUUCCCAACUAAUUCCUAAACUUUGGAAGCAAUCCAGGCCACCUUCAAUUCGCGAAUGGAUACUGAGAGUUGAGGAUAUCAAAUUGAUGGAAGAAAUUACCUCAGCUAAAAUGGGAAAACAAGUUAAAUUCAUGUCCAUAUGGGACCCAUGGAUUCAAUACAUGCACUGCAACCCUCCCCCACCAUAAUAGGCUGACUUAACAUAUGCCUUUAUUCUCAUCAAAAACACAAGCCUUAUUCCUAAAACUUCUGCCUCCCCCUCCACCAUCUCACCGCAGCUCUCUCCUCAGCCCUUUCCUCCACAGAUGAGGCCGGUGGGAGUUGAAAGUAAAUGAUUAACAAGUCACACACAACCGCUACCCAAGCCGGCUUCCCAGAGGAGAUGGCAAGGCACCAUCCCCUAUUUCCUUACACCCACCUUCCCCUUCAUAUACUCAAUAGCCCUCUGCCGAGCCUAGGUUUUCCGACCUAUAGAAGGGAAUUGUUCCUUUAGAUAUAUGUGAAGCGUUAUUGUAUAAAUCAGGUCUCCAGGUAUUACAUUAAUGUAAGGUUUCCUUUCAAUUAUUUGUUGUUACUAUACCUUUGCUUGUAAUGUUAUUCUUUCGGACGCUUCAUCUGCCACCAGUUUCCUUCCGGAGGUGAUGACUAUACUACAAAUUGUACCUUCAACUAUACGAUAUUUUAGUACUGUUUAAAAUAAUGAAACACAGAAAUUGUAACCUUAUGAUAAGCUCGCUGUACCAAAUCUUAUGUCUACCUAUGUUAAACAUACAAAAUAAUAAAAAAGAUAAAUAUAAAAAAAAAAAAAACAUUUAGUCAUGCUUUAGAUUUUCAAUAAUUUGUAACGUUUUCUAGACAAACCUGCCCAGGAUUAAAAAAAAUUUUUUCCCAUACAUCUGGUAGCAUAGACUUUAAGUGUCCUUUUAAUGUGCUGUGUUUAUGAGUGUAUCAUCAUAAUGCUCCUCAACUCUAAAAUUAACAAUAGUGCCUAUUCCAUAGCUCCACAGCAAUAAACCUCACACUACUGUAUAACAUGUAUGAAUAUAUCACAGAGCUCCACAGUACUACCUAGUGUGUAUGAAUGUAUCACAGAGCUCCACAGUAAAAACACCCAUGGUUAUGUUUGAGGUGUAUGAUUGUGUCACAAAGCUCCACAGCAAUAAAACCCAGAUAAUUAUGUAGCAUGUAUGAGUGCAGUGCAUCGCAUUACUGCACUAAAAUGUUCAAAAUGUGUCCUUAAAGAGACACUAUAGUCACAAAAAACUUUUGCUUAAUGAAGCAGUUUGGGUGUAUGGAUCAUGCCCCCGCAGUCCCACUGCUCCAUUCUCUGCCAUUUAGGAGUUAAAUCACUAUGUUUAUACAGCCCUAGUCACACCUCCUUCCUGCAUGUGACUUGCACAGCCUUCCAAACACUUCCUGUAAAGUCAUCUAAUGUUUACACUUCCUGUACGGCAAAUUCUGUUACAUUUAUAAUUUCUUAUCUCCUGAUUUGUUAGUAGCUUUCUAGAAAUUGCAGGAGCUUCCUGUUCGAUUUACAGAGGAGGAUAUAAGAACUUUUAAAGGGACACUUUAGUCACCAGAACAACUACAGCUUAAUGUAGUUAUUCUGGUGAGUUUAAUAGUUACCUUCAGGCAUUUUCAUGUAAACACUGCCUUUUCUGGGAAAAGGUAGUGUUUACAUUGCCCCUAGGAACACCUCCAAGUGGCCACUCCUUAGAUGGCCACUGGAGCAGCUUCCUGGCUCAGGGCUGCACAAUAAGCAGCCCUGCUGUUCAGUGUCCCCACGUCCUGCAUGGAGACACUGAAUUUUCCUCACAGAGAUGCAUUGAUUCAUUAUGGUUACAAAAUAUUGAUUGCAGUUACAAUAAUUGAAAUAACUGUUCUAUUGUUACAUUGAUUAAGAUACAUGUAUUUAUUCUCUACUGUUAUUCCUAUGUCAUCUAACAUUUCUCAGAACAGCCCUCCCCUGGCCCACACUCACUCACACCCUUAAAAUUAAAGUUUCUCUCUGUCCAUGAAAUUAUAGGGACAUACGUAUUUCUCCUAUAGGAGAGAUAACAAGUUAGCUUCUUUGCAGUAGGAAAUAUGCCAAUGUUAAGAUUCCUGGGUAAUAAGCAGCCAUUAAACAGUACUGACAGGGUUUGAAACGAGUCUGAAAUCAGCCUCUAAGUGGCCGUUUGCAGUUACUAUGGAGAAUAAUGUAACUCGUUCGCUGCCACUUAGUGACUGGUUUUAAGUAAUGUCAGCCAAAAAUACUCUUUUACACUAGCCAAAAUGCUGCUAUUCAACUUUCAAUCAUAUACAAUUGUCAGUUUACUGACUAAACCCAUAUAUUUAAUAUAUUAACUGAUGAAUAUUAUUUUGAGCAUGCUGUUAGGGCCACCCAAUGGCUAUGGAUUUCCCCUUUGAUGACAUCACAGCUGGGAGGAAGUGACUGCCCUGUCACUUCUCCCAGCUUACAAUGGGAGCCGCACAGGAGGAAGAGAGGAGGGAGUCAGAGUGGGAACUCUAAUUCCUAUUAGGCUGAGCCACCACUGGACCCCAGGGAAGUCACCCUCCUGCAUCUAAAAUGUAGGAAACAGGAGGGUGACUAAAAUAUUUUGUAUGUGUGUGUUUGUUUGUUUGUAUGUAUGUGUGUCUGUAUGAAUGUUCUCUGUGUGUGUGUCUGUAUGUGUGUGUGUAUGUCUGUGUGUUUGUGUAUGUAUGUAUGUGUGUGUAUGUAUAUGUGUGUGUGUGUGUCUGUAUGUAUGUAUGUAUGUGUCUGUAUAUAUGUGCCUCUGUGUGUGUAUGUUUGUAUGUAUGUGUCUGUAUGUAUGUAUGUAUGUGUGCGUACAGUGGCGUACAUACAGGGGUUGCAUCUGCGACUAGGCCCAUAAAUCCACGGGGCACGGCAGCUCUGCAGACCCCUGCAACUGGGUGCCCACCACCAUGUGUUGUGGCCCCAGCCUGCGUGGCUUAACCGCCGGGGGGUGUGGGUUGGAUGUGGAGACCCACGGAUCAGUUUUUGCAUCAGGGCCCCAUGGAUCGUGUGUACGCCACUUAUGGCAGAGGAACUCUGCCAGGGCUAUUCACUUAAGUUAGUAUUCAAAGUGAAUUCAAAGUGAAUUCCCAAAUUUUGUUCAAAAUUGCUAAUUAAGAAAAAGAAAAUCAGGUCAAUUCUGUUUUCAGUUUGGCUAUUUCAAAUUUUAAAUUCACUUUGCAUUUCCGCAAGACCCAUAUGAUAAAGUGCACAACACAAUCAAUUUUAUAGCCAAGAACCUCUGUGAUAAGCUCAUAUUAUAUUGAUUUUUAUUGUGAGUUUUUUUUUUUUCCUUCAGGAGCUAAGUGUUACUUUAUUAUACAGCUUCCUACUGUGAGCAUUUUUGCUGAGAAGGUCUGCGAUAUACUCAGACAUACUGUUUAUUAUUGUCAGUUUAAUAACUAGGUGUAGCGGAGUACUCAAGUUGAGACUUAAUGAAGGGUGAAAACAAUAACACCUUAUUGUACAUAACUACACAUAUUUAUACAGGUUGGAUGUAAAUUCAGCAUGCUGGGGGUGAUUAUGGUAACAAAGGAGUACACCUCCCUUGGGCCAUCUGCUCAAACAGUGCUCUCUGAUAGUCCUCAUGGAGUCUAAUCACCACCAGGUUGAAUGUUUAGCCUUGAGUGCUAGGUCUCUGAACCGGGGCCUAACAUGAGCUAUCUGCCAAGUGGCUGGUCUUUUAGACACUCUGCUAGACUGUGUCUGGCUAGGAAGAGGGGUGGUGAAAAUAGUUUUUAUAACAAUGUUUUGAGGUCCUCUGUAACACUAGGUUACUUUGACUGAUAUGUACCUUAUAUUACUGCACUUUGUUCCUUACUUGUCAAUAUGAAUUUUAUUAUUGUGGAGCUCUGAAAUAUUCUACUUAUUGCUGUGAGUUUAUAUUUUAUGAAGAGCUCUGUGAUCCCCUAAGAAAUACUGCUUUGUACUAUGAAUUUUACUGCAAAGGGUUUUAUGGUACACUUAUGUGCACCGCAUAUUGCACAAAGUUUUCAGGAUAGGCAGCUCUGUGAGACACUCAGAUACACUGCUUACUAAUUUGGGUUUUACAGGACUGGAGCUCUGUUACUGUAUAUUGUCGUGCUGUGGAGUUCUGUGGUAUAUUCAUACACAAUAUGAUCAGUUCCACGAAAGGGGAUAUCAGACCAGAAAAAAGGAGAUGGUUAUUCAAUCUGAAAUAGAUACAACACCGCUGCCCAAUCAAAACUCCUGGGAAGUAUCACAACGUUCUAAGAACUCAUUUUUGUGUAUGUCAAACUAAAAGAAGAUUUUCGCUUAGGGCAAGCAUGUGGCAUCAUCUUAUAAAAGACAAUUAGAAUGUAUGGAGAAUAUGCAACACAGCCCAUCUGUCACUACUCAAUCUACAUCAAUUCCCCGACAUUUGUCCCCACCCCCAGUCACUUCCCACACAAGUGCCACAAAACCAAACACUAUCAUUUUGUGUUUCCUGCCCAACAUAUUUCAAAACAACUGCUAAACAUAUAGAGAAAAGCUUUUUUAUAUAUAUUUAUUUUUUUAACAUAUUAAGUGUCGGCAAGAUAUUAGAAAAAAAUAAUAAUGUGAAUCUUGUUAACCUGACUCAUUAGUUUACUUAUUAUUUACGGUGAGAAAUGCUCAAAAACCACAAAGAGUCAUACUUGCGGUAGAGAGUAUCUCAUCGCAAGAUACUGUGUUGAUUUUCAAUGUCAGUGACAAAUAAGGCCCUAUGAAACUGCAAUGAGAAGCUGUCUGCGUAUUUGGCUUAAAAUUAACUUCAUCAGAAUUUGCUAUAAGAUGUUUUCAAUAAAUAACAAGGAUAUGUGUUGAAAACUAUGCCUUAAAUGUGCCACGAUAUAUUCUCUAGAAUAAUAUGUUACCACUCAACAGUCAAUAUUUCGAAAGAAUAAGUAAGAGGAGAUUCUACUCGCUCCCAUAAUACUGGCACUCAUUUCACAUUACCAUCAUGCCCCCCUCCCUAUAAAAAAUAUAAGGGUGCAAACCUUAUACAAUUGUGGUGCUUUUUUACUAAACAACUAAUAGUAGAGACAUUAAAACUGAGUUGUGAGUUUUAAGCAAGAAUUUGGGAAAAUUCUUCAAAUUGGAUACUGUCACAGUUUGGUUAUUAUUUAGCCUGAAUAAUUCUAUUCACCAUUUAGUGAAUACAUCUCUUUGUAUCUCAAACAAUAUCUUUGUAAGAGGCAGGAGUAGAAAUGUUUUUUUUUUUUUUUUUAACAAGAAUAGGGUGUUUGCUAAGCUGUACAUUUUAGGUCAAAAUAAUCAAACUGAAUUAUUUUUCUAAAUCUGCUGGGGAGUGUUUUGGCCUAUAUUUUUCGAUUCAAAUUGUCAUAAUCCCAAACACAUUUUAAAUCCUAUUUACUAAACAAAUAGUAAAGAAUAAGAAUCUGAAGCAGAAUUCAGGCAUACAUAGUCAAGCCGUGGAUGUAGUGAAGAUGGAGAUUAUUUGCUCUAAUUCACAGUUUAGUGAAUAACCUUGUAAGACUGACUAAAUUUCAUAAGUACAAAUAAUCUACAGUUUUGGAUGUAAGAACCGAAAAAAUAUUAUAUCCUAGAAAACAUAUAAAGAAAGAUAAAGGUGAAUCUUUUGUUAAAGGGACACUAUAGUCACCCAGACCACUUCAGCUCAAUGAAGUGGUCUGGGUGCCAGGUCCCUCAGGUUUUAACCCUUCAGAUGCAAACAUAGCAGUUUCAGAGAAAGCCUUCCGGACAGCCACUAGAGGCGCAUCUGCGAUGCUGGAGGCAUAUUAUGCCUCCAUCUCGCAGAGCGUCCAUAGGAAAGCAUUGAAAAAUGGUCCAAGGGAGGGGGACCAUGAGGGUGGGGGCACCCUCAGGGCACUAUAGUGUCAGGAAAACCGCUUUGGUGAGACAUGGGGAUGCAGAGUGUGUGUAGUGCAGAGUGUGUUUAGUGAAUGUAGUGUGUGUGUGUAGUGCAGAGUGUGUUUAGUGAAUGUAGUGUGUGUGUAGUGCAGAGUGUGUUUAGUAAAUGUAGUGUGUGUGUUUAGUCAAUGUAGUGUGUGUAGUGCAGUGUGUUUAGUGAAUGUAGUGUGUGUGUAGUGCAGAGUGUGUUUAGUGAAUGUAGUGUGAGUGUGUGUAGUGCAGAGUGUGUUUAGUGAAUGUAGUGUGUGUAGUGCAGAGUUUGUUUAGUGAAUGUAGUGUGUGUGUGUGUAGUUCAGAGUGUGUUUAGUGAAUGUAGUGUGUGUGUAGUGCAGAGUGUGUUUAGUGAAUGUAGUGUGUGUGUGUAGUACAGAGUGUGUUUAGUGAAUGUAGUGUGUGUGUAGUGCAGAGUGUGUUUAGUGAAUGUAGUGUGUGUGUUUAGUCAAUGUAGUGUGUGUAGUGCAGUGUGUUUAGUGAAUGUAGCGUGUGUGUAGUGCAGAGUGUGUUUAGUGAAUGUAGUGUGUGUGUAGUGCAGAGUGUGUUUAGUGAAUGUAGUGUGUGUGUUUAGUCAAUGUAGUGUGUGUAGUGCAGUGUGUUUAGUGAAUGUAGCGUGUGUGUAGUGCAGAGUGUGUUUAGUGAAUGUAGUGUGAGUGUGUGUAGUGCAGAGUGUGUUUAGUAAAUGUAGUGUGUGUAUAGUGCAGAGUGUAUUUAGUGAAUGUAGUGUGUGUGUAGUGCAGAGUGUGUUUAGUGAAUGUAGUAUGUGUGUUUAGUCAAUGUAGUGUGUGUAGUGCAGUGUGUUUAGUGGAUGUAGUGUGUGUGUGUAGUGCAGAGUGUGUUUAGUGAAUGUAGUGUGUGUGUGUGUAAUGCAGAUUGUGUUUAGUGAAUGUAGUGUGUGUGUGUAAUGCAGAUUGUGUUUAGAGAAUGUAGUGUGUGUGUGUAGUGCAUAGUGUGUUUAAUGAAUGUAGUGUGUGUAGUGCAGAGUGUGUUUGAGUGAAUGUAGUGUGUGUGUUUAGUCAAUGCUUGGUGUGUGUGGUACAGUGUGUUUAGUGAAUGUAGUGUGUGUGUAGUGCAGAGUGUGUUUUAGUGAAUGUAGUGUGAGUGUGUGUAGUGCAGAGUGUGUUUGAUGAAUGUAGUGUGUAGUGCAGAGUUUGUUUAGUGAAUGCCAGUGUGUGUGUGUAGUGCAGAGUGUGUUUAGUGAAUGUAGUGUGUGUAUGUAGUGCAGAGUGUGUUUAGUGAAUGUAGUGUGUGUGUAGUGCAGAGUGUGUUCAGUGAAUGUAGUGUGUGUGUAGUGCAGAGUGUGUUUAGUGAAUGUAGUGUGUGUGUUUAGUCAAUGUAGUGUGUGUAGUGCAGUGUGUUUAGUGAAUGUAGUGUGUGUGUAGUGCAGAGUGUGUUUAGUCAAUGUAGUGUGUGUGUAGUGCAGAGUGUGUUUAGUGAAUCUAGUGUGUGUGUUUAGUCAAUGUAGUGUGUGUAGUGCAGUGUGUUUAGUGGAUGUAGUGUGUGUGUGUAGUGCAGAGUGUGUUUAGUGAAUGUAGUGUGUGUGUAGUGCAGAGUGUGUUUGAGUGAAUGUAGUGUGUGUGUGUGUGUAGUGCAGGUGUGUUUGGUGAUGUAGUGUGUGUAUGGUGCAGGGUGUGUUUAGUGAAUGCUUAGUGUGUGUGUGUAGUGCAGAGUGUGUUUAGUGAAUGUAGUGUGUGUGUUUAGUCAAUGUAGUGUGUGUAGUGCAGUGUGUUUAGUGAAUGUAGCGUGUGUGUAGUGCAGAGUGUGUUUAGUGAAUGUAGUGUGAGUGUGUGUAGUGCAGAGUGUGUUUAGUAAAUGUAGUGUGUGUGUAGUGCAGAGUGUAUUUAGUGAAUGUUGUGUGUGUGUAGUGCAGAGUGUGUUUAGUGAAUGUAGUGUGUGUGUUUAGUCAAUGUAGUGUGUGUAGUGCAGUGUGUUUAGUGGAUGUAGUGUGUGUGUGUAGUGCAGAGUGUGUUUAGUGAAUGUAGUGUGUGUGUAGUGCAGAGUGUGUUUUGUGAAUGUAGUGUGUGUGUUUAGUCAAUGUAGUGUGUGUAGUGCAGUGUAUGUUUAGUGAAAUAGCAAAAGCGUGUGUGUAGUGCAGAGUGUGUUUAGUAGAUAUAAAGUGUGUGUGUAAUUACAGGAAGUGUGUUUAGUAGAUACUUAGUGUGUAUGAGUGCAGAAGUGUGUUUAGUAGUGUAGUAGUGUGUGUAGUGCAGAGUGUGUUUAGUGAAUGUAGUGUGUGUGUUUAGUCAAUGUAGUGUGUGUAGUGCAGUGUGUUUAGUGGAUGUAGUGUGUGUGUGUAGUGCAGAGUGUGUUUAGUGAAUGUAGUGUGUGUGUGCAGAGUGUGUUUAGUGAAUGUAGCGUGUGUGUAGUGCAGAGUGUGUUUAGUGAAUGUAGUGUGAGUGUGUGUAGUGCAGAGUGUGUUUAGUAAAUGUAGUGUGUGUGUAGUGCAGAGUGUAUUUAGUGAAUGUUGUGUGUGUGUAGUGCAGAGUGUGUUUAGUGAAUGUAGUGUGUGUGUUUAGUCAAUGUAGUGUGUGUAGUGCAGUGUGUUUAGUGGAUGUAGUGUGUGUGUGUAGUGCAGAGUGUGUUUAGUGAAUGUAGUGUGUGUGUUUAGUCAAUGUAGUGUGUGUAGUGCAGUGUGUUUAGUGAAUGUAGCGUGUGUGUAGUGCAGAGUGUGUUUAGUGAAUGUAGUGUGUGUGUAGUGCAGAGUGUGUUUUGUGAAUGUAGUGUGUGUGUUUAGUCAAUGUAGUGUGUGUAGUAAAUGGAGUGUGUGUGUGCUUGUAAGGAUGCAGUGUUUGUGUAAAGUAGGGGGGAGGGGAGUAUUUUAAAAAAAAUAUUUGUGGAUAUUUAAAAUUUAAAUUUUAUUUCCACCUCCCUGGUUCUUACCUUGUUCUUACCUGGUGGUCCGGUGGAGAAAGCCAGCCGCGGUACAUUGCAGAGGGGGGCCCAGCAGCACACACUGUCUUCCUUUCCAGUUCCUCUCUGACGAACUCUCGCGAGACCGGCCUGCGUGCUGUGCGGAGCGUUGCCAUGGUAACCCAUGGCAACGCUCUGGCGGCCGCAGGAGAGUUAGAAAGAGAGGAGCUGGAAGGAGGACAGAGUGUGCUGCUGGGCCCCCCUCUGCAAUUUACAGGUAGGGGGCCCUCAGUGGACAGAUAUAUAGUGAAAUUCUCUAUAUAUCUGUGCAUAUAAGGAAUGUGGUGCUCAGACUGAAAGAGCAUCCGGGCCCCCCAGAACCGCCGGGCCCAUGACAACAGUUAUGGUUGUCAUGCCCUGAUGGCGGCCCUGAUUGUAGCCCACGGAAACAUAAAGAAGCUGGAGUAGCGGUCUCAGAGGGGGACAGCCAGAUAUCAGUGAGUACUAGUAGUUUGAGGGAAUUAGAGAUGAAGGGGUUGUGUAUGGCUGUUGAUUUAAUAUUGCUACAGAUGGAACGGGUGUUCCAGGGUGCACACUGAAUGUUGGUAGAGGAGGAUAAACUACUACAUAUUUGGAUGAGGUUUGCAUGGUUUAUAGUUGUUUUAGUGUGAGCAGACGAGGUGAAGGGCCCUGGGUUGGGAGAGACGUCACCAGCUGCUAGAAUUAGGAGGAGAGAUAGUGAUAGGAGGUGUGAAUGGGUUUUAUACGGGUGAAGUCUAGGAUGAGAUUGGGUGGGAGCAGGAGAGAAUGAAUAGAGAAAUGAGAGCAGGGCAUGAGAUGAGAGAAGGGGGGGUGUAGCAGAGAUGGAUUAAUGUGGAUGUGAUUGAAUUGUUGAGGGAAGUUGGUGCAAGGAGAUAUUUUGAUGCUGAAGGAGAGGAGAGAAAAGGAAAAGAGGAGAAGAUGAGUAAGUACUUUGAGAAAAGCAGAAUGGGCAGAAGUAAGGAGAAUGAGGACUGAGUGUUAGGGGUUAAGGGAGUGUAGGAGUGUUCUGAUUGCAGGUACUGUUACAGCUGUCAUUUCUAAUUAUCUAAAAUUGUAUGUGAGAUUCUAUCUAUAAAUGGAAUAAAGAGCUAGGGGUUGGGUGGUGAGUGGAGGGGCCGGUGGGCAACUGAGAAUUAUUCUGGUUUCCAACAGGGAUUUUUUAAACUCAGACUGUGGAAGACAGAGAUGAUAGAGUCAAAAAGGCCUGCAAUAAAGCUAUGGAAUGGAGAUGCACAGAGGAGGUGAGGAUUGGCCACCCAAGAUCAAACCAAACAUGUUGGAAAUUCUAAACUCAACAGUAGAAUGAGGUAUUGCUAAAAUGUUUAGAGGUAUAGAUUACUGGAUUGCAGUAGACACUUCUACUUUGCCCAAGCAUUCAUGUUUAGUCAUGACAACCCAUACUAAUUGAUCUGUCAAUAUAACAGUUUACUAUACUGUGUUAGAGUCCCAAAACUGUCAUUGUCUACAAACCCUGCUCAGAAACUCAAUGAGUGUUAAACCAAUAUCGGGUAAACUCUAUGUGAGAAGUCUAUUUCUCCACCUGUGAGACAUGUUUGAGCCAGUAGGACAACUGAACAAAACAGGAUUUGGGGAUGAUAUAUGGAAUCCAGAGCAGAUGUCAAAGAAAAACAAGAAUAGCCAAUUAGCUUAUUUUUUAUUAAAUUAAAAUGCUCCUCUUUAUCUUUGCAAAAAGCAGCAGAUUUUGCAUGUCCAUAAAAUAGAGGAAAUGUUAUGCCUUUCAGGCUAAAGCUAGGUAAACCAUUGCACUAGGUAGAUCAUGGACUAGUGUCCCGUAAGAGGUAUAACCAUAAAUGUGCAAACAUUCAAGUUUAAUAGUAUUGCUUCCUUCUAGGAAGAUGACUACAUGUUGUGAAAUUUAGUGCCAGACAGCUAGUGGAUUGGACUGUGGUGGUCACAUACCUACUUCUAUACCGGGGUAAGCAAUGUUCGGCACUUCAGAUUUUGUGGACUACAUCUCUCAUAAUGCUCUUACAGCCAUAAUGCUGGUAUUAUGCAGUGCCGAAGGUUGCCUAAUCCUGUACUAUACUGUUGUACAUACAGCAAUGACCAGGACAUCAGUCAUUGGCUGGAUAAACCACCGGUUCAGUACAGGUCCAUGGGAUAAUAUAUGACACUCAACGUGAUCAAGUUUCCUUGGUUACCUCAGGGUUGCAAUGGAGUAGUAGUCAGUUAUCUAGUACUCAGGCAGAUGCAGUGUAUACAUAAUGUACGUAUAUUUAGAUUGACAUCUACAUACACAUCAUGUCACUGUUGAGGGAUUAUAGCAACAGAGUCCCUGAUUUCACUCUGUUUUGAUCUGACGUGCUAGCAAGCCAGACCGCUUGUCUGCAUCAUGAAGGAGGAUUUUCCAGAGCAGGGCCAAUGAAGUCAGAGGGGGUCUGGAGCAAGACGGGUGGUUGGACGUUACAUUAGUGUAACACCCAUAAACCUCUGAUCAUAACAUAGCUGGAACAGAGUUAAGUAAACCCUUAACAGCUCAGGAAGCAAUUAGAUAUAUCAUCUUUCUAUUUAAGAUAAAUAAUAUAAUUAUCACUCCACUGCCCAAAUACAAAAUACAUAAAAAUCACUCUUUAGUAGAUUUACACCAAAUGAAAACAUGCAUUUAAUUAUGGAUUUUCCUAUUGAAAUAUAUAUUUAAAAGAGCAUGUGAAAUCUGCAGAUCUCUUGUCUGAAGCCUUGGCAAGCCCUCCCAUAUUAACCCCGCCCGGUGACCUUGCCGUUAGUACGUGACGGGUGAAGGGGUCAAUCACCCGUCCAACUGCCCCUUUACUGGACCUGUGGCGUUUAUCCCAGUUCCAUACAGCAUUGUUUUAACAUUGGCACCAACCUAUUGUGUCUCGGUUGGGUGAGUGCAUAUAAGCUGCAAAUAUACCCAUCUAAAAUGGCGGCUGUACAACUCGAGGCACUAUGUGCAACACCCAAAAGCCAUCCUAAGCCGUAUUGUGACCUCCUGACAGCUUGUGAUCAGCUAUGUGCCAAGUAAUGACCUGAAGUGACUCAUGGGUGGCUGGGCGUAAUAACACCCUCAUAUUGGGCCCGUUCUUUGUGCAGAAUAGGCAGGAGGCGGAGGCCGCCAUACACCAGGCAGUGAUUACAUGGGGCUUAUCGCCCAUGAUGUUGCCAUUACACAUGGAUGGAUUCGUUCUGACCCUGGCAGCUGGUACAUCUAGAAGGACCAGCGUGGCAUCCUGGUUCACUCCUCUACCUGAGGGGCAGAAUGUGGUUGAUCUUGUCUGCCCACUAGUCUGCAAUCCCUCAGAGUAGUACCUGGCCUCCAAUUCUUUGUCUGUGUUUAAGCCUCCAGAGUGGGCAUCAGUUAGCAACUGUGAACUUUAGGAGGGGUCACUACAGCCUAAACUUAACCCCUGCCUUGUCCUCAUGGCUGUCAAUCUCAGUUCUGGUCCUACUUGUCUCUUUUUGUCUUGUACAUAUAUUUGCUCGCAUUGUUUUAAGAUCUCUUGUUUUAUUCAACAUUUAACGUAAUGGGUCUUAGCUAAGCUUUUAGUUUACUCAUGCAAGCUCAGGACCCAUACCGUUUACAUGGUAGUAUGUUGAAGAUGUCACUAACAACCGACACAUAUCUACUUAGCAUUUCUUAAAUCAGAGUGAUCAAGCUUUCAGCAUUUUAUAUGUCUAUAUGUGUUUAUCUUAUCAAACAGGAUACUCAAUUUGUCUUUGAUCAUUUUAAAAAAGUGCAGUUAUGUAUUCUGUGUUAGUGAGUUAAUUUGGCAGAUAGUGUAAUCUCUACUGUCUAAUAAUAUUGUAUAUCAUACUCAUGUCUUGUGUACAAUUAUGGCUAAUUCUUAUGUGCCACUCUCUUAGCAUUUUUGCUUGUUAUUGUUUGUGGUACUUGUGUUUCUGUCAUGUUUCUGUCAUGUUCACAGAGCUGCUGAUUAUAUUGUAAAUAUCUGCACCAAAAAAAUUAAAAAAUAAAUUGUCAUUUAGUUAACAUAUUCCUUAGUAUUUGAAGGUAUAUUUAAGAUAACAGACUCUCCAUGUGACUUAGUGCUUACAGUUUUGCUAGUGGUAAAUUUGUCAGGCUAAAAUUGUUCUAAGCCUUUAACUGAAGUCAAUUUUUGACUGUAGAAAAUAUUGUCUUCAAUUUGUAGCUGGUUCUAUAUAUUUUACGUUAACUAUUGCUGUAGAUGAGUUUUUGUAAGGCAAUUUAACAAAUUAAAUCUAUUACAAUAUAAAAUGUGUGACACAUUGAAAGCCUAAAACGAGUGAAACUGUGCAGUCAAAUAUUUAUGGUUAACAAGUAUUCUUGGGAUUAUGGGAACUGCAAAUUAAACUCUGAUUACCGGAUUCCCGGCAAAUAACAACAAAUAUUUGGAAAUGAUCCAAAUUAUGCUGCUGCCACUUAACUUGACAAUGCAAACACAAUUUCAAAGCAGGGAGUUUAUAUCACUUGCAAUAAGUAAUACACUGCAUGGCAAGGUGGCUGAGGGACUUACUCAAGAAUAUUUUACUGCUGGUAAGAGUUCACUCACAGUUACCUAUCUUCAAGGAUGGGAAGGCUCUAAUUUAGUGCAAGGGAGCCUUAUAGGAACAUUCCAAGAACCAUAACCACUGUAGGCUAUUGUAAAUUAUUAUUGUAGAUUAUAUAAUGCUGGUGAUGCCCUAGUAGUGUCCCAGACAAAGUUGUCAAAUCACUUAAGAAAGUACUGACCCCAGGAGAGGCUGUCACAUUUAUCUGGCAAGACAAUAUAAUCACCAAAACAACUUUGUCUUAAUGGAAUGGUUUUGGUGUAUAGAUAAUGUCCCUGCAGUGUAACUGCUCAAUCCUCUGUCAUUUAAGAGUUAAAUUACAUUGUUUAUACAGCUCUAGUGACACCUCCCCUCCAUGUAUUAUACACAGUCUACUUGUAUGUAAUAUUUUUUAUAAAAAGAGAGCUGGUGUUUAAACUUUAUGUAUUGCACAGUCUAUUUAAUCUAUAUUUUUUCAUCUCCUGCUCUGUUAAUAGCCUGCUAGAGCCUACAGGAAUCUCCUCGUGAUUUUAAUGAACAGAUCAGAAGCUAAAAACUUCUAAAGUAAACACACUGUUCUGUCACAUCUCAUUGAAAAAAAAAUGUUCAUAGAGGCUGUGUGAGUCAUAGUAUGUGGCAAGGGAAGCAUAAACAGAAUCAAAUGUUGUUUAAAGGAUCACUAUAGUGUCAGGAAAACAAACUUGCAUCCUUAGGACCCCUUCAGCUUCUUACCUUUAUCCAGCACCUCCUCCCCUGCCGACGUCAGCUCCCAAGUGGAGCGGAAUGCGCAUGUGCAGCAAGAGCGGCACGCGCAUUCAAACAGUCCAUAGGAAAGCGUUUCUUAAUGCUUUCCUAUGGACGUUCUGCACGCUGGAUGCAAAUUUCACAUCCAGCAUCGCAGAUGCACCUCUAGCGGCUGUCAGGACUGCUGUUUACAUCUGAAAGGUUAAACCUGUGAGACCUGGCACCCAGACCACAUCAUUGAGCUGAAGUGGUCUGGGUGACUAUAGUGUCCCUUGAACUACUAAAUUGCAGAGAAUUGAGCAUUUAGACUGCUGGGACAAAAGAUAUUCACAAAAACUGCUACAUUCUUAGCUGACUCUUUGCACAGGUCUACACUAGUUAAGGGAAAUAGUGACAUCUGACAUCACAUGGCUGCACACAAGUCUGUACACAAGUUUGUAUAAGUAAACUGAAGAUGGAUAAGAAAAACAGGGCAUGAGGCACAGGUCUCUAGACCAUCUUGUGUAGUUAGAAACAUGAAACUCUUGACCUCUUGGGAAUGCUUUAUUUAUAAAAAAAGGUAUUACAAGAUACAAAUUUUAUAACCCUGGUAAAUAUGCUAAUGCAAUUAUUAGGAAGGCAUUUUAAUGUUACACUAUAUUUACCCACAAAGUACCUUGGUGAUACACUCCACUAUAAAGUUCCUCCUCUUUGUCACACAAACAGUUAAACAGCAUGCAGAAAGGGCUAUUUUCUAUGUACAGACUGGACUCAUUUUUUAAAUAUAUGAUUAUUACAAAUGAAACAAAUAAAGUAAUUUCAAAGGCUACAAAACAAUUGUAAAUGUUUUAUUGCAAAACAAACAAACAUUUGGUUGACGAAGAAUCAGUGCAGAGGCAUUGUUACCAUGGAUUUAUGUGGCAGAUCAGAGUGACGUCAAUUUACAAUAAGUAAUUUCAGGUCAGACGAGAAUAACUAAGGCUUGUGUUAUGUGAAGUGGCAGUUCUUCCUCACCACUGUCAUUAAACCACCAACCUAUGUCCUGGUUUAAUGGCAUACAUAUAUAGUAAUGUCUGGCUAACUAAGUAAACUUUUAAGACAGUUUAGCUCUGCUCUAUUAUUGUGACAUGCCUGACUUAAUGAUAGGAUACUUUCAACCUUCCAAAUGCUGUAAAAUUACUUUUAACAACAGAGAGCUUGAGCACUCGUAUCUGUAUUGCAGGGCUUGGAACUACUGGUGGUGCAGCCAGUGACCGCAGGCCUAUGUGAGCUUAUCUUUGGUUGGUCAACCAGAAAAAAUAGUCUGGGAGAGUGAGUAGUUCCCACCUCUCAGCACCUAAUUUUGACAACCCUAAUCAGGAUUGACUUCUGGGCAUUCAGUUCCUACACUAUGUGUCUCAGAAACCUUGCAGACAAAAGAGCAUGGGGUUUUCUUCAUUUAACUCCACACCCUGUCAUAUAUGAGAAACCUGUGAUCACAUUGGUGCUACCAUCUGCCACCAAUCAUGGAGGUCACCUGCUGCCAUUGAGUACUCUUCUCCCAGCAUAUGUUUAAUCUCCUGAGUCACAUCCCCCUACUCAAUUUACAUUCAUUUCAUCUACCUUGUCACUUACCCUUGACCUCCCUUUCACUUAUAGUGUUAUAGUGUACCCAAUUUAGCUGUUAUAGUUUAAGUUUUACUCCACAAUGUUUUAUAAAGUUGAUCUAUAGAUUUAUACUUAUCAGUAAAAUGUAUUCAAAUUCUAGUAUAAAACAUUAUCUAUGACAUGUAAAAGGAUAAAAAGAAACUGAGGAUAGUAGAGUUAUCCUUAUAGUAGGCAAGUCCAUAAGAGGUUAAUAUUUAGUGUUAAAAGUCAUACAGAUCCGUUCAUUCAUUGCUUUCUUUAUAGCAGCAUCACCCAGGCCAACACUGGCCAACGAGCUGCCUGUGGUCUGAAUGUGACCCAUCACACCAUAAUUAGUAGCUACCCAUUUCUGUGAGAACAAAUGGCCUUUUGUAAGAGGGUAUCCUAUUGUGAAUAUCUUUGCUGGAGCAGGGAUACCAUGACCUCUGGAUAGUAAUCACACAUUCCAUUUGGACCAUUCACCAUGUCCACAAUUUUCCACCGGUGUCAUCCUUCUGAACAAGUCAGUGCCCCCAUCCUUAUUCAUGGCUGUCCUCUAUAUCUGGCAGGUCAAGAGACUGAAGACAGCAAUUCCUUUAAGCAAAUGAGGACUUUGCAGCUAUAAAGAAAAUAUAUUCUGAGUGUCGCUCUUACACAAUGACAGUCCUCUUUUCAGAUUAUUGUUUUCAGCAAACUUACAUCUCCGUAUCUCCUUCUUGCUACAAACCUCACAGCCGAGUAGCCACUGGGUCAGACAGAUGUAUGAAUAAAUGAAUGAAUGGUUGGUUGGCUGGGUGGAUGACUGGAUAGAUAGAUAGAUAGAUAGAUAGAUAUAGAGAUAGAUAGAUAGAGAUAGAUAGAUAGAUAUAGAGAUAGAUAGAUAGAUAUAGAUAGAGAUAGAUAGAUAUAGAUUAGAUAGAUAGAUAGAUAAAUAGAUAGAUAGAUAAAUAGAUAUAGAGAUAGAUAGAUAGAUAGAUAGAUAGAUAAAUAGAUAGAUAGAUAGAUAGAUAGAUAGAUAGAUAGAUAGAGAUAGAUAGAUAGAUAGAUAGAUAGAUAGAGAUAGAUUAGAUAGAUAGAUAGAUAGAGAUAGAUAGAUAUAGAUAGAGAUAGAUAGAUAGAUAGAUAGAUAGAUAGAUAGAGAUAGAUUAGAUAGAUAGAUAGAUAGAUAGAGAUAUAGAGAUAGAUAGAUAGAUAGAUAGAUAGAUAGAGAUAGAUAGAUAUAGAGAUAGAUAGAUAGAUAGAUAGAUAGAUAGAGAUAGAUAGAUAUAGAUAGAGAUAGAUAGAUAGAUAGAUAGAUAGAGAUAGAUUAGAUAGAUAUAUAGAUAGAUAGAGAUAUAGAGAUAGAUAGAUAGAUAAUUAAAAUAUAAUUAGAUAGACAGACACACACACACACACACACAAUCAGACAUACAAAUGGAUGAAUUGAUAAAGAGAAAGAGAGGAAAUUAUUGAAGAAACAGAGAUAUAUAGAAAGAAUAACAUACAGGCAGAAUUGUAGACAGACAGACAAAGAGAAAGGCAGAUACACAGAGAGACUCAUAGAUAAAGGCACAGACGGAAAGGCUGACUGACAGACAAACACAGGAGAAAGAUGGACAGACAGCCAUUUUCUGUUAUUUAAAAUGUGAUUAGUAUCAAACUGCUGAGCUAUAAAUUGAGCAGCUUCUUCACCUCUUGAUAUCAAUAACAAUAACAACAACCCACCAGUUUCACCUUUUCUCAUCAUUUUGUAUACUACCAGUAAUAGGAGCGUUCCAUGUGCUACCAGGCCCACAGCAUUACUGCAAUUAACUUGCUAUUUGAGUCUCCUCCUUCUUGUGGAAAAUUCUGUUUCAUACGUUUCACCACCCAAGUGUUAAAAGAGGAGGUUGGUCCAAUACGCAAAGCUUUAUUAACAAACUGAUCGCACAAACAUAGCCAAGAACAAAGCUGCACAUUUAAUUCUUCUGAAGCAUAAACCCAAUGGAGUUAAUGAGGCAUGCUACAGUAUUGUGUUUUUUUUGUGUGUUUUUUUAUGCACUUGUAUGCAUAUGGGAAUGGGUUAUUACUAAGUAUGAGUCACACUAAUUACUGAACAGUAUGUGUGAAAUUACACUUAAUUAGCUACAAUAGGUACACUAUUAGAAUGAACACAAAACUAAGGCAGAGUGAUUAAAUUGAAAAACAAGUAAAAAAACAACAGCUCUGCAGAUCCCCGCUAUUAAAAGCAUCAGCGUUUCCUAUAUGAACUGGUUAGAACAAGGAAGAUGUACAUAUUCAUAUUUUGGAACUCUUCGAACCGUGUAUGGAAAUGGUAUGUUUUCACGCACAGUGGCCCACAUUGGGAUGACUCUAUCAAAAUGUAGAAGUGCUGUUAUACAGACACAAAUGUUUCCAGUGGUCUUCUAUAGCCACAUGCAUGUACAGGUAUACUGAUUCGUGUGCUGAUGUGCUUUUUCGUGACUAUGCCAGGUCUUGGGGACUGAGGGACAAAAUAAGGUCAUCCCCAAGAAUCUAGGACUGUUGAGAUAUAUGUACUAAGCAUAAUGUUUAAAGAAACAAUCUAGACUGGAAAUAAUAGAUAAACCAUUACAAAUGUGUAAAAAACAAACAAACACCUGUUUUGAAUAAAUCUGCUCAUAUUUCAAGGUCCUGACAGUGCUUCUAAUCCACAGGCAGGCUGUACCAGACAGCUCCACUAAUCAGGAGCCUCUCCUUCUGGCCUUUAUGGUCUGACCUUAUACAUAACCCCCUGCCCAGCAGAGUUUAUUGAAUAAGCUGAGAGUAGCCAUAAUGUAGCUGCUAUCAGCUUACUGCCAGAUCUGCUCCUAGUUUUGUUAAUAGAGCUAGGUGUUCUCCCAAGCUGUAGGUCACAUACGAAUGCAGCCAUGAAACCCGUUGCUGAGAUCUACAAAUAAGCAUGGGGACACAACUGGCGUGUACAUACCCAGUGUUCACACAUCAUAUGCAUAUGAUGGAUAGAUAUAGACAACAGAGGAGUAUGUUAAAAUAAUUUUGACGUCACUCACUGAAGAAGCAGUCUUAUAACUGCAGCAGUUUUUUACAAAUCGCUGCAGUUAUAAUCAACUGUGUAACAGAGUGACUGGGAAUCUCCUGGGAUUAAUCCAUCUGUCCGCCUGACUGUCUGUCUGUCUGUCUAAUUACCUAUACAUGCAUCCAUCCCCCUAUCCAUCAAGCCAACCAGCCAAUCAUUCAUUUAUUCUGCAAACUAUGCAAAGAGCCUAGGUUUCAAUAAUAUUUCGUUUUAACAAUACUAGAACUAUAUUGCUUUACUCUCUGGAAUUUAAAUCUCUCACUAUCAUCCCCAUAAAUAUAGUGGCUGAAGAGGAAUGCCUUGAUAUCAAAAUCUCCUGAUGUCUGCUGGAUACCGGAAUGGAUAUGAAUCCAUCAAACUGUUGUUGAGAAAAAAACGAGAAAACUUACCAGAAGUGUUGAAGGUAAAAAGUAGUGAUCUACAUAGUAACAUAACACACAACUAAAAAUACAAUACAAAUAAAAAUACAAUUCUCCGUAUUUCUCAGCUGAAUGCUUACUCUAACCUCCGUAAAAACGUAUGCUAGCAGGGACCCAGUCAGUGGAGUUUUUUAUCUCAAAACUCAGAUUAGAAAAGUUUUACCUAUCUGACAGUCUGUAGCUCCACCUGCAGCUCCUGUUAAUAAUUUUGAAACAAAGUUUCCAGGCUGGCUAUGUUCAUUUUGUCACCUUUCUUCAGUUAAGAACGAACUGUUAGAACUACUUAUCCCAUAAUCAAUCUCCUGUUGUGAAAGACGUACUAAACGAUGCUCCAAGGUAAACUUUAAGGUGCUGUAUUGUUAGUUUUUUUAUGUAUUAUUUUACCUUAUUUUAAUACAUUAUCUUUAUAGUUUAUUAAGUACCAAUGUUUUCUCCUUAAAUGAAUGAAUCUCAAAGUGAAAAAUCUGGAAAAAUCUACAGAAACAUUAUCUCUUCUUAAUGCAGAUUGUCAGACGAAACAUGGUGGUAACCUUAUUUCUAAAAUAACAUAAAUAAUAUAGUGAGAGCAAACUCUAUACACCAGAUAUAAACAGAUGUAAAAAACAGGCAAUAUUACCAUAUAUCUGAAAUGUCCUAAAAAUAAAAAAUAAAGAACAUAGUAUAGCCUGUAUAAAAUAGACAAAAUAAAAAUAAAUUAUAUUUAUAUAAUAUAGAGUUUGCUCUCACUAUAUUAUUUAUGUUAUUUUAUUAUAUAUUUCUUGUGUGAUUUGGAGUGAUUCACACUUAGUGAUUUGAGCACUUUUAUCAAUUUUCUUCCUUUCUAACCUUAUUUCUGCCUGUUGCUGAUGUUAUUUAGACUAACUAAAACAGAACAGUCAACAAAUAGCGUGUACUACGGUGGGUCCUCACUCAAUUUUCAAGCUAGAUUUAGCGCCAGUUUGCUCCACUAUGUAGAGAACCUGAAUCAGUGGCGUACAUACCAGGGUCACGACCGGGCCGGCCCACCAAGGGGCCCGGCCGCCCCUGCGACACCGUGUGUACCCACUGGGCCAGCCUCUUCCCCUGGGAGACCCAGGAGCCGACCGCCCCAGGGCCACCCGAGGCUGGCCCUGCUGACACCCGGCAGGCGGGUGGCCGGUUGGGCAGGUGGGCACGCGAGGGAGCACUCACUGAGCGCCCGCCUGCCCGACUGGCCACCCGCCUAGGAGCCCAGCAGCACCACUGGACCCCAGGGAAUCCCCCCAGCACUCCAAAAGGUAAGGAGGCUGGGGGGAUUACAUUUAAAAAAAAACAUGUGUGAGUGUUAGUGUGUGUGUGAGUGUUAGAGUGUUAGAGUGUGUGAGUGUUAGUGUGUGUGUCUGCUAGUUAGUGUGAGUGUUAGAGUGUGUGAGUGUUAGCGUGAGUGUUAGAGUGUGUGAGUGUUAGAGUGAGUGUGAGUGUUAGAGUGAAUGUUAGUGUUAGAGUGAGUGUGAGUUAGUGUGAGUGUUAGUGUGCGUGUGUCUGCUAGUUAGUGUUAGUGUGUGUGAAUGUUAGAGUGAGUGUGAGUGUUAGUGUGUGUGUCUGCUAGUGAGUGUCAGUGAGUGUUACUGUGUGUGUCUUACUGAGUGUGUGUGUGUUAGUGAGUCUGUGUUUGUCAAUGAGAGUGUAUGUUUUGUGAGUGUGUAUGUAUGUCUGUUGCUGAGUGUGUCUCUGUCAGUAAAUGUGUGUGUCUGUUAGCUAGUGUGUAUGCGUCUGUUCGUGAGAGUGUGUGUGUGUGUCUUCAGCACUUACCUUUCUCCAGCGCCAGACUCCCUUGGUGCUGGGGAUCCCUCAGCCUCUCAGCUCCGAAUGCGACUGCGCACGCAUUCAAACCGCCCAUAGGAAAGCAUUACUCAAUGCUUUCCUAUGGACGUUCAGUGUGCUUCUCUAGCGGCUGUCAGUGAGACAGCCACUAGAGGCUGGAUUAACCCUCAGUGAAACAUAGCAGUUUCUCUGAAACUGCUAUGUUUUCAGCUGCAGGGUUAAAACUAGAGGGACUUGACACCCAGACAACUUCAUUGAGCUGAUGUGAUCUGGGUGUCUGUAGUGGUACAUACCGCGGUCGCAAGGGUCGCAGCCCUGUAACCCCUGCGACCAGGUGCCCACCGCCAUGUGUUGCGGCCCUCGCGCACGGGGGGGCCCACGGAUCAAUUUUCGCACUGGGGCCCCAUGGGUCAUGUGUACGCCACUGACCUGAAUCAUUUUAUAUCAGACUGAUCCCCACCAUAAAAGAUGGUCUUGAUAUGAAAUAUUGGCAAGCUCAGCACUAAAGCUAAAACUAGUUUGAGAACCGAGUGGUAACCUAAUGAAGGACAAGCUAUUUGAGUUUGUAUUCUCUUACCCUCUGUUUUAGUUUGCUUGCAAACUGUCUAAUGUCUCUCCCAAAUGCAAAAUGGUAAGCCAGAUGGUGAACUCCUUGCUCACUGUGCUUGUAGGGGUGUCAGCCAUACCUCACUGACGAGGUCCACCAGGGCCAAAAAAAAAAACUGUCUGAAGUUACUAUAGUUCUCAUGUAGAGGGAGCCAAGCAAAAUUUCUGAUCUGACUGCCUUUUAGGGGUAGAAUCACUCUGACAUGACCUGAUCAAGAGCAAAUGGUUUUGGUUCUAUCUGUAAUGGCACAAGUAGACCUACAAUCAGAUUGACCAAACAAACAGCAAGCUUUAUGAGUUGGCUAUUCUCGCUACUCUCUUGUGAUCUGUGAUUUUUUAUUUUAUUUUUUUAGAUUAGGAUUUGUAGACUUUGUACAAUAAGACUAUUAUGAUUAGUAUAUUUUAAAGUAAUCGAAUGACUGCCUUUUCUUUAAGUGAAAGUGAGUCACUAGUGUGAAGGGCAGAGUUUCGGCUCAAAUAAAGUCACCGGAGGAAAAGGGAGAGGUUUCCCAAUGAAGACACAGAUUCCUGUCAUUUUCCUAUGUCCAAUGCUACAGAUAAAGCCACGGAGUACCUUCUAUGUAUGACUUACUUUCAAAAGUUUACUGUUAUAUUUUGCAGAGAUUACAUUAUUUAAACAAAGUAUGGAAAUUCUUUUUAAAGAAUAGCUUUCCAGGUUUUACUGUAUUUGAAUGCUUUUAGGCUGGCUGAGGAUCGUGAUAAUUCUAAUUCCAAUUGGCUGUACUUGCUUUAACCCCUUCUACACCAAGUCAUUAGAAAAGCACAAUAAUUGUUUGAAACAGUAUGAAUAGCUAGCAAAUUAUUGCAGGAUAAAACUGCAAUUUCUUGUAUAGAUUACUGUACAACAACAUAUAAAAUCAGAAAAUUAUGUAAAUUUGCAUAUUUUUCAUUAUUUAUUUAUUCAUUUAUCUUUGUCAGUCAGAUUAUGAUUUUUUUAAAUGUAUUUUUUUUUAUUUAUUGUUUAUGUGGGGAGUGUUAGUUAUUAUAUAGUAUCCAGUAUCUCACUAACAGGGAGAAUGUGAUAUAUUAGUACAAAUACAGAAAUUGAAUUUUGACACACAUGCAGCAGGUGUGACAAAAAUAGAUUCAAAUGACAAAAUACAAAACACUAAUAAACUACUUACAAUGUGUGUAUACAUAUGGACAUUUCUUCUAAUUCGAAUGACAUUUCAGGCGAGAAAUGUUAAAAUAAUAUCUGUAUGUAUGCACAUUGAGAGGAACUGACCAGAAUCUGGGCACAAACGUUUAUUUUUGCACUUGAUAACAAUCUGUUUGUGUAACACAAAUUUUUGUAGAGCCCCCCUAUAUUGGGAUGGAGCUAUCAAUGGCCACUAGGUUUUGCUUUUAAUGGUUAUCUGUUUUCCUCUGUCUAUAGAGCGUGCACAACAACGAUUAGAAUAAAUAUUGUGCUGUUGUAGUCACAGCUCCUUACUGAAUUAUAUGCACAGCAUAAAAAAAACAAAAUGGUCAUAAAGUAAAAUUAUUUAUUUAUCGUAGAUGUUUUAACAAUGGUUUCGGGGACACGCUUGGCUGGAAGUGAGCCGUAAGUUCCAUUAAAAAAAAAAAAUGUAUAAAUAAUACAUUUCAAAAAGACAAAAAAAAAGGAUUCUCACCUUUAAAGAUUGUGAAGAUCCUGUAUUUUACACAGGCAUUUAGAGAGCAGUAAGGCUAUUACUCUGUAUUGUGCUGGUAGAUGCCUGUUCCAUUCGACAUCACAGAAAACAAUAAAUGAGAAAUGAAAAGUAGAAAUAGAUUAAAGCUCUGGGUUAUGCUAUACUUUGCCAAAAGAAUUACAUAGGUACAAAAAAUUACCCCUAUAUUGUCUUAUGAUAUAUUUUGAAUUUCCUUGGCAUUCCUUCCUUAUUUGAUAUUUCUAUGAAAGUUCUAUCUGCAUGAAAAACUCAAAAGUGACAGUCCGGAUUUAAUAGGUUUUCCAUUUGUCGAUUUAAUUUACGGGGCAUUGAGACUGUAAUCACAGCAUGAUUAGUAACCAUACCGCCGAACAACUAUAUACAUCACCAAACAGCGCAGGGGUAGAAUAAAUUGAUUACAUCAAUUGUUUUGGUUGAAACUGAGCCAAAAACAUAUAGGUACAAUUGUAGUGUGCAACUAAAUGGAUUUUAACAAUUAAAACAAUGUUCUAAAGUUGUAACACCACUGGAAAGAAAAAUAAAAUACUUUGCUCACUUUUUUUCCAUUGUUUUUCUAAAAACACCAACCUGUAUAAACAUGAAAUUUUAACUGGUACCCAGCACCUUUGAGUAAACUGGAAGGGAAAAGGUAAUGUCUGAAAAAUAAAUACCACUGCAACUUAUUACAAUAGAUGAUUGUGAGAGCAGAUCUUCUACAGAUGUUAAGGUUGGCGGCCUGAGUUUGUGGCGGUGAAAUAGAAAGUUAGAUCUAAGCUCUAUAUAUUUGAUUUAGCAAAAGGAAAAAUAUAUAUGUUUUUGUUGGGCGAAAUGUCCAUUUUUUUUUUUUUUUUAAGGGAAUGAAGAGUUAUUGUAGGCAUCUGUUCACCAUACCUUUAGAAAUAAAAUUCUGUUCAUAGCACAGAAUUUUAUUACCAAGACAAAAAAAAAGGUAUACACACGAGCCAAUGAGAGCCACUUGCGGCAGUUUCCCAUUCAGUGGGAGCAGCAGGGAGUAAAGAGCGUACUAUAUAAGAUGUAAAAAUAUUUCCAAACUCUUAAUCAGGCAGAGGGCAAGAAAAUAAGGGAUUCAUGAAACAUCAAUGAUGCAAACGUAGCAACUCAGUGAGGUGUUAACUACUACCGUGAAAUAUGAGCUGAACCUCAUAUGAGCCGCGUGAAUCAUACAUUGAGAAAGGACCUGUUACUCUGUGACUUUUAUAGCAGCUUUUUGAGUUCGAAGAAAUACAACAUAGGCAGAAAAGAGCAAUUAUGCAGCUUUGUGUAAAGUUGGUAUUUCUAAACGAAUAAAAUCUUUAAGCACAAUAUUUGUGGUUAGUAGGUCUUUAUAUGUUAAUAUUGAAAUCUAGUCUGGAAAGAUCAUUUAAAAGUAUUAGUUUCAAGGACAAUUAACACACAAUUUGGUGUCACAAGUAGGGGAUUAUUCACUUUAUCACUCUUUUGAACAAAUUAGACAACAAAGAAUUCUAAGCGUAUUCGGUCCAUUUUUCUGUUAUGAGUUUAUUUAUUUUUUUAACAGCUUCAACUGUGUCCUGGGACUGGACGAAUCAGGUCCUUCCUUGGUGGUUUGGUUUGAGAGCUUAUUUUUAUUAUUUUUAAAGUGGCAACAUUUUCCACAAUGCUGUUUAUAUGUGGAACUGACCACUUGAGUAAAAUUAACAUUCCAAGCACCAUAACCACUACAGCAUGCUAUAGUGCUUAUGGUGUCCCAUUGUAAGUAGUCAAACACUUCUGGAACAGCUUGCCAUCUUACCUGGGGUCCACCUCCUCAGUCAGAGAGUCAGAGGCUCCUAAAGAACUUCUGUUAGCUCUCAUGAAUUAAGCUUUGUAGUAUGCAGUAGCACAUUGGUUGAGAGAAUCAGCUGAUACCUCUUAGCCAAUGAGCUGAGACUGCACCGCUAAAAGUGAUGGGCAAAUGGAGGUGGGGAGUAGUGCCGUGCCGACCCCAGGUAAUAGGUCAAAAUGUUCCAAACCGGUUUAACUACAUAGAAUAGGGUGGUACCAGGGAACUCAUGGAACCAUAACAACUGAAAAAAGAUCUAUUUGGGAAAGGGCAACUUGAACCUCGGCUGAGUCUUUGCUUAUGGGUCAUCCAGCCAAAGUAAAGACCCAAGUAGUGUUUGGGUAUUAGGAAAUAAAAUGAUAUUUCUUGUGUGAACACUGAAUAUAAACAAUCAUACACUCCAGUAAUUUGCUGGAACAUACGUCUGUAUAGGGACCCAAAAUAGGGGAAUGACAAGGGGAUGGUGCUGCGUACAUUACCAACCUAUCUUUAAAUAUCUUUAGUGCUGUCCUAAUUUGCCUGUCUUGACUAAGGAUUACCUGAACUUGGUAAAAUUCAUAAAUACUACUGCAUUAUCAAAUAUGCAUUGUACCCUCACGUAGAAAAAUACAUUAAAUAUAGUUUUCUGUAGACAGGUAAACAGGGUGUAUAAUUUAUACGAACCCACAUUAAUAUAUAGAAGUUCAUGGAGCCCGCUUAAAAGGGUCGCAAAAUUCAGCUGGGACUCAGUUCAACUAAAACAUUACAUUUCAAAACGUCUGCAAAAAGGAAACAAAAAAUACAGGUUCUGUGUAGCUUUCAGGAAAAGGGCUAUUUUCUAUAAGGAACCCAAUCCUUUAGCUACAUGAACAUGGAAAAUUGUGAAUCUAGAGGCCUGUGAUGUGGUGAGGUUCAUCUCCCAUACUGCCUGGCUUUUUCAUCGAGUGCAGCUUUAACAAGUGGUACAGGAAAAACGCUAAGGAAACGCACACUAUGCAUUCCUGUGUUUAUGAAUAAGGCACUAUGCCGAUUUCACAUGGGAGUAUUUGCAAAGCUCUUUCUGACAAAGAAGGCUGUUCCCCAUGCCAACUUUUAUUUUCCUUGUAAAUCUGUUCAGCUGUCUUGAAACCAGCCAAGGGGGACUCUGCAGCCAAAUUUAAGAAUUUGUAUAAAUAUGUUCAUUUGUAUGUGUUUUGCUUUCUACACAUGCAAUCGUUUAUCCAUCAGCGCUCGAUAUUUGGACAGAAAGUCUAAGUCUUCUUGACAUUUGCAAACAAGAUUAAAGAAAUAAACUAGGUUGGGCAUUAGGCGUGGUGCAGGGGGAAAAAGAAGGUAUAUGAGGAAAAGAUUGAUGUGAAGGAGGGGUGCUGGUAUUGUGGGGCUCAUGAACUAAGUGGUUGCGUUCUGAUAGGAUGGUGCAUCCUAUGACACAUGAAUUUACUAUGAUCAAUUAGUAAAUGCCGACGGAGAUUUUGGUUUGAGAAAUUAAGAUGGUUUUUGCUGAUUAACCAUUUGCUGAUUUAGCAAGCAGAUGACAUUUCCAUACACAACAAGCAUUUCCCAGAAACCCAUGUUCAUUCAUUUAACCCUUCUGAUUUUUAGAAUACUACACAUAUCCUGCAUUAACCACGUGCUGAUUUAGCAAGCAAAGAACAUUUCCAUACACAAUGAGAUUUUCACAGAAACCUUUCUUUUUUUUUUUUUUUAUUAUCCCUUUUGACAGCCACAAAUCUUACUUUUAAAACUAACAUAGACUCUACUUUUGGAAAUCUGAAAAAAGAAAAAGAAAAAACUGCUACAUUCAGGAAUGCAGAUUCCCAUACUGGCCAUGCUCAUUUGCAUAUUUAAUUAUAUAUGCGUGAUAUCACAGGACACAAUGUGGUUUCAUGUAAGAGAAAAGAAAAACAUUUGGAAGGGGAAAAUUCCCUAAAUGUGUGUGUGUAAUUUGUCUGAUUGUGUGUGUGGUUUUGUAUAUGUGUAGCAAUGUGUGUGUAUUAGUGUGUGAACAGUAGUGUGUGUAUAGCAGUGUGUCAUUGUCUAAAUAUGUGUAUAACAGUGUGUGUAUACUGUGUCUGAUUGUGUGUGCCAGUAUCUUUAUACUAUGUGUGGUAGUGUGUGUGUGUGUGUAUGUGUGUAGCAAUGUAUGUUUCUUCCAUGUAUAAUAUAGAUGGUUAUCCUAGCUCUAUCUCUCUCACCAUCCUCUCAGAGUCACAUAUGAGAAAAAUACCGGCCUUUGCAUUGCCGGUAUAUUUGCAAUCCUGGCACCAGCCAGAAAGCCUCGAAAACUGUCUGUGUCGGUAAAAUACCGGCCAGGUGGCAACCUCAUAAAAUGGUUGCAUUCUACAUUUAGCACAUACAGGUGCCUUUGUGAAAUCGAGCAUUUGAAAUACUAUAUUGCAGCAGGUUGCUAACACAAAUACCGAAAUGCUGCCUAAUACAUUUAUUUAACAGUUUAUAUAUAGCGUUCCUAUCCAGAGCGCUUUACAAUUUAUAAAAAGGAAAAAAAAAUGGUAAAAUUAUAAACACGGGGAUACAUAAUUAGACAUACGUAUGAACCCCUGUGGGCUUCAACCUCCUACAAUUCUCCCCUAUUGAGGUACUACAAUGCCACUACAAAGUGGGCUUUAAGCCUUUUGUACUGUAUGCUAGGAAGAGGAAGUGAUGUCACAUAGAAUGUCUGCAUAAAACAGAAGUACUGACUAUUGAUGCAUUGGUCGACUUUAGGAUUUAAAAUAAAGAUCAGCCAAGCAGUGAUACUUGGGAAAACAAGAGAUUUUAUUAGAGUCACAUUCCCUAUGUAUGCACAAGGUUUCGGGUUCAAAAGUUUAAACGCUACCUGUGUGAACCUUUUGCUAUACAGAGGAAAAAAUGCUUAAGACAAUCCCUUAGAGCAUAUAUUUUUUUCUUCUUGGUUAAUAGCACUUUAAAGUAAGAAACCUGGAGUUUAUACAUGCUUAAAACAUCCUAUGAUGUGAUACUUCUGUGCAUUUAAAGGUACAAAAUACACAUACAAAAAAUAUUUGAUAAAUUCUCUUUACUUUUUUGUUUUAAUUAUCCUGUCAACACCAAUAGGGUCACAUGUCCCUGUAGCCAAAGUGUUAAGAUUUAUUUUGUCAGAAGUGUGCUUUCAAAAAACACGUUGCCACAGAAGGUAAGAAAUGAAAGGAUCUGAGAGUUUCUGUUAUCACUUGCAUGAUCAAAUGUCAGCGGUGAUACAGAAAAUGUCUAUUAAUAACACUGUUCUUUUUCCAUAUAAAAUGUUUGUGAGGUGCAGAGUGAAAACCAGUGGAAUUUUACAAAGCAGACCUUUUUAAAGCUCGGACAUUCCAUUUAUUGCGAUUAUUUCUAUUAAACAAUGAAAGCUUUUUUUUUUUGUUACAAUGUGAUAUGAUGGAGCAGGAGGUAAACUCAAAGUGCAUUAGCAGUGCAAAUUAUCCUUUUUAUAGCAUAACAAAUUUAACGUGGCUCUUUUUCAAAUACUUAAUACAUGAAUGGUGAGAUACACAAAGCUAACAGUGUUAGAAUGUGACAAGGUUGUGGCCUGCAGUAAACGGUUAUCAAAAACACAACAGGGAUCUACGUGUAAUGGUAUCCAUUUAUUUAUAUAAAAUGGUUUCAUGUCAAGACCUCAAUCCUCCUUCUACAAUAUGGAAUAUUUUUAAUAAAGUUCCCACGCUUUAUUUACCACAGAAAUGUCUAUUCACUAAAACAGGAACUGUUGUAAUCUGACAAGGAAAUUCCAAAUUUUAUAACUGGUACCUAAAAUGUGAAAAUCCAUUGUCUGCUCCUGAUAAUUCAUAGUUUAGUGCAGGUGUAGGCGACCUUUCACACUCCAGAUGUUGUGGACUAUAUCUCCUAUGGUACACUGCUAUCAUUAUGGCGGUAAGAGCAUUAUGGGACAUGUAGUCUACAACAUCUGAAGUGGCAAAGUGCGCCUACCUAUGGUUUAGUGAGUAUGGGGUCCGACGGGCAAAGUUAGGCUUAUAUUUUUUGCAACUUCACUUUUGUUUUAAACUGUACUUAAAUAAUUGCCAAGUGCAGCAAAAAUAACAGACAGGUAUAUUUACAGAUAACUGUGGCAAUUUACCUUUUUAAUCAUUUUAAGGAUGUAAGAAAAAAAAAGGCAGGAGGAAAAACCCUAUUGUACCUUAAAUUUUACACACUGUUAUUUAGCUCACCUUUUAGUGAAUAACGCUUCAACCCUUCCCCCCUUACACUUGGGUGUACUGGUAUUUUUAAAAUACGAUAUUAAAUGUAUUUCUUUGAAAGCUUCACUUCCUCCUACGAGUAGCUAAAUAAACAAGAAGACUUACACCAGAUACAGUUUUAGAAAAUGUGCAAAUCUAUACACACGGUUCCGCAUAACACAAACAAUGUCUUAUUUUAUGCUAAAAUGUAACUUCAUGACAAAGCCCAGACUCUGGGAGUCAACUGGGAUUUUAAACAUGUCAUAAAGCUAGUGAUAGAAAAAAACAAGUGAGUUGUACAUUUUACAGCAUAUUCUCCAAAACUUGCCUCAGUGUGAUAAUCUUAUCUAAAAAAAAAAAGGGUUUUACAAACAUAAACGUUGUGCCACUAUUUAAUUUAAAUUAUGGCAAGACUGCUACUUCAUUGUUUUAUUGACCCUUUUCCCAUUUUUGUUACCUACUGCGUGUUACAAACAUCAGGCAUGGGAUAAGUCCAAACAUCCAGACAUCAUAUUAAAUUAUCAGCCCAUUUAAAUGGGCAGAUAAUAUAUUCAAAUCCCUUACUAGAACGUGGGUGAUGUCACACCACAUAUUAUAAAGAUGUAAAGCACGGUGUGAGUGAGACUGUGCAGUGCAAGUCCUCUCAUCUUGACGCCACACAUAUCCUAGCCUGCCUCAAUGUGGUGACUAUUACACUUGCAGGCAAUAAUACAGAUUGGUUACAAUGCCUAGAGUGACCAUUUAACUAUCAUGUGUACAUGCAUAGUUGGAAGUAAAAAAAAAGGUCACACAUCUGCUAUGUCCACUUAGCUGCUUCAGUAUCCUAUCUAUUGGAAGGUAUGUUAUAAAGAUUAAUAAUUAGAUUAGAUUCAUACUACGUUCUAGAAUAUAUAAUAAUAAAGGAUGGGGACUCAACAGAGUUGAAUCUAAUAUUAAAUUCCUGUUGUAAUUAUGUAGGAAUAUUAAUAUCUGCAUUGCAAUUUUUUAUGUGUGUAAAAAACAAAAUAACUAGUAAACUUGGAGAUUCGUUUUAAACCAAAAUACAAAUUGGUGAAAUUCAGGGAGUCUCACGGUUUUCACCGUGCCAUACAGACGUCUAGACGUGGCCAUCCUACAAGUGCCAAACAGGGGAUUUGAACUUGGGCCCUUUGUUGUCCUGGGUCUGGGUCUUCUGAGCCCCAGCAGAUCCUGUUCUUUUGAGUAGUUCUAGCCCUGUUAAACCUGGCUAUGUCUGCAGCACUAGGGGGCUGGACUUCUUCUGUGGCUACUGCCUGUGCUUUACAUGAGGCAGAUCGCUCAUCAGCUGGGCAUAAAACACUGCCCCUCCCUGGGAACAUUGUCAGUUCUUUGAUUCUGGUUAACGUGUGUAGUUCUUGCAUUCUAGUCUCCUGAGCGUUUUAUCCAGAUUGACCCCGGCUUCUGACCUUGGCUCCACUCAUCGUUUAUCAUGACCUCUGGCAUCUCUGACUUUGGCUACACCUUGACUAUCCUUUUGCUUGUGACCUUGUCUGUACUGAGUAUUGGAGCACCUUUCCUGCACAGCUCCCAUGCACAGAUUCACAGUGCAGGUGGCUUCUUACCUGGUCACCUUGGACUGUAUUUAUCUGCAAGGGUGAGCGAACAUCUCUGUGCUUUAGACUCCCACAUCAGGUAAGACCCUGACAGGGAGAUUGGGUGAUCGGAAGAGGAAUUCCCAUUUUUGAACCACCAGGAUCCCGAGAAAACCUACACAUUUGAGCCUGAACAUGCUCGUUUUCAAUUUUAAUUCAGAAUGCUAUUCCUGUCACCACAAAAAAAGAGGGAUAGAAAAGAAAAGAGGACUUUUUUUUAGGGGUCGAGGGGUGAAGUCAAAUAAGCAGCUCAGUUUCCCAUGAUGGACAAGAGGCCUAAUUAAUGUGGCCUGAAACUUCUGUCUAAUCAUUAGGUAGCAAAAAAGGGACAGUUAAUAAAUACUGAUUGUAUUAACAGAUCAAGUGAAGUUGCCAAUAGACAGCAAAUAAGGAGGAGCAAUAAAGUAACUAUACUCCCAAGAAGGAUUCCAAGCAGAAAUUUUGACUUACAAAGGGUCUCAGCUCGAAUUACUGUCAGGUCAAUUUGGCGUGAAUGCCAGGCUACCUGCCAAUCAAGCAGGCCAGCCCUCUAAAGGCAGACGAUACCGGGAACACAGUUUCAGUUACCUCUAGCCCAGACUCUACUCAACUUUGCGUAUGAUUAGUUAGAGGAAUUAGAAGAAGAGAGUGUGGAGAGGACAGGCAGGUUCCCAGUAUUUUCUCCAGCAUCCAGUGUGCACUUGCCUCCUGUAUCUUGUCCACCAUCUCCAAGUCCUUCUGCAAUUGCUGCAGAAUGGCAUCAUCCAGCAGAGACAGUUUAGACAUCAGCUACACCUGGUACCAAUGGCAGAAGCAGCUCACCCACUAUCAUUGACAGCUGCACCACCGCUACCAUCACCAUCAAUACCAGCGUAAUAAACAUCAACAGUGUAACGGACCGUUUUGCCCAAAAGAGGUUAAAAACCGUUUAGGCGAUAUUCCCCUUUUUCAGCUGCACUGACAGCUACUGCAAGCACCAAUCUCCUGAACUGCAAACCCACGAAUUCACCAACUCCCGAACUGGAGACACACGAAUAGCUGCUAGCAGACGAACAGGAAAAGCUCCCAAGCGGCUUACACUCCUGGCAAUCAGUCUCUAACAGCAUACAGUAAAUCCUCCCCCAAUAAUGAGACGACACUUCACUUUGAGGGUUAAGCAGGAACUGAUUUACUGGGGCUAACUGCCCGGCUUUUAUGCAGGUCUCCCACCUGGUGGACACUCCCCUAGGGGACCAAACGGGAGACUGGGACACAAAGGGAAAAAGGACCAAUCACAGACUUACAUAUUUCAACCAUCCCACAAUGCAUCACAAUUCCUCCUCUCUGCUCUGGAGAUAAUUGAGAAGUAAUUCAAUUAUCUCCAAAGACAGAGGCAAAACUCCAUUAACCACAUGGCAGAAAACAAACAGUAAAAGACAUAAAAUUACCUACAGUUACAUUCAGUACAUAAAACAUAUCCGUUCUACAUAUCCCCAUUAUUAAGCAAAUGGCGCUCAGACCACACGAAUACAGUUUAAUCGCCAUGGAGCCAAAGUCUUUACACAGUCAGUUUCAUGCGAAUGGGCUCCAUGGGAUUCCUAUCUGGGGUACAACACACUCAAACAAAACUACCGAACACCGGGCCAUUCGUGCACUUUCACCGAACAAGAAGGGAGGUCGGCGGCUUCAGCGGUGUUCACGCAAAACUGUGUCCGAUUUCAGUUCCAUGAAUUAAGCGUCGAACACCACUGGGCAUUCGCAUGUUUAAAAUGGCCGCGACCUCGUGUUCGUGAUACGAAUGGCGGCCACCCGGCAUUCGUCAAUUAAGCUGCGGUUAACCGCAGCUUCAGGGAGGUUAAUUGCCGGCACACUCCAACUCCCAGGUGGUCUAUACAUUCGUGCGGUUGUUCGGUAGAUUGAAUCUACCGAACACCCGGCAGAAAAGCACGAAUAAGUCUUUUCUGCAGGGAAAAAGAUGUCUUUUAACAUAGGGCCAUAGUCCAAAGGCAACAGGCGAGCAACCAGGCUUCUCCAAUGCAAUGUGGCGAGAUUGCUCUCGUCACAAACAGUACCGGCAAAACCAACAUUUCCAUUUUCAUUAAUCUAUUGUACAUCAACCAAGUGCUAAUGUACAGGCUAGUGUUACGACAGCUUCCACCAAUGUAAAUCCACCUGCAUCUUUAGCAGACGCAAGCCAAAGGGUUGAAGGUAGCAAAAUUUGGUAAUCACUUUGAGCGUCACCAAGAAGGAGACAUGCAAAGUGUAAAUUGUGUGGCAAGGAAGGGAAUAGGGAGAGCAUGAAGGAUCAUCUCACAAGCGUCAGUAUAAAAAAACAUAUGCAAAGAGUGGAUCAUCAGUUGUCCUUUUGCUUUUCUCUGUUUCAUUUUUCAAAGCAUAAAGUAGCAUUAUUAGCAUUUAUUUUUAUUUUUUUACGGAACAAACAAAACAAAAAUAACAAAUAACAAAAAUAGGGAAGAGAAAAAGAACAAGAAAAAAAUAAAACAAUUAAUGAAUAAUGAAUGAGGAAAUAUAGGAGUGUGAUAUUGUAAAAGCUAGAGGGAGGAAAAGUAUAAGGGAAGGUUCCGUUUUUUUGAACGUGCAGGGGGGUCUCCACUUCUGAAUCAAGUUUGAUUAAAGAAAUUCCAAUUUUUUUAAAUAAGUGUUCCCAUAAACCAUUUAAAUUAGCGUUUACAUUCGUUGAAGUUUUAAUACCUUUUUCCAUUUUCAAUUGGUAUCUAAGUUGGGCUUUAAUUGUGGGUCAGUCUGGUUUAUUUUGGCUUUUCCAAUUCCUUGCUAUUAUUAUUUUCACUGCUGUGAAAACAUGAAGCAAUAAUUUUAAGGGCUUUUUGGUGUUUUUAGGAAGAUUUAAAUGUAAAAUCGCCAUUUCUGGAAUAAAAGUUAUGUUACAAUCCAAGAUUUUAUCCAACUUAAUUUGGACCUCUCCCUAGAGUUCCCUGAUAACAGGGCAUUUCCACCAUAUGUGCAUAAAGUCUGCUUCCUGUUUUCCACAUUCCCAGCAAGCAGAUGUAGAGUUUGGAUAUAUAUAUAUAUAUAGAUUUUUUUUUUGAGGAGUUAGUUACCAUCUAUUAAGUAACUUAAAUUGGAGUUCAAUUAGAUUUAAACAAUGAAUAUUCUUCUUUGUAAUCAUUGAAUCAUACCAAUCUUUUAUAGGAAUGGAAAUUCCGAUAUUUUGGGCCCAUUUUUGUAAAGCUAUUGUUAUUGCAGUUUUCUCUUGUUUUAGUAAUAAGGUAUUACAGGUGGUGAUUAUUUUUUUUGUAUCUUUUUUGUUUAUAGCGUUGUCAAAUGAUUGAAGAUUCUUUGUUUCAGUUUCAAAUUUUAAGUUUUUUAAGAGAUAUGCUUACAUUUUUAAGUAAUUAAAAUAUUCCUUAUUUGGAAUCUCAUUAAUAUCGAUCAGAUCACUAAAAGGUUUCACUUUGUUUUUAUUUAUGAGGUCUGCAACUAAUGUGAUGCCGUUUGGUUCUCCAUUGAGUUAGAUCAACAUCUUUCAAUAAAGUGGCAAGAUUAUCAAUUUUUAAAGAUGGUAAAAUAUUCCCUUUGAGACCAAAAUUGUAUUUAGCUUCAUACCAAUUUCUCAAAACAGAAUACAAAGACAAAAUAUUUCUAAAAAAAAUUUAAUUUUUUAAUUGUCUCAGAGGGAAGCCAGAAAAUUGCAGCAUGAUUUUUGUAUGGGGCUAUUCUUUUCAGUUCGAGAUUAUACCAGCUUUCCUUAAUUGAGGAUUGGUGUAAAGUACGAAUGGCAUGAGCCAUCAAUGAAGCUCGAUUUAGUCUAUCUAGGCAGGGGAAACCUAGACCUCCCAUCUUCAAUAUUUUUGUUAAUAAUUUUUUAUUUAUCCUUGGUCUUUUAUUUUGAUUAAAUGAAUUUCAUUUGAUUAUAUGAAUUCAGAUGAAUUUGGGAAAUAAGGUUUGAAUUAACUUAAUCCAAUUUAGAGGGAUAUUUAUGGGAUAUAUACUCAUCUUGUAAGUUAUUUUUGGUAGGACAGCAUUAAUCCUGCCCCACCAGGAUAUCUCCUUAUUUUUCCAUAAUUAAAAUUGUAUAUUGCUCUCUUUAAUUAAGGGUAGUAGGUUAAUCUCAAUCCAAUUCUUGGGAUUUGUUGAGAUAUUUAUGCCCAAAUAGGUGACAUUCUUUUGACCAAAUGAAAUCAUAUCUUGCUGCGAUUUCCGUUAUCCUGCUAGGAUCCAUAUGAAAAGGGAGGGCAAUUGAUUUGGAUGUAUUGAGUUUAUAAUUCGAGAGAUAACUGUAUCUCCCUAUGACUUCUAUUAAUUGUUUUGAGGAAUUAACGGGAUCCGCCAUAAUUAUCAGAAUGUCGUCAGCAUAUAAUUUAAUUUUGAUCUCUAGUUUGUCUGUAAAUCCUUUUAUUUUAGGAUUGUUUCUAAUUUUGAUAGCCAACAGUUUAAUGGUGGUGAUAGCGGGAAGCCUUGUCUAGUCCCAUUUGAUUGGUCGAACCUAUUGGAAGUAAAUCCAUGACUUGAUAUUCUCCCCGUAGGGUUAUAGUAUAAAGCCAUUCUAGCUCUAAAGAUUCUGCCUGUGAACCCCAAAAAUGUUAAGGUGUUAGCUAAAAAAUCCCAGCUGACCCUGUCAAAGGCCUUCUCUGCAUCCAAUGACAGGGUCAUUAGGGGGGGUCUCUUGUUCCCUGGCCAGUUCGAACAAAUUUAACAGUGUUCGUGUAUGGCUUGACGAAGAUCUUCCUGGUAUGAAACCAACUUGAUGUAUAUGUAUCAAGUCCGUUAUAAUGGUUUUCAUCCUUUGUGCUAUCACCGCUGCGGACAUCUUAAUGUCUUCAUUAAGAAGAGAAAUUGGCCUAUAACUCUUGACAUUUUCAGGAUUCUUAUUUGAUUUUAAAAUAGUAAUAAUAUUUCCUCAGGUAAGAUCUUUUGGUAAUUUGACCUUAUGAGCAAAUUCAUUAAAGGCAGCCAAUAAGUGUGGGGCUAGUUGUUCUUUAAAAGUUUUGUAAAAAAGACCUACAAGCCCAUCUGGUCCUGGAGCCUUUUUUUGUGGUCAUCUCAUUUAUCACUUUAUAAAUUUAGUGAGUAGAGAAUGGCCUAUUAAGUAAUUCAAUCUGAACUUCAGAUAAUUUUUAAAAAAGAUUUAUUUUGAAAAUAGGCUUCAAUUUCAGACUUCCUUGUAAGACUGUUUAUAUUAUAGAGUUUUUCAUCAUAUUUCUUGAAUGCCUUAGAGAUUUUCUCUGGGGAUAGGCAAGUCUAUCCUUCAUAUACAAUUUUAGAUAUUAUUUUCGAUCUAUGAAUUUUUUUUUGUUUAUGAGUUAGAAGCUUGCUGGCCCUGUUACCUUUGUAGUACCAAAAGGUUUUUCAUUUUUCUAGCGUUGUUAGUUCUACUUAAUAGAAGGUUCUUAAUUCUGUUUUCUAUUUCUUCAAUCUGUUUUUAUAUAUUUAAUAAAGGCUUCAAUUUAUUACUUCUAGAAAGCCUUUCUAAUUCAAUAUAUGUCUGAUAAAGUUUGUUCAGUAUAUAGUUUAUUUUGAGAUGACAAUUUAAUAUAGUAGCCUCUUAUAACACACUUGAAGGCUGGCCAUGUAUUUGCUGUGGAAGAGUCAAGAGUUAUUUUUUCCUCACGGUAGAGCAGCAUUAAUUUCUAAAUAUAUUCUCUAUUAUAGGGGGACUCUAAUAGGAAUUCCCUUCAAAUUCCAUUCAGGUCUUUUUCUAUCAAACCUUUCUUUGAGGUCCAGAAAAAAAAAAUUCUGUUCCGACCAGGGGAUCUCUAUUAUUUAAAUCUUUUUAGCUCUUUGAGCAAUUUCAAAGUCGGUUAAAAUAUAGUCUAUUCUCGAAUAAGAUAAGCAUGAUUUUGAAAAACAAGUAUAAUCCCUUUCUAUAGGAUGGAGAGUGCGCCAUAAAUCUAAAAGAGCAUUACUUUGAAUCAGAGUUCGAAAUCAAUUUGAUUGAUAAGAAGAGUUUCUAGUCUGUAUCCUCUCCCUGCUGGUCUAUCCAUUUUUAUGUUCAUUAAAGUCCCCCAGCCAUAUAAUUGAGCCUUGUUUUAUGUUGUCUAAAUUUUCCCAAAAACUAGAUUAAAAAUGCAUAGGUAGAUAAUUUAGUGUAUAUACAUUGUCCAGAGUAUACGAAAUUUGAUUAAUAUUGCAUAUUAUUAUUAAAUAUCUAUCUUCAUCAUCUUGUACGACAUAUUUAAUUUUUAGAUCUAGAAACUUGGAGGAAAAAAUAGCGACCCGUCUCUUUUUUCUAUCAAGCAUCUUCUUUCAAGUGGGAAAGCUUAGUAAAAUAUAUAUAUAUAUAUUUUUUUUAGACAUUUCCCCGAAAUGUUAAUCAGCAAUUUAAAUAACAUAAACCGGAGAGGAAAAAUAAAUAAUAAUAAUAAUAAUAAAAUAAAUAAAUAGAUAUAUUACAAUUAGGUCAAGACAAUAAUUUUCACUUCCUGUUCUGUGCCAAGUGUGGUAUAUCAGUGAAGCUAGAAAUGUAAGCUAUUAAGUAUUUUCCCUUUUUCUUUUUCCCUUCCCUCCCCUGCCUUCCCUCUUUCUGCUUUCAGCUCUGUGCAGAGUGUAGUGUAUGAGUGUAGUCAAAGUGUUAACUAUAAAAUAUUUUCCUAUUUUUCUUUUUGCCUUUCCCAUUCCUGUGCUUACUAGUGAGGGCAUUUAGUAAAUUUAUGUUAAGACCUUCUUCCUAAAUUAACUGCAAAAACAAAAAAAUAUAUAAAUAUAUGAAUAAUUAUCUAAAAUACAAAAUACAUUUCAGAGUAAAUAUAGAAACCUUCACACUAUCAUCUCUGUGCAAAGUGCAGUAUAUCAGUGUAGUUAAAGUAAUAGCCUUAAAACAUAUUUUUUAGGGCCACUUUGCACAUUGAAUAAGGGAGAGGCUUAAUAAGAUUAUUCAUCAGCUUUGGGAGUUUUUGUUUAUGCAGCCUCCCCUGAAUAUUUAUCAUCAGAAUAUAGAAAAAGAAAAAAAAGCUAGAUUUCCCUUCUUCUUGGAACUUUCCUUAUAUUCAUUAUUAGCAUUUUAAGCCAUUGGUAUUUGUCAGGGAGAGUGUGACAAGCAGUAUCUAUCAUGAUUGAGGCGUUUGUAAUAAAUGACCUUUUGGGGAAGAAACAGAGUAAAGAACAACUUUAUUUACAUUUUUACUCAAGUAAUGUUCAAAUUCAAAAUCUGAAGAAGCUUAUUGCAGCUCAAACAACAUUACAUUUCAGAAAUGGUACACUUUCUGCAAAGACUACGUGACAUCAAGUUACUAUGAAAGUCAUGAUGGGAUGAACCUGGAGUUGUAUUACCAUGAGUUUCUCCUCUUCUGUAAGAACCCAUACUGUAAGAAACCAUACUGUGAGAACCCAUACUGUAAGAAGCAAAUCAACAAAUUGGCUCUCCUGGGCCCCAUCAUGCCCAUUUGUGGUCAAUAAAUUCUCAAGUUUGUUAUUAAGAUGUUUUGAUUUUAUCAUUUAACAAUUAAAUAUGUUUUUUACUGCAUGGGGUUUUGUCCUGCCUGGUUAAGUCUCGUGGUGCCUGCUACCAUUGCAGACACAGUUGUAAUGAGCUAAUAGGGCAUUGUUUUACCCCACACUGACGUACGGUCACUGAAGAUACAGACUGGAUAUGUGGGGCAUGGUGGAAGGAGUGAGUGGGUGGUCAAUUGCCCACUAAUAUUUUCCUUUCAUUUCUGAAUAAAUCCCCUAUUUUGAACUUGUAAUGACACAUGCUCCCCAAUUUUCAUUAAUAUAAGACAACAAAAGGAAAAAUAUUACAAGCCAUCACUAUAAAUUUCAAUUAUUAACCAAUGGCUAAAACAGUGGGCCCAGGUAUUUCAGUUCCAAAUUGUACCAGACUGGGCUGCCCACUGGCCCCUUUGCUGUACAUCUUGACCCUGGAACCAUAGGCAAUUUAUAGGUGAAUACAUUCUGUCCAAGUGCAUCAGUAGGCAAUGGGCACCUCUCAUGUCAGUAGUACGUAAUAUUUUCAGUUUUGUCUUUUUCUACUAUGAGCAUUGCUUUGCCUAAUAAUACAGUUUAUCCUUCUUAAUUAUAAAAUAAAACUCUUAUCGCAUCUUAAAUUCUUUAAUAAUGUUUGUCUUUUCUUUUAAGGGAAAAAAGAGGAAUAGAACAAAAUAACCAAAUAUUAAAAAUAGAGAUAAGAAUUAUACCUUUCCCAUCCUCCCCUUUCUCCUCCCUCACACCCCUAAAUACAUUUCAGUGUAAUUGUGAAAGCUUUAUCACUUUCAGCUUGUGUGUAGCGUAACUAAAAUAUUGGUCUUAAGGUAUUUAUUUUUUGACCCCUGUGUAGAGGCUUAAUAAAUUUUUUGUUUAGGAAACCUUGCCUGAAUAUUCCUCCUCCAUUUAUGUAGAGAGAGAGAAGGAAACAAAAAUCACAAUAUUAUUAACCAAUGGCUAAAACAGUGGGCCCAGGUAUUUCAGUUCCAAAUUGUACCAGACUGGGCUGCCCACUGGCCCCUUUGCUGUACAUCUUGACCCUGGAACCAUAGGCAAUUAAUAUUAGAACUAAUUCUCAAAUUAAGCAUUAUAUUGGAUGACACCAACUAUAAGUUGUGUCUAUAUGCAGACAAUAUUAUUAUCAAACAAGAUAUGUGAACACAACCCCAGUGAGAAAGGUGUAUAAUUUUAAGCAGACCGGAACUUUCCUGUGUCAGGUGAAGUAUCCAGACAGGUCCCCAAAGACUUUCUCUUGUCUUCAACAGAAUACAUACAAAUAGAAUAGGGGAUAAUCUGCUAAAUACAGAAUAAAUAAAAUAACAUGGCGUUUAACUGUGUGAGAGUAAGUAACAAUAUGUUAGUUACAAUUGGCCACUCAUAAAUUCCCAGAUGUAAAACAGCCUUAAGUAAAAUCUCUCCUCCAAUAUCCACUGUAUUUUGUCAUCUUCACACUCCCAUCAGUAGGUUGGAAUAUGUAACUCAAGAGAAAAAUAUACAGAAAAAAAUGUAGUGCGCUUCCAGAGUAUAAUAAAAAGGAAUUUAAUAACUUACAUAUAAGCAUAAAACAAUUUGUUUGUCACCACUAGGCGUCAUACGCGUUUCGUCCCGAAAUCGGACUUCCUCAGGGACUUGGUGAACAAGUAGCAGCAAAGAUUCCAGUACAAUAUAAAAUACAUUUACCUCCCACAGUUCUUUUAUAUGCCCCCUCAAGUUCAUCAUUGAAUAAUUCCCAGCCGGUGCUCCGUUCCUGCUUUCUUCCUGUUUCCUGUUUCGGUCAUUACGCACGCCGCAUGCCUUUCAUCUUGCGUUCCAGGAACCCAAAAGUAGAUGGUGAUUGUCCGUUUUCGUGAAUUUUCAAUUGCUCCAAAGAUGCCAUGAAUAUAUACAGUUGCAAGAAAAAGUAUGUGAACCCUUUGGAAUGAUAUGGAUUUCUGCGCAAAUUGGUCAUAAAAUGUGAUCUGAUCAUAAUCUAAGUCAUAACAAUAGACAAUCACAAUCUGCUUAAACUAAUAACACACAAAGAAUGAAAUGUUGCCAUGUUUUUAUUGAACACACCAUGUAAACAUUCACAGUGCAGGUGGAAAAGUAUGUGAACCCUUGGAUUUAAUAACUGGUUGAACCUCCUUUGACAGCAAUAACUUCAACCAAACGUUUCCUGUAGUUGCAGAUCAGACGUGCACAACGGUCAGGAGUAAUUCUUGACCAUUCCUCUUUACAGAACUGUUUCAGUUCAGCAAUAUUCUUGGGAUGUCUGGUGAAUCGCUUUCUUGAGGUCAUGCCACAGCAUCUCAAUCGGGUUGAGGUCAGGACUCUGACUGGGCCACUUCAGAAGGCAUAUUUUCUUCUGUUUAAGCUAUUCUGUUGUUGAUUUACUUCUAUGCUUUGGGUCAUUGUCCUGUUGCAACACCCAUUUUCUGUUGAGCCUCAGCUGGUAGACAGAUGGCCUGAAGUUCUCCUGCAAAAUGUCUUGAUAAACUUGGGAAUUCAUUUUUCCUUCGAUGAUAGCAAUCCGUCCAGGCCCUGACGCAGCAAAGCAGCCCCAAACCAUGAUGCCCCCACCACCAUACUUCACAGUUGGGAUGAGGUUUUGAUGUUGGUGUGUUGUGCCUUUUUUUCGCCACACAUAGUGUUGUGUGUUUCUUCCAAACAACUCAACUUUGGUUUCAUCUGUCCACAGAAUAUUUUGCCAGUACUGCUGUGGAACAUCCAGGUACUCUUGUGCAAAUGGUAAACGUGCAGCAAUGUUUUAUUUGGACAGCAGUGGCUUCCUCUGUGGUAUCCUCCCAUGAAAUCCAUUCUUGUUUAGUGUUUUACGUAUUGUAGAUUCGCUAACAGGGAUGUUAGCAUUUGCCAGUGACUUUGUAAGUCUUUAGCUGACACUCUAGGAUUCUUCUUCACCUCACUGAGCAGUCUGCGCUGUGCUCUUGCAGUCAUCUUUACAGGACGGCCACUCCUAGGGAGAGUAGCAGCAGUGCUGAACUUUCUCCAUUUAUAGACAAUUUGUCUUACCGUGGACUGAUGAACAGCAAGGCUUUUGGAGAUACUUUCAUAACCCUUUCCAGCUUUAUGCAAGUCAACAAUUCUUAAUCGUAGGUCUUCUGAGAGCUCUUUUGUGCGAGGCAUCAUUCACAUCAGGCAAUGCUUCUUGUGAAAAGCAAACCCAGAACUGGUGUGUGUUUUUAUAGGGCAGGGCAGCUGUAACCAACACCUCCAAUCUCAUCUCAUUGAUUGGACUCCAGUUGGCUGACAUCUCACUCCAAUUAGCUCUUGGAGAUGUCAUUAGUCUAGGGGUUCACAUACUUUUUCCACCUGCACUGUGAAUGUUUACAUGGUGUGUUCAAUAAAAACAUGGCAACACUUUAUUCUUUGUGUGUUAUUAGUUUAAGCAGACUAUGAUUGUCUAUUGUUGUGACUUAGAUGAUGAUCAGAUCACAUUCUAUGACCAAUUUGUGCAGAAAUCCAUAUCAUUCCAAAGGGUUCACAUACUUUUUCUUGCAACUGUAUAUAUGUGGAUAAAUGGGCACUCUGACAAAUCCAGAAGUCUCCUUGGCUGCUCUGGUUCCAGAAGUUGAGAGGUACAAGGAAGUAUCUAAUUAUAAAGUUAAUAUGACAGAAUCUCAAAUAAUGCCCAUAAACCUUAGUUCUACGGUAAGUGAGAGUUUAAGAUUGGAAUAUCCUUUUGAAUGGACCACAGAUGGCUUUAUGUAUUUAGGGAUUUACUUCUCUCAGAAUAUAAUUGAAAUGUGCCUAAAAAUAUUGAAACCCUUUUUAAAGACACACGUGAAAUAUUGCUGAGGGAAUGGAAAAGCAUUGGUAUUUCAUGGUUGGGAAGAGUGAAUAUUAUUAAGUCAUAUAUUCUCCCCAAAUGGUCUUUUUAGGAUGCUACCUCUAUCUAUGUCUAUAACUGAACUGAAACAAGUCCAUAACCUUUUUAUGAAUUAUAUAUAGGUCUCAAAAAAACUUGCCUUUGUAUAAAUGAAAAAUGCAAUAAUUAAUAAAUAAAUAAAUAAAAAUUAAAUCAUUAAAAGUUCUCUCACUUCCUAUUUUUUUUUUUUAAAUCCAGAUAUCUAAUAUUAAAUAUUAAUUUAAAAUUCAAAAUGUCUAAUUUUGUCAACUCAGAGCUGGCAUUCCAAAAAUAAUUCAUAGUAAGCAAGGCAACAUUGUAGCCAUUUUUACAUAUCGACACAAUCAUAGGCAGAAUUCUUCCUGCAUUUCUGGCUGUCCGAUUGACCUUGCCGAAUAUUUUUCCGUACUGAAAAUUGGCCGAACUGAACACCAGCAUUACCUUCUGUUGACCCGGAAAAAAAGAAAAUGUUCUGCUUAAAGCGGCACUGUAAUGGCCGCACUCAUUUUUUAUUUAAUCCCCCACCCAACUACACUACAUCUAACUCCCAUCCUAGUAACCCCCAAAUGCCCCUAGGUCCCCCAAAUUACCUUUUUUUUAAACUUUAUUUUGUGUCCAGACCUAGGUCCUGGGCGCCGCCAUCUUAGCGUCGGCAGAUGAAGGCCCUGUGCGAAAAGUCAUCUGCCCACACUAGACAGCGCUGUGAAAUUCCCACACAUGCCCAGUUAAACACUUGGGCAUUCGGACAUGAAUUUUGUCUAUUCCCUCAUUCGUCAAAAGACAAAUUAAUGAAAAUAAAUUUGAAACGGAUGAACGAAGACCUCUUCGUUUGUUCAUUUAGUUUAUUACAAGGAGGGAGUUACCGGUUCGCGGCUCCCUCCUUGUAAUACUGUAUGUGAAAAUACAGCCACUUUCUAACUCUCCCCAUGCCCCCCGUCAUUCUAUGAGGGGCAAUAUGACCCUCAUAUUAGCAUAAGAUGGAUUAAAUCUCCCGAAUGCCCCAAUUCGCUAUGCCGCGAGUAGGGGCAUGUCUACUAAACAGUGAGAAGCCAACUGCUCACUGUUAAUAAAAAAAAAAAAAAAAAGGCCCACUCCCCGAAUCAAAUAAAGUGGACCUAGCACAGGUCCCCAUGGUGGGGUAUUUUCUAAAAUAAUUAAUAGGGGAGAACAGUGUCCUUCCCCAGCCCCCACCCGAAUGGAACGUGGACCCCCCCCCCGGCCCUCACCCAUGAUGGGCGGAUGGGGGCCAAAAGUAACAAAGGGGGGACUAUUGUCUCCCUUCCCCCGGCCCCCACCCAUGAGCAGGUGGAGGCCCUAAGUAACAAAAGCGGGGGGAACUAUUGUCUCCCCUCCGGCCAACACCCAUGAGCGGCGGGUGGGGGCCCUAAGUAACAAAGGGGGGUAUCUAUUGUCUUCCUCCCCAUGCUCCUCCCAUGAGCGGUGGGUGGGGCCCCUAAGUAACAAAAAGGAGGGGGACCUAUUGUCUCUGCCCCACCCAUGAGCGGCAGGUGGGGGCCCUAAGCCACUGGCUGCUCACUGUUUAGUAGACAUGCCUCUACUCGCGGUAUAAAGAGUAGGGGCAGAAGGGAGAUUUUAAUCUCCCUUAAUUACUAAUACUAAGUAAUCUUUACUUAGUAUUAGUAAAUUUAGCUGAAAGACCAAUCUUGGUCUUUCAGCCUUUUAGUAGAUAGCUCUCUGAUACCAUAGGAAUUAGGGAGUUAUCUACUCACGGCACGAAUAGAUCGGCAUUUCAUUCAUUCGAAUGAAAUUCUGAUCCGAACAAAAAGUCCCGAAUUGCGUCCUAACACGAAUGGACAAACUGUUCUUAUUCUGUUAGGACGAAAUUCGGUAGUCUAUAUGACAGGAUGAUGGGGAAUAGUGAAAGGAAGCAUGGAGGAAAGGGUGAGUAUUAUGGGAAAUUUUUUCUGACCCACUUGAGCUGGUCAGGCGUAGGAAAAUACAAAAGACAAAGUACCUACUUUGUCUAAUGUUUUAAAGAAAACUAGAUCAGAUAGGAAAAAAAGAACAGAUCCUGAGAGGAGAGGAAGCGAUUGGUGAAAGGUAAGUUCGACAUGACAGCGCCGCUUUAAGUGUUUUUGAAGAACCAAAAUGUUUCACUCUAAACAAAUCUAAUACUUGGUGAUAAUUAUUAGCAUUCUGAGAGAAGUCAGUUCACAUAUUUCACAAUGAAAUUUGCAAGAAAAACCCGAUAAGAACAACAAAAUUACAUCGUGAUGUUUCGGUGCGAAAGGAUGAAAAAAUGUGACAAGUGUGUUUCUCAUUUCACCAUUCCCUGGUUUAAAUCAGUAAAUAUACUAUGCAGAAUUUUACCAUUUAAUUUCUAUUUCUUAACAUUCCUAGAUCUUACAGGACAGUGAUGGCUAAAUUUGGCAGCCCAAAUAUUUGUGAACUAUAUUUCCCAUGAUGCUCAUCCAACAGCUGCCUGAGCAUCAUGGGAAAUGGAGCUCAAGCAUCUAAGAUUAGCCAUCACUAUUAAAGAGAAUCUGACACAGCAUGUGGUAAACCUCAAACGAACAAAUAGAGCUGGCAAUAAAUGUUUCAUCUCCAGUGCGAACCAGCCCUCACAAGAUCCCCUCCAAAAAAAGCUUCUUUAUUUUUUUAUACAUUUUAUUUCUGCAUUCCAUUGUUCUUGAAUAUUUAUGAUUUCAUUUUUUAUCUACAUGCCAAACAAGUACUAAAUAUUUUUGCUUCCUUUUUCUUAGUGUAACCCUUUUGUGAUGCUAAAUCAUUGACGAGUGAGACGGCUCCAUGCUGUUUAUAUGAUCAAGGCACGUCAAACAAUGUUUGCAUUUCAAACAUUACACUUUGUACAUAAUUCAUAUAAUUCACAUUUUUAUGUUGUGAAGAAUACGUUGGGAAAAGGGGUUUGUAGGAUCUCUAUAACCCAUUAUGGCAGUGGGUGCACUUAAGAACAGUAAAGAGAGGAAAAAACAGAGGGUUUUGUUCAUGUCAAGCUGUUCACAUAUACAUUUUUUUAAUUCACACAAUACAGAAAAAUGAAAAUGUUAAUGAAUUAAGCAGUCUGUCCAAAAAAUGGUCAAGUUUCACCGACCUUUCCAAUCAACAACAUCAGAGUAGUCACUGGGUGGGGAAAUCACCUACUUUAACCAACUUCUUCUGCUUGAUUUAGUUAAAAUGGGAUACAAGUAGACUUGUUAUUACAGCACAAAGUAUAGUAAGCAGGAUACUUUCCAAAAACGUAAAAAGUGCUCUAGAGGGAGGACAAAUAAUAAUACUAAUGGAAAAGGACACAAGAGAUUUCUAAACUUCUUUUCCAUUCCACCAGUUUAAGAGCUAAAUAUCUGUUACCCAUACUGUUGCUAACGGACUCGUCUCUGCUGCAGGGAUCUAUAGGACGUGCUAUAAGCAUCAUCCAAAAAAAUGCUAUUACACCCAUUAUUAUUUAAUCAUUUUACAGUUCUUAUAUAAUGCUGUGUUAUGCGGUGCUUUUACAAUUUAUACAAACAGGGGAUAUUAGAAAAUGUGUCCUUUAAGGAGGCCUGUGAGCUGAUUGAUGUUCAGGGGACCGCCAGUAAAUGUUCAUAUUACUCACAGAUCAAGUGGUAACUGACCAAUAAAGGGAAAAAGUAGGAGCAGUAAAACAAUUUAAACUUAAAAGGAGGAUUCUUUCAGAGACUGUAGCUAUAUAGUGAGACAGACGAGCAGUGAUAUUAUGUGUUUCACCCUCGCUUUGCCAUGUGUGGGAGUGGGAUAUAGCCCGUGCCAUUGAACCUAGUGGCAAGAGGGUUAAUAAUGGGAUGUCUGGAUAACACUUGCUAGACAGCGGACACAUUAUAAAAUAAAAUAAAAAAUUAUAAGCUUAUGGGGGUCAAUAUGAGGGAGGUACUGUAAGGGAGGUUUAGUAUAUCUAACAGUGAGCAGCCAAUGGCAGAUUCACAAUGUGUUUGCUACUCCCCCUGGUCUGACACUACAUAAAUUAUCAAAGCAUUGCCAUUUUGACCUACAGCAACGUUAUGAGACAUUUGCAGAAGACCCUAUGUCUGGCCUGGAUGGUGAGGUAGAUCUUUGUCACAGGUUUCUCUUUGGACCCACAGUCUAUUAGUAUCUGCCCUGCAUGGAUGACCUUUUAAUCUUCCUGUCGGCCUCUGCUUGUGGCCAUCAUGGUGGGCCUAUUUUUGAGCAUGGACCUGAAGAAGGAGCUCCAUCAAUUCAUGUUAAUCUAUCCCUGCAUCUACCGAUGGACUAAUAUACCAACUUGAAUAUCAUGACUGCAGGUAAUUUUUUCAAAAUCUUUGCAUUAAAAAAAUAUUGGUUGUCGUGGCUAUAAUGUUCAAAUGCCUUUCCUUAGUGGUUUUGCCCUGCCUGGCUGCAGGUUAUUUGACUUGCACUGUGUUUCACUGUCACUGCCUGUGUUUUGCAAUUUGCAACACGGAGGGUGAUUGCAGUUUACUGCACAAGUGAACCCUGCCUGCACUGAAUGUGGCUGUAGUAGUGUUGCAAGCAGAGCAUCAGUGAAGAAGAAGAAUCAGUCUGCAAAGGCUUUUUUCUUUAGCUGUAUCAUAUGCAAGUAUGCACUGUAAUGCACUGUGUGCGGAGUAGUCAAAAACAAUAACGUCAUUGUAGUAGUAAACCCACGAAGCAGCAAUCCAUUUUUUAACUCAUACAUAAGGCAGGUUGAAGACACUACAAGGUCAGGCAUUUAAAAAAAAAAAAGAGGGAGCAGCAGCAGCAGCAGCAGAUACACCAAGAUAGCUCUGCAGUUAAAAAGGUUUGUUUAACCCUCCUGGUGCCGCUCACUACCAUUGGGGGGAUAUAGGGCCUAGGCAUUCAGUGGAACCAGAUAAAAGCUUGGGGGGAGGGAAACUGACAUUUUAAACUGACUGCAUUGCAUCCAGAACUCUAAUUAUUCCAAAGAAUUUCAAAUUAGGGCACUGGUUAGCAGCUAAUUUGGCAUCCUUAAAUAUGACAAUCCCACAUAAGGGUACCAAAUUAGAGAGUUAUCUGCUAAACACAUGUUAAAGGUCAAAAUUAAUAAAAGGGAAGGGUGUGUGGCUACCAAGGCAACAAGAAAGACGUUCUAGAGAGGAGCUCCGUAAAAGAAACUGGAAAACAGCAGACAACUGAAAAUAAAAAGCCUCACAAGCCUCAUACCUCAACACCCCCACACAGCCGACAUUAUGGGGCAAGAAAAUAGAAAAUUCCACAUCUCAGAAGUACCAAAACUGCCUGAUAUCAGGCUAUCAUUUGACAGGCCCACUCCGCGAGUUUUACCUAAGAUGACGCUGGCGGAGCUGAGUGAGGAGGAGGCCUCCGAGGCGUCCCGAGAUGAGGAGGAGGCUCCCGCCUCUCCUCUGACACCUGGUCCCUACAAUGAGUCUGAAUCAGAUAAAGACUUGUCACCAGCAACAAGAUAGGAUAUUAAGGACCUCUUGCUGGAAAUGAGACAGGUGUGGAAAGCAGACCUGUGUGCAACUCAAGCAGAGAUGGGGUCCCUGUGUCAAAGGCUUACCGAGGUGGAGUCCAGGGAAGAAGCAAGAGAAUAACAGCUGCAGACUACACAAGAUGAGACCCAGGACCUUGCUCAACAAGUCCAGAAACUAACCAGGACUGUGACAGUGCUGGAAUCCCGGCACAGGAGGAAGAAUAUCCGCCUUAGAGGGGUGCCAGAGCGAAUUGCGGGAGAUGCCCUAUUACCCUUUCUCCAGAGACCGCUGACCUCCAUGGGCACUAAGAGAGUUGAAGACCCUGGGAUGGUCACUUCAGUGUUCCGGAUUCGCUAAGCUGCAGCUGCACCCGCGGAUGCUCCAAGAGACAUCAUAGCAGUGACUAAGGACAUUGCAGCUCGAUCUGCCAUAAUGUCCUGCUCUAGAGAGCUAGGUGAUAUCCACUUCGAGGAAUGUACCGUAGCUAUCUACGGAGACCUCCCAUUCAAUGUGCUGCCGGCGAGGAAGCAGCUAGCACCUAUUGCAAGAUGGCUGCGAGAAGCCGCAAUUAAAUAUUGGUGGGGGAUAGAGGGUUCCUUAGUAAUUCAGAAGGGAGAUGACAUACUCGCAUUAGCCCCCUCUGGAGACGAGACGACCUUUCCCCAGUGUCUACACCUGUCACCCACUAACCCAAACGGGGCCCAUAUGGCCGGGACCAGCGCAAAGCGCUGUAUGUAUUGCCUCAUCCUGGAACCUGUGACUAAUGUUUUAUUCUCUUAUUUAUCUCAUACUGCGAACAGUUGUAAUUUGUGCAUGCAAACUACAAUAAAAUACAAAUUGGGGAAAAAAAUGAAUAAAAGGGCAAAUUAGGAAAGUUGGGAUUGCCAUAUUUUAGGAUACCAAAUAAGGGCACUAUCUGCUUAACUACACCCUUAUUUGGUAUCCUUAAACAUGGCAAUCCUAUGUAAGGAUACAAAUUUAAAGAAUUAUCUACUAAAUUAGGGAGUUCUUUCAGUUGCUAAGUAGAUAAGUCCCUAAUUCUGUACCCUUAAUUAUGGCAAUCCCACGUAAGGAAACCAAAUUAAGGAGUUAUCUACUAAACAGCUGAAAGAUCAAACUUAAGAAAUGUUGCUAUAUUUUUUAAAAACAAAUACAUCCUAAAUAAUUUGGUUUUAUUUGUUCUGAAUUAUUUUGUUUUAAGUUUCUAAAGAAUUUGGAAAUCUGGAAGCUUCCAAACUGCUGAAUUUGUACAUAAUUCGAUUUGGAAGAAAACAAAUUGCACAUGUCUAAUCAUCACUAUAACUGCAGAACUCAAUCUGAACUCUCCAUAAAACCAUUUCACCUUUGUUUGUGCAUCUAGAAAUGGCUUUGAUGCUCUUGUACUGUUGCAUUGUUAGUUGCUUUGGCUUUAGGGGAUUUAUAUCUAUUUUUAACAUGUUUGUUUGUCUUAUUUUGCUUAUUAUGUUUUCCUUGUUUUUUUUCCUCCAUUCUAAUAUAUUUAUUUGUCCUACUCAACUGUAACCCCUAUUGUUUGAGAGACAAAGAAGAGGAAAAGAAGAUGGGAAACAAAAUUUUAGAAUAUCUAAACAAAUUAAAACGUACAAACUGAUUAUGAUCACAAUGAAAACGGGAAGGAAAGGCAACACUUGUAAACCUAAUUAUUAAUAUUUGGCUUAUUUUUGUGAAAGGGUGUUUUUUUUAAAUAGAAUUUGGUUUAAAAAUAAUUGUUUCAUGGGUUAUGCUGAACUUUUACACCUUUUCGUAAUACAAAAUGUAAGUUAAUUCUCCCUCUCUCUAUUUAUCUGCAUGGGUUUCUCCCUUUCUGUCUGUCAAGAACAAACAGAAUAUUUGCUUCCAGAAUUAGUGUUCUACUUUAGAACACAGAUUAAAGCCAAUUCAAAAUGAACAGGUUAGAUGUUUUACGGUAAUUUUUCUGUGUUCAAUUCAGAUUUACAAAUUGUGUCUCCCAGUAGAACGUGUUCCUUUAUAUACUUUAUACUUCGGAUUGCACAGCCACUAUUUGACUAUAUGCAAUGCAAAGGCCGGAAUUUUUCUCUGGCAAGACUCCGCGGAAGUGAUAAGACAAAUUGAACUAGAAUAUAUCUUAUACAUGGCAGGUACACAUUACUAUGAUGUAAGGUGAGCACACAUACCUCAUUAUAUACACAAUGACACACUCUGACAGACACAAUCAGACACAGUGUGCACACAAUGCUCUACAAACACUUAGAUGAAGUAUACACUCAGUGACACACUAUUAUACAAAGAAACAGACAGUUUACACAUGAUAACACAAUACUACACACACUCAGACACAGUAUACACACUGACACACACUGCUACACACACUCAGAAACAGUAUACAUACAAUGUUACAUAUACACAAUGCUACACGUACAGUCAGACAUAGUACAAAUAGUGUAAGAAGUUAUUUAGCGAUUUAGGAAAUUUCCCUCUUCCAUUUUUUUUUUUUUUUUUUUGCUGUUUCUUCUUAUUUUCUUUCCUUUCUUUUUCUAGAAAAUCUAGAACUGCUGAGUCCAAGAAAUCUUCAGUUUUGAAGUUUAUCCAGGUGAAAUGCAAACAAUUUGUAAGGUUGUGGUUCGCAAAGCAGGUUAUGGUUAUACCUGCUUAUCCAGUUGUUCAAUUAAAGGGACACUGCAGUCACCAGAACAACUACAGCUUAAUGGGACAGCUAGGGGCACCUCAUAUGGCAGUAACUCAGACCGCCAAUAGUGGUCCUUCCUGGGUCAGUGCUGUGCAAUGUGCACCACUGACGUUCAGCGUCUCCGCACUCUGUAUGGAGAUACUGAACUUUCCUCAUAGAGAUGCAUGUGCAUUAGCCUUCCAAUGCUAUGAGAAAGCAUUUGAUUGGCUGAGAUCACAAGUUCUUAUGAUCUCAGCCAAAAGUGUAGAGUAUAGGUGGAGCCAGAGCUGGUGAACCCACAGCGAUGGAAUUAAGGUGAGUUUUAACUCUUUUUAAAGAGGACACGGGGGUGCCAGGCAGCUAAAUAAUGUUUUAACUUAAGUGUCAUUAAAGCUCAGUAUGUAUAGUUUUAUGAAAGGAUGAAAAUGUCUACUGACAUGAUUUAGAACCAAUGAGUCCAAAAUAGAUCUGCCAUCGAUUUAGACAAUUCACCAAAUAAUGAAACGCAAAGAUAAGCAGGGUUAUUAAUUAAAGUGUGAAUUGUCAGCAAUUUAAAAUGAAUUUCAGAUCAAAUUAGUUGACCUGAAAGAACGCUGACUUAUUUUUUUUAAUUUUAUUUUUUGAUCGGCUAUUUUUUUUCACUUUGAAUUCAAGACAAUUCUCACUUCCGUGAAUAAUGCAAAAAUGUAGGAUUCACAGUUUUGAAUAAGCAACUCCCAACCAAAGAAACUUCACUUAAUGGUUCUUACGUUCAGCAUCACUUAUCUUGUAGCAUUAUUGCCUUUUCCAAAUUUAGUUCAGUAUGUUGUUUUACUGUAUGGGUGGUAUUUCAAAUGUGUAUCACAGAAAACCCGUUAAUUUAGGAUCAUUAAACUAGAAGGUGCGUGUUGACACGCACUUUAAAAAGUCGAAAGAUGCUUAGAGAAUAUGCACAGUACAGCUGCUUCAAUAAAUUAGCACAAAACAAUAAAAAUGCCAUAAACAUACAGCAUACAUCAUAAAUCUGAUCAACUGUACAGGUUCUCCGUAUAAAAAUGAGUAACAACUUCUGUCUUUAGAAUAAAAGUAAAUAUAUACUUUUUAACACUCUCUUCUGCUUGACUUACUAUAAGCCUUUAAAUCUAGGUUAUAAAUUAGAUGUUUGUGAGCACAAAAUGUAAUAUACUUGUGUCUGGCCCACAGAGUGUAGUGCUGUCGCACUAAUUAUGAAUCUUUUAUAUGUUUUUAUGUACAUGUUAACAGUGUUCACUGGCAAAACAGAGCUAUUCGUUGAUCUUUUGUGUCGUUAUCUUAUAAAUCACAGUUUUCUAAAUGCCUGUUUCUCUGUUUUUAUUGACUGCACACAACAUAUGAUUUGUAUGGGUUACUAACUAGUGCAUUUGUUUUUAAGUACUCAUCUCUGAGUGAUUUCCAAGCGUGUGUCUAAGAAUUUAGUGGUUGACAUUUUUCUUUCUUUUUUUAUUUUAUUUAAUAAUAUAUCUGGUGAAGGACUGAGCCAUGUAAGGCCUUCACGUUUGUUUAAAGAAUAGUUGGGUGAAAAUGUUAAAAAAUAAUGGCAUCCGCUUUGGGUUCUGACCCAAACAUUGGUGCUAGUACCAAUAAACCUCACGGUGAACUCCCUAAAUUAAUUUCGGACGAAUCCAGCCAGACAUAAAUCCCGCUACGCCAAGGGACUGCUUGGUGAAAUCUUUAACUGUUUCUUGUUCUAAUCGCCAAUUGGUAAAAAUGUUUGUUUGUGUGGAGACCAGUUUGUCUUGCUCCCUUUGGCCGGGACAUGCGAGUCCCAUUGUGUAUCUAUUCCACAUACUUUUACAAAUUUACAAAAAUUAAAUACAUUUGUGGCAGACACAGAAUGCCCAUUACCAGCAUGGGUGGUAAUUAGAUCUUAAAGGACUACUAUAGUGCCAGGAAAACAAACUCAUUUUCCAGGCACUAUAGGGUCUCAAGGUCCCCCCCACCCUCAGGGUCCCACUCUCGCCAGGCUGAAGGGGGAGGGAGGGGUUAAACACUUACCUUUCUCCAGUGCCGGGCUCCCUCAGCACUGGGGAAAUCUCCUCCCUCUUCCGACGUCAGUACUGAAUGCGCAUACGAGGCCAGAGCCACGCGCGCAUUCAAACAGUCCAUAGGAAAGCAUUUCUUAAUGCUUUCCUAUGGACGUCAGCGUCUUCUCACUGUGAUUUUCACAGUGAGAAGCGUGGAAGCGCCUCUAGCGGCUGUCAAUGAGACAGCCACUAGAGGCUGGAUUAACCCUAGUGUAAACAUAGCAUUUUCUCUGAAACUGCUAUGUUUACAGCUGCAGGAUUAACCCUAGAUGGACCUGGCACCCAGACCACUUCAAGACAUCUAUGAGUAUUUACGAUGAGGUUUCCAUAGUGUUCAGAGUUGUCACGUAAUCUUGAAAUUGUUGCCCUGACAUUUAGGGGUUAUCAGCUAAACAGGAAACAUGUUAUUAUAUCAAACAGUCGAUUUAGAAAAAGAGACAGAGAAAAUUAGCAAAAUAGUCAUCUAAUAACAGUGACAAGGUGAUCAGUGAGUUACUGUUGUUAUUUUUUCUGUACUUAUUAAGAGCCAGCAUACAUUUUAGUGCUGUACAAUUUAAAACUAAACUGGCCUAUGUGUCAGUGAGCUUACUAUAGCCAAUGUGCACAUUUUAGCUCUUAGCAAAAGCAGGGGCCGACAGGAAUGUUCCCCUUUAAAAAGUUUUAUAAAUUGGGUGAACAAGGCUCAAGGUUAAUAAAUCAAAAUGGAGAGAGAGUGUGUGCGUGUGCGUAUGUGCUAAAAAAUGUAGCUUGACAUAUUUUUACAAAAUGACUAUAGGCAUUCAGAAAUUAUAGGUUUUCACUAUAAAGAAAAAGGUAUUUUUAAUUUUUUUUUAUUAUUCAGCAGUAACUGCAUGCAAUUUUUUUUUUUUUUUUUUAAAUCACAACAUGAAUUAUAUGCUAACUCCAGCUGUUAUAUGUUGGCAUUGAGUUUACAAAAAAAAAAGUUCAAAAUCUGUUUCCUUAAACCAAGGAAAUGUGGAAAAAGGCUACCCUGCCAGUUGAAACAUUCAACAGCGCAGAAGUCAUGCUGCGGUUUCUUGUCAAGGCAGCAGAGUUUUGUAAAAGGAAGUUGCUGCCAACUAAAACACGGUUUUCUUUCACACCCAAGAACAAACUUUGUGCAUUGUAAAGGCUUCCUGAGGGUUAUAUGCAGCUGGAGCAGAUGAAGUAAAGGUAACUGUAAUGUCAGAGCUACUGUAAACGUGUGCUCAUUAUUUCUAUCAGCAAGCAAUAAGCAUGCAAACAAUAGGGCUUUCCUGUGUCCAUUGAAACACACAUCUAUUUUGCCCAAGUCAAGAGGUUUUACUGUUCAGCAAAGACCUCAAUCAGUAGAAACGCCUAGGCCCACAGUAGAGAAACAGAGAUAAUAUAAUACUGGGAAAUAAAAUGCCAUCAUCAAAGCUUUUAUUAGUAUGCUUUAGGUACCAUAUCUUUUAAAGAAAGGGCAAAAUAGUCUCUCUAAAGAACAAAUUCUCCAACUCAGCAAUUUUUCCAUUUGUUGCUUAAAAUCUGUUAUUCCCUGGUUAAUUCUCCACAAUUCAAGAUUUAGUGAGCAAAGCUGUAACAAACAGAGUAAUUUGUAUUCAAAUGUUGAAGGUAUUUGAUUUUUAGCAGAGCUAUUAUGUUGCUUCAUGUCAAACCGCUUUCACGUGAAGGAAUCAUGGAACCGUAAGUCUACCCUCUCUGGUUUGAAUAUCACAGUGAAAUGCAAUUUUGUGUUCAUGUUGUGCAGUGACCAGCAAUAUGUAGCAGGAUUUGGAUGCACCAAAUCAGUGUAUAAGGUCCAUGGUAAUUUAGCCAACCUGGAAAGGUUGCAACAAUUAAGGGCAGCCAAAUCCUUCUACAUCCCAGUGCUCCGGGAUGAUCAUGUAAUGACAUGAGCACCCAGUACAUGGUCACUCUAUGAAAAGUGAACUUCUUCAUAAUCCCAUCCCAAACAGAAAAAGUAAGUCAAUUAUGUCAACGUUUCCUCCACUUUUCGCCAAAUCACUUAAAAAGAGCUCGUUAAAACUCUGGGCCUUCACCCAUAAUGUCACAACAUGAAAGGGGUUGGUAUGUCCCAUUAAAUAUUACAAUAGUUUUUAUGCCUAAAUAUUAAAUAGUGCACUGGCAAAUAUAUUGAAAAUUGUCUGCUUAGAUCUCCAUCUGCAGAUAUUUUGAUCUUAAUUUUGCAAUGCAAAUUCCAUUUUACCAUAUCUCUCCAUUUCUGACGGGGUAAUUGGUUUAUUAACUUAUCAAUUAAUUAUUUGAGAUAAGUCAGAAAUGUGCCAUUUUACUCAGCAGAGGGAGUGACAGAGCACAUUUUAAUUCAUAUUAGUCAAUGUAUCUUCAAGACACCCUGACUGAAUAGGAUAUUGUUGCUUCUACAUAUCUACAGGAUUUAAUUUGUGUUUUAGCCUGUAUACCAGAUAGAUUGCAUCUUGAUUACAAUGCUAAGGGUGAUUCAUAACUUCUAGCUACAGCUGAAAAUCCCAAAGAUGACCUGGAAGGAACCACUGAAAUGAUCACAAAGCACAUUGUGUACUCUUUCCAUGGAACUCAAACCACAUUAGUUACAUCACCUCCACACGUGCUUUCCAGCACAAAUAAUCUUAUUAAAACUAUAAACGUAUUGAUGAGUUGUGAAAUAAUAUAAAAUACUAAGUCCACAUCUACCAAAAUUUCAGUUGGCCAUAAGUGGGAGAGGGCUUGUUUGGUAGUAUGGUAGGGGAACAUAAUUAUCCCAGAACUUGUAGGUGACUACAAGAUUUAUGAAUUGUGUAAUAUGUAUUUGGACAUUAUUAUAUUCACUUGUUGAACAUACAUAGCUGUUGUUGAUGUGAAACAUUCAUGCAUCCCAUAAUUCUGAGCUCCUUGGUUACUGUGAUAGAUAAAACGAGAAAAAGAGAGGUUUGGGUCCAAAAGAUGGACUACUUAUUAUCAAUGAUGCUCGGUAUGAGCCUCUGUGCACGGGUUAAAUGGUGGCCAUUUUGCAAUUUGUAAUUACAUUUUAAUUCCAUUCUAAAACUAAUCAUUGUAGACAAAAAAGCAACAUAACUAAUAUAGUUUGUUGUAGCUGUUAUGGGGCUAAGGAGACUAAUGGUUGUGAUCGCUGAACAAAAUUAUUAUAACAUCUCCAGCAAAGGAGAAGAUUUCUGUACCAGUGAUUUCUGUUGAUUGUCAAAAUUCUUUAAAACAGAAACACAGAACAGCUGCAGCCGUAGCCUGCUUGCACCAUAACCACUGCAAUAGCUGCAGUGGUUAGAGUGCUUGGAGAAUUCCUUUAAUGAGGAAAUAAUGAGACUUAACUAAUAAGUAUUGAUAUAAUGCUGAAAGUUUUCUAACAUUAUAGACUAUGUGCAACAAUGAUAAAUUCAUGACCAAAGGAAGAAUUCAUAUUUAUCAGAAUCAUAUUAGAUUCACAUUACUUGGCAGGUCACACAACAGGGACAAAUAGAUAUUGUAUAUGAGAACUUUAAGUUUUAACAGUUCAUCAAGAGGACUCAUCAACAUCAACAUAAUGUAUUAGCAUUUGAGAAUAACUAGUCUACAUAAGGGAUCUUACGUAUAAACAAUUUAAAUUCCAUAUUCGUAUUGAUUUCUAUGGCUAGAUACUAAAUCUACGAUUGGCAUUAAACUUUCAUGUAUGAAUUAUUUUACCACCCAUUCUGAAAAUUAUAAUGUAGUUGUUCAUUCUUGUUUGAUAGGAGAGUAGAAUGAUUUCCUACAUACAAAACAUUGGAGUUUAAUACAUGUGCAUGAGUUUGUUAGUACUGCAGGACAACAGCAAAAAUUAUUAUUUUAAGAUUCUUUAUUGUCACAAGCAAUCUGUUUAUUUAAUCUGCUAAUCUGGAUAGAUUUGUUUUCAAGAGAUAGGAACUGGUAUAAUUCACUUCCUCUUUGUAAACGUUUAGCAUCUUUAGUUUCUGGUUAAACUGUUAUGUAAUAUCUGUAGCGUGGACUACAUAUUCGACAUUAGGAUGAGUCCCGUUCACUGGUAGAAAGGACAAGUGUUUGCACUAGAACCAGCAGACUGGGUGCCGAGUAGAAGCCUGAUCUCGCUACUAUAUCUAGAUAUGUGUACUUGACAUCAGAGGCUAUGUAUAGUUUUUGACGAUUCUGUAUUGGAAAUGCUCCAUAUUACAAAUGGCUUAGAACAUUAAUUUGUAAAUAGCAAGUGCACUGUUAUUUCAGAUUGGUAGGAAAAGCAAAAUUCCUACUUGCAGUAAAUUUUUAGCUACUCUGUUAAUUUUAUUAAACCCUUAAACCUCUGCACUCUAAUUUCCUAUUCUGGUAUCUUAGAGCCAUCAAAGACCUUGUAUUACCACAUAUAUGCACCUGAUUUGCUUUUCCAUGGUACUAAUAAGGAGAUUCUAUAAAUCAAUACUAAAAUUAGACAUGGGUGCUGCCAAAAUUUUAAUUUCAUCCGAACACAUUUGUCCGUUUGUUCAUUUGUUUUUGGACAAAAUUUGGUUAUUAUUACCGGAAUUUCAAUAUUUUUUUUACUUAGUAUUAGUAAAUAAGGCAGGUUAAGGGGGCGGGGCCUGAGCUUCAUGGCGGCUGGACGUGCCUCGUGUGAGCUCCGAGCUCAAUCUUCUCUUCUAGCCGGAAUAAAUGCACUCCAGCCAGCCAGAACCUACAAAAACACCUAAAGCCUGAUCGUACUUACCUCAGGAACCAGCCGAGGUGCCCCGGGUCUGCCGCCCGCGGGUGCACGGAACGUCCGUCGAGGGUGUCGGGAGUGAGGCCUAGCAGUAUCGCCGGACGGGUGAGGCGGCCGAUUUCCCCGCUCUGCGCGACCUAGUGCCCUCCCAAGCCUGUAAUACAGCCCUGUUCCCCCCCCAUGGACCGGUGGGGGUUAUCCCGGUCCACCCUAGCCUGUACCUGGAACCAAGCAACUUAAGUUAAUCGCCCUAACUAGCUGAGAUAUUGCCCAAGCAGAAACACACAAGAUGGCGGCCCAACAUACCCUACAAGAAGAAAACUCCCAGCAAACCGAACAGGAGCCUUUAAGCCCGGCACAGAUCACUCAAAGGAGGCUGGAUGAAAUUUUUACCCGCUCCUGGGCAGGAUUGGAGGCACGCCAAAAAGCAGCAAAGCCCCAACAUCGGGAGGACGACCGGGAGGCUGAGAGCCGGAUGGUGAGGGGGCCCCCUAUGAUCGUCCAUGUCUCUAAAGCACAUAAACCUCCUCCCAUUAAGAGAUCACCUAGGCCGAGGGCCAUGAGGGGCAGAACCCCGCGGCAUCAUCCACACAGGCGGAGGAUCACCCGCUACAUCGGCCGCCUACCACCAAAUCCUCCUGCUUACCCCUUAGAAGGGAGGGGAGGGACCCCAGGAGCCCCCAAGUCCGUGGCACGAAGAUGCUGGCCUAUCUACUGGCCUGGGGCAGGAGGGAUACCCAACAGAGCCAUCGGACUGCAACAGCCACCCUAGCCCUCAAUACACAAGACUCACACUUCCCAUCCUUGGGAAUAGGCUGAAUUAAAGCCCGCUACCUAAAGCGGUACCGCAACUAUGGGACUAACCGCAAACAACAGUUGCCACUGCUGGGACUUCCAUAUAUGACUCACAUGGGCCAGCCUGACUGGGUUCACGCAGCCAGCAAGCACACAUGCUCAGCCUGUUAAUGCUAUAUGUGACUCACCCAUACAUAACAGCUAGACCUAGCCUGUAUCAAUCAGCUCAUAUGUUAUCUUACGGUAUUCACAGUAACUUUAGCGAGGAGAUGUUCAGUUAUGGCUGUAGUGACUGUUACGAUAAGCUACCUUUUCGUCUUUAUUUUAUUGACUUCUACCUAUAUGCGACUCACCCAUGUGAAGCAGCUGAACCUAGCCUGUAGCACUCAGUUCAAAUUUUAUUUUAUGGUAGUCACAGCAACUUUAGCGAGGAUAUAUUCUGUUAUAGCUGUUGUAGCUGUUGCCAUAAGCUACCUCUUCAUCUUAAUUUUAAUGUCUUCUACCUAUAUGUGACUCACCCAUGUAUAACAGCUAGACCUAGCCUGUAUCAAUCGGUUCAUAUGUUGUCUUAUGGCAGUCACAGCAACUUUAGCGAGGCUAUAGUCAGUUAUAACUGUUAUGAUAAGCUACCUUUUCAUUUUCAAUUUAACGUCUUCACUGUUUAGCCAAACUGAUGUUUACUAUAAUUAUACAAAAAUGUGCAUUCCUCUUCCCACUGUUCAACCUAAGUACAUUCUUAGACACGCUGUUGUGGCGUAUGUCAUUGCUAUGUAUAACAUGCACAACAAAAAUAAAGAAUUAAAAAAAAAAAAUAAGGCAGGUUAAAUCCUCCCUCCUGCCACUGCUCACAGCACAGUGAUCCUAAACAGCGAGCAGCCAGUGGCUGUUUCCUGUUACUACAAAACACAAUCGACAGGGCAGCUAUUGCCACAUAGUUCCUAAUCCAAUAAAGGUAUACCUGGCACAGAUCCCUCAUGGUGGGGCACCUAGUAUUAACUAGGGGGACAUAGUGUUUGAGGCUGAAAUGUUGCUGGUUGGUUCCUAAUAAAAUUGCUGUUUUGGGAGUUCAUAAGUGCCGGAUCAUUUCUCUUUUUUCCACAUCUAUGCUGGGAGUGCUGCUUGGAUUCUUGUAAGUGCACCAAGAUUGCUGUCUCCUUACUUAUUUGAUAAAGGCCAUCUCUAUUUGUCUUCACAUAUGUUUUUGCACAUCUGACGGCUCCAAUAAAUGUUAACAUGGUGGUGUAGGGGUUCAAUGAACAAGAACCUGCCACCAGGCAAUUUGUCGUAUCACUUUAAGGUCAUGUAAUUUAUAGUAAAGUUAGCAGAAUGAAAAGGAAAUUGAUAAGUGUGACAUGUCUCCUUUUGACCACAUCUUUAACACAAAACAAUGUAAAUACAGGUGGUUGGCAGUUGAUGAAGUGAGACGUGUGGCUGAGGAGCUCUGGCUUGUGACCCUAACAUAUGCAUUUUUAAAAUGUAUUUCUUUGACUUUCCAAGGCCAAUUCUACCACACGACUUCAAAAUACUUACAGUGAUGUGAUCCUGCAACUUGAAAAAAACUAAAAGCAGAGGUGUCGGGCUCCAUAUCGCAGGCCUAAGAUCGCAGCGAUUGGGCCACAUCUCUGGCCUUGCGUUCGGCAGACAGCAAUGUCACCACCACCUCAACAUUGGGGAGAUCAAGUUCACUUCUCACACACCUGUUCAAAAUACAUUCUCCCGAAUAUACAUAUUCCUCGUAAAUCCCUCGCUCUUACAGUAAGUUGGCUCUUUUAUUAUGGACCUUAUUACAUGGUCCGACCAUGUCCCUAUUGUUCUUUAGUACAAUGAAACCUUUUCAUAUAGGGGGAAAGGAACAUGUAGACUUAUAGAACAUCUGCUAACUCUCUUGCAGAUAACUACUGAUGUACCCAAAAUAAAUACAACAGUAUUUUUAAUAGAAUGACACAGAGACUAUAGGCAUUGACUUGUUUUGGAUGGCCUAUAAGGCUUACAUACGUAAGGCUUACUUCUCAAACAUUCUUCAGCCUUAAAGAAACAAAGAUCACAAGAUCAACUAAUGACACAAUUGGCUCAGGCUAAUGCCCUCAAAAAAAGAACUCCUUCUACUGCCUUCCUAGCUACUAUUAGCAAAGUGGCUAGGAUGACUGUAUUAUGCACAGCAAACAGGUUACAUCCUUAGAUGACUAAAAUGCAAAUAUUAUACCCAAGACAAUAGGGCAGGGGUAUUUUAGCUCAUCAACUGAAAAACAACAGGUAAAGUCGAAGAUCUCUUAUCUCUUAGAUCCUACGGGACAGAGGUUUGGACUAGUACAUAUUUUACUAGCACAUAUUACGACAGAGCAGAUAACUACUGAUGUACCCAAAAUAAAUACAACAGUAUUUUUAAUAGAAUGACACAGAGACUAUAGGCAUUGACUUGUUUUGGAUGGCCUAUAAGGCUUACAUACGUAAGGCUUACUUCUCAAACAUUCUUCAGCCUUAAAGAAACAAAGAUCACAAGAUCAACUAAUGACACAAUUGGCUCAGGCUAAUGCCCUCAAAAAAAGAACUCCUUCUACUGCCUUCCUAGCUACUAUUAGCAAAGUGGCUAGGAUGACUGUAUUAUGCACAGCAAACAGGUUACAUCCUUAGAUGACUAAAAUGCAAAUAUUAUACCCAAGACAAUAGGGCAGGGGUAUUUUAGCUCAUCAACUGAAAAACGACAGGUAAAGUCGAAGAUCUCUUAUCUCUUAGAUCCUACGGGACAGAGGUUUGGACUAGUACAUAUUUUACUAGCACAUAUUACGACAGAGUUUACUAGCCCAUAUUAUGUCAGAGGAGAUGCAGUCCAUAAUUGCAUUUCUGCCAUGUCACAAAAUUCUAGGUCUGGGUGGGCUACUAGGCUCUUACUAUAAAAAAUUUGCACCUAUAUUAAGCCCAUAUUUAGUCAAAUGACUUGCAGCCAGGGUGGAAUCAGGAGCAUUGCUGAAUGAGGUGUUGGCAGCCCAUGUUAUAAACCUCCCAAAGAUCCCCACAUACACCCUGUUCCAAAUUAUUAUGCAAAAUCUAUUUAGGUGUCACAAAGAUUAAAUAGUUUGUUUUUCAGUUUAACUCAUGGAUGGCAUUGUGUCUCAGGGCUCUUUUGAUCACUGAAAACAAUCUCGGACACCUGUGAUAAUUAGAUUGCCAGGUGAGCCCAAUUUAAGGAAAAACUACUAAAAGAGGGUGUUCCACAUUAUUAAGCAGAGCACCAUUUUCAUGCAAUAUGGGGAAGAAGAAGGAUCUCUCUGCUGCCGAAAAAGAGUGAAAUAGUUCAAUUCCUUGGACGAGGUAUGAAAAUAUUAGAUAUUUCACGAAAACUUAAGCGUGAUCAUCGCACUAUUAAGAGAUUUGUGGUUGAUUCAGAGCACAGACUGGUUCGUACAGAUAAAGGCACAUUGAGGAAGAUUUCUGCCAGAUCCAUACAUCGGAUCAGGAGAGCAGCUGCUAAAAUACCAUUACAUAGCAGCAAACAAAUAUUUGAAGGUGCUGGUGCCUCUGGAGUCCCAAGGACAUCAAGGUGUAGAGUCCUCCAGAGUCUUGCAAUUGUGCAUAAACCUUCUAUUCGGCCACCACUAACCAAUGCUCACAAGCAGAAAUGGCUGCAUUGAGCAGAAAAAUACAUGAAGAUUAAUUUUCAAACAGUCCUGUUCACUGAUGAGUGCCAUGCAACCCUGGAUGGGCCAGAUGGAUGGAGUAGUGGAUGGUUGGUGGACAGCCACCCUGUUCCAACAAGUCUGCGAUGUCAGCAAGGCGGUGGUGGAGUCAUGGGAAGAGAGCUGGUCGACCCCUUUAGGCUUCCCGAAGGUGUAAAGAUGACCUCUGCAAAGUAUGUGGAGUUUCUGACUGACCACUUUCUGGUACAGAAGGAAGAACUAUGCUUUCUGUAAUAAAAUCAUCUUCAUGCAUGACAAUGCACCAUCUCAUGCUGCAAAGAAUACAUCUGCAUCAAUGGCUGCUAUGUGGAUAAAAGGAGAGAAAGUCAUGGUGUGGCCUCCAUUCUCCCCUGACCUCAAUCCUAUUGAGAACCCUUGGAGCAUCCUCAAGAAAAAGAUCUAUGAGGGUGGACGGCAGUUUACAUCCAAAACAGCAGCUCUGGGAGGAUAUUCUGACAUCUUGCAAACAAAUUCAAGCAGUCAAAAAUCUCACAAGUUCAAUGGAUGCAAGACUUGUGAAGCUGCUAUCAAAUAAAAUGUUAAAAUGUUUAAAAAGUUAAAAUGUUGUUAUAACUUUGAUUGAAAUAGCUUUUGAUUUCAGUAAAUAUGCUGCAAACACAACAAAUUACAAUUUUCAGUUCUUUACAACCUAUAAAGUGUUUUGAAUUUUUCUGUGCGUAAUAAUUUGGAACAGUGCAUUGUAAGCUUUUUAGGUUUAAAAAAAUACUGUUAUCAUUAGGAGGUUUGUUCAAUAAAAUUUGAAUUGUACUCUUUUUUUUUUUUUUUUUUAUUUGCAUUUUAUAAGAUUUCACAGUCGUAUUACAGGUAUACAGGUUAUGCAAGUUACAUUCAUGAGUACAACAUAGAGAGUACAACUUUUGAGCAACAUGUAUUGACAAUGAGCUAUCAUAUCUGUGUCUUGAUGAGAGCCAGUUUGAAGCAUACAUAUGAUAGUGGUAAUAUAGGUACAUCGUUAAACAAAUUGUCAUUAAACAGAGUAUUAAACAGAGUAUUAAACAGAGUAUCCUGGCAUUGCUGUCGUGCCCAUAUUUAUGUAGUUCUCCCUCUUGACCAUCAGUCGUGAUGGUAGGAGUUUUCUCUUCGCUGUGCCAGUGUCGGUAAUUGCUCAGUUGUGAAAAUAACCCGUAUCUUCCCUGACACCUAGCUACUAUUCCAAUGAACAGGGGAAUAUAAACUUGGGGCAUAACCUGGGUAUAAUGCGGGGAAAAAGAGAAGGGUAGAGGAGGGGAGGGGGGCAGGUAUUGGUCCCUUAGCUUGGUCCAGCUUUUAGGCCUGUUCGUUGGCCUUAAUAAAUUGCACCAGUGUACGCAACCAGCUUAAGUAGGUGAGGGUAGUGUGUGCAGGCUUUCAUAUGGUCAAAGAGUGAUGUUAAAGAAGGUUUAGGAAGGUUUGCCUAGUGCUCUUUCCUUAAAGCGUUGUCUUGUGAGCUACCACACAAAGGUGUUUAGAGUGUUUAACUUGUCACUGCGUCUGUUGGCGUGUGUCCCAUUUUUCCCACGCCUCCUUCCAAAAUUUUUUGGGGGGAUUGUUGGACCUGGCCAUUAUCUCAUACUUCUUUAUGGUUUCAAUGUGGGUUAUGCAGCUCUGUAUGUUGGGGAUCGUCUGUUUUUGCCAGUGUUUGCUGAUAUGCAACAGAACCGCCGAGAUAAUGUGAUAUAUUAAGUAUCGGGAUGAUUUUGUAUGGCCUGGUGGUAUAUACUGUAGGAGGUAAUGUUCGGGGGUGUGUGCGAGAGCUACACCUGUAAUGUUUUUAAUUAGGGUCUGUGUUUCCGUCCACAAUGGUGUUAGGGUUGGGCAUUCCCACCAAAUGUGUAGCAUGGAACCUUGAGCUUUAUUGCAUCUCCAGCACAGUCCUGUAUUCUUAGGUAUCAUAUGUUUCAGUCGGGUUGGUACUAAGUACCAGCGAUAUAAUAAUUUCCUGGCUAGUUCCAGAUGGGUUGUGCUAAGUGUAAGUUUUUUAUUCUCACACAGUAUAUAUGACCACUGCUCUUUUGUUAACUGUUUUCCUAGUUCAACUUCCCAUGCUUUAACAAACUGUAGUGUAUGCGGGUCUGGUACACUAUAAUGGCGAUUGUACAGUAUAGAGAUUAGCUUGAGUGGCCUCUUCGUCUGUGUGCAGAGACUUUCUAAUGCAUUGAAAGUGUUCCACCUGUUUGCUGCAGGCAGUACUUUUCUAUUUGUCUGCAGCCAUGAGCUUAUCUGUCUGUGCGCAAAUGCUGCUGCAUUGGGUAAUUGGUAUUUAUUUUGCAGUCGGUUGAAGGGGAUGAUCUCUCCCUGAUCAAACAACUGAUGCAAGUAUAUUAGACCUCUAUUGCUCCAGGACGUUAUGUUCAAUGAAGGUAUCAGACCAUAAAAUGAAUCUAGGAGGAAGGCUGGUGAUAGCCCCUCAUCAAAUCCUUGUUCCUUAUUAAAUCUGUCCCAUUCUCGUAAUGUUGUAGCUGUGAGUGGUGACAUAUCUUUAUAUUUUUUUCUAAGUUGUGGCGGUGUCCAGGCUAGGUGCGUUAUUUUUUGCCCCCCAGUUAGGUCAGCCUCUACCGUUACCCAAGGGGAUGGUUUGUCAUGUUGGUGUAAUUCGUUGACCAACGGUGCGAGUAUAGCUGAUCUGUAGUACGUGGCUAUGUGUGGUAAUCCCAUUCCCCCUCCUUUAUAUGUGAGGUACAUGAUUUUUGCUGCUAUUCUGGGUUUCUUAUGGGACCAGACAAAGGUGUUAAUCAAUUUUUGUGCGUCGUGAAGGAAUGUUUUGAGAGCCUAAUUUGUAAUGUACGGAACAUGUAUUGCAGUCUCGGGAGAAUUUUCAUUUUGACUGCUGCUAUUCUACCUAUCCAUGAUAUGUAUUUCCCUUUCCAAUUCGCUAGCUGCUGUUUUAUGGAUGUGAGGAGUUUGCCGUAAUUUUCCCGAUGUAAGUUCCUUUCUAGUCUCGUGAAUUUUAUACCCAAGAAAGUUAGGUGGUCUUGUCUCCAUUCAUAAUGGUAUUUCUGUUGCAAGGCUGUAUACAGCAAUGCAGGUGCAUGCAGACUCAUUGCUUGCGUUUUAGAACUGUUUAAUUUGUAAUAUGAGCAAUUGCUGUACUGUUGCAGCAGAUUCUGGAGUUCUGAGAUAGAGGUGAGUGGGUCAGACAGGGAGAGCAUUACGUCAUCUGCAAACAUCGUUAUUUUGUAUGUUUUAUUUUUAAUUUCCACACCUCUGAUUUGGUUGUUAUCCCGUAUUGCUUGGGCUAAUGGCUCUAACGCAAGAAUGUAUAAGGCCGGGGAGAGCGGGCAUCCUUGCCGUGUUCCAUUUGUGAUAAGGAACGGCUUGGAUACGAACCCGCCGUUCGCAACCUGUGCUGAUGGCUUGGAGUAUAGUGCUAAUAGUAGGGAUAGAAAUUGUUGUGGGAAUGCAAAUUUUUGUAGGACAGUUCUCAGGAAGUUCCAGUGAAGUCUGUCGAACGCCUUCUCGGCGUCCAGGGACAUAAAGACCCUGGGCUCUCCGAGAGGCGUCCCAUUAUAGAGGAGGCUGUGGAGCUUCCUAGUCCCGUCAGUCCCCUGUCGCCCCCUUACAAAUCCCACUUGAUCCGGGUGUGUAAUAAAGGGGAUUAUGGCCGCUACACGAUUGGCGUAUAUUUUGGCUAAUAGUUUCGUAUCUGUGUUUAACAGUGAAAUAGGUCUUAAAUUUUUAGGUUGCGUGGGUGGUUUCCCUGGCUUUGGUAGCGUGGCUAUGUGUGCUAAUAGCAUUUCCACUGGCAUCUUCCCUGUGUGUACAAUAUGGUUCAGUGUGUGUACUAGGUAGGGGCUCAGGAUGUUCGAAAAGACUUUGUAGUAAGUGUUCGUGAAGCCAUCGGGCCCUGGUGAUUUCCCCGAAGGGAGUUUGCUGUAACUCUGUCAGUGUGAUCGGUUCUAUCAGGGAGUCCUGCUGUUGUUGUGUUAAUUUUGGCAAUUUUAUCUGCGAUAGGAAGUUAUCAAUUUCCACUUGUGUUGGCUGAUGUGUUUGGGGAUCUUUUGUUAGGUUGUACAGGUUUUGGUAGUAGGCUGCUGUUUCUUCAUUAAUGUCUAUGGGGUUGUAUAUUUUCUCUCCUGUGCUAGUGAGUAAAUAUGGUAUUUUGGCGUGGGCUUGGUGAUGCCUCAGUAAAGAUGCUAAUUUUUUCCCCGCUCUGUUUCCCUGGGUGUAAUGCUUCAGUUUGAGUGUUUGUAAAGUGCGCGCUGUUUUUUGAAGUAGGAGAUCAUUUAAUUGAUUUGUAGUUUGUUCUAUUUCAAUGUCGAGGUCGGGGGUGGGGUGUAGCAGCUGGGCUGCUUUUAGGUCACGCAGUUUGGUCAGUAGUGUGAGGCGCGCCUGUUGAGAGGUCCUGUUUAGGAAGGACGCUCUGCUAAUGAGCUGACCUCUAAUCACUGCCUUAUGUGCCUGCCAAGAUGUAGUAGGUGAUAUGUCAGGUUGGUUGUUAAGUUGAAAAUAUCUAUCUAUCUCAGUCCCCAAUUCCUUUUGAAAGGUGUCGUUGUAUAGGAGGGUGUCAUUUAAUCGCCACUGGGUUUUCCCUCUGUGCUUGUAAGCAUCCUGGGUUAUGAGGGUUACCGGAGCAUGGUCCGACCACACUAUGUCCCCUAUGCUACUCUGUGUUGUGGAGGGCACCAAAUCUUGUGACACCAAUAUGACGUCUAUUCUGGAGUGGGUUCCAUGCACCUUGGAGUGGAAAGUGUAACUUUUGUCACUCGGGUGAUUUGUUCGCCAUAUGUCAUAUAGAUUGUGGUCAAGUAAGAGCUUGGUGAUGGCUUUGCAUUGUGGUAUUAAGGAUCUAUGUCUGGGAGUGUUAGACGAUACUGUCGUGUCCAUAGUCGGUUGGAGAAUAUGAUUCAUGUCGCCACAUAUUAUGAUGCCGGCUCUGUGUUCAUGGGGUAAUUUGCUCAGCACUUUAUGCAAAAAAUUGCGCUGGUUAGAGUUAGGGCUGUAUAUGCCUACUAAGGUAUAUAUGGCUCUGUUGAUUUGACAGUGGAGUAUUAAGUACCGACCUUGUGCGUCUGUUUUAAUAUUUAGCAGUUCAAAGGUAAGCGAUUUGUGAAACAAAAAGGACACUCCCCUUGUUUUGGAAGAAUAGGUCGUAUGGUACUGCGUCGGAUAAUCUUGUUUCCCAAAUUCUGGUAUUCUCCCCCGCACAAAGUGCGUUUCCUGGAGGCACAUAAUAUCUACUUUAGCCCUCUUAGUUUCCUCUAACAGAACUCUGCGUUUAUGAGGGGUGUUCAGUCCCCGUACGUUAUGUGAGUAUAUUUUCAUAGUGUACUAUUAUAUGGGUUGGACACUGAGUUUUUAAUUUACUUCUGAUUGUAUCUUCUAGUCGGGUGUGUUUGUUGGUUGUGCAUAUAUCAGGCAAGAGUGCCCCUGUGUGGGUAAUAGUGAUCUUAGCUGGUAUGGGUAGUGGCUUGGACUUCCUUAUCUUUGCGGGACUGGGGUCAAAAACUUGGGGAGGUGUAAACCGGGUAGAAACAAAAACAAAGUAUAUACAUAUAUGUGUCUUGGUACUGGUGGUAAGUACCGUGGGGGUGGAAACUAGCAUGUUUCCGUGUCAUGGCUAUGGGUCUUCCGCUGUCUCUUAACCUUUGGAGACGGUCGGUCGCACCAGGCCACCUAUGUAGUAAGUACUAAUAGUCGUAUAGGCUCUUGGUGUGUGUACAAUUCUAUUGAGAAAGGGGGUAAACGGUAAUGGGACUAGGAGAGAUUUUUGUCAGGUGUAGUAGUAAAUACAUAUAUAUACACUUAUAUUCGUCAUAAUCAGCAGCUGGUAAGUACAUCCAGUAGGACAGCAUCUUGCUCCCUAGUAGCUGGGAGAGCUCGUUGCGGUAAUGAGCAUCUAUUGAUUAUAAGCAGUGCUUGUGUUAUACCAAUUGUUUUUUUUUUUUUGUUUUUUUUAUAUUAUUUUACUAAGCAGCGUAACAGUGUUGCCCUCACAUUAUGCUCUUGAUGAGGCACACGGAGAGAAUGUGUGUGUCCUCUGCAACUCAUCGCCUCUCCCGUAAGCUACAGGUUGCUAGGGGGGGGGGUUCAGCCCCAUACUUCCAUCAAAUGAUGGGGAGGUAUUGCUUGCCAGCUUAAGUAACCUUAAGGAACUAGGUAAUUUAACUUGUUAUAACCAAUCCGUGUUAACCUGAACAUUUUUUUUUUUUUUUUGUUUUUGUUUAGCAUAUAUAGACCUUGGGAUAUUUCCCCAGCCCUCGAGUCCAUUGCAAGCGCCUAGGCAUAAUCAGAUUUAUACUUGCGUAUGUCCAGCAGUUCAUGCUUUGUGCCAGUCCAGUGGGAUGCGCCUGGCAGGUGGGGUGUGAGGCUCCGGUCUUUGGUGCAUAAAUCCCCAGGAUUGUAGUUUAUGGAGUCCAUCUUCAGGUGAUGUGAUAACCUGGGUGGUGUUAUCUUUCGUCACCAACAUUUUGGUAGGGAAGCCCCAUCGGAAUCUGAGGCCAUGAGCCCUCACGGAGUUGGCGACCUGAGCGAACUCUUUCCUUCUGCGAAGAGUAGACGCCGAUAGAUCUGCAAAAAUCAGCAGAUUUGGGUAACCUUCUAGUGGUGUCGCUUUAUUUCUGCUUGACUUGAGUAUAAGCUCUUUGAUAUGAUAAUAAUGCAUUCGCAGUAGUACAUCCCGCGGUGCAGUUUCUGGCAGGAACCGUGGUCUAGGCAGACGGUGUAUUCGGUCCACGAGUAACAUGUCGGUUGGUAUGUCUGGAGCAUAAGCGUUAAACACGCCUCUGACAUAUGCCUGCAGGUUCUCCGGCACAACAUCCUCUGGGAUCCCUCUAAUGCGCAGGUUAUUCCUGCGUGCGCGGUCCUCUAGGUCAGUUAUUUUAUUUUCCGCCGCCAGUAAUUUUUGUUCCAGUUGUUCCAAAUGAGAAGCUAUGUCAUUGUGUGCUGUAGCAAAUUCUGCCAUCUUGUUCUCCAUGUGGGAGGUGCGCUUGCCUAAUUCUUGCAUGUCCUUCCUCAGCGAAUCCGCUGUAUGUUGCCACGAUGUAAUUAGCUUGCUUGACAGGGUGUCCAGAGCUUGUUGUAAAUAGCUCUUGGUGAGUAUGUCAGGAUCACUUUCUUGCAAUGCUGCUGUGUUCUCAGGGCUGUCAGUAGCGGAGCCGCCAUCUUGCGACCAGGCCCGAGCCUCCUCCGGUUCCUGGUGCGACUUGUGUCCAAAGAAAUUGAUUUUUUCCGCUUUGUGUGCAGACUUCUUGCCUCUCUGCUGUGCCAUCUUCGUUUUUUAAGCAGUUGUGCCGCCGUGUUGCGUUCGAUGGAGUCGGAUUGCGACCCGUGUUGCCGGAGUGAACGGGUUACACGUCCAUUCCUCUCGGCGGUUAGCCACGCCCCCCUGAAUUGUACUCUUAAUAGUUGAUAACAUGAGAAUUAUGCUUACUGUUGUUUACAUAAAUUAUUUAGGUAAAUGAGAAAACUAUAAUUUGCAUAAUAAUUUGGAAUAGGGUGUAUGUUCCAAUCUCACACCCAUCUCACUACAUAAUAGUGACGCCAAAAUAUAUGCUAAACUUUGUGCUGCAAGACUUUCACUUACUGUACCAGAUAUUAUUCAUCCCGAGCAAGCGGGUUUUGUGAAAACUAGAUGGGAUUCUGACCACACACAUAAACUACUGAAUCUACUACAGCUAAUGCAUUUUCAAGGGACUAGAGUCUUGUUAAUGGCAUUAGAUACAGAAAUAGCCUUUGACAGGUUAAACUGGAUGAAUAUGACUUUGAUCUUGGAGUCCUUUACCUCGGAAUGUAAUUACAGCGCUCAUGGUUCUAUAUUAUAAGCCAAUUGCCCAAAUAUAUUAUGCAGGGUUCACUUCUCCCUCGUUCCCAAUCACAAAUGGUACAUGUCUGGGUUGUCCCCUUUCCCCCAUCUUCUUUAUAUUGGCCAAGCCAUUAGCUAUUGCACUGAGACAACAAACGGCUAUUUCAAGAGAUCCAAUUUAAUGAGAAACACUAUCUCUUAAACCUGUCUGCAGACAAUAUUUUGCUGACAAGCACUGACCCGUCCACUUCAUUGACUGCCACCAAUUCCCUCUUAGACCAAUUAGCGAAACUCUGCCACUAUAAGUUGAAGGUUGAAAAGAAAAACAGACUUUUCCCAUGGGAAUACCUGCUAGGGAGCUUAGUUUGAAAGCUGCUCAUGCAUAUGAUUGAGCAUAGACUUCAUUUAAUAUACAGGAGUUAAAAGCUCUUUAUGCAUAACAAAUAUUAAUUAGCUCAACUAUCAUCCACUUAUUGAUAUGAUUAAGUCGAAUCUGCACUCAUGGAAAAAUAUUAUAUUAUGGUGGCUGGGAUGAAUCCACACUUUGAAAAUGAUGAUAUUACCCAAAUUGCUGUAUGUGUUUAAGAUGCUGCUGAAACCAGUCCAUACGAAGUUUUUUCAGACUGUACAGCAACGUUUUAUCAGUUUCAUAUGAGGCCACAGAAGGCCAAGAAUAGUGAAUGCUGUUUCAUUUCUUCACAUUACUAAAGGAGGAUUGUGAAUCCCUAAUAUAAGGGAAUACCACUAGGCUACACUGUUCUCCCAGGCAUUGCGCUUACAUGUAGGAGCAAAACAUCCUCAAUGGGUAACUAAUCAUUAAACUCCCAGGUAACAUCUAUGUCUAGUUACUUGCUGAUACCAAAGAAUAUUAGAAAGUCCAGACCUGAUUUCUUUCCUUCCACAUGCUAUGCAAUCUCUAUAUGGGACCAGCAUUUGGCCUAACACAACUGAGGUCCAUGACUUUUCUUUCUUGUUAUCCAGUUCUGAAGUGUUAUCUCCCAUGACAAGAUUGUUACCAUUGUACAAUUUUGCCUCACUUACACCGAAGCUGAGUGCUCUUAAGCCUCACUAUAUUCAGAGGUAAGAGGGGCUCUCCAGUUCCUGAUGCAAAGCUGGCUGAAAGCUUUUAAUUCCUUACAUAAACUAACAAAGUGUACCAAUACAAACUAUUGCUAUGAUGGUACCUUCCUCCAAAUACAUAAGAUAUAUCCAAACACCUCUCCGACUUGCUGGAGAUGUGGAGUUGAGACAAGUACAUUAUUGCACAUUUCGUGGAGUUGCCCCAAAUACAGCCAUACUGGGAACAGGUGCAACUCCUUACAGUUGGUGGCUGAGGUUCAGGUCCCCAUCUCAACAAAUUAUGUUUUGCUCUUGCUUGUUCCCCCAAAAGAUACCUGCGAAGGUGCAAGGAUUAUUCUGCACAUUUUGACUGUGGCCCAGUUGUGCCUCGCUAAGGCGUGGAAGGCACGAGAUCCUCCAACUCUGAUGAGUGUCAUAGAUGGAAUAAUUGAGAGCAAAAUUGUGAAAUUCAAUGACUUCUUAUCUAACCCCGUCUGUUUCUUCUCUUGCAGCACUUAGUUGGUAGGAAAAUAGUAGUUAGAUUGAGGGAUUAUGGGGCAAGGUCGGCUUCUUCUGGGUGAAGAGUGAUCCAGGGAACCUGAGAGAGGGCUGGGGGGAGCACUGGUGGUCUGUCUGCUGGGGGAGUGGUCCGCUCGAGGGUCUGUUCUAUUUAGUUUUAAUUUCUUUUAACUCGCGAUAGGAUACUAUGCUUUAUGUUAGAUCAAUGCUCAAAUGCGGGUCACUUAGGUUUUGGUAUUAAAUGAAUUGCUUCUCAGGCAGAUUGUGAUUGAUAGCUAUGUACUCUUUAUUACCAGAAUGAUAGUUGCAAAAACUAGCCCUGCAUUGAUACCAGAGCUUUCCUGCAUCACCAAAUCGUGAUCAGACACUACUAGAAUACCAGGGUGCUCUGGAGUAAUUAUGGAGUUGAAUGCAGACUGUAUAUUUAGUGAGGUUUUGCUUUUAUGUUUUUGUAUGAUAUAAGGCGGUCCUGCAUGUCCGCAAAGUGUAACCGUAUAUAUUGCAAUCUGACCCUAUGUUCAUCUUCUGUACCAUCUGUCUUAUUUGUUUUAUAUGUCAUAUUAUAAAACUCAAAAACUACAAGUUCAAAAAACAAACAAUGCAAAUACUGAUAAUAUAUGCCUCUUCCAAUGGGAUUCCAAAGUCAACGUACUGAUAUUGUGGUGGAAUCUCGGUAAAAAUAAAUUUAGUAGGCCGAGAUUACCACAUGGCAUGUGUACGUGCAUAUGCUGACGUAUCGAUCAGUUGGUUGCACGAGGCAAGAUACGAUCAGUAGUGUACGGAGCAUGUGCAAGGAUACAGGAUGUAGUAUUCCCCUCCUCCAUUGUGCUGGACAAGCCAUGUGGUCAAGCAGGAAGUUAAUUCUUAUUUGUAAUGAUUGGUCAAGAGAAUGUGCGGGUGGAGCUUAAUAUGGGAGGAGUUAUGUGCCUAUAUAGGAAGCCUGCACUAUUGUUCAGGGCUCAGAACUUGCUGUAUUUUUGGUGACAUUAGUCCCUCUGAGUCCCGAUCGGUGAUCCAAUAAAGAAUCUCUUCCUUCCUGAAGAAACCUGUGUCCAUCCCUCUGUGCUUUGCUUCCGUCAGUUUCUCCGGUAUCAUUUGGUGCAUUGGCCGGGAAGCUCAUCGUUCAACGGUAGCUGAGAGGCAGAGGCGUGAGACGGUCUAUCUUUGCCCACGUUCUCUACGGCUGCACCCCUGAACUUCUGCGUGGACCUCCCUUCGUCUCGGCGCCACUGGUCUGUUGUCCAGGAGAUCAUCGGCCUCUACGUAAGAAGUGCUGGGGUGUCCCCGUCGAUGAGUGUGAACUCAGGUUCAGGAACGAGGAGGUAAGACAACUGCUGUUUUAGACGGCAGACCCACUAGGGGUAUACCGAUUGUGCGGUAGGCCCAAAAGGGGUUUAAAUCUGUGUAUGGAAUCUGCCCCCUCUGUCGGAGGGAAGGAGCGAAGGCGCACCGCUCGAUCGAACGCUCUUUAGUAAGACCGUUUGAUCUGGUUAGUCAGGCGGGGUCCUGUGUAAAUAGCCCUAGCCGGACACCGGUGUCUUGUCUAGACUAGCGUUCUAGGGUGUAUAUUACGUUCGCUAGGUCGGAGGGACCGGGAGACUAAGCGGCGCCUGUGUAAAUUCGGUUCGCUAGCUCUCAACCUAUCUUGGCUAAGUGGGAAGGCGUGUAAAUUUGGAACCCACUAGACUUUUGAUAGAGUAAAUAGACUAGAAGGGCAAUUUUGUAAAUUUCGCCCUCUAGUUCGCUAUAUGUGGUGCUUGGGCAGUGUGGCUAACCAAAACGGGUGUAUAUAGUUUUAGGUAGUCCAUUCAAGGUACUGGCCAAUAGUUUAGUUGGGAUUGUAAAUGUGUUAAAGAUUGUUAGUAAAGUGUAUAUCUUGUUAGAUAGCGCGAGCUCAGCCGUCUAGCGAGAGUGUUAAUAGUGUGUUGCUGUAUCAUAGUGCACGGUACCAUAACCCUGUAUAUUUACUGACACUGUAUAUAAGUACUAAUCAUUGUCGUCUAUUGCAUGUUUAACACCGUAACCACUAAUAAUUGUAUUGUGACCUUAAAUUGUGCUUUGACCUAUGCUAACCGUACUGUAACCGAUACUAGUAAAAGGCGAUGUUACUGGGGUGUGUUAUAGACGGGUAAUUCAUAUAUAGAGAAUUAUAGCGUGGGUGACUGUAUAGUUUCGCCAAAGGGCAUAAUAUUGAUUAUUUAGUGACUGGUGUAACAGCUGUGUGUGUACGGGAAUUCCCUGAGUGAUUAUUGUGUUAUUGUGUACGUUUCACUCGGUAACUGUACCACGUGGUGCUGUUGCCAGAGGAAACGGGUGUGACUGUUGAAUAAGAACGCGUGCAUAGUAUUCGUUGUCAACGACGUUCCAUUGAUAAGUAUGGGCGCGUCAGAGUCAACGAUUUCGGAUCCCUUAGGUUGUAUGGUAAAGAAUUUUAAAAAGGGAUUCAAAAUAUGUGAUUUUGGGGUUAAAAUGUCUCCUGUACGUUUGGUCACUUUGUGCACUAGGGAGUGGCCUAUUUUGGUUGCGGCAUGGCCGCCGCGUGGCAGUUUGGAUCCAACCCUGGUACAGCGUGUACACGUGGCUGUGUCAGGUAGGCCUGAACUUUACGGACAGUUUCCAUACAUUGAUUGUUGGGGGCAGGCCGUAAACGACUCGCCAAAAUGGAUCCGGAUAUGCCACGAGGAGCAAUGUCGCCUCAUGGUGGCCAGGACUUGUUUGUCCACUAGGACUGGUGUUAGGCCCAUUUUGGACACGCCCCCUGAGUCCGAGAUCCCUUUGCCGCCCCCUUACUUUCCUUUAAGAGGAAGUGACGCGAAUGCAGGAAGUUCUGCACCCCUUCCCCUAUUGCCCCCAUCCACUUCCGCUUCCUCCUCCAGUACAGAAUCCACCCCCCCUCGUAUUAAAACUCCCCUUCCGGAACCAGGACCAACCCCCAUUAGAUCUGAAUAUCCUGAUUUGGCGCCACUUCAAACUUCCGGUCAAGCUUCUUCUAGCUCGGCUCGGAGUAUACUAUUCACUAAUUUUUCCCAAAAUCAAGUUCCCACAUCCUCAUGCCCUAUUACCUCUCGACCGGAACCUUUAACUGACGCCCCUCCACGUAGCCCCAUACUAACCCGACAACUGGCCGGUACCCAACAAUUAAAACAUUAUCAGAUGCCUCUUCGUCUGAAUCCUGGGUCAGCCUAUAUCGAUGCCGCAGGUCAAAUGGCACAUGCUGACCCAGUCUUCGUAUAUGUCCCGUUCACGACUACCGAUCUCUUGAAUUGGAAGACCCACAAUUCCUCGUACACUGAGAAACCACAAGCUAUGACCGAUCUGUUCACCUCGAUGGUUCAGACACAUAACCCGACAUGGGCUGAUUGCCAGCAGUUAUUAAUGACAUUGUUCAAUAAUGAGGAAAGGACAAGGAUUAACCAAGCGGCCAUUAAGGCGCUAGAGGAGAGAGCCCGUGCUUUAAAUCAAGCCAAUCCGGCAGCAUGGGCCGCAACACAUUACCCUAACACCGAUCCUGACUGGAAUGUAAAUGGCGCAGAUAUGGCUCAACUUAAAGCCUAUAGAGACGCUAUAAUUGCUGGCAUGAAAGCCGGAGGGAAGAAAGCUAUUAACAUGUCGAAGACAGUUGAGGUGAUUCAGAAAAGUGAUGAAGCGCCCAGUGUCUUUUAUGACCGAUUAUUGGAGGCAUACCGCUUGUAUACCCCCUUUAAUCCGGAAGACGCUGAUAAUUUCCGAAUGGUAAACUCCGCCUUUGUCAGCCAAGCUUACGGAGAUAUUAAGCGCAAGCUACAGAAAUUAGAAGGGUUUGCAGGUAUGUCUAUCACCCAACUAAUGGAGGUAGCGAACAAAGUAUAUAUGAAUAGGGAAACAGAAAGUAAGAAAGAGGAAGAGCGCAAGAUGCGUAGAAAGGCAGAUAUGCUAGCGGUAGCGAUCGCAGGCGUAGAUAGACGGGGCCCAGAUAGAGGCGAUGGUAGAUGGAAUAGGGAGCCUUUGAGUAGGAAUCAGUGCGCGUACUGCAAGGAAGAAGGGCAUUGGAGGAAUGAGUGUCCGCAAAGAGAGCAGUAUGAGAGAGACUUACCCAGGGCAGGUUAUGGAAACUUUAGAGGCAGAGCGAGAGGUAGAGGAGGCCCCGGAGGGAGUAAUGGUAAUAGAGGGAGUAAUGGGAACAGAGGAAGUGUAAGGGAAGAUAGGUACUAUCCAGCAGCGCAAAGGUCCCGCGAUAGAGAAGGUAGGGACUUUGUGGGAUUGGCUGACACGGUCAUGGAGGACUAUUGAUACCGACCGGGCUCCAUCCCCCUUGGUCGAGCGGAGCCUAUGGUCGAUGUAUCAAUAGGGGAAAAAAGGAGUGCGUUUAUGAUCGACACUGGUGCUGAACAUUCGGUGGUGACUAAUCAAGUUGCUCCUCCAUCUGGAAGAACUAUUACUGUAAUAGGAGCAACUGGAAGAAGUGCUGAAAAACCGGUUCUUAAAAGUCGACUCUGUACAUUGGGAGGCCACGUAGUAAAACAUCAAUUCCUUUAUAUGCCUGAGUGUCCAGUCCAAUUGCUGGGACGUGAUAUGCUAUCCAAAUUACAAGCGCAGAUUACGUUCCUACCAAAUGGAACAACAUCCUUAAAGUUUAAUGGACCCUCAGGUAUUAUGACAUUGUCCGUACCAAAGGAAGAAGAGUGGCGACUUUAUACAGUGUUGACUAGCCAAAACCCGAGGAGUGAUGAAUCCUUAUUUAACAUACCAGGAGUUUGGGCAGAGAACAACCCACCAGGACUGGCCCGCAAUAUUCCACCUAUUAAAAUCGAACUAAAACUUGGGGUUUAUCCAGUAAGCCUGAGACAAUAUCAUAUUCCGCAGAAGGCUAAGAAGAACAUCCAAUCUUAUCUGGAUAAGUUCAUACGGUAUGGUAUCCUAAAAUUCUGUACUUCCCCUGGAACACCCCAUUGCUGCCUGUUCAAAAGCCCGGUACAGAUGAGUAUCGACCUGUGCAGGACUUGAGAGCAGUCAAUGAUGCGGUUGUUAGUAUACAUCCAGUCGUGCCCAAUCCGUAUAACCUGCUUGCUUUAAUUCCGAGCGGGGCUACUUACUUUACAGUCUUAGAUCUCAAAGAUGCCUUCUUUUGCCUCCGAAUUGCCGUAGAGAGCCAAUGUAUCUUUGCUUUCCAAUGGGAAAAUGCUGUAACGGGCUCGAAACGCCAAAUGACCUGGACAAGAUUGCCCCAGGGGUUUAAAAAUUCACCUACCCUAUUUGGUUCAGCUCUAAGCCAAGAUCUACUAGAUUUUGAGUCUAUCCCAGGAGAGUGUGUUUUAUUACAAUAUGUAGAUGACUUGUUGAUAGCAGCAGUUACAAAGGAAGUAUGUCAGCAAGCAACGCAUGAUCUACUACACAUCCUCUGGAAGGCAGGAUACAAGGUGUCAAGAAGGAAGGCUCAGUUGUGUUUGCCAACUGUCAAAUAUCUGGGAUUCCAUAUCUCUGAAGGUCAAAGAAUUAUGGGGCCAGAGAGAAAAGAAGCUGUGUGCCAAAUACCGAUACCCAGGAAUAGAAGACAAGUGCGAGAAUUCUUGGGGGCAGCAGGCUUCUGUAGGAUAUGGAUUCCCAGCUACGCGAUACUGGCAAAACCUCUGUAUGCAGCUAUCAAAGGUACAGAGCACGACCCCUUCUUAUGGACUCAAGAACAGCAAACGGCAUUCGAAGAUGUAAAGAGGGCUUUGAUGAGUGCCCCAGCAUUAGGUCUACCUGACCACACACAGCCAUUCUACCUGUAUGUACAUGAGCAAAGAAGAAUGGCUGUGGGAGUAUUGACACAGUACUUGGGAUCAUGGCAAAGACCUGUUGCCUACAUGUCUAAGCAACUGGAUGCAGUGGCCAGCGGACUUCCACCUUGUCUAAGAGCUGUAGCUGCAGCCGCCCUGCUAGUAGCUGAAGCCGAUAAACUCACUCUGGGUCAAGAACUUUAUGUACGAGUUCCACAUGCAGUACAGACGUUGUUGGAUUACAAAGGAAAUCAUUGGUUUAGUAACAGCCGUAUGACCAAGUAUCAAGCAAUGUUGUGUGAAACCCCAAGAGUGCAUUUAGAGACUGUAAAUACCUUAAAUCCAGCUACCCUUUUGCCACAACCUACUGAAAGUCAACAUGAUUGUUUGGAAGUAAUGGAUGAAGUAUUUUCAAGUAGACCAAAUCUUCGUGAUUUUCCCAUCCAGAACCCUGAUGUUCAAUAUUACACCGACGGCAGUAGUUAUGUAAAAGAAGGGAUCCGCUAUGCAGGAUAUGCAGUAACAACGAUAGACAAGGUGAUAGAAGCUUGGCCACUGGCGAAAGGAACAUCAGCACAAAAGGCAGAAUUGAUAGCACUGACACGAGCGUUACAAUUGGCUGAAGGUUUAAGAGUGAACAUCUACACGGACUCCAAGUAUGCGUUUUUAACCACUCAUGCCCAUGGAGCUUUGUAUAAAGAAAGAGGACUAUUGAAUUCAGAAGGCAAAGAAAUCAAAUACGCAGCUGAGAUCCUACAACUAUUGGAAGCAGUGCGGGAGCCGAAAGAAGUCGGUAUUAUACAUUGUCGGGCGCAUCUGAGAGGAGAUGGUGAUGUAACCAAAGGGAAUCGGAUGGCAGAUAGUGCAGCUAAGCGUGCUGCUGAAUCAGGAAGACAGGAAUAUGUAGGGCAUAUAGCUGCUCUUAUACCAACUCCACUGUCUCAAUGGACUCCAAUUUAUACAGCUCAAGAAGAGGAGUGGUUAAGGACUGAACCUGGAAAGUAUUUGGAGAACAAAUGGUAUCAGUUAGAAGAUGGAAGAAUAGUUAUUCCAGCAUCACUAGCGGUAGAAAUUGUCCAAAACUAUCAUAACGGGACACAUUCUGGGAGACAGUACAGAAGAAUCUCUCAGAAAACAUUUCUACAUACCAAGAUUGUCCAACUUGACUCAGGCCAUUGUACGUAGAUGUGUAACGUGUGCUAAAAAUAAUGCAAGACAAGGACCAGUAAAGCCACCAGGAGUCCAGUUUAUGGGGGGACUUCCCAUGUCCGAUUUACAAAUUGACUAUACAGUGAUACCUAAAUCGGGUGGACAUCGCUACCUGCUGGUAGUGGUGUGCACCUAUUCAGGCUGGGUAGAAGCAUGUCCUACUCGUACAGAGAAAGCAGGAGAAGUCGUGAGAUUCCUGCUACGAGAAGUAAUACCCCGAUAUGGACUACCCUGCUCUAUAGGAUCGGACAAUGGUCCAGCUUUUGUUCAUCAGUGCCUACAACAAUUGACUCAUAUGCUUGGUAUAAAGUGGAGGCUUCAUACGGCAUAUAGACCCCAGAGUUCUGGUAAGGUAGAGAGAAUGAAUAGAACUAUUAAGAAUCAGUUGGCUAAAAUGUGUCAGGAAACCCAACUUAAGUGGAGCGUUCUCUUGCCCAUAGCUCUAUUGCGAAUCCGUAGUACACCUACCAGAAGGAUGGGCCUCUCUCCUUUUGAAAUCAUGUACGGGCGACCACCUCCCGUGCUUAGUAACUUAAGGGGGGAUUUGAGUCAGUUGGGAGAAGGAAUUACCCGGCAGCAGGUUGUAGAGUUGGGUAAGACUAUGGAGGAGGUACAGAAAUGGGUACAAGAUAGAUUACCUGUGAAUAUUUAUCCCACAAUUCAUAGUUACCACCCAGGCGACCAAGUGUGGAUUAAAGAGUGGAAUAAUGUGCCGUUAGGGCCCAAGUGGAGAGGUCCUUAUGUUGUUCUUCUGUCUACCCCUACAGCGAUAAAAGUAGCCGAAGUGGCUCCGUGGAUACAUCACUCUAGGGUUAAACCAGCAGCCGAUUCCUGGCAAGUUACAGCAAAUCCAGAGAAUCCCUGCAAAAUCCGGUUAAAACGCACGACUCAGUCGGAGUGACGAGGAACCUUGUGGAUCACAAAUUUUAUUGUUUCAGAGACUUGGUAAGUGAGUGAGAAGGCCAUAAUAAAGCCUGUCCACUCACCAACGAGUGUAUAAGUCAAGGAAAGUCUUGAGGGGACCCCUGUGANNNNNNNNNNNNNNNNNNNNNNNNNNNNNNNNNNNNNNNNNNNNNNNNNNNNNNNNNNNNNNNNNNNNNNNNNNNNNNNNNNNNNNNNNNNNNNNNNNNNUAAUUAUAGUAACAUUUAUGUAAAAUGUUCUUUGUUCCAAAAGGAUCUUUAGCCAGGUGUUAAUAGCAUUUUAACGCUACAAGUACACUCCAUAUAUUAAAUCUCCCUACCUUGUAUGGUGGCUGGGGAAAACCAGGAAGUCAUAGAAUAACGUCAGCCUAUUUUACUUGCAGACCCUAAAUCUCCAAUGUGUGUCUGCUGCCAAUACCAAUGCAAACCAUUGGUAUAAGGCUACAGGGUUCAAGUUGACUGUAGUUUGCAACUGCAGUGAACAUCUGGUCAUGAAUGAAAGGUAUGCCCAGUAACACUAAGCAUUGGGCAGCUGAUAAAAAAUUCAACAUUUUACUUGUUGGCACAGUUGUUUUGAAGAACUCUCUAGAGCUUCCUGAAUUAUAUUAAGAAUUUUUUACUGCGGCAAUCUAUAUCUGUUAGAACAGCUGGUGUUGAAAAGGAUCUCUCACUCUCAUGUGCUGGGGGACCUCAUGUUCAAAUCUCUCUUCUUUUACCGGAUUUGUCCUUGAAAACUUAGCCCUAUCUCUAAGGUACUUGUAAAACAAAUAGCACGGACAUAACAGCGCAUUUGUUCCAACUCCCCAGAAGAAGAUAACAUACCUGAAUUCAAGGUGGAGCAUGUGGUUUUUUUUUGUUUUUUUUUAACAGCAAGUCAAUUCUUAUAGGGAGGAUUCAGAAUGUAAAAGACCUUGAAAAUCUAUGGGAUGAAAUUAGUUGGCUUCUACAACAGAAAGAAAUACAUCUAUUUUAAAAAGAAUUUCAAAUAAAAAUACUUCUGCCAUUAAAAUAGAGUAAGAAACAAUAGCUUAAAAAUGUAAUUAAACAUAAUUUUUUUAUAAUGACACUAUAAAAAUUAUUUUAUUUUUACUUGAUCUUUAUAUUAUAUAUUUUUUGCUUUUUUUAUUAUUUCACUAGGAAAAUAUACUCUGAUGCUCGGUAUAGUCUCAUUUGUUCAAUACAAUAAUAGAAAUAUUACCUUUGUACAUUUUCUCAGUCUUACAUAGAUAAUUAUUCUGAUUAUUACCCUUACUAGAUAUUCCAAUCAGAUCAUGUUACCCACCAUAGGAUAUAUUUAUGGGAACUGCAGCAUAAAUCUGCGUUGAUAUUAUUUUAUUCAGAACAGCAAACUAAUGUAUGUUACAAAAAAACUGCAGUCGGAUUUUCCUGAAAGGAACACUAUAGUCACCUAAAUUACUUUAGCUAAAUAAAGCAGUUUUAGUGUAUAGAUCAUUCCCCUGCAAUUUCACUGCUCAAUUCACUGUCAUUUAGGAGUUAAAUCACUUUGUUUCUGUUUAUGCAGCCCUAGCCACACCUCCCCUGGCUAUUAUCGACAGAGCCUGCAUGAAAAAAAAAACUGAUUUCACUUUCAAACAGAUGUAAUUUACCUUAAAUAAUUGUAUCUCAAUCUCUAAAUUGAACUUUAAUCACAUACAGGAGGCUCUUGCAGGGUCUAGCAAGCUAUUAACAUAGCAGGGGAUAAGAAAAUCUUAAUUAAACAGAACUUGCAAUAAAGAAAGCCUAAAUAGGGCUCUCUUUACAGAAAGUGUUUAUGGAAGGCUGUGCAAGUCACAUGCAGGGAGGUGUGACUAGGGUUCAUAAACAAAGGGAUUUAACUCCUAAAUGGCAGAGGAUUGAGCAGUGAGGCUGCAGGGGCAUGUUCUAUACACCAAAACUGCUUCAUUAAGCUAAAGUUGUUCAGGUGACUAUAGUGUCCCUUUAACUUACUGGAUUUGAGAUAUGCACUCAUAAUUUGCAGAAUGUAUAGCUUCCAACAUUUAUUUAGCAGGGCAUUAAUUUGAAUGUUUAGUUGACCCAUGAUGGAUUGAUUAUAAUUUAGAUAACUGUGUACUGGGGUUUUAGGACAAGAGUAAUAUAAUUUCAACAAACGUAGAUUUUAUUUGGAUGAAACCCUGGGAUAAACUCAUAGAAACUAAAAACACUGAUUUUUUUUUUUGGGGGGGGGGGAAAUUAAUUACCAGAAAAGAAAAGAACAAUAGAUGGAUUUGGGGAAGAUUUAGGAAAUGUGAUAACUUAGUAGGUAAAUGUAGCAAUAUGAUUGGCUAGGUUUACCCCAAGGUAAGCUCUAAAGAGUCUUAUAUUUUGACCAAUAACAUGUUUGGUACCCAUUGCUUCUAGUGCCAGUGAUGAUGUUCGAGUUAGAAUUAUCUCAUUAUUUGUACUCAUUCAAUCAGAGUUCCAAUAUUGACAAAAGGUAAAUUAAUGAAAGCGUAUCUUGAGUUUGUUUCAACUUGGCAAUGAUGUUUAAUAUUUUUUAAUUACAGUUAGCCUUCUUACCUCAACAGGCUUAGGAGUUAGGUUUAAACGAUUUUGUGAGGAAACAUGUUAUCGUCAGGAAAGAACACAAUAUUUGAGUUGAACUGGUUUCCAUCAUAGAUAUACAACAGCGUGUUCUAAACAAGGGAAUAAAAUAUACAUACCACGCUCUACCAUUACUCUCAAACCGACUAAGUUGAAAAGAAAAAAUUGACUGCAGGCUAGUCGACCUUUAGUGAAUAAUUGUGUGGGGAUGAUUGGAAAGUAAUGGGAAGAUAAUACCACAUCCACUUGGAGGUCUUGGCUGAAAGCUACUACAGAGAACAAAAAAUGCACAGUAGAAAACUACCGGUAGUUUUUAUUUCAAGGUAUACAGAAUGAUAUCCAAAUUUGGUAAAAGUAGACUCCCCUUAAACUGAUUAAUGAUUUGGCAUUUCUUAUUGUUUUUAAUUUCUUGCGAAAAUGCUUGUUCCAAUAAAUGCGUUUUAAUUUCAUGAAGUCUUAUCAACUGUUCCUGUAUCUCUGGCAUUGUAAGAACAAAUGGGGAAUCCAUAUGCCAAUUUGCUGUUAUACCACACACCGAAAAGGUCAGGUCUACCAUAUUGUCAGUUUCAGCGGCAUGAAAACAAGCAAUUCAUUCACGUUAACUGUGUCAAUUUACAUUCUCGCAAUGUGUUUUUAUUUUAUUUAUUUUUUCACAGCAGACAACUUCAAUUAUUACUCAUAUUUUCUCAUUUUUUGGAGGAAGUGGUAAACUUAAGUCACAUUCUAAAUUUAGUCUAUUAUCUAUGCAGUACAAAUUUCACUUCUGUGUACUCGUGUUAGCUUGCAUAUUUCUCCAUGGUAACUAAACUAUGAUUAAAACAACAUUAAAAAUCAGCCUUGAAAGACCACCUGUUUAGCAGAAGCAAACAAAAUAGAAUUAACUCAUAUCAAUUUUCUGUUACAAAAUAUAUAAUGACCAAUGUUUUCCAAUCAAGUGCUGAUCAUUCUAUGGGAAAUGUUACAUUGGGUGUAUUUAUGUUUUCCUCAUAAUACAGCAAAUAUCUUGUGUCAUAUCUAAAAAGUAUUUCCAAAAUAAUUUAUGGCAAAAGUGUGAUUGUCAAUAUUUCCUGUAAUUUACAGAAGUCUACAUACGAAAAUGUGGAAAAUCAACACUGAAAUUGUAGAUUAAUGUAGAAACAUAAAUUCUGAUGACAGAUAAAAGGAAUUGCUCAUGUCCCAUUUAAAAACAAUGGUUGCACUCUCAGGACAGCUUCAUGUCUAUCCCAAGCUUAAUUACUGUUUAGUGAAUGAAACCGUAGAUUUGGCCAACAUUGGACAACAAAAUAUAUCUUAAAGAAUAAAUGGAGUUGAGGGGAGCUAUUUACUAAGCUUGGAGAUUCGGUUUGCUCCAAAUUGUAAGUCACGUAAUUGUCCACAUUCCAGAACUCUGAACCGCCAAACGGAACAACCAACUACCGAAAUAGACAAGCAUGUUCAUUUUCAUUCGUGAUUCGGAGGUCUGUCAGUGGUGCCAAAAACAAAUGAGAUUAUUGAUGGGAAGAAAGUUAAUUGAUGGAUAGGGGACAGCCACCAAACUUUGAGUUGAUUCAAAGAUAUUGUGAACAUUGACCAAUAGAGGGCAAAAAAGGUUGAGCAGUGAAUGACAAUCUAUAUUUAUGCAUUAUAUUUUAAAUAAAAAUAUAUCAAUGUAGAUUUUCUACUGCUCUUUCUUUUUCUCCACGAAUAGUUACUGCUUCUCACUUGAUCUGUGAGCACAUGGAGGGAAAAGGUGCCUACUAGUGUACUGCAAAAUAAAUACAUAAUACUUCCAUUAUGUAUAUAUUUUACAGUACACCGAUUUGCGUCCCCUUGGUUCAUCCAAUUUGUUUUCCAGAACCUCCACUUUGUCAAAAUUCUUCCAUGCUGAAAUUUUUUUUACAUUUUUGGACAAAGUAGUUUACCUAAAUAGACUUUUUUUCACCAGGCAUUCGUGUACUACUCACUAAAAUCUGAGUAGUAGCUGACAACAAACUUGAACAAACUAGAAUUUAGUAGAAAACUAAUGUUGUCACUCAAUAUUUUUAUACUCAAUGUUUGUUUUAAAAUCCCUGACCACAUAUGAUAUCAGUUUUGAAAUACCAAGGGGUUGAUUCCCAAAAGUGGAAAUUCAAAGCAUUAUACAUUUAAAGUGGAACACUAUAUAUAUAUAUAUAUAUAUAUAUAUAUAUAUAUAUAUAUACAUUUUUUUUUUUUUUGUAAUGUCUCAAAUUCCAGAUUUCAUUAGGGUUUAUUUACUAAACAGUGGUUCAACAGAAGCUGGUCACAGUAGCCCCUUUAUUGUUUUUUUAUUAAUUUUUUUUGCUUGUUUUACAUUUAGCUUACACCCUGUACCAAAUUAUUAUGCAAAUUCUAUUUAAGUGUCACAAAGAUUAAAUAUUUUGUUUUUCAGUUUAACUCAUGGAUGGCAUUGUGUCUCAGGGCUCUUUUGAUCAGUGAAAACAAUCUCGGACACCUGUGAUAAUUAGAUUGCCAGGUGAGCCCAAUUUAAGGAAAAACUACUAAAGGCGGGUGUUCCACAUUAUUAAGCAGAACACCAUUUUCAUGCAAAAUGGGGAAGAAAAAGGAUCUCUCUGCUGCCAAAAAGAGUGAAAUAGUUCAAUGCCUUGGAUGAGGUAUAAAAACAUUAGAUAUUUCUAAGCGUGAUCAUCGCACUAUUAAGAGAUUUGUGGCUGAUUCAGAGCACAGACGGGUUCGUGCAGAUAAAGGAACAUUGAGGAAGAUUUCUGCCAGAUCCAUGCAUCGGAUCAAGAGAGCAUCUGCUAAAAUACCAUUACAUAGCAGCAAACAGAUAUUUGAAGGUGCUGGUGCCUCUGGAGUCGCACAGACAUCAAGGUGUAGAGUCCUCUAGAGUCUUGCAACUGUUCAUAAACCUUCUAUUCGGCCACCACUAACCAAUGCUCACAAGCAGAAACGGCUGCAUUGGGCAGAAAAAUACAUGAAGACUAAUUUUCAAACAGUCCUGUUCACUGACGAGUGCCGUGCAACCCUGGAUGGUGCAGAUGGAUGGAGUAGUGGAUGGUUGGUGGACGGCCACCAUGUUCCAACAAGGCUGCAACGUCAGCAAGGCGGUGGUGGAGUCAUGUUUUGGGUCGGAAUCAUGGGAAGCUGGUCGGCCCCUUUAGGGUCCCCAAAGGUGUAAAGAUGACCUCUGCAAAGUAUGUGGACUUUCUGACUGACCACUUUCUUCCCUGGUACAGAAGGAAGAACUAUGCUUUCCGUAAUAAAAUCGUCUUUAUGCAUGACAAUGCACCAUCUCAUGCUGCAAAGAAUACCUCUACAUCAAUGGCUGCUAUGGCGAUAAAAGGAGAGAAAGUCAUGGUGUGGCCUCCAUCCUCCCCUGACCUCAAUCCUAUUGAGAGCCUUUGGAGCAUCCUCAAGCAAAAGAUCUAUGAGGGAGGGAGGCAGUUUACAUCCAAACAGCAGCUCUGGGAGGCUAUUCUGAUAUCUUGCAAACAAAUUCAAACAGAUCUGUCCAAAAACUCACAAGUUCAAUGGAUGCAAGACUUGUGAAGCUGCUAUCAAAUAAUGGGUCCUAUGUUAAAAUGUAACAUGACCUGUUAAAAUGUUCAAAAAGUUAAAAUGUUGCUAUAAGUUUGAUUGAAAUAGCUUUUGAUUUCAGUAAAUAUGCUGCAAACUCAACAAAUGGCAAUUUUCAGCCUAUAACGUGUUUUGAAACUUACUGUGGGUAAUAAUUUGGAACAGUGCAUUGUAAGUUUUUUAUGUUUAAAAAAAAUACUGUUAUCAUUAGGAGGUUUGCUCAAUAAAAUAUGAAUUGUACUCUUAAUAGUUGAUAACAUGAGAAUUAGAAUAUCAUUUGCAUAAUAAUUUGGAACAGGGUUUAUUUAUAACAAGUUGUACAGAUUUCACAUAUCUCCCUAUUUUAUGUUAUUUUUCUUGGGUACAAAAGGUAAACAUCUACUAAUAUCACCAAACUGCUAUAUUCACUUUUUGAAAUGUACCUCCUCCAGCAAUAUAGGGCAGUCUUGCUUUUUUCUUUUUCUAAUUUCAAUCUUCAUGAAAAUAGCAAAGCAAACUGUCCUUGUUUCAUUUUGGGCAGUGCUUUGAGAUGAAAUGUUCCCUUGAGAAUUCAUUGCAUUGACCUUGAAUGUAUUUGUACUUAAUAAACAUAUCCUCCCUCAAGGGCGCAUGUUUUGUAAGGUAAACAUAACCUAUUUAGCUAGCCUUCCCUUAUAACGAAUAUCAUCUAUUUGCUUUAUUAAUUUAUUGUCCUUCUUUCAACUUGUUCAAGCUAUGUGAAGUAAUAAAACAAACUGUUUACUGAAAAUGUUUACUAUGACCUGCCAAGACCCACAGUUUUUUAGAUGAAAAAUCUAAUUUUAAGGGUAACUGUCACUUCCCAAAGUUUUAAUAUAAUUUUUCAUUAUCUCUUCUAUUUAAGUAUGAGUAAAAAAAUACCAUUAUUUAAAACAAAAAAAUUAAGGGAAAAAGAAACCCCAAAACAACAAAUUCUUAAACAAACAAUAUUGGAACCCCGUUGAUCUUAAAUUUGCAGGAUACCAAGCAUUUUCUUUUCUAAAAUAAGCAUUAUUUUUUGUUAUUCUUAUUCGCAUUUAUAUAGUGUUUACUUAUUCCACAGCGCUUUACAAUAUUAUAAAGUGGGAAUUUAACAAUAAAGGAGACAAUUAGAUAAUGUUACAGAAACAAUACGUUGAUGAGGACCCUGCUCAAACGAGCUUACAGUCUAGAGGAGGUGGAGUAUAAAAACACAAUAGGAAGGGGCAUCUGGAUAGCAACCAAAUGACAAGAUGGGAAAAUAUUUUCCAUUUCUUAACUUUUUAAUUAGUUGACCUGUUAACCAUUGCAGUGCCAAAGUAGUGCGUAAUGUAUCACGUUAUCUCCUGGUUAGUUUCCUUCUAACCAGCAAAUAGAACUGGAAAGUGGGAGCGGAGUGUGGCACCUUAAGAGAGAGCCAGAGACAGGUUUGUGACAUACAAUUUACUCUGGGAGAACAUACACUUUUCUGAAGAGAUGGCUUUUGAGUGACUUCUAAAUGAUUGCAGACUAGGUGAGAAUCUGAUGGGGGUAGGCAUGCUGUUCCCAAGGAAAGGAGCCGCCUGAGAGAAGUCCUGCAUGCGCAAGUUAGCAGUAAGAGUACGAUAAGCUGACAGGAGACAAUCACCAGCAGAGUGGAGAGAAGGGGCAUAGCUACGAAUUAGUGAGGAAAUUUUUAACAUUUAUAAGAAAAUGCUCAGUAUCUGCAUCAAUUUAAAGAUUAAUAGAAAUAUUUCGUAACUUUUUUGUUUGUUUGUUUUAUUUUGGUAAUUAAAUAUGUUUUCAUACAAGGAAACACCUAAAAGUGAAACCUAUACUUAUUGACAACCUGACAAUUGAAUCUUAUAUUUUACACCUUUUUCUAAAAAAUAAUAUUAAAUAUAAAAUCUUGCAAAUGGGUUCUGUCCUGUGCACCUGGCAGUCAGCAUAGAGAAAGUAUAAAGGAAAAAGGGAUGAGAUAUGUGCCCUGGAUGUACCUGGGCUAAACUUGAUUGUAAUGUAAAAAAGAGCUAAACACAAGUUACAGGUGAUUUACAUGUUUAAUUCAUGUUCAUUCAAUAUUUAAAUAAGAAGGGAUAUACCACUUUAAUAUCUACUGAAUUUACAGCUGGUGGAUGCAAUUGAUCAACUUAACAUACAUCUAAUUUUUAUAUUAUUAAUAUUACCUAUUGAAUCAGCUUCCUUACUCAUUAUUAGUUUAUUUUUUUUUUUUAAAUAUUAUAUUUGCUGGACUAUCAAAACUUUAAGCUUUGCUGGCAUUAAGCCUGAAAAGGCAUCAUUGGAAACAGACAUUAUUCUAUGAUAACUUGGAUGGAUUAAAAUGUACAUAACUUGAUUUGAAUGUACAAGUCCAGUUGGUCAAGAAAUAAAGAUCAGUAAAUGAUGAGGAAAUCAGAGAUAACAUGAAAUGUUAUUAAGGCAGUUGAAGUGGUUACCAAACUACAGAAAGAAAGGGAAAUUGAACCCUAAUAUCCAAAACUGUUAUAGAGAAGGACUUUCUUGGCAAAGUAAUCUCUAGACAUGUGCAAUUCGUUUCGGGCCGAAUAUGAAUUGCCGAAGUCCCGGAAUUACCGAGGUCCUGAAGUUCCGAAAUUACCGAAUUGUCGAAGUGCCAAAGUUCCGAAGUGCUGAAGUUGCCGAAGUUCCGAAUUGCCGAAGUUCCAAAGCACAGUAUUGCCUAAGUACUAAUAUACUUACCCAAUGGAAGAAGAAGCAUGUUACACUGUAUACUAUUUUAAAUAAAAAGUAUACAAACAUAGCCAGGAUUCAGCUGUAAGCAUUUGCAACACUUACAACAAUCAAGUAACACACAUUCAUAUAAAAUUUAAGUUACUUGGCCAGUCAAUGUAAUGACAGGAAUGAAUAAGUAGAUAACUCCCUAAUUCCCACAGUAUUAGGGAACUAUCUACUAAAAGGCUGAAAGACCUAAAUUGGUCUUUCAGCCAAAUUUACUAAUACUAAGUAAAGAUUACUUAGUAUUAAUAAAUUAUGCACAUACUCGCUAUACCACGAGUAGGGGCAUGUCUAUUAAACAGUGAGCAACCUGUGUAAAAACAAACAAAAAAACACGUCCCCCCUCCUAACCUGAAUGGAGGACCAAUUGCCCCCCCAGGCCCCCCACUGAAUGGCGGGUGGGGGCCCUAAAGUAAAAUAAGGGGGAGGAACAAUUGUACUCCCCCUGGCCUCCACCCCUGAGCAGUGGGUGGGGGCCCUAAAGUAAAGUAAUGGGGGGAACCUAUUGUCCUCAUCAUGGCCCCCACCCCUGAGCGGCGGGUGGGGGCCCUAAAUCAGAAUAAGGGGGGACACCUAAUGUCCUCCCCCCUGGCCCCCACCCCUGAGCGGUGGGUGGGGGCCCUAAACACCAAAUAGGGGGGGACCUAAUGUCCUCCCCCCUGGCCCCCACCCCUGAGCGGUGGGUGGGGGCCCUAAAUACUAAUUAGGGGGGGACCUAAUGUCCUCCCCCUGGCCCCCACCCCUGAGCGGUGGGUGGGGGCCCUAAAAUACUAAUUGGGGGGGACCUAAUGUCCUCCCCCCUGGCCCACAUCCCUGAGCGGUGGGUGGGGGCCCUAAAAUACUAAUUAGGGUGGGGGACCUAAUGUCCUCCCCCCUGACCCCCACCCCUGUGCGGUGGGUGGGGGCCCUAAAUACUAAUUGGGGGGUGACCUAAUGUCCUCCCCCCUGGCCUCCACCGCUGAGCGGUGGGUGGGGGCCCUAAAUAAAAUUAACCCCCCCUCCCCUGGUUGACUAGGGGUCCCCAAACCCCUAGUAACACCCCUUCCCCAAAAAAAUUAACCCCUACCUGCUCACUGUUUAAUAGACAUGCCCCUAUUCGCGGUAUAGUGAGUAGGGCAUAAUUUACUAAUACUAAGUAAUUUUUACUUAGUAUUAGUAAAUUUGGCUGAAAGACCAAUUUAGGUCUUUCAGCCUUUUGGUAGAUAACUCCCUAAUACCAUGGGAAUAAGGGAGUUAUCUACCAAGCGGCUGCAAGAGAAGUUCCGAAAUUCCGAAGUGUUGACGUGCUGAAGUGCCUCAGUUGCCGAAGUUCUGAAGUUACCGAAAUUCCGAAGUGGCCAAGUUCCGAAGUUAGAGUUUACAAAUGCUUAACUUUGUAUUUAUGAAUGCUGAACAGUCCUUCAGUCCUUAGAAUACAUGAUUACUGACUGCAGUGUGUUGAAAAAUCCCAUAGAGUGGCUGCAUAAUGUAAAGGUUUAACGCCUUUCUGCAGUUUCAAAAUAGGUUAAGACUUUCUUCUCACUUACAGUUCUAUGAAAUUUUGAUCCCCUUAAAUGAGACUUAACCAGGGAAGGAGGCCCUUGCCCGUUCUGUUCCCCAAGGAGAACUCUUUUUUCCCUCACUUUUUCAAUUCUUUCAUAUCCUCUAUAAUCAGAGUUUAAAAAAUUACAAAUUAUUGAACAUAAUAAAGUCACUCCUUUUUUUGGACUGCUGUAUCCCUUACAUGUUCUUGUCCUUCUUAUGUAUAUUCAUGUUCUAUGGUGUUGUAAAUUUAUGGUGGGCUGGCGUUUGUGAGGUUGUGAUGGGUGGGGCACCAUUUUGCCAUUGGACCUAGACAGCAGAAUAUCUUGGGUCAGCAUCAAUGCUGACCCUCAUUUGCCUCAAAAACCACUGCAAAAAUAUGUCUAAGUCCCCAAGAAGUCAAUAAACAUCCUGCUCUGGGUUUCCUUUUCAUAUUUAUUUUUCCAUAUUUUAGUGUCAUAUGUAAGAAAUUGGCUAUGCUCAGCAUUCAGUCCGAAGUCAUAAAUAAACAAAUUAAAAAGGAGUUGUCCAAGAAAUUAAACUUGUGGAACGCAAUUUACAACUUUAGCCAGCUUGAAAAUGUUCCAUUUAUAACAACUUUAUUCACUCACUUUAUUUUCUUCAGGAUUUUAUUCAUGUUGAAAUAUUUUCCGUUUCUCUCCUAUCAUAUCCUAUAUACUCUUACACUAUAACAUUCUGUGUGGCGUUCUACAAAAAAUAAAACAUCUAAGCAAACCACAUCCAGUAUAUUUUCCUGGUCUCCAUUCCAUAGAAAAUUCAUUAUCACAAGGUCAGACUUGCAGGUUUGUAUAUGCCAGUUUGGAAUCUGGACCUAUUCUAAAUAACUGUUUAAACCAGGUUACUAUCAAUCCUUUGCCACCAAAUAAAUCAGCCUGUGUUCACCGUGGUGAAAAAUGAAAACUUUCUACGAUUUUACUUCAUAACACAUCUUUGAUUGGGUAUAGAGUACAUUAUUUAUUACUUAUUUACAAUGCAUAUUUGAUUGAAAACAGGUUUGACCGUGAAUACAAAAAAAUUAUAAUAAUUACACUGCGUCAAGGUUACCUUCCUACAGCUUCUCUAGCUGACCAAAGAAUUUGUCAGCAAAGUGACCUCUGAGAUCCCUGUAUCGGUGGCACACUUAUAAAACUUUAUGUAGGCUGGCUGUGGGUUAAAUCCUGAUUUGGCCCACUGGAUUGUUGCUUGUCUGUCUGUUGCUAAUGGAUUGUUGCACUUUAGUGCUGCCCUCACAACUGUUGCUAAGCUUCUAAGCAUUUUUUGCCCUAUUUUUGGGCCAGUGGGUGUCAUCCUUGCCCAGAAAGAAAGGAUCAUCUACAAUUAAUUGCUUGCCCUAUCAGCAAUUGGGACCAGCAACAUGAUUGACAAUGCUGGCCCAGCACCAUACCUCCCAGGUGCCCCUAUUUUAAUAGGUACUGUCCCUAUUUUGUUCCCAAGUUACUCUGUCCCCCUUUUCUAUCCCAAAUGUCCCUCUUUUCUAGGAGUUCCAUAUUGCUGGUGUGUCUGAGUGUAGAACAGAGCUUCACAGCAAUAAUACUCACAGUAUUGUGUCUUUAAAUCAUAAUACAUGUGUUUAUAAAUCAGUCUGUGUAAAUAACAUACAUUGUUUAUGUUCUAAAUGUAACUUUAGCUGCAUAACUUGUUAUUAGGCAGUCAUCUAAUAAGUCUCAGAACCGCUCUGCCCCAGCCCACACCCCUAAAAUUAAAGUGUACCUCUUUGUUGAUUUGAAAUGUUGGGAGGUAUGAAACACUGAAAGAUAGCAUAAACAUUACAACCAUAUCUUCAUAUUUUUGACUUGACAAUACACUAUAUUGAUAAUGGAUUUCAUUAUAAUGAAUGGAGAAAUUGAUCUUUAAUCCAAUCUUCAGAACAUUAAGUAAUUAAAAGUGACUGUUUCUCUACUCAAUAAAUAGGCUUUGAUUUGAAUAUGUAAAUUAUGUUUCUGAGAACCAGAGUCAGUCAAAAAGAAGCAAAACAAUGGAGGUUUCAGAGGUAGUGUGGUUUCUGCAAAGUAAAAAAAAAAAAAAAAAGAAUAAUUGAAAAGGCGGUCUGCUCAUGGGUAGGACAUUAUUUUACAUGAGCACUGUGUAUGUAUGCAAUUACUUCCUGGAGACAGAUUCUGCAAAUGUCAAGACAACCUGUUCAUGUGUGGACACUGAAAUCUCCCAUCUUGAUUUUAAUAGGGGCUUUGUAGAUGAUGAACAGCCAACAUUAGUUCCAACCUACUGUUCUUGUAGCAGAAAGAGAAGAGAAUGAAGGUCUUCGACAAUGUAAUGGACGCAGUAGAAUCCCCAAUCUUCUUGUUAACAUACAGAGAUUCAAGGACCAUUGUGACACAGUGCAGGUGAUGAAGAGAGAAACCACACUCAAUUUCAGUAGACAUCAUAUGCAAUGAGGCAGGACCAGCCAAUUCCACAACAAUUAGGCAAACAGGAAAAAAGUCUGCAGGCACUCUAGGCAGUGGUGUAUCUUGGUUUUGUGCUACCCUAGGCAUUUGCCCUGGGCAUUUGGGGGGCGGCGUUUUGCCGCCCCCUGAAAAAUGCCGCCCAAGGCAAAUGCCUUGUUUGCCUCGCGGCUAAUACGCCCCUGACUUUAGGUGUUUAAACUAUAGGCAGGUUUAUUGGGUCAAGUGAUAAAACAGCAAUGUUGUGACCUACCACAAGGUCUUUAUCAACCUCAAGUGACUGAGUGACUAUCAAAUAAUAUAGACCUCCACUGACACUCUUGAACUUGAAUCUAUUUCUCUUUGAAUAUUUACUGCAGAUAUUAUGUAUUAUAAAAUAUUAUAGAAUAGAUUAUUGGUGUUAUCACAAAAAUUCUCAAAGAGCUUAGCUGAGUUUGCUCCCCAAAGCAUAAAGAUUCAAUUCUUCAUGUUCACAUUACUUACCAUUUCCAAAAUGAAUCAGCUAUCGCUGAGAUACCUACAAGAAAGGUCAUGAUGUAUAGCCAAAGCCUCUAUUAACUAUAUUCUACUCCAAACGUAUAAAGGAAUGAUAUACAAUGUUCUAUUACUUUUCAAAAUAAAAAUAGGGCCCUAAGGCUCCGGGUUGAAGACUGUGCAAAAAGGGUGUUGAUAAGAAGAAAUGCUUAUAAUUGCUUUAAGAAUAAAAUCAUAAUCCUAAAAACAAAACAAACAAACAAACAAAAAAAGCAUUAUUUGAGUUCUGAAGGCUUUACGCAUGGAAGAACAAAUAAUUUGGCUGGAAUCUUAUUUCAUUUUUCAGCUUCAACACAUAACCUACACACAAUAAUAAAACACACCAUUAAUGUGCCACAGUCUAUGAGCCACUGUUUUACUCACACCAAGAGCCACUGACUAUAGCCUGCGGAGACUGGCGUUUUCAUUUCAUAUCACUCAACUCAGUCUUCUUAGAGAAAAGCUUUUAACAACCACAUCUGGUCAGUGCACUUUGUCAUCCUGCCAAAACUCCUCCUUUAUCUAGCUUACAUCUUUAUGAUGAGAUAGGAAAUCACACGUUACGCCAGUGACAAACAAUUGUAAUUAAGCUAUUAUUAGUCAUUUAGUCGACAAAGGUUCUUGAAAAGAAAAUGUAGCACACAACAAGAAAUACGGGAUAAUACAUUGAUCGCAGUCCUAAUCCGCUUUCAUUUCACAAGUGUAAAACACUGGCAUAAUUCACUCCACAGCAGGCAAUAACAGCAGUUCGCUCUGAACUAUACAGAGAUUCUGUACUGUAUCUACUUAAAUAAGAAAUAUUAAAAAGUGGGGGUUAGAGCGGUAAGUGCUUGAUUGUAAGAAAUGGCUGUAGUUGACUUCUGAGGAAGGCAGAUCUGCUGAAAUAUUUAACCCAUUGCAUUUUAUACUACGUGUCGUUGAGGACAGUAAUGAUUUUUUUUUCUCUUCUGUCUAAUAAAUAGCUAAAUAUCAUUACAUGUAUUUUUACUAUUAUUAUAUUUUUUAUAUUUUGUAGAAGCCAUUGUCAGUUUAGUAUCCCAAAUGCAAAAUUAUGGUGUAUUGCAGUAUGUUUAUACAGUGAUUUAGUGUGCUAAUAGAAAUCUUGUCAUGGCACGUUUCUUUGGAGAUGCUGUGUUAAUAAUGUAAGAAACGUUUUGGACUUGACAAGAAAACAUCUCAAGAAAGCUUGCUGUUCCAAAAUGUUACUCCAAUAAAAAUGUUACUGCAAAACUCCACUAUUUUGUAUCUGCAUCAACGAGCUGCACCGCCUAAAUAAAAAAAAGUUAGAUGUAACCAAAUUUGUCCAAAAUUUUUCAACUAAAAUGAAGCACAAUUAAGCAAACUAUUAUAUUACAGUAAAAACUGUAAUAGAGGUAACAGUGUAGAAAAUGCUAACGGUGAUCCUUGUUAAAAUAUUCUAAGGUGUCAAAGUCAACUACCUAUCAAUAGGUCAUUGAUUGAGCACCGGAAACGCAAGGGUGCUCUUAAAGUGGUCUGUAUCUGAUAUUUGUGCACACAAUUUAGCUCACCCACCGAACCACCAGGGACCCAACACACACUUUACAGGACCACGAGGGAAGAUAAGCUGGGGAAGCAAAACAUUCACUCAACCAUACUUAGAGUCGCCUACACGCACAAAACUCAGCCACUACACACACUACUGUCACUAACACAACGUUCAGUCAUUACUCACAGAAAUAGAGCCAAGGCUCAAGGGGGAGGUGGGACCCAAUAUAGUACUCUGCCUAGGGAACCUUAAUCCAACUCUGUAUGCAAAUAUUGCUUGCUGGCAUUUCAGACCUGGUCUGCCUUUAUGGGUAGAAUCAGUCUGCUAGUAUCAAUCCGAUGCAAAUAGUUUAGGUGCUCUCUGUAAUGGCACAAGCGAACAAAAACUGUUUUGAGUGGGAACUUACUGAAGGAAAAGCUACUAAGUGUCUGCCUGUGUUCUCAUAUUCUCUGUUUUUGCUUCUAAUGGAAAUAGGGGCAGAUUAUAAGAGGACAGUGAUUGGCUGCGGGAUGGAAUCAACUCAACUCAAACUGAUCUCUCGCUAGCUGAGCUAAGUAUGUACUAAGAGUACUUAUAAUAAGGGAGUUGCUCUGUGAGAAGAGGAGGUAUGGCUAAAAGGGGUGGGCUACGCAUCAGGAAGCUGCAAACAGUUUUUUUUUUUAACUAAAGAGAUUUGUACAGGGUGAAAAAUUGCAGCAUGAAUAUAAGGUCAAAAUCUAUAAAAUUCACUUAAGUUGAGUUUGUUGCUGGAGUUUGUCUAGAGCAGGGGUGCCCAAAAGGUAUAUCUCCAGAUGUUUUAAAACUACAGUUUCCAUGAUGCUUUGUCGUUCUAAAGGCAUUUUAAAAGCAUGUAAAGCAUCAUGGGAGUUGUAGUUCUACAACAUCUGGGGAUCUACCUUUUGGGCACCCCUGUUCUAGAGUAACUAUUUAAUGGUCUGGUAGACCCACGGACAACUCUGGGUUUGGCCAAUGACAAAAGAAUGCUCCCUGCCUGACUGCUUUUUGCCAGACAGUUUCUUAAAGGAGAAAUAAUAUUGGAGCUGAUUUUUAUUAUGGCUUACGAAGCAACUUUGGUGAAUGGGUCAUCCCCCUGCAGUCUCACAGUUCAAUUAUCUGCCAUGUAUGAGUGAAAUCCCUUUGUUUAUGCAGCCCUAGUCACACCUCCCUGCAUGUGACUUACACAGCCUUCCAUAAACACCUCCUGUAAACAUAGAUUUACUGUUUAAAGGGACACUUUAGUCACCCAGACCACUUCAGCUCAAUGGAGGAGAGGUCACCAGCGCCGAGGGAGCCUGGCGCUGGAUUAAGGUAAGUGGCUGAAGGGGUUUUAACCCAUUCAGCGCCACGGGAGGGGCAUCUUGAGGGUGGGGGCAACCUCAGGGCACUAUAGUGUCAGGAAAACCGCUUUGUUUUCCUGACACUAUAGUGAUCCUUUAAACUUUCUUUAUUGCACAUUCUGUUUAAACAGAAACAAAGUUUUAACUUUAAUAGUUUUAAUUUAACUCAGAAAUGGCAGAGAAUUGAACAUUUACAAUGCAGGGGCAUGAUCCAUACACUACAACUGCUACAAUGAGAUAAAGUUGUUUUGGUGCCUAUAGUGUCACUUUAAGUUAUAAUCCUUACUUCUAAUGGACUGACAUCUUAAUGAUGCAGUGUACAAUAGCAAUUCUCUUUUUUCAGCUUUCCUGUUUAAUCAUAACAAUGCCGCCACACACAAUCCAGAGUUGAACCAGGAAAACAGUACAGAGUACGGUUCUACCUAAAGCCUCUACAAUAAGGUUAUUUUUUUUUUUUUCCUAAAACAUGUUCUGGUCUCAAGAUUUUCACAUGUUUUUAAAACACAGGGUUGUGCAUUGCAAUCCACACAAGACCACAGGAUACUGAUCAAUUCAUAGAAAAAUGAUAUAAUGUAGUAUGAUCAGGAAUCUUUACAAGCUCUGAUUGUGGCAAAAUAAUUUAGUUAUCUUCACAUUAGAUAAAUUUCUGUAUUAAAACCAUCUAAAUAAUACAACUCAUCGACUUUGUCUCAUCAACCACAAUGUAGUAAAAAAGAAAAUCUAUUCUCAAAUAGGGAAAGUGUAUUCAGUAUAUAAUCCCUCUCCUCUGUGAGGUAUUAUACUCAAAGGAUUUCACAAGUGGAGAUUAGCAUGCUCUUUAUGUCUCAGACUCAAAUUACAGAGCCUGGAACUUGCAGUGAGUGAAAUUCUACUGUAUCUAUGUAAUAAUUGUAGGAUUCUAGGACAGAGUGCCUGCAAGCAUUCUUUUGGUAAGCACUGAAAAGAACCACAGGGGGAUUUAGUGCUAUCUUAGGGAGAGAAAAAUAAAAUGGUUAAUAGUGAAAUUUACCAUGAGUUUUGCCAUAUAAGGCUACUCGUUAUAUCACCUUACUGUCUGUUAAAGGACCACUAUAGGCACCCAGACCACUUCAGCUUAAUGAAGUGGUCUGGGUGCCAGGUCCAUCUCGGAUUAACCCUUUUUUUUCUAAGUUUCAGAGAAACUGCUAUGUUUAUAAUAUGGUUAAGCCAGCCUCUAGUGGCUGUCUCUUGACAGCCGCUAGAGGCGCUUGCGUGCUUCUCACUGUGAAAAUCACAGUGAGAAGACGCCAGCGUCCAUAGGAAAGCAUUGUAAAUGCUUUCCUAUGAACUGGCUGAAUGCAUUCACGGCUCCUGCCGUGCAUGCGCAUUCAGCCGAUGACGUCGCUAUGGAGUGCGAGAGCUCCGCGCCCGUCGCUGGAGAAAGGUAAGAUUUUAACCCCUUCCUCUCCGCAGAGCCCGGCGAGUAUGUUUUCCUGGCACUAUAGUGGUCCUUUAAAACCGCCCAUAACUGGUAACAUUUCCAAACAGUUAAAAACACCCAUGCCCGGUAAAAUUUGCCCAUGUUUCUACUGAUAUGGGAUGAAAAUCAAUCAGUUACAGUGUAGUAUAGUGACUUGGACCAGUGCAAGAAUUUCUGGUACUCUAAGCAAAACUACAUAUUGCAGCUCCUUGAAUGUAGAUUGUCAUGGUGCCACUUUGUAACAGGACAUUUGGUAAGAGGCCUGGCAGAAUUUAACAUACAUAUCUUGUCAGAAAGAAUUCAGUUGGCAUUAAAUAUUUCAGUUUCAAAAUAUAAAUAUAUCACUAUUGUACACUUUACUAGUACGGUGGAAAUUGUGAUCAGAAUUAACCAGUAAAAGUAAUAACUUAUUUGAUGACACACAAAAGCACAGAUGGUGAAAAAGACACUCUACGAAACAUAAACACCACAGCACAGUUUUGUGGUCACAUUACAUUGUUUUCGGUCAGUGUUUGUAAGUGAUUUGAACAGCUGAUCUACUACAGCACCACAAUUAAUACAUAAUUCUAGAAUAAUAAUGUCAAUUUCAUACAGCCUGGGUGGUAUUGAUACAAUCCAAUCACCGAUGUCCAGGUUUAAUGAAAUUUUCAUUGAUACUGUGUAAGUAUUGCCUUUUAUAAAGCGGUUUCUGAACAGUCAAAGAGAAAACUGGUGAAUGAUGCCAAAAAGACUCUACGCAACUUAAUGACUACAUUGUACGGUAAAAAAUGAAAAAAGAACAGUGGGAAAGUGUAGUAAAUUAAUUAAUUUGAAAAAAUACAAAAGGAGCAUAAAAUGUCAGGAAGGAAAAACUGCAAAUAUUUGGGCAAUUAGGAAAAAAUUAGGAAGAAAUUAUAGAUUUUAGGGCAAAAUAGGUACGCUCAAAAAAUAGUUCAGGUGGAGAUUUCUUAUAAUGCAUCUGGUUCAUCAUGAAAUAAUGCUCCAGAUCUAGAGGCGUGACUAGAACCCACAGGGCCCCUGUGCAAAAAUUGCCUUGUUGCCCCCCCCCACACAUACAUACAGACACACAGACAGACAUACAUACAGACAUACACACACACAUCACACACAUACAAACACACACACAUACAUACAUACAAACACACACACAUACAGACAAAUACAAACAGACACCCUCCUGUUUCCUACCUCUUCUCCUUCCUCCUCUGGCACAGCUCCUGGUGAUUGCUGGGAGGAGUGACCGGGGCUGUCACUUCCUCCCAGCGUCUGACAUCAUCACAGGGGGCCUGGUCCCAUUGUUAAAAUGCCGCAGCGCUGAUCGGGCCCCCUGGAAAUGAAUUGCCAUUGGGUGGCCAUAACAGCACGGGCGGUUAUACCGUACAGGCCAGGGCCGUGUUACAUAACUAGGGGUCCACAGGGCGGCUGGGCCUCCUGGAGUGACGGGCCCGAUCGCAGCUGCGACCGCGGUAGUUCCCCCUCUGCUCCAGAUGUAUUUGAAGUGCAUUCCAAAGAAGGAAUGGGAAAGUAUUUUGGAAAACAACACACCUUGCAACCAUAGAUCGUCAGUCAAAAGGAAAUUAUGAAAUAACCUGUGACAAACUCCCCUUCCCACGUGAGUUUGCCACGAGCUCCUGGAGGAGCUUGCUUGACAGCCGCCUGGCCACAGACUAUGGGCCCUGCAGGGAAACCCGUAAAAAACUACCGAACUUGACUGACCGUUAGCAAUGAUUUCAUGGAACUGUUUUGGGCAUAGGACCAUGUGCAAGGUUGGUCAAAUUAUGACUUCCAAGAAAUUCCUGAACUGAUCUGGGUCAUUUUUGGAUAUGUUGAUCACCCAGACCAGGGCUAUCAAGAAGAAAGAAAGGCUGCGCCAAAAAGAGAAUAAUAAAAAUACAAAAAAUUUAAAAAAUACAAUAAAAAAUAAAAAUAAAUAGUCCCAAUGAAAUAUCAGAGGUUAAAUUGACUAAGUCACUGUAUUCGCUGGUGGAGUGUCUUCUAUGUUUCUAGUAGUUCAAAUCGUCUCGUGAUAUGGAAGACACAAGAAGAGAGGACCAAUCGUGCAGAGUGUAUAAGGUGAAUGUUAAAUAAAUUAAAAUAUAAAUAUUACACUCACAUCUGGAUGAGCUAUGGCCAGCUCAGGUAUAACAGGCAUAUGGCGGAAUAAUCCCCGCUUAUAGGAUAUGUAGAUGCUUGUCCUCCAGAAGGUGAUGAUGUCCAACUCUCAGGGGAAGAGGAGAAUAAAAACAGCUAAUAGUUCUCUCUGAUGAUAUAAUGCAAUAGUUGAUAAAAUAAAAUAAAAUAAAAUAUACUCACAAAUGGAGUGCAGGCGUCACUGCACUGUGGUAAUAGCGUUGGUGGUAUAAUCCCCACCUCAGGAUAAGUUUUGGAAAAUAAAUAAAAUGCCAGGAAGAAUAAAAAUAAAAUAGCGUGUAAAAAGAUAAUGGCGCAGAAAUCUAGCCAAAAAUCAUUUAUUAUAUAAAAUACACAAUAUUAUAAAACCAUUAAUCAGGGGAUGUAACUUUUGUGGGGUUUUUACGUAUUUUUAGGGUACUUUUGGGGUGUUUUGAAAAAAGUAUGUUUUUUCUGUGCUUGGAGAUAAUUAGAUUAGAUUAGUACAGCUCCUGAUCCAAUUAUCUCCCAGGCACAGAGGAGGAUUAUCUGACUUUGUAUGGGAGUGUCCUGGACCUGAGAGGCAAUGUAAUUGUGUAUUUGUUUCUACUGUGGUUUACUCUCAGGUCCAUGGGGGAGUGCCCCUUGCAUGGGGACAUGCAUAUAAAUCCAGUUGUGGGUUAUUCAGUAAAGCGAGAAUUCAAAGGGAAUUUUUACUUAAGACCAAAAUAGCCAAACUGGAAAAAUUCUCUAAGUCAGCUGAGCUUUCAGAUUGGCUACUCUGGUCUUAAUUUUAAAUUCACUUUAAAGUCACUUAAAAUAGCACUUUAGUAAAUGACCCUGUGUUGUAUUCAUUUAGGACAAAAAAGCAAAGAACGUGAAACAAAGAAUAGAGCAAUAGUCUGUUGGGUGUCUGACAAAGUAGCAUCUACAAUUUUAAAUAUUAGUAAUGAAGAUAAUUUAUUUAGUGUUGGGAAGGGCAGAACGUAAAAUUCUCAAGAAGGCUGAAAUUAGUCUAAAAAGACGGAAACUAUACAUGUUUCUUCGUAGUUAACCUUUCCAAACAUCGUUUCUCUUCCUUUGCAACAUUUUUAGUUUUCUAAUAUCCUUUUCUCUUAUCUCUUGUAGGCAGAUAAAUGGCUUUGGGAGCUUUCACCAAUCAGCUAGAAUUGGCAGGCCACACAAGUGAAAGUACCAAAAAAAGAAUAAAGGUGAGUUACUGACACCUCACCACAAUGGUGUGGGAGAUCUUUAAUUUCUGUGGAAAAAGCACUAGAGUAUAUAAAUAUAUCCACAAGUUUAACCACAUAAUGAUUCAUCCUGAAAGUGUACUAAUUGAUGAAAAAGAAGACACUACUCAAACAUGACCAGUUGUGGCAAAUAUCACAAUGCACUCAUAUUGAACCAAAUCAUGAUGUAAUAUCUACUUCCCACUGAAGUUCACCUCUAGAAUACACAGAAGAAGUGAAACUAACCAUUGCAAAUGCUGUGUGAUAAAUAAAACAUGGCAAAGCUAUUUAUCCUUGGUUUUCUCAGCAAUUGAGUUAAAGGGUGACUCUAAACACUUUCAUCAUUGUAACACUUAAUUAUCGUAUCAUUCCAUAGAGAACCUGUCUUUCUUUCCAGAAAAUCUUACAACUGUGGCAAACUAAAAAAUAGUGUUCCUAUGAAACUCCACUGUGAUGACAGAAAGAAUUGUAGUUCCUCUUUGGAUGUCCAAGGACAGGACAUCUUGUCCCUCGUCUCCCUAAGAUGAUAAUUCCCUCAAUGCAUUCAGCAGUUCCAGCCACCCUACGCAAUAAAUGAAACUGCAUGUGGGAGGUAUAUAUAUAUAUAUAUAUACCCUAAAACCCUGCUGGACAUGCAUUUAUGGGACACAAUAGAAAAAUCCAGACCAGAAUCAUAGGUUUCUGAUUAGUGGAACAUCUUGCUAGUCUGGAAUGGGUCCGCCUGCUACAGCAUUUACAUGAAGUGAUACUAUUUUAGGACCUAGUGCACUUGCUCGACAAGCACUGCAACUGCAUUAGGACUUCCCUAUAGGAAAGCGUGAAGCAAUGUUUUCCUAUGGGGUUUAGCUGACGCUGGAUGCCCACAUGCAAAGCGUGAAGCGCCAUUUCACAGACCAAAAGUCUGCUUAGGAACCAGAAAUGCCUCUAGUGGCUGUCUAGUAGACAGCAACUAGCGCUAGUGGAGUAAACCCUGCAAGGUAAUUAUUGCAGUUUCUCAAUAACUGCAAUAAUUACAACUGCAGGUUUAAGGGGACAGGGGAACUGCACCUAGACCACUUCAAUGCGACAAAGUGAUCUGGGUCUCUAUAAAGUCCCUUUAAGCUUUAUAUUAUAGAGCAGCUUCCUAAGCUUUUAAAAACACAACCUGAACAGAAUCAAGGUGCAAAAUAUCAGCUGCCCUAGUCAUUGAAUAUGUCAAUAACAAUGUAUGUAUUAUAAUGUAUGUAUUAAAAAAAAUGAUAUAUUCUGAAAUACCAGCUUUUUUCAUUAAAUCAGGUUCUUAAAAUAAUCAGCAUAACAUACUAUCCUUUAAUGUUAUUUGUAACAACUGUGCCAACUUUCACAGAAAUAAACUGGCAUUUUGACACUGGGAACACGAGGUUCUUCUUGAUACAUCUGUUUCACCUGGCAUCAGUGCCAAGCAAAAGAAUCCGAGCAUUUACAUGAGCUGUACCCCCGUACCCCUCCUCCUCCUCCAGGGUACACAUAAAUAAACAAGGAAGACCUGAUGUUUGCUUGCAGUGUGAUGACAGAUUGUAAUAAUUUUAGGUAAUGUGUUGUUUUCCAAUGCUACAAUAUGGCAGAUCUGAGCAUUUUUCUAGAUACAGAACUUAUAUUAAAUUAAUGCAAAGAUACAUCUGUCAAAAAACACUACUUAUUUUUUAAAAGAGAUAUAAAGUUUAUUCUCGUUUUGCCACUUUUUGUAAGUUUUUAAAGUUGAUCUUGUUACCUUUGAGAUUCUACUUAUGCAUUUAAUGCAUAGUUCCGUAAGAUAAGCCUUAAAGGACCACUAUAGUGCCAGGAAAACAUACUCGUUUUCCUGGCACUAUAGUGCCCUGAGGGUGCCCCCACCCUCAGGGUCCCCCUCCCGCCCGACUCUAGAAGCGGGAAAGGGGUUUAAACUUACCUUUUUCCAGCGCUGGGUGGGGAGCUCUCCUCCUCCGUUCCGCCCCGUCGGCUGAAUGCCCACGCGCGGCAAGAGCUGCGCGCGCAUUCAGCCGGUCGCAUAGGAAAGCAUUAUCAAUGCUUUCCUAUGGUCGCUGGCGUGCUCUCACUGUGAAAAUCACAGUGAGAAGCACGCAAGCGCCUCUAGUGGCUGUCAAUGAGACAGCCACUAGAGGAUUAGGGGGAAGGCUUAACCCAUUCAUAAACAUAGCAGUUUCUCUGAAACUGCUAUGUUUAUUAAAAAAUGGGUUAACCCUAGCUGGACCUGGCACCCAGACCACUUAAUUAAGCUGAAGUGGUCUGGGUGCCUAGAGUGGUCCUUUAAGAAAAACAUAUUUUGAUAAAGUGUAUUAGUUCUAGACGUGCAGUACUUAGUAGUAUUAGUAUUAUUUGACAUAAGCAAAGUUGUAAAUGAGUAUUGGUAGAUGUAAGUCCUGUAUUUACUUGCUCUUCCUACAAAAGGAUUAUGAUCCUUCUUAUAUAUAGUAGAAAAAAAACUACACAAAAUUGUAGAACAUUUAUUAGGGAAUUACACAUAUUAGGAUGUUUUUAGCAGAGAUGGGUAAUUUAUUUUUCCUUGUUCAAGUAUUUGGCUAGAAAAAUUGCAAUGCCCUUAUCAAUUCUCCUUGAUCAUUUCAGUAUAUACAUCCCCUACUUUCGUUUCUUCAGUUUUUUUCUAGAUUAAAAAAAAUAUGCAUAAAAUAAGCCAUAGCAAAUCUCCUAUAUGUAGUUAUGAGAGACCACAGUCUACGAUUACUGUCUAUAUUUUGAUGGCUAGUGAACGGGUUAAAGUCUGUUAAGAUGAAUCAUAAGCUAACAACCUUGUACACUGCAAUAACUUCAUGUAACUUAGUCAUGCACACUACCCUAUCCUUACACUCCCUUUAUUAGAGACCCCAUCAAUAAUGCCCCUUACAUAUGUUUGAGAGCUAUGAAUGGCUUUACCAUGCUAUUUACACAAGCUUUUCAUGCUGUUAGUUAAUAGUUGUUGAUAUUUGAUUGUUAAUUAAUGAAACUCCUCCUAGACUCCCCUUAAUUAUGUUUGCCUUAUAAACUUUGUUCUGGUUAAUAAACAUUGGGUAUUUUCUGAACUGACUCCUUUGUACGGUCAGUCAUUGAGUGUCUCCGAGAUCUCGGGGCUUGGUACAGUCUGGAUAGAACUAUAAGGCCAUGGUACGGAAUUCUGGGGAUCACCAAGGAUAAAUGGUCCAACAGCUUGGGAGAGAAAGUUCUGUGGAAUCUAAUCUGCCAUCAUAUUUUGAGUGUUGGAUGCCAGUUUUUUGUUGUUUUGUUUUGGCAACCUGUUUGAAAAUGUAUUAGUAAGGAACCUGAUGGCAUUUGUAGCAAUGUAGUUUAAAAAAAUACCAACAGAAUGGCCUAAUGUCCUAAAAUGUCCUAAUGUCAUAAAAUGUCUUAAUGCCCAUAUAAAGUAGUCCUUGUACGGGGGGCAAAGCCUAAGCCUCAUGCUGACCAGACAUGUACCGGGCGAGCUCCCGCUUGGCUCACCGAUUGUUGGGGGUAAUCACCAACCACUGCACCCAAAUCGGAGUGAUUCCACACAGUCUAAACUACAGGCGACUGGGCUGGGGAAGGAUGGCCAUCUUCCCCAUUCUCAAUUUACCUGCUCUGACCCCCCCCAUGGACUGGCGGGGGUUAUCCCAGUCCCUUCAGGGCUAAUCCAUACAGUUCUGAUGCAACUACAGAGCACAUACCCAAGCUUGCCAAAUGACGGGGAGGCCUUCCCUGACGGCACAGAGCCUGACACUAUCCUGUGCUAAAGUAAGCAGUGUCACGGUGUGUCCCUUGCUGAGACUGGAGGCAAUAUUCCAUGACUUAUGGGCCCUACUGGAAAGGUGCUUGCUGCCUAAAGAUCAAGUCUGAGGACGAAAUCUACUAUCUAGCAGACCACCUCAGGGAGACAAGCAACAGCAGCAUCAAGCACCACUCCAGCAGACAAACCCAAGCCGUGCAACAUCAUGGGCUUGACCCGCUUCAGUUUGCCGAGAGGGAGGAGGUUGGCAGUCCAUCAGCUUCGACGGCACAAAGCCGCACUUCAUCACCCGCUGUUGGCGGGAGACCACACUUAAACACAGGCGGUGGCGGAGAGUCGCACUCCAGCUUCUGUUCCAGUGGAGAUCUUCGAGCCAUCUGCAUCAGCAGAAGCAUCUGUGGACUUUACAGACCCGGACUUUCAGUGUUUGAGCCCGCAAUGUGGAGAUACCGACUUAUGGCCAAGUCUGGAGAUGUGAGGAUGCCCUGAACGGAUAUUGCCAAGCUGCAACCCCCUGUGGACUGCGGUAUUUUACACUAGGCCUGCCGAUACUGGGAGUAGGCUGACGCCUCAACCUCAACAGAAAACAGGCCCACUACCCAUGCAUGUGAUCCAGUGAGAGUCCCAGAGGCAAUGUUGUUAUGUUUUAUGUUGUUCCUUUCUAUUUAAUUGCUCAGCCAAACCUCCUAAUACUCUUUUUAUGUUAUGCGGACCAUGCGGACCAUAUGGAGCUAUAAGCCUAAAUUCCAGAUCAGCACCAGUAGUAUCAAUGUUGCUAGACUAGCCUGUUUCUUAUAUGCCUAAUCUUAGGUGCCUCUAUCUGGCACAGUCAACAUUCAUGUGAUUACCUAGUUCAUUAAUACUUUCAUUUUUUCUUUUAUAAAUAAAUAUGCAGCCUUCUCGUACCUUUUUUCAGGAUACCCUUAUCUGUGGCUUUACCUGUGUUACCUAUGUACAUUAUCGUAGGGAAACAGUAAAACAGUUAGGUAACUUGCACAUUCAUAAUUUUUCAAAGUGGUAAGCAUGUUAGGUUAGCGUUUUUAUCAGUGUUAGACCUCAACAUGUGUAGCUGUUAAUCAAGGUUACACCUUGUAUAGUUAACUAGGGUGAGAUACAAAAACAUCUUAUUUUGCCAUGGAGUGGGAACCAGACUACACAAAACAUGAGAAACAGAUGCAACUGGGUAGGACAGUGUGUAAAAAAGUAGAAAAAGUGGGUGUCACCACAACUGCUAAAGUGUGGUUUGUAACCUUCUAGAUCAUCAUGUUUAACAUUUAACAUUUAACAUUAGUAGGGCCCAAUCAUCAGGGGUGGAGGUGGGGGGGCGUACGGGUCUGUUUCACAGGUAAAAACAUAACCUCUGUACACUGAAAUUUACCUGGUCAUCAACAUUGAGGCUCCCCCUGCUAGGUUUGUGUGCUAAUCAGCCAGUUCCCCAUAAGGUAGGUAGGACAAUGACAGGCAGCAGUUUUUUAAUUUAUUUUUUAUUGCUGUUUUAUACCUCUAGUGUCGGGCCUCCUCCUUUCUCCUAAAGGAGUUGCCUAAAGCCCAUUCUAUAAGUGUAUGCAUCGCCUAUAGUGAGAUAUCGCUGGGAAUGCGUGUUAUGUGUUUGUCUCGCUGAAGACUAUCAGGGGCUUAUGAUUGAGAGCAACGAGUAGGAAACCUUUGCAUUGUGGUUUAACUUGUUCACACAAAGGGUAGCAUCAGUAGGAAAUCAGGGGAACUCCUGGCUCAAUACUAGUCUGCCCGCGCCGUGGGAAUCGCAUAGUGGGUUUGCCUCAUGUUAUUGGUAGCGAGCCUGCCAAUAGAGGGGAGAGUAUCAUAAACAUAAAAAUUUAAAUUAUAUUAUCUUUCAAAGCCUUGAGGUGGUAAAGUAAAAUGAUCUGGGUUUAACACAAGUCUGCAUUGGCUAGCGUCCAUGUGAGUCCCGGUUGUUGGCUGCACAAGUUCAGGUGGUUGCAGCCGCAUAAGAAGGUGCUCCAUCGUGGAACAAAUGGGGGAUGCUCGCGGGGUCCCAGGAGUUAGAGGCCGUCGGUUUAGGUUGCAUGUCUCGGGUAAAUGCUUCUAGGGGUAGCCCCAGGGAGGGUAGUAGUCCGGCAGCCUCUUGGAGGUUGUGGAUGGCGUGCGGAGUGGCUCCAUGAUGUACCAGCAAUGUGCGGGAGAGCUUCCACUGGUAGCAGACAUUUUUCUGUUGUAGGAGCGCAGUGAAUGGCCGGAGCCUUUUCCCUCCACGCCAGGGUGCUCCCUGAGAUGUCGGCGUAGACAGUGAGGGGCAUAUUCUCGAAAUGAUAAGGUUAGUGCCGUUAGGACCGCAGUUUUGUCUGACCCGCUUCUAAAAUGGACUACCAGGUCCCUGGAGGCUGUGUUCAGGGCCCUGAUGGGUUUGGGUACUCAGAAUAGGCCCUCAACCACCACUGAUUUAGCCUGUUGGGGUUGUAGUAAGGCCCCUAUUAGGCGCCUCACAAAGUGUGGUAGCUCAGUGUCCGGUAUCUCCUCCGUCACCCCACGCACCUUAAUGUUAUUUUGGCGCCGGGAAUCUUCUUGGGCAGCGAAUCUGCGUUCGUAUAGCUGGUUUUGGUGUUGUAAUUCCUUUACUGUUUGCUGGAGCGACGUUAAUUGUUGGGAGUGCUCCAUAGUGGAGAGUUCGAUUUUCCCGAUGUGGCCUGUGAGGCCUCUCAGGUCCCCGUGGAUUGUAGCUAUGUCCGCUGAGAUGUUUCUCUGGAGCUCGGCCAGCAUCUCUUGUAGGUCAGAUUUAGUCACCGGGGAUGCUGCUGGGUCCUGUGGUCUCCAUUUCGGCACCCAGUGAGUCAUCUUCGGAAAAAUCAGAGCAGCCUCCAGUGAGGGUGGCCAUCUUGGGCCCAGUGGCGCCAUGCGCCUGCCGCCAUAGAUCUCCGAUUGUUAGCCCCAGGCUGGGCUUGUCUGGUCUGGGCUUUUUGGUUUUGCCUCCCAUCUGGAUCUUGUUGGCAAGGGUGGUCCCCUUAAACACUGUGGGUGCAAUUAAAUUGAUAAUUACGUCCGAUUUUGGCUGUCUUGGUGGGGAGCUCUAGGAACGUGCGACCAGUCACUGCAGCAGUCAAGCUCCGCCCCCAACUAUGUACAUUAUCCAUUGUUUUAUGUUGCAUAUCCAAAAUAAAGAAAUACAAAAGAAAAAAAAAGUAGUCCAAGCAGUCCAAAUUACUGUUACAAACAGGGAUGCAACAGAUGAAAUAGAACCUUAUAAAUAAUCAAUUUUCUGUACUGAUUGAUAGAAGCAAGGAUUCUUCCUACUGCUUGUUAGAAUGCAUAAAUAAAGUUCUGAACUCAUUUGUGCACACUGUGUGGGAGAAGGGAUGAGGGGCCUGGCAUUUUUGGUUCCCCUACAGUGAUAUGCACAGGGACACAAUAAGGCUUUGAUGGAGAAAUUAAUUUCUCUGCAGUCUGACUUUUAAUUAUAGAACAAAAAAAAAAUCUGAAUACAUGAUUUGGGUGGUGAAGGGAUUAAAGGAAAAACUACACAUUUUCCCAAAUAUUUUGAAAUCUCACCAAAAAAUAAAAUAUUUUUUCUUGGGGCAAUGCAAAAAAAAACAAAACCUGUUCUGAGAAAUAUAAUGAGCCUAAUAAUAUAUCUACAUUGAUUUUUAAUUCACAGAAAAGCAGGGCACUCACUAAACAUAUCACUGUAUCUGUCCUAAAUUAAAGAAAGCAAAGAUCUUUAUGAAGGAAAUCCAAAUAAUAAAGUAUUUAACCAGGAAAGGUACAUUCAUAUUGCUCUGGUCUUCAAGUACAUCCUGGGGAAUGCAUCCGAACUUUUCUAGUUUCGGCAGGACAGUGCCAAUUUUCAGGUCCUGUCCUGUCCAACUUUUGGGGACACCAGGGAACUGUCUCCAACAAGCGUAGCGCAAGGUCAUCAUUAGAUGUUCAGGGCAUUAUGGUCCUCCAAAUAGCACUGAAACAGAGCUCCCUGCAGGGUCUGCUCAGAGAGCCAGUGGGCUGGCUUUACAUGAUGGACAGGACGCCUUCCCGCCACACUAACCUCUUAGUAAUUCGGGUGGACAUGACCUCAUUACCAUCCUCCCAUCGGUGUGCCUCAGGAUGUCGGACUUGGGAGGUAUGUAACCUGCAGAGCAAUUGUGUUGUUGCCAUAUUUUAAUGCUCUUGAAAUCGCAAGUUGACUGUCAGAAUAAAAUAUUCUGACUUCAGUAACAGGCAAUUUCAGAGUGAUAUGAAGAUGGAGCUUAAAGCCUGCAUGGGUAGUGGAAUCAAUGUUACAGGAAGUGGAACUGGUGAAAAUCUUAAAAAGCAGAAACUUGGAAAGGAAGUGGUCUACACUGAUAAACUGGUCACAUUUUGAAGUAAUGUGAGGGUACUGGUACAGAACUAGAGUAUGAUGUAAUAUGCCUUACUACACAUUGCUGUUUAUAUGAAAGGGUUUCAUAUAAUGACAUUAAAAAAUUAACAUGCAUUUAAAAAAGUAAAUAGGGCAUAGUAGUAGUUGUGUAAAAAAAAAAAAUUGAAUAAACAUUUUUGUCUCUGUGUAUUUAUCAUGGUAGCCUCUUGUAAUGUCAACAAAAACAAACACUCCCAGGGUUAUCUACCAAAGUGAAAACUCAAAGUAAAUUUUGAAUUUAAAGCCAAUUUAAUUAUAGCAUCCGUUUUGACUAUUCUGACCUUAUUUUGAAAUUCACUUUGAAUUCUUACUUUAGUUAAUAACCAUGUAGAAGUUGCAAUAUGUUACCAAAGUUGGAACAUAACACACACACUACCUUGGAAGGAAACCCAAAGUACUUUGGAUGUAAAUGAAUUGAAUUGUAACAGAAUAUUCAGUAGAUGAACAGGUUUCAGCAUUACUAAAUGGUGCUUGUGACAAACCUCCCUUUCCAGGUGAGUUUGCCACGAGCUCCUGUAGGAGCCUGCUUGCCAGCCUCCUGCCCACAGACUAUGGACCAUGUAAAAUGUAAUAUAAAAGUCUCAGUUCGUGUAUUUGGGCUAUAUGGUUCGGAAGCUGAACAGCCGCACAAACUGGAGACCACCCUGGAGCUUGUUAAGCCUAAUUGAUACUUUGUAGCAAUUUCUACCUCAAUGUUCUAAGUGGCCGCAUUUCCUAUGGACAACCACGAGGUGACGGCCAUCUUGUUCGCAUGAACACAGGCAGCGGUGUUUGGUCAUUGAGUUCAUGGAACUGUUUUCGGGACCCUUAGAACUCCCGAACACCGCUGGACUUCCAUGAUCGCCUGUGUUCAGUUCUACAACACUUAGAAAGACACUGUUCAGUGGAAAGGGAAACAAGCUCCAGGGUAAAAACAUUCACUAUGUUCUGUAGUUUUUUUGGUUUUUAAACUGCCGAACUAGACCGAUUGCAAGCCCUGAUUUUCUGGCACUGUUUUGGGCAUGAGACCAUGCGUGUGGUCGCCCAAAUUAUGACUUCCAGGAAAUUCCUGAACCCCUGAACCGAUCUGGGUGAUUUUUGCAUAUGUUGGUCACCCAGAUCGGGCUAUCAGGGGAUGUAACUUUUGUGGGGUUUUAUGUAUUUUUAAGGUACUUUUGGGGUGUUUGGAUAAUGUGUGUUUUUUGUGCUUGGAAUAAUUGAAUUUAAUACAGUGCUUGACUCAAUUAUCUCCCAGACACAGGGGAGGGAUUAUCUUGUUUUGUAUGGAAGUGUCCUGGACCUGAGAGCCAAUGUAAUUGUGUGUAUGUUUUUAUUGUAGUCUAUUCUCAGGGGGGAGUGCCCCUUGCAUAUAAGGCCAGUUGUGGCUGCCAAUAAAUGGAUUCCAGCUUGUACUCCCAGAAUUAUGUGUCAUCUGGUUACUGGGAGGGGAAAGGGCUAAUCUUUAAUCACUGUUACAGUGUGGAGGAUUCAACAGGGAAAGUCAUUAAAAGGACUAGAGCUCCAGGACUGAGUGUGAAUUCUCAAUUUGGCUCCAGGAGGGGGCGGUUCCAGGACCCCAGUCAAGCCACGGCGACUAUGGGCAGAAGUGCUGUGGUUUGUCUCCAGUUUCAGCUAGGAAGUGGUCCUUGACAGUGGUACCCAGUCAGGGGUACAGGGAGGUAAGUUACAGUGCUCAUUUGAACUGACCAAUAACGGAUGAAAGACUCAAUUGACCCUGUCAGGAAUAAGUCGUAUAACCCCCUGAGUCUUGAACAGUUUUUAUAUUUGCUGGAUUAACCAACUGAGAGGAAAUGCAGUAUAGACUCAGGUCUUGCACUAUGCUAUUAUACAGACAUCCUGAAUUCUACAAAUGAUUCCAUACCAUUACACAGAAAAUCGCACUGGAAACACAUUAAUGCACAAAUGUUUCUCUAUGCCAAGAAUGUCAAAGUAUUGUCCCACUUGGCCAUUUCCAGUCCCUCUAAAUACUUUCAUAUGGCCACCCAUCCUAGCUUGACCAAGACAAUCGUUGAAUAGAGAAAUAUGUCUAAAUCCAGUAAUCCAGUUAAUACUACUCUCUGUAUACCACUUUAUGUUCUCGUAUCUCCCAACAUCUCAAAUGGAAAAAGAGGGAUACUUUAUUUGUAGGGGUGUAAGUGGGAUGUGGCCAGGGAUGGGGCUGUUUUUAGGUGACUUAUUGAUAACAAUUUAUGGAACUAAAUUAGAAUUUAGAACAAGAACAAUGUAUCUUAUUUACACAGACUGAUUUCUAAAUACAUUUAUUGUAGUUUAAAGACACAUUACUGUGAGUAUUAUUGCUGUGGAGCUCAGUUAUACACUCAGACACACAAACAAUAUAGAGCUCCUAGAAAAGAGGGACAUUAGGAUAGAAAAAAGGGACAGAGGGAUUUGGGCCCAAAAUAUGUGCUGUCCCUAAAUAAAUAAAGAAUAAAAAAUUUUUAAAAACCCUCAAUAAAGACACUUGGGAGGUAUGUGUUCUAGAUUGAUGGUGGCAGAGUUCAUAUCAGCGUCACAAUAUUCUUUAAUGUGUUUCAUCAAGUUGGUCAGCUUGGUAGUAGCCAGCCUCACUACUAAAGUUCUGACAUUCUACAUUCCCAUUAGUGAUAAUUCUGAUCAAUAGACACAGAACAAGAAAACAGUGUCUACCAAGAGCUCCUCCAUGCUACACAUACGAGGUAAGGAGGAUAUAUCAUGAGUCCGCGUGUAGCUCUAUGUAUCUAGUUGUGUGAAUGGGAGUGUGUACAUGUGUGUGUGUGUAAGCUUCCAACAGAACAGAUGUAUGGAAUUUUACUAAUGUGUGUGUGUGUAUAUAUAUAUAUAUAUAUAUAUAUAUAUAUACACAUACACUGAACAACGUUAUAAAUGCAUCACUUUUGUUUUUGCCCCCAAUUUUCAUGAGCUGAACUCAAAGAUCUAAGACUUUUUCUAUGUACACAAAAGGCGAAUUUCUCUAAAAUAUUGUGUAUAUAUAUAUAUAUAUAUAGUCACAGGUAAAAGUUGAAAUGUAGUGCGCUCUCUUCCCUGGCCAGAGGUAAGUAUCAGGAAACGAGAAAUAGCACAAACUGCAUCACUUACACACACACAUACACUGCAUUCACUAUACAUGCACACACUGUAUCCCUUAUACACUCACUGCAUCCACUAAAUACAAGCACAUUGCAUCCACAAUAUACACUAUAUACUGUGGGGGAUCAAAAUACAAACUAAUAUUUUGUUUUGAUAAAAAAAUUAAGUUUUAACCUUUCUCUUCCUUUGAAAUGCCCUCAAACAGCAGACCCUGUACAUCACUUAGCAAAUCUCAGAAUGGGGGCAGACCUUGUUAUCAGUGCUGGUGUCAAUGGUAGUUGCAUGGGCACCUCUCUGCAACAGAAACACAGCUACCCGUUCACCCACAACGUCAGAGCAAGAAUAAAAAUACCUAUUGCGACAAAAAUGAUAUGAGAGCAAGAAAGGGCAUUAUAUUUUUCAACGCUGAAAAAAUAUUGUUUAUUUUUCAAAUUCAGGUCAACUUACAGCAUGAUUUACCAAAGGGGAAUGCAAUCUCUGAUAAAACAUAAGACUUUAAUGGUCUCACUAACUGAGGGGUAGUCGUGGAGCUUAAUGAAAUUCAAUCACUGAGGAUGUGUGUACCUCCACACAAUAGAUGCAUGUUUGGCUCCAUGGGAUGCUAGCUAUAGAAAAUCUAAGCACUCAUUCACCUUGAUAUUGUGUGAAAACAUUCAAACACAAAACAUGUUAUAACUCAAACUGCAAUUAAUACAUAAAUUCGACAUUUCGUUCCUGACGCCAUAAAAAAAAAAAAAAAAAGAUUAUUUAGUCUUUGUCUAACUUUCUAAUAAAAUGAUCUUUGUUGUUUUUUUGUUGUUGUUGGCAGAUCAUCGCUAGCCACCUAGGAGGUUGUGAAUCAAAACAACAGCAACAUGAAAAAUUAAAACUCUCGUUUGAAGGUUUGGUACCAACCUAGAAGAAAAGCAAAAAUAAUGAGAAAUCUACCUCGUCCGGGAUUACAAUUAUUCUUUUUCUUCUUUCUUUGUGUCACUAUUUGCUUUGAUGAUCAAUAUUGAUCAAAAGCCCAGUGUUAGAUUGGGACAGAUUGUGUAAAGAAUGAAAGCAUUUGCAUUAAAACCUCUAUUGUUGGACAAUAGCAGUCAUAAGCCAGAACUGGAUGAUGAGAAUUUCACACUUUGCACACAUUUUUUAUGAUAAUGUCUCUCUUUGCUAGGAGUUUCAUAUUAUUUAGUGUGUCUGAGUGUAUAAUAUCACAGUAAUGUCUUUAAACUACAAUACACGUGUUAAGAAAUGCAGUCUGUUUAACUGGACCCCUCCCCCGUCAACCCUACCGGGGGCACUAGGGGGCUCUCCGGGGGCACAUACGCUUCCUACAAACUAUUCUAUUUUUACUAAUUUCUUCUCACAUUCUUCCACUCCACCCACAUCAUAUUCCAACAACCUCACUGUCAAGUGCCACACACACAAUACCUACUGAUUGUAAAAAGUUAUUUUACUUUACCCACGUCCCUAAUCCCCUAAAACCGGGAUCAGGCCUAAACACCUAGCAUCCGAAUAACGGCCCAGAAACACCUGGAACCAAAAACGGCCAGAACACAGAUUUCCUUUACACCCCAUCCCAGUUUCCUUAUACACAUUAUCCAAUGGCACCAACAGGCCCCUAACCAGGGGAUGAGCAGAACUCUGAGAAGCUGCCGCCACGACAGUGUCACUUAGGCCUAUAACCACUAAUGGGAACACUCACAACGGUGUGCCAGCUCUGACCGCAACGAAGAAGCACCUCCUAUCAGAGGACUAAACCUGUACACAGUCGUAUUCAUUUAAUGUUGUACCCAAUCACUGAUUGUCAUAACCACCAUUGCAGAAUGUUUGACGCUUCAUGUUGGGUCCAUAUCUACCCAUUCUUUUCUGUACCCCCUAUUAUCUUAAAAAUGACAAUUAAAAGAGAAUGUUAAAAAAAAAAAGAAAUCAGUCUGUUUAAAAAAAGAUAUAUUAGUGAACAAAGUAAAUCAGUAAGAUGUGAGUAUUGUACGCAAAUCUACACUAAUUAAGUGAGUGGAGCGCUAUAUAGAAAUAAGAAUAUACACUUACCAUAAAAGAGGGUGCUGAACUUAGGUGUACAGUAAGUACAUAUAAAAGAAACAGGAUAAAACAAUAUAGUGUAAAUUCAUAAAAAUAAUGAUAAUGAAAUAGAACUUGUAUCAUACGUGUGUCAACUCACAUUGAUAAGAGCCUCUAGGGGACAGGCUCAAAUCACAUCGGCGUUAGUGUCAUAGGUGACACUGCACCCUUUCUUAUCCGGAGUUGAUAUCCUCAGGAGACAACUUCGGAUAAGAAAGGGUGCAGUGUCACCUGCGACACUAACACCGAUGUGAUUUGAGCCUGUCCCCUAGAGGCUCUUAUCAAUGUGAGUUGACACACGUAUGAUACAAGUUCUAUUUCAUUAUCAUUUUUUUUUAUGGAUUUACACUAUAUUGUUUUAUCCUGUUUCUUUUAUAUGUACUUACUGUACGCCUAAGUUCAACACCCUCUUUUAGGGUAAGUGUAUAUUCUUAUUUCUAAAAAGCGCUCCACUUAAUUAGUGUAGAUUUGGGUACAAUACUUACAUCUUACUGAUUUACUUUGUUCACUAGCAUAUAUAGUGGGAGAAAGAGAAACAUAGAAACCCACUAGAGUGUGUGGCUGCUCUUUCUGUUUAUCACUGAAAUUUUUGUAAGCGCACUGUACACAAUAACUAUCUUUCUGUUGUUAAAAAAGAUAUAUUGUUCUUGCUCUAAAUUGAAUUUUCAUUGCAUAAAUUAUUUGUAAGUGACAUAAGAUUUAUCAGAACAGAUUUGGCUCUCCCCGGCCCCCACCACUCACACCCCUAAAAUGAAUGUGUCCCUUUUUGUCCAUUUGGAAUGUUGGGAGGUGUGGAAUGACAGGACAGCAUUAAAUGAAGGGUUACCAUCUGCCCAAUGUUUCACGUAAAUCUUUACGAACCCAAUGACCUGAAAAGUUAGCUGUGUUUACACAUCUCUAAUUGAAUGUAUUUUUUUUAUUUUUUUUUUAAGAAAAAGGAAGUAUUGCUUGUAACUAGACAGUACUGGGCUACAUUUUCCCCGCAGGUGCAAUAAAACCAUACAUUACUUAGAAGUGGUUUCCUUACAUAAAGUGCAUGAGAUCUUUCCAGGGUGAGGUAAGAAAUAUGAGUCAUCCAAGUACGUCUAAAUAUUUUCCCUUUCUUUUGAGUGUAGUCAAUCGGCAGUAACACAAUAGAAUUUGGCACCCAACAAUAAUAAAAGCUCACUUUUCCAUCAUGGUCUACACUGCUAAAACAAGGGGAAGUCCCCAAACUUGGUGGCUUUGCAUCUAACUUAAAAGAUCAGUUUGUGACUUUAUUUUUCUGUUUUACUAAAACAAAAUGAGAUCUAUACAAGGUAAAAAUGUGAGUUUGGUACAGGUUUUGUUCCGAUUUAUUUAAUGAAGAAUGACUAACUACAUUGGCAUAGCAAACAAAGAAAAUCUAUAGGGAAAGCAUUUCUUAAUAAAUAUGUGUCCCUAAGUUGCAGACGUUAAACCAUACAGUUUUUUUAUAGGGAAAAUGAUAAAUAAAAAACCACUAAAAGAAAGAAAUGAUAGCGCCACUUUAAUGGGUCACACUGAGAUGAACAACAUGCCUUGCUUGCCUGGUCUGGCUCUAAAGCAGGUAAGGGUGUCUUCACAAUUCUGACUGUGGCUAUAUUGACCAGCGUGUCUGAAGUGAACAAACAAAAGUGUUUGUGUACAGUGUUGGGAAGGAAGGCAUAUAAAGGAAUACUGCAUGUCUUUGCAUGUCUAUAUUUAAUAAACUUGCCGUGUUCUUGCUAAAUUCAGCCGCACAGAUAAUUACUCCAUGCCUGUAAUUACAUGGAGGUUUACAACAUUCUAUAGACUAUAAGUCUUCCCUUUGUAUGUUUUUAAAGGAACACUCCAUCAUUAUAAAUAAAUGUUAACAGUUUAGAUUAUAUGGCACCCGUACCCCCCUGAAAUAAAGGAUUAACUUACUCAAACCAGUGGCGAGAUGGGAGUUCAUCAGUGCUGAUCAUAUUAAUUAUUCUUUCAUAGAUUAACAGCUGGGAGGAUGCAACCACUCAACUUACUUUCAUAGUUAUAAACUCUGCUAGCCCCUAUACACCUCAGCAAGUGUUUUACAGAAUCAUUUAGGGGUUUUGCUCCUUACUUUAACCUCUGCCUUGUGUGAUAAUUAUUACGAGCUUGCUUAAAAAGGACAGUAACAAAACAUCUGCAGCCACACAAGACUGAAGAGAAUAUGGAGCAAAUAGAGCCAUUCCUAUAUCUUGGGUUUGAUCAAGUAUAUAGUUGCUUUUAUUAUUUUUGUCAUAUACGGAAAUAUCUCCAUAAAAAACAACAAAAUAAUUUUAUUUCAAGUAGUUGUUCUGCAUUUCUUUGUGAAAAAUCAAAUAUAUUUUGUUUCAGGCACAAAAUAACUUAAAGGAACACUCCAAGCACUAUUACAUCUGCUGUCAGUUGUAGUUGUUAUGGUUGUUAUGAGUGCCCUGGCACCCUCCCAGGGUCAAGAAGCCAUAUCCUUUAAGACAACUUAGCUAGGGUUAGCCAUGAGCUGGUCAGAUUUUAACUGAAAAUCACGCUACUGACAGUCUGUCCGGCAGUGCAAGGAGGCUCAGCUAACAUUCUGAGUCAUAAUGGGACACUAUAGGCACCCAGAUCACUUCAGCUCAUUGAAGUGGUCUGGGUGCACUGUUCCUAUUGCUCUUAGUGCUGCAAUGAAAAACACAGCAGUUCCAGAGAAACUGCAAUGUUUACUUUGCAGCACUAAGUCUGCCUCCAGUGGAUGCCUACCAGACAGCCACUAGAGGCGCUUCCUGGCUGCUAACGGACUUUUGUUUGGUAACUGACGCUGCACGUCCUCACGUUAUGCAUAAGGACAUUCAGCAUCAGCUAUUUCCCUAUAGGACAGCAAUGAUUCAGUGCUUUCCUAAAGAAAGGCCUGUUGCACGCGCAUCACUUGCAGUGCAUGGGCAUUAGUGUCUGCCUGUCGGAGGAGGCGAAGCCAUGACCCAGCGCAGAAUUUUAACCAUUUAUUCAUUUUGGCAGGGGGAAGGGAGUGCGUGAGGGAGGAGGGUGCCAGAGGAAGCUAUAGUGCCAGGAAUUCAGCUUUGUAUUCCUGGCACUUAUAGUAUCCCUUCAAUGCUUUGCAAGGAUUUAGCUCUAUAAAGCUAAUUGAACUCUUUGGAGGAACUUCCGGAUUCACAGGACAAAGUAACCAACAGACCCAGGUAAGUUGUCAAACAAUACUCAGAUAGUUUGACUAGUUACCCUGAGUAGGUGCCAGGGCACUUUUGGCACCAUAACCACUACAGGCUGUACUGGUUAUUUUGCUUGAAGUGUUACUUUGAGAACUUUUUUUGUCAGUGCUUCUAUUACCAUGGUAAAGAGCAUCUGUCAAGAGCUGAACGUUCAUUCUAUAGCUGGGGGAUUCCAUGAAGUCACAAAUCAUUUAACUGUACGAUUCAUCAUAUCCAAAGUGCGCAGAUUAGCAGUGAAAUGGUUAGAAUUCAUGCUGGACUAUAUGUCUCAGAGGUAACACUGCUUAGUAGUCACGUUUUUUGAGCUACCUGAAAGCACAGCCAACUAGUGUCAUACAGCCCAAUAUCUGACAGCCUUAAACAUGUCUAGUCAACACUGAGUCAGACAUAGCCUGCAGACCCACUCAGUUAAUUAACAGGCCCUUUUUACAACUGUGUGGUAAUCAACUGCUUCAAAACGAGUCCUAUGCUCACUGACUCUGACAUCAGCAACAUCUGCAAAAUGCAAGUCUCUGGAAAAUAAUUUAUAGAGCUUAAAACAAAGUGUUUCCCAUUAAAAAGGGGAUGCCAUGAGUCACAUACCUGCAUACUUUGGUUUUUUCCUUUAGUUUAGUUUUGUCUAUAUAUCAAUGUGCUAUGAAAUAAAAGGCUUAAUUUUAUUCCCCAGCAGAACCAUCCCCGAGGGUCUGAUACAUUAUUCAGGAGUAUAUUCACUAAACAGUAAAUUGUAGUGACUUGAGAACUGUUGAGAUAGAACAUUUAACAUACUUUUUUUUUUUUCCAGUUUUGUAUUUUGGUCUUAAAUUUGUAACUAGCUUUGCAACUCACGACAACUCACUGUUCAGCGAACAUAUCGUUAAGCUUCAUGAAAGCUAACGGACCAAAACAAUUAACACUUAUUAAUGAAUAGACAGCCCCAGAAGCCAAGAACACAGGACAGAACUGUUUGACUGAAUAUGUGAUGGGUCAGAGGCUGGACGAGCAUAAUAAUCUAUUUAGAAAGCAAAAUAAUGGCUUAGUUACAAACAGGGUUUUUCUCUAAAGCGAGAAUUGAUAGGAAAAUUAAAUUCACUGUGAAUUUCAAAUUGUAAACCAAACUCAAACCAUAGCAGACUGAAAAUAAUUUAAAUUCACAAUGAGUUACAGCUACAUAAUUAUCCCAUAAGCAAUGCACUGGCUUAUUAAGUCGGGUCAAAUUCAGCAGACAUAAUUUAUAAGUUGUCCAUACAUGAGACAAAAAAAGAUAGUGUUAUCCAUUAUCCAUGCACCUGGCAGCAAACUCAGCCGUUAUCCACACAUCUAAAACUGAACUCAGCAGUUGUCCAUGCACUUGACCGUGAAUUCAGUAGCCCAUUACACACCUAGCAGAGAAGACACAGUUUGCUGGAACUCAGCAGCUGACGUGGAGUCUAUGACGUUGUCAACUUAAGUUGAAUGAAUAUUGCCUGUCUCCCUUUCAUUUCAAAGCAAAAUUAGGUUCAAUUAAGAGACAUUGUAUUUGUUAGUUAUUGGAUGUAAAAUGCCCAAUUGCCCAGUCAUGUUGCCUCUGGCAUUGGUUUAGUUUCUGCUCUCUUAGCGUACCUAACUGCUGAGUGCAUACAUGUUUGUAUACAUAGCUCCUGAAAAACAAAAGGUUGCUGAAUAAGAAAUUAAAGAAAGUAUUAACACCCUAGGACCAAAACAGUUGUGGAAUUCUAGUUGCAUACCUCCAAACUGUUCUAGUUCCAUCAAAAACUGUACCUCUGCCUUGGUGUCCCACAGCUGAAGACACAAGGGAAAUGUCCUCACCAGAGCAGCUAAAGUGAAUCAAUAGAUGUGUUGGCUUUGUACAAAAUGCUGCAUCUCUUUUUUUGGCACGCUCAUUUUAGCCAGUUUUAAUAUAUAUAUAUAUAUAUAUAUAUAUAUAUAUAUAUAUAUAUAUAACCAUUAUUUAGUGUGAAUAAAAUAUAGAAAUUCAAACAUUUAAAUUGGAUUAGUUUUUACACAACAAGGUUUUAUAGUAAAACACUACAUCACAAACUGUAAUGUAAAAUGCUAUUGGGGUUUUCCUCUGUGCAAAUUGCCAUAAAUUAAAAGUGAAAUCAAAGAGCAUUUAAAAAUCUAUGCCAAAACAGCAAAUUUAAAAAAAUGAUCCGUGUCAAUUUUAUUUUCAGUUUGUCCAUGUUGUCCUUACAAUUGAAGUUAACUAUUCAUCCAAUAAAUAAAAUAGCUUUUGGUCGUCAAAUAUAAUCCAUUAAAAAAAUUUGAAGAAAAUAUUCAGAUAAACCAGAAGGAUGGGACAAAGGUCUUGUGGUGUGACUAUGCUUGCUACCUCAGACAUUAGUUGGUUGGGCCAUACCACUGCAAUGAAAGGCAUUUUAAAAAUGUAGGAGUUGCACCAGCAGGGGUAAUUUUUAUUUGAAAAAGGGAGAUUUAAAAAUAAAUAAAAGGAAAGGACAGUGCUACAGACUAUAUUGGCAGUAAAAACAAUAAUAAUAGUAAGUGAACAAACAUGUUGAACAGGAGAUCACCGACUAAUACUUGAGUGCAACACUUGAUUGCAAACCUCCCAAUGGUCCCAACUUAGGCAGUGUAGUUCUGAUUUUCUGUGGGUCCUAUCCCACAUCAUGAUUUAUUUCCCUAGUGUCCCUCUUUUCUCAACAAUCAUAGCGGAAGCGCAUCAUUAGACACGCUUGUGCUAUGCUCCGGCCAGUAGAACCCUGCCUAGACCAAUGAAACAGUGUUUCAUGCAGGGCCUGCCCUCAGUGGACUGGCUUGGUUGAUUGGCAGGCAGCCUGGUCAGUCAAUUCUACACCCUCUUUCCACGCAAGUCCACUCCCAUAGGCAGAGCUAGUGGCAUGAAUCACUUCACUAGCCCCUGCUGGGAGGGGCCAGUGAAGUGAUUCAUGUAACUAGCUCAGACGCCCUGCUUCACACAAUAUCACAGUUGGGAGGUAUGUGAUUGUCUGACAUUUUGCGGCUAGCAGACAAAGAAAUAAAAGCCUAACAAUUGGUGGGCCACAACUAUGCUCUAUACCAUGGUUCCCAACACUGUUUGGAGGUGGGAACACGACACUAUAAGUAAUAUUGCCGGGGCACACCCACUUUGUUACUUUCAUCUGCAGCUUAAAAAUGUUAUUCAUUUCAAGCCUUAAUAGAGGGAUAUGCAACUACUAACCAACAUUACUUGCAAGUUUUAUUUAACUGCCAGAUGGGAAUCCCAAUUUUUAUGCUGACACUUUCAAGUAAAAACCUCAAAACAAAUCACAUUUUGAGACCUGCUUUCAACCUGUUACUUCUAUCAGGAUUUUUCACUAGACACUGGAUUUUGCCCUAAUCAGUGACAUAAAUGCCCAAGGUGCAAUAAUGGGUGGGGGGUUAGCGAGAGGAACAGGUCGAUGGCCGGCCCCAGGAGGUGGAAAACUGGCCACCUUAUGGUACCACCAUUGCGAGCACUUAUUCUCUCAGGCAGAGUAGGUAUCUGCUUACCUGGAUGGCAGGUGCCUACUCUUCCUCCUCCAGAGGAGGCGGGAUACGGUGGUGGUAGCUAGGGAGCGCUGAUCUUCCAACUCGUCACACUGCUCCUUCAUGCACCCUCUGUGGUGAUGCCGGGAGCUGAACAAUGAGAUCUUUUGAUCUACCCACUUACUCUGGUAUGGCACCCCCUCAAAAUCAGAUUAGGUGCGCUAGGUGCAGCCAGGGACCCAGCAGGCUCCUGCCUGAGCCACGACCCUAGGUGGUCAUCUUAAACCAUCUAAUGGAUAAUCUGGGCUUGUUUCACUAAUUAUUCUGCCAUCAUAUAUGUCACAUCAUUGUUGCAUUCUGGCAUACAAUAGCAUAAUGAGCAUCCAUGUAAAAUACUGCUUUCUCCAUAUCGAUUGUAUAUCGAUUGUAUAAUUUUGUGUUUUGCUAUUUCUUUUAAAUGCACUGGAAUUACAAUAAAAUUUCAAGGCGAUACUUUUUUUAUAUAUCCAUUCUAUAUUAAUGAAAAACUCAGAAGUGACAGGUUCAGUUUAAAGAAAUCAUCAACUCAGUCAGGUGAGUCAAGAUUUCAUUCAGCCAUGAAUAUUCAUAAUGUCCCACCCAUGGAGGGACAGUCCCCACAAGUACUCAAAUCUCUCAUCUCUCCCAUCUUUUAUUUUCAAACACUAGUGCCCCUUUUGUCUAGAAGCUUAGAAUACUUAGUUACAUACAUGUAUUACAGAGUUCUUUAAGGAAGUGAAAUUCCUCAUUUUGAUAUCAGAGGCAGUGUUAAUGGGUUUUGCCGGGGAAUCCCCCCCAAUUUUUUUGUCAAACCAUUUGAACACAGAUUUACAAAAACUGGAUGCCCUGCAUAACCACUACAAGGAGCUGUAAUCGCGUUACCCCUUUAAUUAAUGAAAUCCCAUUGUGGCAGCAUAAUUGCCCCAUGAAAGCUUAAAACAUUAGAGGUAAAGAAGCAAUAUUUAUAAGCAUAUAUAUUUUAAAGCAUUAGUUUUCUAAAAUGCCUUGCACUAUGUGAUAUGCAUACAAAUGGUGCAAUGUUAGAAAAUACUAUUUCACAGAAAAGGUAGUAGAUGCCUGGAAGAGCCUUUCAGUGGAAGCACAGACAUCUGACCAAUUAAGAGAUUAAAGAAUUAUUAUAAUGUGCAUCAGGCUAUACUGAGCAACAUAUAAACAUACUCGUUGGGCCAACUGGUACUUUUCUGUUAUUAACUAUCUUUCGGCAACUUCUGCCCAUGUUAAUAAUCUGACCCCACACAGCUCUAUUAUUUGCGAUAAAUGUUUCACCAGCAUUUCCAGAUAGCUUGACAGGACCCUUAGAGUCACUAGUAAUGUAUUUUGGUUUUUUUUGGUUUUUAACACAACAUAAAAAAAUAAUAACGAAAAAGAAGAAACAAAACUAAAAAAGGAUAUUUGUAUCUCCGAGGUGAGUGAAUCUAGGACCAAUGCUGGCUUUUCGCUCAAUUCUGCUGUUGUAGCUAAAUCCAGGAAACCCCUCAACUGCAAUAAAACAUUAAUUAAAUAACCCAAGCACAGACAUGUUAAGCCAUGUAUCUCCACUUAUUCUGUGGCCUUAAACAAUUAAACUAUUUUUUUUUUUCCUUUUGGAGCAAUGAUCAAACCAGGGGGUGGGGACAGCAUAUCCUGCGUGAAACCGCAUCCUGAAUAAGCAUCACCACGAUUCAUUGUAAAUAAAUAUUCUCCCCUUGCAGCACUUCCGUCAACUGUCAUUGACUUGGCUCCAAUCACCUUUCAUGUCCAAACAGGAAAACAGAGAAAUGCAAGUGAGAUGGGAGAUACGAGGCUUAAUUUGCUUUUCACUGCAGAUUUCAUUAGUGGUGUACUUCCGAUCCUCCAGCUUUGCCAGCUGCCAGGAAUCACUUUUGGACCUGGGCUUUUUCCUGUUAACCUUUUUAAUUGUAUUAUUAUGAUGGGGCUAGCCCACUGAGGGCUGCUGUACUGUCUGUGGAGGAUAUAGAUCUGCCCUCAGUUAGAAGACAGCAGCCAAAUCUUGGCCAAGCUGCCACAGACUGAAAGAGCUUAUAAAAUGAAGAUUCCAUCACCAGUCUGGCAACUUCUGUGUACACAGAUAUACGGUUUAGAUAAGAAAGGCUGUGGGAAACUUGUAACUGCAACCAAAAACACAAUUAAAACCAGCUUUAUAAAACUUUAUUAAAAACACACAGCAUUAUUUCAAAAAUGAUGACUAUAGGAUAAAUUUAAAAACAGAUAGAUACAAACACACAAAUAUAUACACAGAGACACAGUCACUGCCAGAAACAGUACACACAGAGAAAUACCUGAUUCAAGAGUUGCAUACAGAGACAGAAAAAGAUACAUAACAGAGCUAGACCUGUUACAAAGGACACUAGGAACGUGCAUGUAGUGCUUCAGUAGUGCGCUCAGUUUGACCAGCACGUUUGCUGUCAGUAAGUCAGGCAUUCACUCAUUCCAGGAUGACAUGACCCUUCACCCUGCCCCUUUAAGGCCCACCAAUUUUGCCGAUCUCUAUCCCAUUUGCAUACCUUACAAAGUUUUAAGGUAUAUAAAUAAUAAUAAAUAUACUACAGCACUCCUUAUAUGGCAAGCAGAAUGUAUAUCAGUAACCGUGAGCCUGUGUGACUGCUCAUACACUUCAUUUUGAGACCAAUUCAACAGUUUUAUUGUCUUUUUUUUUGACAAGGUAAGUUUGCCUGGGCCCAUUUAAUGGCUUCCAUGAUGAUAAUUUAAAUACUGAACACAGUAUUCCAAAGCUGCCAAAAGCUGCCAUGGAUAAUGCAAUGGGAGCCACACAGGUUUCUGAUCAUUUUUAUUAACAGGGAUAUUCUCUAAAGUGAGAAAUCAAAGUGAAUUUUAAAUUUGAAGCUCAAAAUAGCCAAACUGGAAAGAAUUCUCUAACUCAGCUAUGUUUCAAACUUAUUAUCAUUACAGGUGGUCCUAACUUUGUGACCUACCUUUUCUGCGACGGCUCGCACUUACGACCAGCUCUCUAGCGUGAGGAUUCAAGGGAUUCCCCAUGUUAGAGAGUUGGUCUAUGUUCAGGGAAUAUUCCCUGAACAUAGAUUGGAGGUAUCCCCUGCUCUAGUGCCUAUGUCUACAUUCAGAGAAAUUUCCCCGAACAUAGACCUGCACUGGUGCACAUGCGCCUCACUUACCGACCAAUUUGUUUUACGACCGUGUCGUAAGAACAGAACCCGUUGGUAAGUGAGGAGCAUCUAUAUUAUGAUUUAUAAAGUGCCAACAAAUUUCACAGCUUCCUUAGCCUAAAAUGUGAAAUUCACUUUGAAUUAUUACUUUCGUGAAUAACCCUCUAAAUCUAUAAAAAGAAAGGACUGAAGCGGUGAGUGCUGUAGUCCAGUUUCUUACUAUACUGGAAAACACCAUGCAGUGAAAGAAAUUAUAAACUUCAGUGAUCUACUAAAAACAUAGGGGUUUUCCUGCUUUAUUCAUUAAUCAAUACAGUUCCCUUCCAAAAGGGCAAUGCAGGUCACUGCAUGUGACAAGACAUAUGUAGGAAGCCUGUCUGGCUGAGUAUUGAAGCUUUUUGGCCAAGGAGAGGGGGGGCAUAUAUUUUUUUUUCUUCUUUUAAACUUCAGUCUGAAAAUCUGCCAGUUGUUGAAAGCUUGACGGAAACAAUGUUUAAAUAGGAAUCCUGAAUUGCCAUAAUUAGUCAGCUGUUUGAUAAAGCACACCGCUAGGAUUUAGUUGGAAAACACAAGUACUGGUCAUCUUUAAGACUACAGUGUAAAACAGUUUUUUUUAAUCCCUAGCCCAGUAAUGACUAGGCAUUGUAGGCGAUGCAGUCUGCAAGAGUUAUGGAAGAACUGCACAUUUAGACUAAUAAAUAAUUGUGCCAUAUAAUUAGGGGGCUAUAUAUUUUAUAUCUAUAUAAUGUUUUCAGUCAGAAGUGACCCUUCAAAGAAACUGUCCAUAAUAUGUUACAUAUAAGGUAUAUGUGACUCUGUCAUGUUUGUUUGAGCAGUCUUUUAAAGGUGAUUUAAACAAACAUUAAUGAAAAAGAUAAAAGAUACACAAGCUAUCAUGCUGAUGAUUAGAGAUAUGCAAAAAAGAGCUGCUGUCAAAACCAUAGUGUAAUGCAAACUGCCUGUAAAAUUUCAGAUAACAUUAUAUUUAUAUAUAUUUUCAUGCCAAUGUCACAAAAACAUGUUUUCACACAUAUGUAAAGGCCCCAUAAUUCCCAGUGUGUUACUGCAAGCAAAGCACUGUGGGAUUCUGAGCAGGUGGAUGUACAUGCAUCCCCUCCCGUUUACCGACAUCUUGGUGGAGUCAGCAGUUGCGUUUAGGUAAGUAUGUUCUCUGCUACAUGUUUUACUAGCAGAAUACAUGCAUUAAAUUGAAAUACCUACGCAAAGAGCACAAUGAUUAGAUGACAGGUCAACACAUUUUUUCUGUGGAAGACAUGCCGCAUUAAUGAAUACAUCUCUACAGGUAAAACAUUUCUCUACAAAAUAUUCUCUGCAGAGGGUUUUCCUUCAAUGCCUCAAAUGAAAACAGAAUUAUUUUCAAGGGUGGCUCAGAGAAACAAUCAAACAAGCAACAUGUACCCACCACAGGGAUGCAUUUCAGCCUGAUCGCUGUAUAGUAAACAAGGUUCACUGUACACAAUGUAUCAAACUGAUUCUUUGGAAUAUUUCCCAAUCUGAAAGUAUUUUUUUUUUCCGAGAUUUUGCAACUGCACAAUGAAUCUAGCACCGUACCUUUAAUUGCUUUUGAUUUCUUAUAAUUAAGUAAAAAUGUAGAACCUUCAUGCGCAAUUUACUCGGUUUACAGCAUCUGAGGUAGGAAGUCUGCAAUAGGUGAAGAUCUCAUUUCAAGUGAUUAAUGCAAUUUGUAUGAAAUCUGAAACAGACGAAUGUUCAUAAAAUAAGAUACGAAGGGAUAAAAUUAAGAUGUUUUUGACUUGUGACGUGUUUGAGAGUUCUAGUGCUUUUCAUUUAUUUUCUUUUAUAUUUUUUAAUUUUUUUUGUUCAAUCUGUGGAAUAAACAAACUAAAUAAAUCACAGCAAGUACCGCUCACACUUUUCCUUAUUUAAUACAUUUUAUAUUUGUUAGUGGUAUGAAUGAAAUGAAAGCAAAGAAUGUGUUAACUAUUUUUGCUAUAAAAAAAAUAUUUUAUGUGAAUUAUACAGAUAAUGAUUUUUAAAACAAAUACACCAUUUCGAGAAGAUUUCCUGGGAUCAAUCUUAUUACUUAAAAGAUCUCAGAAGGCACUCAUUGAAGUGGUUAUAGUGUCCAGAGUCCCCUGACGCAAGUAUUCCAUUCAGCGUUUAGCCAUUUUCAAUGUUUUAAUGCUAAACCAGAGCCCCCAGAUGCCAACCCUCUCUGUGCUGCAUGGGCUAAAGAGAAACGAGCAACAAUAAUUGGCUGUGAUUGGCUGAGAGUGUCAAUUGACUGAUGCUAAAUGCUGGUAGGAAUUGAUAUGGCUAGAAGUGUGUAAUCUCUGCCUUAGCCAAACCUCCAGUGGGAGUUGGGUGGCAAGGGACCGUCAUUCAGUGUUAAACUGCUUGAAAAUGGUUUAACACCAAAUCCACAGACAGUGACAGUGUGCUCCAUGAUUACAACCUGGCUAUACUACAAUGUACAGUAGAGUGUCUCUUUAAAUCAGAGACUCGCUGAGAACAUCCACUCAAGGAUAAACAACUUGUAACUUUCUGUUGGAGAAUUAAAUGACAUUGAUUGCAUAUGCCCAUUCUCACUAUUCUUUUAUUAAAAUCAGAGGCGAUCUCGCAUGUGUAAUACAGUCAUGAGUGGCUUACCAUUGUGGGCAGGGACGUAUUAGCCACGAGGCAAACAAGGCAUUUGCCUUGGGCGGCACUUUCCAGGGGGCAGCAAAAAAACCUGCCCCCAAAUACCCAGGCAAAUGUCUUGUUAGCCUGGCGGCUAACUGACAAUCCGGGCGGGCGGCUAACGAAAAAUCCAUGCAGGCGGCGCUGGCGAGGGAACACUGAUUUGUGAGCUCUCUGCUCAGCUCCCUCGCGCUCCACAGAGUGAUGCCGGGAGCCGUAAUAUGAUGUCAUAUUGCUGCACCCGUCCUGUGUUGUAUUUUCAAACCUCACAAGGAGGGCUAGUCUUUGUUGGUGUCAAAUCCUCUGUCCCUCUUUACAGGACUGCUAUUUCUGAUUUGUGUUUAUAACAGAGCUCUAUGGCAACAAAACAAAUGGUAAAUUGUCAUCACGUUUCAAUAAAUUAAAAUAUUUGUAACAGCUCAAAAUGAUUUGCCCAGUUAGUGUUACUUAGUUGAUGUCUAAAUUCCACAAAACAUGGCCACUCCUUACUCUUAACUACUAGUGUCUCUGUUUAGUUAUUUACAAGAUUGGGCAAUAUGUUCCUUUGGUGACCCAUUUCUGCAGGAAACCAGACAUAAUAAUCAAAACAUCUGCAAGAAUGGCUUGUUCCAAGCUCUCUUGGUUCAAAUAAUAAAGGGGAACUUUUACCUCUCUGGAGACCACACCAUGGAAUAAAAUAUUAAAAUCACCUAUAGCGUGUGUUCACUUUUUUCUGUUCAGGUGAUAUAAAUGCAUGUUAAAGGAACACUAUAGUCACCUGAAUUACUUUAGCUAAAUAAAGCAGUUUUAGUGUAUAGAUCAUUCCCCUGCAAUUUCACUACUCAAUUCACUGUCAUUUAGGAGUUAAAUCACUUUGUUUCUGUUUAUGCAGCCCUAGCCACACCUCCCCUGGCUAUGAUUGACAGAGCCUGCUUUAAAAAAACUGGUUUCACUUUCAAACAGAUGUAAUUUACCUUAAAUAAUUGUAUCUCAAUCUCUAAAUUGAACUUUAAUCACAUACAGGAGGCUCUUGCAGGGUCUAGCAAGCUAUUAACAUAGCAGGGGAUAAGAAAAUCUUAAUUAAACAGAACUUGCAAUAAAGAAAGCCUAAAUAGGGUUCUCUUUACAGGAAGUGUUUAUGGAAGGCUGUGCAAGUCACAUGCAGGGAGGUGUGACUAGGGUUCAUAAACAAAGGGAUUUAACUUCUAAAUGACAGAGGAUUGAGCAGUGAGGCUGCAGGGGCAUGUUCUAUACACCAAAACUGCUUCAUUAAGCUAAAGUUGUUUAGGUGACUAUACUGUCCCUUUAAGGAUUUAGCUAUUGGCAUUCAAAUCCAGUACAGUCCAGGCACAGCCAGAUAACAUAUUGCAUAGGACAAGAUUUUUUUUUUUGUUGACAAUCUUCAUUUAACAAGGACAAGAAGAAACUGGGACAAUGUUUCUGUUCUCUCUAUGCAUCUUCCUGGAUAGACUUCAAUAUAGGAUUGUGGGCUUCUGUAAUCUAUUUAGUUUUUCAAUAAAUAUAACCCCUCCGGCCCUGGGGUUCUGUCGAACUCUGCAAAUUCCCAAGGCAUAAAUGGAGGAAGAUCAUCCGGCUUCCUCAAGCCUGGACCCUCGGGUAGGCCGGAGUACUACCACUUGCUUGGACUGACCAAGACGCAUGGUGCCGGUGUCUAAAUAUAUGUUUGAAGAGCCUGAGCAGUUGUCAAGUGUAUCUUGAGGUUAUAAUGCGGAGGCUUAUUAUUCCAAACAAUUAAAAAUAAAAUACACUAUUGAUGGAGGCCUUUGCCUCACAGUGCUUACAAUGUAGGCAGUGUUUGUGAGACUUACCAAUCAUAAACAAUGCAACUGUGCAAUAUAUAAAAAGGUGAGGUGUAAGGAAUUAAAAAAUAAAUAUGGUUUGUAGAAUAAUUUUCAGAGCUGUCCAAUGCUUACAAAAUGAAAUGGAGGAACAAACACAUUUGAUGGUUGAUCAAAUGGUUGAUUUAAAUUUUUUAAAAUAAUGUGGAAAAUAACACCAACAAAAAAUGAAAUUAAGCUCUGUUAAUUUACUCAUAGAAAUGCAAUCUAAUCUCCGACUCCUAAAAUAAUAAUGCACACUAGCAACACCAUUUAAACAUCUUUAUCUAAUAGGCUGUGUAGAGAAUCGUAACCUACAGGAGCUGUAAUUGCUACAUACUCUUAUUUUAAUAUUUAAGAUAUGCAUGAAUUUCCAAAUAAAUGUUGUAAAUAUGUAGUUAAUAAAACAUCAUGUUUAAAUGUUGAAAGUCAGAUUUUGUCAACCUCAUGUUUUAUACACUGGAGAUUUCUCCUUUAUAUCCCUUGACACGUUCUACAAUAUUCCACCUAACUUUUACAGUAAAGGUUUCUAUGUAUGAAAAUGCAUGGUUCCGUAUAAGUUUAGCACCCCCUCCCCCCCCUCCUCUCCACCACCCUCCAACAUGUCCGAGACAGUUCAAUUCUGCAAUCUAGUGAAAAUCAAAUCUCAAAAUCCUCUCGUCAGCUAACAAUAUUUUCAUAUGUGCCAAAGUCUGGUGGUAGGAUAACGGCGUCCAAUCUUUUCCCUCAAGCAAUGCUUAUUUUGUUUUUAUUGCAGUUCAAUGACUGGAGUACAAAAUUGCAUGCAGGUGCCUGCUACUGCAGUUUCUCUGUAUUACGCACACGGCCAACUACUGCCCACCAGGGUUGAAACUAUUCUUUUGCUGCAGUCAUAAGAAAAGCCGAGAACGCUUCUUUGUGCACAAGGACCUACUGUCUGAUACAUCUAAAGAGGGUAAUGUUAAUGGAUCGGUCCCCUUUCAAAAAGAAUCGUGAAAGCUCCUUGUGAAAUGGAACUCAAAUAUUUUUGACGUUACGCAUGUAGCAACUUCUAAACAUUAAAGUCACGAAAAACCUUAACACAAGCUACUCAUUCUCCCAGAGCAUGUGAAAGGACAUAAAAGCAGGCCGUAUAAUAGAUUUCUUAUAGGGUUUUUAUAUGUAUUAAAUGUUCAACUUUCCUUUCAACUAUCUUUUAAUCUUUGAAAUAUUUCUCUAUCAAUUCUUAUAGGCAUUUUUUAUUUUUGCAACUUUAUAUUAAGGCAAUGAAAAGACUUCCUAUUUAAAAGUCAUUUUUUUGUAUUUUUUUUUUUUUUUUUAAUGUCCAAAAAAUAAUAAUAAUUUUUUUUUAAAACGAUAUAGUCUUUAGGGAAAAAAAAAAAAUAGGGAGAAAAUGCUUCAAAACAGGAUGAAGCGCUUCUGAAAACAUGAAACACGAAGGGUUUUUUUUCUUUAAAAAGGAGAAUUUUCUUUAUUAUUUUUUCCUAUUGUGUUUCAGAUAUAAUGAACACAUGCACUUCGGAAUGUUCAUCUGCACAUGAGCGCUUCAUUAACAGAGAUAUAGUGACUUAAAGGGUACAUUAUUUAGACCCCUUCUCUGGAAACGAAUGCAUUGUAAUUCUCUUUACAACCAUUGCUGUCUUCCAGGAGAAAUUCUAAAUUCAGAGAAAAUCGACUCACUGGCCACGUUUUGUAUUGGUUUGGUUUGCACAAGACAUCAUAAGGCAAGUGUACAACUGGAUCUCCUAUUUGCAAUCAAAAAGACAACAACAGUAUUUGUACUUACUUUUUACUCCCCAAUAAUAUGGAGCACCCUGGGUACUGUAGGUGGUUAGGAAGGCGUAUGCAUUGAUAAACGCUGUCCCAGUUGAGCUAAUCGGGUUACAGAGUCUCCCUCCCACACUACAAUAAUAUUCAUAGUGGUAUAUGCACUUAUUUAUUUAGUUUUGCAAAUAUAUAACAUUCUCCCUUGGUUAUUUAACUUUGUGCAAAUUAUGAUUCCAAUACAUCCAUCUUAUGAGUUAUGAAAGUAUAAUACUAGACAUAGACAAAUGUUAUUAUAAUUUUUAAAACAUUGUCUAUCUAUGUAUCUAUCUACUGUAAAAGUCUAUCUAUCUGUCUGGCUUUCCGUCUGUCUGUCUUAUAGUUUAUUGAUAUUCAUUGAUUGAAGUUAAUGAUUGCUCAUGGUAUAUAGCUCAGUGGAUUAAUCCUAAUCACAAUUUAAACAGCAAAACAUGUCUGUCUGCCUCCUGUAUAUCACUCUGUGUUGGCAUUUCAAUCUUUCUACCUAUCUCUGUCUGUCUACCUUUUCUGCAUCCACAUAUAAUAUAUAUAUAUACAGAUUGUGAGUGGAGGUUUGCGGUUAGAGGAAAUUAAAUAUGUAUAUUAGUGUCCCUGUCUGUUAACUGCAUAGUGCAAAUCAACAUAGCAUUUUUCUCUUCUGUGUAUAAAUAGUUUCGAGAAUGUAAAAAUACAGAACUAUGUAUUAUGUGCAUAUACUAUGUUUGACAUAUUGUUGGAUGGCAUUUACUUAAUCUAGGUUUUGAAAUAGAGUUUGGGAAUCUGCCAGCAUCAGGAACGUGCGAUCUGGCCUAGUAUUCUGUCACUCCCUCCCUCCCCAAUCACAAAAAUAAAUAAAUAAAUUCCUCUUAGCAUUAUUUACAAUCAUUUUUGCUCUACAAAUAUUCCUAAAUAUUCGUGAAGGGGUUUUCAAGAGCCUUAGCUGUAGUUCAAUCACUUGUGCUGAUAAGACUUGUUGGAAAGUUUGAGAAACAUAAACACUACAGAUGGCACUGUCCCUAUGGUAAGAGUCAAACUGUCAAACAUAGAAAUCCACGCUUCUAUCCUGGAACUGGACACCUCUAUCUUAGUCGCCUGUCAAUCAUCAUUAUAUAUGUUACCGUUUGCUGGCCCUGAACAUAAUUAGUGGAAGAAGAGAAACUGGAAUAAUGCUUUUAAACUCCUCCAUUUCAGCAUUGUGUACCCUGUCUGUUAAAUAUUUAAUAUAAAUUAUUUUGUUUUAAAUAAGUUUUUUAAUACAUUUUUGAGAAAGUACAAAGUCCUAUGAGCGCCCACUUCUUCAAUAUAUAUAUAUAUAUACACACACACACCCAAACAGGCUGCACUCACCUCAACAUGCAAUACAAAUUAUAACGGAGCUGCUGGGUCCAAUUCAUACAAAAUACAAAGCUUAUUGCAUAAGCCUGACACAACACCAAUGUACCACAUUCUUUUCAGGUCCUACUCUAGACACCUAACGGCUGCUCUUAUUAGAUGAAUCCACUUACUUGGGAAAUGCUUCCUCCUGGAUCUCUCUGCAGGGCAAGGCUUAUGCAAUAUAUGAUCAUAUAUUGUAACUAAACUUCUGCAGGCUUUGAGGUUUCUGUUUAGUGGAUGAGUGAGUGUGCUGGAUCUUGUGUGGUGUGUCUUUUGUGUAAUAUAUAUAUAUAUAUAUAUAUAUAUAUAAAUACACACACACACACAAACACACACACACACGUACAUAUGGAUAUAAAAAGCACACUAUUUUUUUACUACGGCAAAUUCGACAAUUAAAAGGUUACCAGGUCAGUUUAACCGCUUUUCUUUUCAACAAAAGUAGAAUUUAUUUUUUUUGCUUCAUUUCAGUAUCCAAUCUAGGUUAUGAAGUUGAAAAGACUCAACUUCAUUUGAAAAUGUAUAAAACCACUUGGAUGAAAAGGGCUUUGAAAGCUCCAUUAUCAUCUUACAAAAAUAUAAUAUAUAUAAAAAAAAAAAUACUACAGAUACUACACUACCCGUGUAAUGUCAAAAGGCCCUUGUGUUUUCUUGUUUAGUGUCCCUUUUGCACCAAGCUUAAAUUUGGUAUCAAGGAAAAAAAAAAUAUUCUUACAGCACUUAAUGCCCUGUGCUAGCACCUUUAGUUCAAAGCUGAGCCGAAACCAAGAAAUGCAUUGUGUCUGCACGAUGACAGUGCCUCACAUACAAUGUGAAAAGCGGCUCCUCACUUUGUUGUGUUUUCAAACUGCUGGCCUGAUCUUGAUUCGAUUCUCACCCUUGAGCCAAUCUUUAAAUACACUCGAGAUGAUUUCAUUCCCAGCCCUCAGAAUCCCCAUCUGCUUUAUGUUGUCCCUUUUUGGUACAGCUCUCUAGGGAAUACAUUUCCUUUCACACUUUCUAGGAAGGAUAAUGAUUUAGAAACUUGAAAUUAGGAUUUUAUUAAACACAUUAAAAUGAAAUGUACACGUCCUAAAUCUGAAGGCCAGGGCUUACAUCCUACCAGAAAUAUAUGAUUUAUCUAAUUAAUACAUUCAUCAUCAAAUAGCCGGGCUUCACAAUGUGUUUGUUUUUUAUGAAUUAAUUGGGAGCUCUCCGUAGUUUCCAAAUGGGCAAAUAUAUUCAUAUCCUGGCUAGUAUCAGUGGUGGAUAUGGGGGAGAGAGAUGAUCCGAAUCCUCUGCCUCUGGCUGGGGACUAAAAUGUUUCCAAUAACUGCAAUAAGUAAUGCAGCCAGCACAAACCAGAAUGGUGCUGGAGUCAGCAGGUCUCUUCUGAUGAUGUCAGGAAGAGGGCACGACUUCCACCACUCUUCCCCCAGACUCCCAAGCAGACCUUACAUUUCCUCCAGGCUCCGGCUUGACUGUAGAGUCCACGGCCACUCUAGAAGAAGAAAAGUACAGGGCCGGACUUCCAUCUCCCUUCUCCUCCAGUUCCAGCACAGACUGCCCAGCAGGUUCCAGCAUGGCCGCAGAGUCAGCUAUCCACUGAAUGAAGUUUGAUAGGGGUGCAGAUAGCAACACCUCCCACCUGACCACCAGGCAUAAGGAUCCCCCCCUUCCUGGCCCAAGGUAAGCCUCAAACAGGGAAGAAUACAUUUUAGUUUUAUUUUUAUCAAAAUGUUUUGGGGGUUUUUAAGCAGCCCCUAUCCACUCAUUGCAGACCCUGUUCCCCACCACUAUAGCCCCUGCACCCCAUAUACAGCUCCUGUCCCCCUACCACAGCCCCUGCCCCCAACACAGCCCUUACCCCCAAUCUACAGACCCUAUAUAGCCCCUGUCCUAUCAAUACAGCCCUCACUCACUGCUACUGCAGAAGCACCUAUCACCCUCACUACUGCCCCUUUCUUGCCCCUUCACAGCCCUGUUCCUGCUGCUAAUGCCACUAUCCCCCUCACAGCCUCUACCCCUCUACAGCCCCUGUCCUCCCACUACAUCCACAGUCCCUUCUACCACAGCCCCUACCCCCCUCCACAGCCCCUGCCUUUCCACUACAGCCCCUGUCCUCUCUCUGCAGCAUGAGUCCCCCGACUAAAGCCUCUGUUUUUCCAUCACAGUUCCUACCCCCCCUCUAAAGACCCUGUCCUCCCUCUUCAGCCCCUGUGCUCCCACUUCAGCCCCUAAAUCCCACACUUCAGCCCCUACCUCCCUCUACAGUCCUGUCCCCCCAUACAGCACCAGCCCCCCACACUACUGCACCUAUCACCCACUCUACUGCCCGUAUUUCCCUCCACAGCCCAGGUUCUCCAACUACAGUCACAGUCCCCCCACCACAGCCCUGCCCCCAACCACCGCCCCCGUAUCCCAGCCACAGCCCCACCUCUCACUCAAAACACACAUAACAGCCACUUUCUCCCCACAUCACAUCACCCCCUAAACCCUCAAUAACCUACUACAGCCCUAACCCACUACUACAGCCACUACUACAGCCGUUAACUCCCAACUACAGCAUCUGUGCCCUACUAGAGCCAUUAACUCCCUACUACAUGCACUAUACCCCAUACUACAGCCCUAUAAUUAAACAGUAGCCCAUACCUCCAACUGCAGCGACUAUCCUUACUAAAGCUUCCAACCAACCUGCACAGUGCCUUACCAUCUUGCAGCUCCUAUCCCACACUACAGCCCCUCUCCCCUCAAUUGCAGCCCCUAAACCCCAUACUACAGCCACUAUUCCCCACUACAUUCCCUAACCCCCCAACAGUCCAUACAGGCCACUGUACCUCCAUUACAGCCUCUGAAUCCCCCCUUCCCCCAUCACCACCACUCCAGUCACUAACUCCUCCUAGAUCUGUUUCUGGAUUCGUAUGUGGUGCCUAUAUCUAACCACUGAAUGCUAGGUGGAGUCCACUCCCUACCCAGUCCCAUGUCCAUCACUGUCAUUAAAAUUCAGUUUCACUUCAUUCUUAUUAUUAUUCUGCUUCCCCUCAUUAUUCAAACACAGACACAGGAGCUCAUAGUGAUACAAGAAUGUUUAGAGAGACACAGCAAGGGCUAAAAUAGGUAUUGGAAAUAACAUACACAUACCUGGCAGACUGCUGCUCAAGAGGGCUAAAACAGAAGAAUGUAGCUGUAAUUACAAAACACACUAAUCCCCACAGCACUUUGUCUUCGUUUUGCUUCAGGGGUGAAAAAACGUGUCUCAGGCAAAUGGGUGUAACCUUUAGACACCAUAAUGUCCAGUAUCAUAAUCAUAAUGUGGGCCUACAAUUCCUCUUUGGGCAAUGAACAACAUUAAAGUGAAACUGUAGCUCCCUGCUACCCGCUCCCAGCUAGCCACUCAAUUUCACUUCUGUAACAUCCACCUCCAGUCCACCAGUGCUCCUUCUUGUUGUUCAACAAUUUGCCAUGCUUCGGAACAAAUCACCAAGCAGGACAAACCUUCUCCAUGACAACGACACGCUGUGUUCAUUGCCAGUGUAUCGGCAUCUGAACAGAGUGACGUAAAGUCACUCCGUGCCUAUACUGCCUAACUAGCACUAGCAGUGGUUGCUGUGGUCGAAAAGCAUAGGGACAUCCUGUGUGAGGUCUCUACUGCUCUCCCUGUCUCUCAAUUCUUCCACAUUGAGCGAUCGCUGAGGAAUUGGGAGAAAAAACUAUUUUUUAAUAGGUUUUUCUACAAACCGCCAGCAUUUGUAUAUAUGGAUUUUUAAGCUCUUCUAAAAGAAACAUAAUAAAAAAUAGUAUGAAAGUUUGACUUAAAGGCGUCUGAUCUAUAGGGUUCUCAAUGGAACUACAAGAUCUUUAUGGGCCAAGAUUAAAGUGGCAGAAUGGAACAGCCAUUGGUUUAUUCAGUAAACUUUGGGAAAGCAGAGGUCUAUAAACUAAAGUUCUUAGAAUCCUCAGCCAUUCUGACAACUGGCUAAGCAACCUGGGAAAAAUAGUUCACAAACAUCUAGGGGUUAGCCAUGAAUUGGUUAAUUAUACAUGUUGCACUAGAAAGAGCUAAAGCAAAACAAUAUACCUUUAACAAGAAACAGUUAUAAAUGUACACUGUUACAUGAAAGGUGUAGGCAGUUUAACUAGAAGCAUUAAAGGAACACUAUAGUCACCUAAACAACUUAAGCUUAAUGAAGCAGUUUUAGUGUAUAGAUCAUUCCCCUGCAAUUUCACUGCUCAAUUCACUGUCAUUAAGGAGUUAAAUCACUUUGUUUCUGUUUAUGCAGCCCUUGCCACACCUCCCCUUGCUCCGAUUGACAGAGCCUGCAUGAAAAAAAAAAACUGGUUUCACUUUCAAACAGAUGUAAUUUAUCUUAAACAAUUUUAUCUCUUGCUCUGUAAAUUGAACUUUAAUCACAUACAGGAGGCUCUUGCAGGGUCUAGCAAGCUAUUAACAUAGCAGGGGAUAAGAAAAUCUAAAUUAAACAGAAUUAGCAAUAAAGGAAGGAUAAACAUUAGAUGACUUUAUAGGAAGCGUUUAGGAAGGCUGUGCAAGUCACGCAGGGAGGUGUGACUUGGGUUCAUAAAUAAAGUAAUACAACUCCUAAAUGGCUGAGAAUUGAGCAGUGAGACUUCAGGGUGACUUUGGUGUCCCUUUAAAAGUGUAACAGGUGUGUGACUGAGAAAUGAAGACACGUUGUCAACAAUUCAGCUUGUUUAAAGUGCAGAUAACUUUUGUUGGAAACUAGAGCCAAUAUAUAGAAAAUGGUGGGUUUAAAAAAUGCUUUUACAUCACAUAUCGUUCAUUUUAUGUGUAUAUGAAUGAUAUGCAUAGCAUUCAUUUUACCAAAGGUCCCAAUCUAAGUUGAAAAAGGUGCAUGGCUUUCAAAAUAGAUCAUAUAAGUUAGGCAGUCUGUACGUACACUCUUUUUGCUACCAGAAAUCCAUACUGCAUAUAAAAUAACUAUAUCUAUAAUGAUAUAUAAAAACUAUAUUCCCAACUAUCCUGCAUUUGACUGGACUGUUCAUCCCAAAUUCUACCAAUAAGUAUCGAGCGAUAGUAUAAUUUGAUGUGCUCACACUACACAAAACAUACAAAAAGUCCUAUAACGUUUUAAGGUACAGAUAAGUAAUAAUAUCAUUUCAAUCUAUUGCAUUCUGCCUAAAUAAAGCGAAAUGUACAUAACAUAUUGAAACAUAUUCUUCUGUUGUCCAAUUUAGGUAUGAAGCACCAUUAAAUCACUACAAAAAAAAAAAAAGUACAUUGUAUUUAUCCAUUUCUAAUUUACAACCAUGGAGUAGUAAGAAAUACCAAUACAGCAGUCAUCCAACAUACACAUUGUACACGUCUGUUUCAUAAAAUAAUAAUAAAAACACCUUAUCGCUCUUCCCAAAAAAUAUGCAAUGAAACCUGAUGUGGAUAGAAAUGUUGGGAGGUAUACAUCAUUUUUAAAACAAAUACAUAUUGCAUUAAUUUUAAAUAAAAAAAGAAUUAUCCGUUUAAUUCUCCACAAUUCUCAAUUUAACCUAUGAAAAGGGCAAUAUAAGUAAUCACAAUGAUGCACAGCAAUGCAGAACUAUAUUACAAAACAGGAAUAUCCGUCCACUUUUAAUAUCCUGGACAUUUUUCAGCAUUUAACAAAAUGAGAAGCAUUGAAACAAAGAUGUAGUAUUUCUUUUAUUGUAAUAAGGUUAGGCAUUAAGUUUUGGUGAUAAUUUCUACCUAAUGUAUCUCAUUACUGAAAUAAGUCGUCAAUAUUUCUAGGGGGUCAUUGUAGAAAUAAAUGUAAUUAACUAUAGUAAGCGGAAAGAAGCCCCCCCUUGUUUAAGACUAUUCCCAAAUCGUAAAAUACACUAAAUCACAGUCACAAAUCAGCUUCCUCUAUUUCUGAGAUUAUACAUAUUAUUUUCUCGCAUUCACUUACACGCACACACACCGAAAAAAUGCAGAAAUCAUGAGGCUAGGCUUUGUAAUCGCCUGUUUUACUUGUACUGCCUUCCCUUACCCAAAUUACACGGGUAUAAUUAUUUUGACAAUAUAAUGAAAAGAAAAUUGGAUUUGGGCACCGCAAGUUUAUCUAAUAAUGCUAUUUCUUGCCAGGCUUCACAGCACUGACAGUCACAAAGAGACCUGUCCAUUUCAACGGGAAAUAUUUGAUUUUACUUAAGGAACAUUAUUUAUUUUCUGCAAGUUGCUAUUAUCAGAAUGGAUAUGAUAGCUGAAUAAUAAUACACACAAAAAAAAGAAAAUCAAGAAAAUUCUGGUGUUUCAAGGCUUUAAUUUUUUUCCUUGCUCUCACUUUUUGACAUUUUCUUCCCCUGGGAGGACAAGAUAAAAUGCUGUCAUAUAUGGGUGACUUUUCUCGUCAAAUGACAGAUUUGAUUCUCCAUAGCAACUGCAAAUCAAGGUGCUAGUCUGAAUUAAAAGCUUCCUUUUAAAUGAUGAUUCGGUACUAUUAAAAUGUAGGAAAUUAAAUGACCUUUAACCAUUUGAGCACUAGGAGGGUGGAACACCACCCCAGAAAAGAAAUGGUUAAGCACUUUAUAAUUAACGCUAUGAAUAAUAAAUGUAGAUUCUUCAUUGUGGAAUAGAAACAUAACAUAUUUGCAUUUUGGAGGAAAAGUAACAUAUUGAGUCAAGAGAUGCACAAACAAUUAAAGUUACAAGGUCAAGCUAAGGACCUCGCUUUACUAUAUCAAAAUAGAUAUACACAUAAGCGGCGAUGGGUUCAGACUGCACUGAGCCAAAAAAAUGACAAGUGACAGCUGCCUUUCUUUAACAAUUGCAAACAGAACCUCUGGAAGUGAAAGAAGCUCAAGAGAAGAUACAUCAGUUCUUAGUGACACUGAGAGCAAUGCUUUGAACACCUGUCGCUGAGGAGGAUGAGAAGUGUUCACAGCAUUUAUAGAGUUAGACAAUGCGCAUUCCUCUUCCCAAAUGGGUCACCUGGGCUCAAGCAGACAUUUUGCGACUGUCGGAUAACCAAGAAGCAUCAGUAAAUGAUUAACUUUCUCCUUGCUCACUAAAUUGUAUGAUAAUGUUAACUCAAGAUUUGGACCAUGAAGGGCAACAAGCUUUUGGCGAUGUUUUCCUACUGCAGAGAUACAAAUUUCUUGACUUGUGACAUGUGGCCAGAAAGAGUUCUCCAGGUGUAGAUGCUUGCCAAAAAGCAACAUUUUUUUGGCCACUUUUCUAUGGUAUCUAUUAAGUCAGGAAACAUGGAUGCAAAAUUUGUAACAGAUUUUAAUUUGUCUCCACUAAGCAAACAUAUCUUUUUAUAGGCCCUUUAGAAAUCUCAAACAGUUAUCUUUGAACUCCUUGGAGAUCACACAUAAAAUAACACAACUUUUCUCACAAGGAUACAAUGUUUUAUACCUCUGCAGUCUAAGUAACCAAUGAUUCAAUUAUCUACCUGUGCACAAUAAAUCCAGUUGGUGCUGUGACCAAGAAAGAACCACUCUAAAGCAUGUACAAGACUCCUAACUACCACAUACCUUCUGAAGAUCCCAAAUUUGUGACAAUAGUCUAGAACAGGGGUAGGCAACCUUUUAGCAGCACUUGGCCGAUAUAGGAUUGUGAUGUCCCGUAGCGUGCCGGUCCUAUUGUUUUAAAUUGAGGUGUGUAUGCUGCCGUAUUCUGCUUGUGUUAUUUAUACGGUAAUUGCUUUGUAUCGCUGAAUAUUUGUGCGUAUAUGAGCUAUUAUAAUGUGUAUGUUCACAGGAGUAGUUUGUGGUAUCGUCUAUGAUACAUAUGAAUGUGGGCUGUGUAUGGGGGCUGCUUGUGGAAUUGUGUGUGUGGAUGGAUAUGUCACAUUGUGUCUUUGGUAGUGUGUGUAUAUAUGUGUGGGGGCUGUUUGAGGUAUUGCAUGUGAGAGACUGCAUGUGGGGUUGUGUGCAUGUAUGUGGAUUGUUAGCAGGUUACGUUUCUGCGGAUUGUGUGUAUGUUUGUGGGCUGUUCGUAUUAUUUGUAUGAGGUUAGGGUUAUUGUGCAUUUCUGUGUAUAUUUAGCAGUGUGUGUUGCUUCCCUGGGUUCCAGUGGGGACCAGGAUGACCAGGUACAGGUAGAGGACAGGAGCUGCAACAGCAGCUGCAGGAUGCUCUACUACAGUGUGGAUUCCCAUUCACUAUGUGCUGCAAUGCAUAAAUUGAGGAUUGUCUUUUACCACCUUUUUGUAUUAGCAGGUAUCUGAAGUUUCACUGGGACUCCUGAUAGGCCAGAGCCUGUUUGGCUCUAGCAGCCUUGAGUUCCGUGCAAAGACACCUUGAGUGCCAUAGGUUGCCUACCCCUGGUCUAGAAUUUAGUCUCCAGUACUGCUGUUUUUUAUUGUAAUGUCAGGGUUCUGGCCAUAUUAUGUUCCAUUCAAUACACAGAUGCUGCCCAGAUGCCCUCUGGUUAUUCUGCCAAUUCCACACAGUUGAAGAAGCACUCAAAGCACAGUCUGGGGAGCGCAAUCCCUCCCGCUCGUCACUGAAUGUGGCUCAGCCCAGUAGACCGUAGUAGAGGAUCUUCGGUAUCCUCUACCUGGUCGGACAGGAAGCUGCUCGUUGAGAGCAACAAGCAGUUUUUGAAGACAACACAAAGGGGCUGGGGGGGGACAAAGAGACACACAAAGAGACUGGGAGAGACAAAGAGGCACACAAAAGGGAUGGUAGGAAAAAGACACACAGACAGCGUGUCUGGGGAGGGACAAGAGAGGCUAGGGAAGGGGACACAGAGACAUUCAGAAGUGAUGGGGAAGGGAAUAGUGAAACACAUAGAAGGGAUGGGGAAGGGGACAAUGAUACACACAGAUGCGCUGGAGAAAGGGUCAAUGACCCACACAGAGCAGAUGGGGAAUGGGAAGAGAAACACGCAAAGGGGUGAGGGGGGAGAGACACACAAAAGGGCUAGGGGAGAAAGACACACAAAGGGGCUUGAGGGAGACACAAAAAGGGGCUGUGGGAGAAAGAGGCAAAAAUGGGCUGGGGUGGAGAGACACCUUAGGGCAGGGAAAAAGAGACAAAAAGGACAUAAGGGUGAAAGAGACACACAAAGAGGCUGGGGUGAAACAUUAUCUUUUUGAUGGGACUACCCACUAUUUGGGAGGACCCCACCAUCACAACACAAGGGACAUACAUAGCUUUACUUGGACAAUCCCCACUUUCUUACCACUGGUCAUGCAUUCACAUCAAUUGUGUUAGGAGAUAUGCUAUCAUGUUAAUAUACUACUAAAGCUGACACACUGCAUAGCACAGUUUACUUUUAUUUAUUGAAAAACUUUCAGUACUAAUAAAAUGUAGCAAAGCCCUGCUCAAAAUAUAGUUGCAUUAAGUCUAGUACCGCCUUUAAAAUUGGUGUUUAUGGGAUAACAUAAGAUCCAAUCACUAAAGCUUACAAUCUAUUAUUUUUCUAAUGUUUUAACAGGUAGUUCAACAGAAUCCACUGGUAAUUUUUGGGUCUGAAACAACAUCCUAAAUCUAACACACACAUUAGCCCUAAGAAGUCUGUAAUAUAAAAGUGUUAAUAUAAGGAAAUUUAAAAGUCAUUGUGUUUUGUUAUUGUAAGGACAGAACUCUUUAGAGCAGCCAAGUGUCCUAUUGACCUUAAACAGACCAAAUCAUUCCUUUUGAAUUUACGGCUGAACACAUGUUUAUAUAUGUGACAACCACAUGUCAGUUAACAAAAGUAAAGAGAGCUUUUUGACAGAGACAUGGUAAGUUUCAGAGAACACCUUCUGCUUAGCCUUUCUAAAUCCCCAGAGCAAGCGGGAAGCUGACCAUUUGCUCUCAUGAACAAAAGAUUUUUCCAAAGGUUAGAAAUGUUUUUUUGCUAUACAUUUUGUAAAGACAAAACAAAAUGGUUUAAAAUGAAAUAAAUAUAAGAAAUCUAAAAUUGUUUUAAAAUAUUUACUAAGGUUAUUCACUUCAGUGAGCAAAGGCAAAAGUAGUCACACUGAAAGAAUAGCAGACUUGGAGAAUUUCUCCAGCACGGCUAUUUUGGUCUUAAAAUUUAAAUUUACUUUGCAUUCUUGCUUUACUGAAUAACCCUGUGAGAAUUUUUUGUUUUGUAUCGAGGGCCAAUGCUAAUCACAUUCUUGGUAUUAUUAUUUGUAUAGUACCAAAGAAUUCCUUAGAGAUGGAUGGCUACAUUGAAUAAACAGGAAAACAAAAUGUAAUCUGACAAAUGGGAACAAAUCUAUAUGUAGGUUUUGAAAGUUCUCUCAAUAUAAAAAUGCCAGGUGCACAUAUAAAAUGUAUAGCAGACUAUAUGUAUUUGUUUGUAAUAUUGAAGUAAAGGUGGUGCUAGAAACAUAGAAACAUAGAAUGUGACGGCAGAUAAGAACCAUUUGGCCCAUCUAGUCUGCCCAAUUUUCUAAAUACUUUCAUUACUCCCUAGUCUUAUCUUAUAGUUAGGAUAGCUUUAUGCCUAUCCCACGCAUGCUUAAACUCCUUUACUGUGAUAGAAACAUAGAAUGUGACUGCGGUCAGUGGAAUGAUUUGCAAAACUCUUUAACCCCUUAAGGACGAAACUUCUGGAAUAAAAGGGAAUCAUGACAUGUCACACAUGUCAUGUGUCCUUAAGGGGUUAAAUGAAUUGCAAGCUCUAGUUUAAAAGUCGAAAAAAGAGUGAGAUGGAAUCAACACAGUAGUGCUGGUUCUGUCGGGCUGAAUUAAUACAUUCUGUAAGUGAGAUCCAAAAUGUCAAUAACAGAAACUUAUGUAAGCUCUUGGUUUAUCACUCUCCGACAAUGAGUUAUGGUCAAUAUUUUAGGGCUUAGCUCAGGGCAACUAACAGAAUAUCCUUCUUAGGAACUUCCGAUUCUCCUCCGAUGGUAGUGAAGGCAGCUCCUCCGAUGGUAGUGAAGGCAUGAGUGGCACCAUGCGGACACCAGGUAAGAUGUUAAACCAUUCAAAAACAUUUUGAUUCCUUACAAUGGGGAGUACUAGUGCAUGUCUGGCACCAUAACCACUACAGCAAGCUGGUGUGUAUUAUUUUAAUAUUAGUAAUAAUAAUAGAAUAAGUUAUCUGUUUUUCAUAUUGUUGGCCAGACUAUAUUUUAGACAACAUACUAAAUGAUUGGGGACAUCUCCAGACCUCACAAUAAAACAGAAUUCUCUAUACGUUAAAUGGUGAGACCUUCGGUAUUAUCUAAAUAAAAACCAGGCCUUACCACUCGUGUUCAUGUUGAUAUUUUUUAUAAUAAUUUCCUUUCCACGUCCUACAGAUGUCCAUAGCAAAACAGAAGUAAUUACAGAGGACGUUAUUUUUUCAUUGACGUUAGCAUAAAUGUUUGUGCACGCUCUCCAAGUCACAUAAAGCACCAUUUACCCUCACAAUGUACCUUAACUAGGAGGAAGAAAAAUCUAUUAAUAUCUGCGGCCCUCAGCAGACCUGUAAUGAUGAAAUGUCUCUAAGUAUGUGGCUUAACCUCAUUUAAAUAUCAAUAUCUGACUGCAAAGUUUAUGCUCCUAUCCCCAACGCUUCCUUUGUAUUGUUUUACAUCAGUUAGAUCAAAGACAAUUUGACCAAAACAUUUUCAGCCGGCAUCUAGUCUUCUUUUGCCAUUACCUCUGGAAAAAAAAACAUGUAUUUUUUUCCCUCUGCCCUUACUUUACAUGACAAUGGAUCUGAACUCUUAAAAUUAAAAGUCUGACACACAGGCAUUAUGCAAAUAUAUGACAUACUAAUAGCUUAUGCUUUUUAAAUUUGGCAGAGUAAUUACAAGAAGAGAGAGGACAUCCUGCGUGCAACAAUAUUUACAUAUUACCUUUUUAACUACAGAGUCCAUCCUUCUGGAAAGAUAUAUUCAAAAUAUAGCAAUAGAAUAUUUCUUAGUGGGGAGGGGAAAUUGCAUAAUUUAAUGCUCAAUUCUAUUAAAUUCAAGAAAGACUGUUUAUAUAUACAUAUAGGUAUACAUAUUGUGUAUAGUGUAUGAAUUCUACAAGUUUCCAAUCAAACUGUAUAAAAGUAUGCAAAUGUUCCUUCAAAGUGGAUGAUUUGAUACUGCUUGUGUUUAAGACAUUCUAUCAGAACAGAAUUUAUGUUUCAACACUGAACUUGAUGGAUGUAAGUCUCUUUUCAGCCUAUGUAACUAUGUAACGCAAUCUGGCUCUGUAGAGAUCUGCCAUUGACGUCUUGUUCAUAUAAAGACCAAGCUGUUUUUCUUGUAUAAUCUUGGAUAUUAUUAAAGGAGCACUAUAGUGUUAGGAAUGAAAACAUGUACUCCUAGCACUAUAGUGCUGGACUACAUGUUUAGGUGUUCGAACCCGUCCGAAUGGAGUUCAAAGGUAUUUUAGUUACCUCUUCCCCAUCGUCUUAUUGGUUUUGUUAUGGCAGACCCCAGCUCGAUGGUCUACCGUGAUCUCAGCCAACCCAAUGCUUUCCCAUAGAAAAGCAUUGGGAGACUAUUGCACAUGCAUGGCAAAAUGUUGCGUUACGCCAAUCAACAUCUCCUCAUAGAGAGGCAUUAAAUCAAUGCCUCUGCAUGGGGAGCAUUCAACGCUCCAUCAAAAGCAUGGAGACGCUGAACGUAGGUCCUGCAUAGAUUGCAGGACCUAACCAGGAAGUCCCUCUAGUAGCUAUUUGAGUGACUGCCGCUAGAGGUGUUACUGGCCAGCAAUGUAAACACUGCCUUUCUAUAAAGGCUGCAUUUACAUUGCUAUACCUGCAGGGACAUGCUAUAGACACCAGUACCAGUACAUUAACCUAUAGUGAUUCUGGUGACUAUAUUGUCCCUUUAACCAUUUCAGUGUUAUUUAAUUUACCUACUUUAAAAUACGGAGGAUUGACAACUGCCAGAAAUAAAAUGUAAAACAAUGCGGUUUGAACAGGAACUAAAACUAGUGCAUUAAGACACUGAUUAAUCUCGUAAUUUUUGACUUAUUACUAUGCAUCUAAACAACAGUUUAUAUAUAGAAAUGUGUAUAUUGUUCUUAAACAUAGAGGAAAACAGUGAUGUGCCUUGCUUUUUAAGACUGCAUAGUACAACGUUUCCCAAUUGGUGUUCCGCGGAACCGAACACAAAUGGGGUUCCGCCAAAAUUUCUGAAAAUAAAAUGGCCGCGGGCAGUGAGGGAGCAGUGAUCUCAUGCGCAUACCAGUGAUGCCGAAGGCGCAAUAUGACGUCACUCCGGCUCCGGCAUCGCUAAGAGGCGCACGAGAGAGCUGAGCAGGGAGAUCACUGCUCCCUCGCCGCCCGCACGCCAGCCACUCAGCAGCCCCACUGGACACCAGGGACAUAGAAAUUCCAUGCCAGCACUCCUAAAGAUAGGGAGGCUGGGUGGAGUAAAAUUAUAAUAAAUGUGUGUCUUUUAUGGAGUUUGUAUGUGCUUGUGUGUCUGUCAAAGAGUGUAUGUGUGUUUGUCGGUGAGAGUGUAUGUGUGCUAGCCAGCUCCUUGGUUUUGCACCCCUCCCUGUCACAGGUGCCUCAUCCCAGGGCCCUAUUUAGCCUUGUACUGCAGAGCAUUCGAGAUGGAAUUUUUUCUCCAAGUAAGUAGUUCAUUUAGCAGAUAUUUGGCUGUUAGAUUAGGACCUGCCAAAGAUGGGGUACAUUGACGUUGUUGUAGGCUUAUGCAAUGUAUGAUCAUAUAAUGUAACUAAACCCCCAUUAUUUUUUGCCUAGAUUAGGUGUUUUUAAAAAACUAACAAAAUCUGUCAGCAUCAAAGUUGCUGUUUAGUAAAUUAUGGAGUGCGCUGGAUUUUAAUUUUUAUUGUAUGUGUGCUUGUCAGUGAGAGUGCGAGUGUGUAUGUGUUUGUCAGUGAGAAUGUAUGUGUGCUUGUCAGUGAGAGUGUAUAUGGGUUUGUAUGUGUGUCUGUAAAAUAGUAUGUGUGUUUGUCAGUGAGUGUAUGUGUGUCUGUAAAAUAGUAUGUGUGUUUGUCAGUGAGAGUCUAUGUGUGUCUGUCACAAAUUGUGUGUCUGAGUGUGUCAGUGUGUGUAUCUGUUUGUCAAGGUUUGUGUAUGUGGCACUGUGUGUAUCUGAGUGUGUGUGUGUGUAUGUCAGUAUGUGUGUGCAUGUGCCAGUAUAUAUCAGUGUGUUUGUAUGUGCCUAUGUGUGUGUGUAUGUCAGUGUGUGUGUAUCUGAGCGUGUCAGUGUGUGUAUAUGACACUGUGUGUAUGUGUCAACAUGUGUAUCUGAGUGUGUGUGUAUGCCAGUGUGUGUAUCUGUGGGUGCAAGUGUGUGUAUAUUUCACUGUGUGUAUCUUAGAGUGUGUGUGUAUUUGUGAGUCAAGAGGUGUGUAUGUGUCACUGUGUGCAUCUGAGUGUGUAUGUGUAUCUGAGUGUGCAUAUCUGUGUGUCAAGGUGUGUGUAUCUGUGUACCACCAUGUGUGUAUCUGUGUGUCAGAUACAUACACACACACACACACGGAUGCACACUGACACAGAGACACACACACUGGCACAUACAAACACAGAUACACACACCGGCACACACAAACACAGAUACACACACUUUGACACAUAGAUACACACCUUGACACACAGAUACAUACACACACAGAUACACACUGUGUGUAUCUGUGUCAGUACGUAUAUCUGUGUGCCACUAUGUGCCAGUUUGUGUGUAGCUGUGUGUUAGAUUCAUACACACUGGCACAUACAAACACAGAUAAACACACUUUGACACACAGAUGCACACACUUUGACACACAUAUGCGCACACUUUGUCACACAGAUACAUACACCUUGAAACACAGAUACAUACAUACACACACACACAGAUACACACUGUGUGUCAGUGUGUGUAUCUGUGUGCCAUAAUGUGCCAGUGUGUGUAUCUGUGUGUCAGGUACAUACACACACAGAUACACAUUGACACAGAGACACACACUGGCACAUACAAAACACAGAUACACACACCUUGACACACCGACAAACACCAGCAUAUACAAAAAAAGGGUCAGUUUAGUUUUUUUUCUAAUGUGUAUUUAAUGCAAAAUGGACCAUAAUAAAGUAAUAAUAAGAAACCUAGGUGUUGCUGUUUCAACGAUACUUCAGAAUUAGGUUUUUGAGCACGCUAAAACGUUAUAAAGUCAAUCGCUAUAUAUUAUCUAUUUAAUCACUGACCUUUCUUUUUAUUUUAUUUUCUCUUUAAAGUAUUGACCUAAAAAAAAUAAAUAAAAAAGAAUUCCUCAGAGCUUUGUAUGACUGUUACACAUUGAGCACUGCCCAAGAAAAUAUUUUGGAUAUAGCAACAGCCAGCAGGGUACUAGGAAAUUAAACUUCUACUAAGUUCAAAACAAACAGGUGCCUGGAAGGCAGAGGGACUCUGAAGAAACAUUUCAGUCUAUGUACUGUCGAGGUUUGGGAGUUGGCACGGACAUAUGUGUUUGUAAAUGAAAAACUUGCAAGUUCUAUCCUUUUAUAUAAAACGUGCAAAGGUGUUAUUGCAUGUAGCUAACUAAUUAGGUGGAUUGGAAUUUGAUUUAAAAAAAUAAAUACAAGUAAAAAAAGAAAAACAAAAAAACAACUGAAUAAACAGAACUUAAAAUAACAUAGAAUACAUUUCUAAUAAAAAAAAAAUAUCAUAACGUUUAAAAUGCAUACCAAUUAAUAUAUAAACUAUAAUAAAAAUUAAUUCAAUUCCUUUUUAUUACAGAGAUAUAUCAGUAUAUAUUUACUAGCAUACAAAAACUACAGACAUAAUUCAUAUAAUUGAACCAUAUGUCACUAGAAUAGAAUCAUACAUGCUAACUGUCCCUGUUUAGCAGGGACAGUCAAUAGUAUGAGCCCAAAUCGCACUGCCCUUCUUUUCUAUUCUAAUGUACCUCUUUUGCCUGGCACUGCGGCCCGGUUGCCGUCCAUACUGGGCAGAGAGAGAGGCAGGGAGCCCAUUUAGUGGUGUACUAAUAGGGGGGCAGUCCACCGUCUUAGCAAGAGCCGCGGCUGGGCAGGAGGGGGAAUGUGGCGGUGCACGGAGGCACGCAUUACAGUGCUGUCCACAUGUUUUGCCCUCACAGUGUCUUCAGAGCAGAAGUGCUCUCACACUCUGUGUGGGCUGCGCCCGGAUCAGCAAGGAGCAGCAAGCAGGCGGAGGAGCAGGGUAAGUGCUUGCUAAUAUUGUUGUUGUUUUUGUUGUUGUUUGAAAGUGUUUUUGUUUUUUUGUGCUAGGGACUUAAGUGGGGGCAGAGAUUUUUUGUGAAUGUGUUUGUAGGGGUACAUGGGUCUUUGUAGACAGGUUGGGCAGGGGUCUUUGUAGAGGAGGUGGGCAAGGGUCUUUGUAGAGGGGGUGGGCCCGGCUCUUUGUAGAGGAUGCAUGAGUUUUGGUGAAUCAAGGGGUAGGGUUUUUUGUAGAGGGAGGGGAGCAGGAUUUUUGUGGAGUGGGGCAGGGGAUUUGUAGAAGGGGGACUAGGCAGGGGCUUUGUAGAAGGGGAGGUUUUGAAUAAGGGGGACUGAGUAGGGUUUUUUUGUAGAGGGAGUACUGCGCAGGGAUUUUUGGAGAGGGAGGGGGCAGGGUUUUUCUCGAUGGGGCAGAGGAUUUGUAGAAGGGGGACUGGGCAAGGGUUUUAUAGAAGGGGGACUGGGCAAAAGUUUUUGUAGAGGGGGUGCAGAGCUUUUGUAGAAAGGGGGGGAGUUUAGAAGGGGGACCGGGCAGGUAGUAGGCAAUAAAAAAAUAAAUUAUAAAACAUUCAAAAAACAAACAAACUAGUGGGUGUUUUUUUACAUUUGAAUUGGGGUGGGGGAGUGCCAAACUCAGGAUGUGCCACAUGUGCCCAAAGCUCUAUGUAUGCCCCUUAGCCCAUUACUCCUCCUGCACAGCUUCCUCGCCGCCCGCUGGUAUAUGAUGUCAUCUAGGCAUCACUGGGCGCGCGAGGGACCUAGCUCCAGCCCAGCAGCAACCACUGGCCACCAGGAAGAGGAUCCACUCCAGUCCUCCCAGAGCAAGUUAGGGAGGCUGGAUAGACCUCUUUUGUAUUAAAUGUGUGUGCAUGUGAUUUUUUUGUGUAUGUUUUGUCAGUAAUUGGCUGUGGGGGGUAGGGGUCUGUGGACAUGUCUGUGAUUGUGUGUGUAAGUUUGUGAUUAUGUGUGUAGGUCUGUGAUUGUGUGUGUAUAUAUAUCUGUGAUUAUGUUUUUGUAUGUAUGCGAUUGUGUGUAUAAGUGUGUUAUUUUAUGUGUGUGUGGAUCUGUGAUUAUGUUUGUGUAUGUAUGUGAUUUUGCGUGUGUGUGUAUGUAUGUGAUUGCAUGUAUAGUUAUGUGAUUGUGUGUGUGGGUCUGAUUGUAUGUGUGUGUAUGUAUGUGAUAUGUAUAGGUCUGUGAUUGUAUUUGUGAGUGUGGAUCUGUUUGUGGGUGUAUUUGUGUAAGUGUAUAGGUCUGUGAUUGUGUGUGGGUAUAUCUGUAUGUGUGGGUCUGUGAUUGAUUGUUUGUGUAUGUAUGUGUGUAUUUGUGAUUGUGUGUAUAGGUCUGUGAUUGUAUGUGUGUGUCGGUGAUUAUGUUUGUAUAGAUUUGUGACUGUGUAUAGGUCUGUGAUUGUCUGUGUAUGUCAGUGAUUAUGUUUGUAUAGAUUUGUGACUGUGUGUAUAGGUCUGUGAUUGUGUGUGUGUGUGUGUAUAUCUGUGGUUAAGUGUGCAUACUUAUAUACGUGUGUAUGUGUUUAGUAGAUAGCUCCCUAAUUUGAUAUCCUAAAAUAAAUAGUUAUCUACUAAACAAUUGAAAUAUCAAAAUUAAGAAAAGGGAUUUUAAAGAUAUAUUACUUAUAUACAUUAUCUAUAAUCUGUAUGAUAUAUUUGAUGUGUGGCCCAAGACAAUUCCUCUGGGCUCAGUGCGGCACAGGGAAGUCAAAAGGUUGGACUCCCAUGUUCUAAACUAUAUUUACUUGUGUAAAUUGCUAUUAGUCAGUCACUGCCCUACCCCUGGUCACACCUCCACUCACACCCCUGAAAUUAAAGUGUUUUCUUCUUUGUCAAUUUGAAAUGUUAGGAGGCAUAAUUGAGCACCCUAUAUCAGAUACCCUUAAAGGGACACUAUAGACACCCAGACCACUUCAGCUCAUUGCAUGCGCUGUAUGAUAAUAUCCAGCAUCAGCUAUUUCCCCAAAGGAAAGCACUGAUUUAUUGGUGUCCUAUAGAGAGGGACUAAUGCGCACGCGCGGCACUCGAAAUGCGCAUUAGUGCCCCCUCGCCAGUAACAUCAAAGGAGACGAAGUUGCAACUCAGCACCCAGGGACAUCACCGCUAGGCUAAGUUAAGUACCGUAUAAGAUAACUUUUUAACCCAGGAAAAUCUUUUAAAAAGUCGGGGGUCGUCUUAUAGGGCGGGCAGGGCCGGCGCUUCCUACAAGGUGAACUAGGCAGCCACCUAGGGCGCCAUAUAGGAGGGGGUGCCCCCAUCACCGGAAGGUAAAGGGAGCUUUAUUGCCAGGAAUAUAGUUUUGUAUUAUAGUAUCCCUUUAAUGUUGUUCAUCUCCCAAAGAAGGACUGUAGGCCCAUAUUAUGAUUACGACAAUUAUACGGCCACGAGUUCUUGCUUUUUCCACCCUGUGCUAAUGGUUUCAAACAUCUACAAAGGGCCGUUUUUCCCUUCAUUUUAUUAUGAAACAUUCAAAUAUUUACUUUACUAAACAAGGCAAGUGAUCUUUGAUGAUAAACUGGGUACAUAGAAGAGAUAAAUUAAUGUAUGAUGGCUCCAGAUGAUUCUUGUCUCAACGAAAGACAAGUAACAUACAUUAUCAGGUCGUCUUGUGAGAGCAGAUAAGUGCAUCAAAACUAAGUGAUUGUUGUGAAUAACUGUUUUGUGACUGAGAAUGCUUUCACUCUUGUUUUAGCAUGUGACAAAAUAAUAAUAACCCUGACAUUUCUCUUGGGAAUGACAAGAAAAAUGUAUAGUAAUUUAUUUCGAGCUAUACUUAUAUUAAUUCCCAGAGGAUCAGUCUCACAAACAAGACCUAUGCACGGUCGCUGCAAAAUGAGGCACUUUAAAGGUUAGUUUGCCAUUACAUCGUUGUGACAUUUUUUAUUCAUAUCACAGGAAUCUUUACAGAGUUGUUUUUUGACAUCUUUAUUCAAACAACCAAAUAAAAGCAUUGCUUCCAGAAAUUUGUUAUAACUAGACUGAGAUUUGGCGACUCCAGUACGUUAAUAUUUUCACAGCCUCCUUAUCUCCCAACAAAAAAAAAAAAAUUCACAAAAAAGACAUUUUUGUUCCAAUACCCUUUACCUUCCCUGGCACAGAAAAUGUGAAGAAUUAAAGUCUGGGGGGUGCUGGGGGGUGGCCAGCUGUGUUUACUCUGCUACAAAUCGAACUUGCUGUACUCAUUCACCUUACAUGCCUCCCUAAGGAAGCAAAGAAAACCUAUGACACUUUACCGCCCUAAACUCUAUCUCGUUCAUGUGCAGAGAGAAAAUAUACAGGGAACAGAAAUCUGUGCUCAUCCAGUUUUGCCCAGGAGAAUCUAGGCAGGGCCGGCCUUAGGCCUUCAGGCGCCCUGUGCGAAUAAUCUUAACAGCGCCCCCCCCCCCGCGCCAUCCAUGUGUAUAGGGGAUUUAUUAAAUGAAAAUUUAACUAUUAACAAAUAUUUAUCACCUCUUCCCUGUCAUUACCUUGCAUGGAGGGAGGGCAUGCUGAUCUCUGGUGAUACAGUUUGCUGGGAAUAUGGUCGGUGCCUUCACUGGGUGCAGACCAUCAGCAACUGUCUCCUGAGCUCAGGCACUUACAGUAUCAGAGCUUUCCUGUGGUAAUCCGCGGCAACGUUCUGAUUGGCCGGAACUCGGAAGACAGCUACAUUUAUCAUGUGUGUGUCAGACGUGAUUGUGUGAUGUGUUCUCUGUGUGCCAUAUUUGUAAUGGGUGUAUUGACUGUGUCUGAUAUGUGUGUGUAUUGACCGUGUGUGAUUUUUGUUCACUAUAGCAGUAGAUAGGGGGAGCAGGGGCACUGGGGUAGAUGUGGGAGCAAUGCACUAUAGCAGUAGAUAAGGGGAGCAGUGUCACUAGGGUAGACAGGGAACAAUGGCAAUAUAGGGGGAGCAUGGGCACAAUAGGGAUGGAUAAGGAGCAUGGGCACUAUAGGGGUAGAUGGAGGGAUCAGGUACACUAUAGGGGUAAAUGGGGAAGCACUAUAGGGGUAGAUGGGGAGCAGGGGUGCUAUAGUGGUAGAUCGAGGAGCAGGGGCACUAUAGAGGUAGAUAGGGGGAACUAUAGAGAUAGAUGGGGAACAUGGGUACUAUAGGAGUAGAGGGGGCACUAUAGGAGUAGAGGGGGCACUAUAGGGGUAGAGGGGGGCACUAUAGGGAUAGAUGGGGAACAGGUGUACUAUAGGGGGAGCAGGGGCACUAUAGGGGUAGAGGGGGAACAGGGGUACUAUAGUGGGAGCAGGGGCACUGUAGGGAUAGAUGGGAACAGGGGUACUAUAGGUGUAGAUGGGGGCACUAUAGGGAUAGAUGGGGAACAGGGGUACUAUAGUGGGAGCAGGGGCACUGUAGGGAUAGAUGGGAACAGGGGUACUAUAAGGGGAGCAGGGGCACUAUAGGUGUAGAUGGGGGCACUAUAGGGAUAGAUGGGGAACAGGGGUACUAUAAGGGGAGCAGGGGCACUAUAGGUGUAGAUGGGGGCACUAUAGGGGUAGAGGGGGCACUAUAGGUAUAUAUGGGGAACAGGGGUACUAUAGGGGUAGAGGGGGCACUAUAGGGAACAGGGGUACUAUAGGGGUAGAGGGGGUCACUUUAGUGGUAGAGGGGGAACAGGGUUACUAUAGGGGUAGAGGGGGGCCCUAUAGGGAUAGGGAGCACUAUAGGGGUAGAUGGGGAACAGGGUUACUAUAAGAGUAGAGGGGGCACUAUAGGGAUAGAUGGGGAACAGGGUUACUAUAGGGGUAAAGGGUGCACUAUAGGGGAAGAGGGAUAGAUGGGGAACAGGGUUACUAUAGGGGUAGAGGGUGCACUAUAGGGGAAGAGGGGGGCACUAUAGGGAUAGAUGGGGAACAGGGUUACUAUAGGGGAAGAGGGGGGCACUAUAGGGAUAGAUGGGGAACAGGAUUACUAUAGGGGAAGAGGGGGGCACUAUAGGGAUAGAUGGGGAACAGGGUUACUAUAGGGGUAGAGGGGGGCACUAUAGAGAUAGAUGGGGAACAGGAUUACUAUAGGGGAAGAGGGGGGCACUAUAGAGAUAGAUGGGGAACAGGAUUACUAUAGGGGAAGAGGGGGGCACUAUAGGGAUAGAUGGGGAACAGGGGUACUAUAGGGGAAGAGGGGGGCACUAUAGGGAUAGAUGGGGAACAGGGUUACUAUAGGGGUAGAGGGGGGCACUAUAGGGAUAGAUGGGGAACAGGGUUACGAUAGGGAAGAGGGGGCACUAUAGGGGAAGAGGGGGGCACUAUAGGGAUAGAUGGGGAACAGGGGUACUAUAGGGGUAGAGGGUGCACUAUAGGGAUAGAUGGGGAACAGGGUUACUAUAGGGGUAGAGGGGGGGCACUAUAGAGAUAGAUGGGGAACAGGAUUACUAUAGGGGAAGAGGGGGGCACUAUAGGGAUAGAUGGGGAACAGGGGUACUAUAGGGGGAGCAGGGGCACUAUGGUCUCACUUACCAGGCAGCAGAUUCAGGCCUCGGUUAGCUCCGCCCCCACCGACCACUUGGCUCCGCCCCCAUCGGCUGCUUGGCUCCGCCUCCUACAGUCUCUUUCGCUGCUAAGCCCUGGUAGAGGGCAGGGGGUGUGCAAGCUGUCAGCCAUAGGGCGCCCCCUGCUGCCAUGGCGCCCUGUGCGGCCGCACAGAUCGCACACCCCUAAGGCCGGCCCUGAGGGGGGGUGUCAGUUCCGUCGUAAAUGUUUUAUAAUAGCCCAUAUCGUAGCCGUCAGGUCCUGGUGCUUUGUUCCCCUUUAGGGCGGAGAUCGAGGCCGCCACCUCCUCCGGUGUGAUGGGUGCUUCUAGAGCGUUGGCCUCUCCUGGUGUCACCCUGGGUAGGUUAGUGUGGGUUAGGAAGUCAGCUAUGCGGGCGCGAUGUUGGGUCUGGGCAUCACCCUCCAGUGGUGAAAGGUUAUAUAGUUGCUGAAAGUAUUCUGUAAAGGCGUCAUUGAUAUCUUUUGGGGUGUUAACUAGUUUGUUGGCUUUGUUACGGAGCGUUGUGAUGGGUUUGUAUCCCUGUCUCGGUCUGAGUGUACGCGCUAGCAGUGUGUCCAUUUUAUUGGCUUUUUCAUAGAACUUGCGCCGUGAUCAUAGUAUAGAACGUGUUAUUUCUGCUGUCAUGUGCUCCCUGAUUGCGUGUCGAGUGCCUUGGAGUUUGUCGUAUGUGGUGGGGGAUGGGUUUUGUUUAUGUUGUUGUUCGAGCUUCCGCAUAGCGGUUUGUAAUUCUAGUAGGUGUUUUGUUCGUGACCGUUUUUUAUGACUGGCUGCCUGUAUGAGAUGUCCCCUCAGUACGGUUUUGUGUGCCGCCCAGAGUGUUGUUGGGUUAACGUCUUCCGUGUCGUUGGUACUAAAAUAGUCCGUGAUUUUUUUGUCGCGUCGUGGUAAGUAUUGUUUCAUCGGUGAGUAGGGUUGUGUUGAGUCUCCAUGUCCAGUUGUUGUGGUGUUGGAGGUUCCCCAGCGUAAUCGCUACAUCAGCGUGGUCUGACCACGUGAUGCUGUUUAUUUCUGAGUGAAUGAGUUUGGCCAUACCCGCUCCAUUGAGGAGGAUAUUGUCUAUUCUGGAGUAUGUGUUGUGUGGUACCGAGUAGUAUGUAUAGUCUCUUGUGUCUGGGUGUUGGAGUCUCCAGGCAUCCAUGAGUCCAGUGUGUUGGAGGAAGGAGUGUAGGAGUUUAUCUUGUCCCCCCCUACUUUGAGAUCUUUGUGUCCCUGGUUUGGAACUGCGGUCGAUUGCUGGGCAGGGAACAGCGUUGAAGUCACCUCCCACUACUAGAAUGCCCCCUUGCAGGGUGGCGAGCAGGGAUGUUAUGGUGUCCCAAUAAGCCCGGUCUGGGUUGUUGGGUGCGUAUAAGUUUACGAUAUGCAGUUUAGUGUUAUAGUGGGUGCCACUUAUGGUUACGAAUCUGCCUUCUGGGUCUAUCUGUUUAUGUGUCAUUAUAAAUGGGCAGCGUUUGUGUAGAAGUAUAGCUACUCCUGCUUGUUUGCGUGGUGCCCUGGCCUCGUAUGUUGUGGUGAAGAGACGGUCUCCUAGUUUGAUCGAUGUGGCUUUAGGAAUGUGCGUCUCCUGUAUAAGUGCUAUGUCGGCCCGUUUUGCUUUUAAUUCUCGCAAUAAUAGUCUGCGUUUGGUAGGAGUGUUUAGUCCUUUCGCGUUUAUGGAUAGAAUUUUCAACGUCAUGGUUGGGUCUGUCUUAUGGGAUGCUUGUGUGUGUGUGGGACGGAGGGUCCAUACCUGUCAGGAGUCUGUUGGUCUCCCCCCUUUUCUGUUGCUGCCGUCCGGCGGUCUCUUUGGGGUAUCAGGAUUAGCAUUUCACUCGUGCAUAGUGAACCAAAAACCAUAAACGUAAACAAAAACUUAACAUAAUUAUGAACCAUAUAAAAAGGUUUAUAGAAGCAUAUGUAGCGAUGUACUUUCAGUCUGGUCUUACAAUUUGCCAGAAUGGAAUGGGGAUAAACCUCACUCCCGCAGGUCAGAAUUCUGUCCUAUUCCGGGGUGGGAGGCUCACCAAUCCACUGUGCCUCUGUGCGAGGCGUCAGAUGCAGCCUGCCAUCUGGUUGGGUGCCUAUCUCAUCCUUUAUAUCUCGGGGGGAGGAGGGGGCAGGACAAGUAGUUGGGUUAUUUUAUUUUAUUAUUUUUUUUCUUUCUUUCUUGAAAUGUUUCUGGUUAAGGGAAACAUCUGGUUGUGUUAAGUUGCAGCGGAGCAUAAGGGUGAGAGAUUGCUAGACACGGCGAUUGAGUGAGGAGUAAGCCAGUAGGGAUCCUCUGUAGGCCGUGGUGGAGGAGGGGGGUCUGUUAGGGCAGUGUUCGUGCUAUGCGGCUUCCAUCUCUAGGAAGAGAAAGAGGAAUGCCCACUGGAGUUGUGACCCGGGCAAUCUAGUUUUCUGAUUAUUCGUGAGCUAUCUAGGAAAUACUACCCUGUUUCUAUACAGACAAAGAUACAUAUGUACUAGUGCUCAGUGGUCUUCAUCUGAGCUGCGGCUCAUGACCCUGGGGGUACAUUAUAUUGCAUGAGAACAGGUAUUCAAUGGCAUUAGUGUAACUGUUGGUCACAAGGUCGUUUUCGAGGCGUAAGAGCUCAUAGGACGCUCAACUUUCAAAGGCCAUAUCAGCCAAAGCGGAGGAGAGAACAAACACCUCUGACUCCACAAGCCCUUUCCAGUUUGGCUGCCACGGCCCCGAAUUCCAAGUUCAGCGAGGAACCCCAUGAACAUGCGCCAUAUCCAAUGUUACCAGUCCAGAGUGUUUGAUAGUAUUCACAUGUACAUAUAUUUUUUUUGCCCGCACCCUCCCUUUUUUUUUUUUUCUCCCCUUUUUUUUCCCCUCCCCCUUUUUAUUAAUUUUUUUUUUUUUGUUUUGUUUUGUUUUGUUUUCCCUCUGUAUUUUGUGUUUUGGGAGGAUAGUAAUUGCCUGUUGUUUCCAGGCUGGUUUAGGUUGUGAGAGAGUCAUAGCACCCCCCCUGUAAGGAUAGUCCCUGAGUGGUUACCUGACCAUGAAGCCAGAUUGGCAGAUUAUGUAAUAUGUAUGGAAGUCCUGGGCUCCCUCUUGGGGCCUUAGUGUCGGCGACCCGCUGAGUCCUUGGCGGUGGUCCAUUCUGCAGGUAGAGUGUUGAGCUCGGGUAAAGUCUCCUGGGUCAGGGCAAAGCCUGGUGGCGGUUCCACUUGGAUGCUCCUAAGGAAUUUCCUCGGGUCCGCUCCUGGUAGCAGCGUGUAUGUGGUUCCGGAUUUGAAGGCCACUAAUUUGAAGGGGUGUCCCCAAGUGUAUCUGAUCUCCUUAGCUUGUAGAAGUAGCGUCAGGGGUCUCCAGUUUCUUCGGCGUUGCAGAGUGGUAGGGGAUAGGUCCUGAUACAAGUUGAUAGCUGUGUCUUGGUAUGUCAGAUUUUUAUUUCUUGCGUAUUUCAUUACCGCUUCCUUCGUGGAGUAGUAGUGAAAACGGAGGAUGAUGUCCCUUGGGGUCUGUCCCUCCACUCUGCAUGCCCGGAGCGCUCUAUGUGCGCGGUCAAUUGCCCAGUGUUCGUCCGGAAUACCUGGGAUUAGUUGUUUAAAGUACUGCUUCAUUUUGUUUACCAGGUCCCCCUCGUUAGGAGAUUCGGGGAGUCCCCGGAGUCUUACAUUAUUGCGCCUGGAGCGGUUGGCUAGAUCUUCCACCAUCAUUUCCAGGUCUGCAAUUUGUUGUCCCAUGGUCCUGGAAUGUGUCACCACCAGAUUGUGAGCGCUGGUGAUUUGCUCCAUUUUAUCCUCAAGGGCCGCCGUCCGUGCGCCCAGUGCUUGAAUUUCUGCUUUAACUGCUUUGGUGCUAUUGGAAAUUUCUUUGGCUAAAAAGUUUCUGACCUCCGUCAGCUUAGUUAAGAUAUGUGGGGUAUCUUCCGUUUGGAAUUCGGGUAUAUCACUACCCGUUGUGGAUGCCGGGGAGAGGGAGCCGUGAGGGCUGUGUCGGCGGCCAUCUUGGGAGGCCUGUCUGCCUCGUGGUGUCGCUAGCAUUUCGGCCACUGACCUGGCAGUUUCCCUUCGAUCCCCUUUUUUUUUUAAGGUUUGUUUAGCUCCGGAGUGUGAGCCUGGCAUGUUUCAGCUGUUGUGGCUGUCGUCUGGGUCUCGAUGCUCGUGGCUGGUGCUGGAUUGUGAGUGGAUUGUGCGGAGCUCUGGAACUAUGCGGCCAUCUCGGUCGGCAUCCAGACCACGCCCCCGACACUACCUUGAUUUUGUUUGUGUAUAGGGUAAAGUAAGUUUAGUGCUUUAUGCAUUCUGUCUGUACCUUGACGUCUGCUGAAGAAGCCGACCUGGUCGGAGUGGAUUAGGUGAGGGAGUAUAGUUUUAAGCCUGUUCGCGAACAGCUUGGCAAAGAUUUUGGCAUCCACAUUGAGCAGGGAGAUGGGAUGGAAGUUGGGACAUUUAGUUGGUGUUUGGGACAGUGUAUGUAAAGACACUCUAUCAAGAAAAAGAUCUUCCAUACCCCAACUAUCAUCGGUGCAUGAUAGUUGGGGUAUGGAAGUGUCACUUUUAAGAUUGUAUGGUCUGCUGUAAAAUUUAGCAAAUUCGUUACAGAUGUCUUGGGUUGGAGUAUUUUCUGUCCCGAAUCAGUUAGAAUGUAGAGGAUCUUGGUAGAAGAUGGUCUGUCUCUAAGAGUGUUGGACAAAACCCUGCCUGCUUUAUUGUUUAGGAAGUAAUGUUUGCAUCUUAGUUUUUGGAGCGUGUGAGUUGUCUUGAGAAGUUGUAUGUCAUUGAUUUGUUUGGUAAGGGAUUUUAUAGUCUUAUCUAGGUCGUCUGAUGAUUGUAGGAAGUGGGCCUGGGAUGCGUCUCUCAGAUUCCUGAGUAAAGUGAGUUAGUGGACUUGGGCUUGCUAUGAGGAGACCUCGUAUCACUGACUUGUGAGUCUGCCAAAUUAAGGCAUAUCCGGCAUGUUACGUGCAAUGUAGUCAUGUAAUUCUUCCUGUAAUGUGGCUGCAUAGGUCGCGUCCUGUAGGAAAAAGUCGUCUAGUCACCAUGGGUCACUGCCUCUAAAUUUGAAGUCAUCGGCUAAAGUGAUGAAUAGGGGGGCGUGAUCAGACCAUAGGAUGUCGCCAUAUGAGUUUUGGCAUAGAGCGUUUAGUGAAGGGCCCUGAAUCUAUUCUGCAGUGGGAGGUGUGUACCGCUGAGUAGUGGGAGGACUGUCUAUCUGAGGGGUGGCAUGUCCUCCAUAUAUCAUAGAGAUUGUGUCUACAUAGUAGUUUUGUAAGAGCUUGACAGGCCACUUUCACUCUCCUUUUCUUUGGCGCCCUAACUGGAGAAGAGGAGUCUAGUAUGUGGUUGAAGUCACCACAGAGCAGCAGGGUCCCUUUUUGUAUAGGAGCCCGUGCUGUAUAAAACUGCUUUGUCCCGAGUUGGGACAUAGAUAUUGACCAGCGUAUAUAGCCUAUCGUUUAGUAGACAAACCUGUAUGAGGCAACUUAAAGGCUACUGAUUUAUGAAUGAAUAAGGAGACUUCCCUCGCUUUAGAGACAUGGGCGGCGUGGUGUUGGGUCGGGUAGUGGGCCAUACCAAAUGAGGGUAGUUUUGAUUUGGGCAAUUGCAUUUCCUGUAAAAACACUAUGUCCGCCUGUGCCUGCUUUGCUUCCUUAAGGAACAUACGCUGCCUGUGAGGUGUAUUAAGACCUCGGACAUUAUGUGAGUAUAUGCUCAUAAAAUAGGAGGCAAGUAAAUGCUGAGUUUCUAGUGGAAAUGCCUAUAUAGAAGGAAGCAAAUUUUUUAUGGCAAAAAUGAUUUGUGCUUGUAGGUACAUUGUGCCGGUAUACCUGUCUAGCAACAAGGUGCUUAAAGGUGAAACCAUAAAUAGCCUUGUGGAUCUGCGUGGGGGUGUCUCCCUUCUCCACGAGGUGGAGGGAUAGUGGCCCGUGAGGUCUCUCAGCUGAAAUGGGAAGGUCCGCUUGGGACAUUGAUACAGUGUUGUUAUCAAGUAGACGGCAUACAGUGAAACCUGUUUAGUAUGUCUGAAUUGGGCAGGUGCGGAUACCAUAUGUAAGGUAGUUGGGGGGUAGAAACUGUAAGAACAAAAAGAGUAUAUACAGCAAUACCCAUGUCAGUGGGUAUGUUGCGGAAAUGGAUUGCAUUGGGGGCAUGGAUAAUGGCCUAGUGGGUCCCAGGAUAGAUAGGGUAGACUGGAAUGAUGGUCAAAUAUCAGGACCAUUACAUCUAUGGUUUAACAGUACAACGAAAAGCAGCCUAUCAACCACAUUUAAGGCAACUAACGGUAAUAGUAGCAUGAUGUCAAUAACAUGCGUGUACACACUUUUCUAGGCCUAUAACAGUAAGCUUAUAAGGGAACUUGUGUGUGGGUGUCCCUUAGCAUUUUUAAAAAUUUUCUCUUGUGUGGUCUAUAGCGGGACAUCUGUACUGGGCCUAUCGUUAGGGCUAUAGGAAACAGGCCAUAUUGGCAAUAUGCGUGCAUGUUGGGCAUCGGGAUGAUAAUAGUAUGUGCUAGGAACAACAUUUAUAUGUGGAUAGUCAGAGGAAGUGGUGCUAGGCUACAGAUCUAAAGAGAUAUAUUGCAAGUCUCUGGUACUGCUCACGGUUAAGCUUGGGCUUUGCGUUUCUCCGGUGCCCUCUACCAGUCCGGUCUCAGCUUUCCAGGGUGGGACCUUGUCGGAAAAAUGGAACCGGACGAUAGGGUCCUUUGUUGGAGGAUCCUUGCGUAGGACCUCUGUCACCGACUGGUAGGUCUUAAUGGUCCGGAGCAUGGCAUCAGACAGCUCCGAAAAAAUCUUGAUGGACCAGUAUUCCGUUGGCAAAUCUUUUUUAGUGCGGCUGGCUUUUUAGAAUGAGCUCCUUGGCGUGGAAGUAAUAAGCUCUCAGGAUAACAUCACUUGGCACAGUAUCAGGCAAAUGUCGUAAGCAUGGGAUCCUGUGUAUUCUGUCCAACAAUAAGAGAUCUUUCGGUAGAUCUGGAGCUAGGCGGUGGAACAAGUCUAUGGCAAAUUCAUGGAGAUCUUGCGGAUUAACAGUUUCUGGAACGCCGCGUAGUCAGAGGUUAUUAUGGCAGGAUCUCUCUUCCAUGUCCGGUAAUCGUGCUUCACAGGCCUCCAUGAAGGCUUACAUUUGUUGCAUGGAAUCCGCCAUGGAAUUAUGGUCUUCCGUGUAUUCCCAAAUUUUUUCUUCUAUAUGUGAGGUUCUAGUGCACAGGUCCUGAAUAUCUUUACACAGGGUGUCCAUGGCGGUUUGCCAAGUGGCGAUGAGUUUGGCUGAUAAGGUGUCCAGAGAGGAUUGGAACAUGGUGCGUGUCAGAGUGUCUAUUUCUGUGGUGGAUUCAGGCUCAUGUGCUGCAGGCCCAUCAACGCCAUCUUGGAUUUCAAGCAGAGUGGCAUUUUUUUACUAUUUUUGGGUGGAAGAAAUAAAAAUGUUCUGCUCAAUCUUGCUGGCGUUUAGAUUUGCUCUGUGACAUCGUGGAACAGUGAGACUGGCAAUUCGUUUUAGCUGUCAGAAGUCUGAUAUUCCGGGUCCCGUGCUGCGGAGCACUCACCGAUGCAUCUGAUCAGCACGGCUUCCAGUCACAUCCCCUAAUCCCACCCCAUUUUACAUAACAUGGGUUUCUAGUUUUGCAAAUGGUAUGCCAUGAUGGGGUUUAUUUUCAUUCCUGGGCUGCCAGAGGCUCUCAAAGCCAACAUGGGCCCAUAAAACCAAUCUGAAAUAUUUCAAUGUGUAAAAACUGAAAAUGGGGAAAGCCCUAUAUUUAAUCCUGUAACUUUCUAAAAAUUCAUAAAACCUGCACAUGGGGAUUACUGAUGUACUCGUGAGAUAUUGCUGAACGCAAAUUUGUGUAUUUUAUUGCAGUAAAAGCCAACAGUAUUAUGACAUUGACAGUUAAAAUGUCAAGCAGAACUUGAAAAAUAACAUUUAUUAUUUGUUUUGUUUUCACUUAUAUUAAAUUAUGUUUCAUAUCUGAAUAUUUGAUGUGAAAUGAAAGCCCUGUUUCUCCUGAACAACAUGAUAUAAGUGUGAAUGCACUUAAUAAGAAAAAGGUAAAUUAUAGGUAAAUUAACAGACUUAUAGCGCAAAUUCCAGGUUUUGUUUUAUUUACAAUGUGUACACUUGCCCCCGUCUAAUUAUGCACACCUUUAUUGCCAGAACUGAAAAGACAUUUGGGUGGGUUUUUUUCUUAUUUUUUUGUAUAUUUUUUUCUAAUAAAUGAGAAUUUCUAAACAUAUAUGUGUUGGUGGAAUAAAUGAGGUAGAUGGGAAAUGCAAAUGACCACACACACAUAGCACAAAUGACAACAUUGAUUGUGUCCUUAAGUACAAAACAAGCAAACUGUGUCCUUAAGGAGUUUAAACAGUAACUUGCCAGUCCUAUAGCUUUUGGCAGUACAUCAUCAUUGCAAAGCAACAUAGGACUUUGAUCCAGGAUGUUCCAUUCCGAACAUCAGUAAAGAUCAAUGAGAAAUGUCUCCAGAUAGUAUUUAUCAAAUAAGAGCCCCAUAUGUUGGCGCCCAUUCCAACACAUCUUUUUAAUGCUUACUUGCUGCAACACUCUGACGUCAUCUCAGCAUUUGUCUUGUGUAUCUAAAUUUCAGCAUUUCAUUCUUCUAAUCCUCGGUUUUUCAGCCUUGCUACCGAAGGACACCUCAUGUUAUUUUAAUUCAGUUAAUUGGAGAGAAUUGAAAACCAAGUUGAACAUUUCAGAUUAUAAUAGCCGAGCUGUNNNNNNNNNNNNNNNNNNNNNNNNNNNNNNNNNNNNNNNNNNNNNNNNNNNNNNNNNNNNNNNNNNNNNNNNNNNNNNNNNNNNNNNNNNNNNNNNNNNNCUUUCAAGAAGAUGUUGAGUAAUUGCAACAGAAAUCAGUUUCUCAAAUUCAAAUUUGACUUGAGGGAUCAAGUUCUUGUGAAUUUCCUUUUUGUUUCAGAACUGUGAUAUAUGCUGUUGUCAAAGAGUAACUGGUACAAAAUGUUUUUUUUUGUGUGCAAAGUCUUAGAAAUAUUUAAUCUCGUUUAGCUCUCUUUUAGAGUCCUUGGUCAUUCAGGGAAAGUGAUAAGCUGUGGCUAGAUUAAUCUUGAAUGAGAUGGAAGGUAUCUAACCAUGUAACAAGAUGAUUUAGCUCUAAAAUGGAUGACUUGACUGCUUUAAAGAACCUUUCUUAGCCUUGACAGAAGGACCGUUCUCUUUGACGGUUUUUGAAGAACAUUCUUGACAUAUCUUUAAUGUUCUCCCAGUAUCUUCAAAUAUAAUGGAUACCAUCCAAAUAUAUUACCACAUAUAAGAUCAGAAUCAAGAUCAGAACAGAGGACGUAUGUAACAAAAAUGUAUAUAAUGUACAAGUGACUAAUGAUAAUAUUAAGUGUAUACUUACUAAUGCAAGGAGCCUAAAUAACAAAAUGAGGGAACUAGAGGCAAUAGCAUAUAUAAUGUGACAUAAUAUGCAUAACGGAAACAUGGUGAGAUGAGGCACAUGACUGGGCAAUUAACUUAAUUGAUUUCAGAUUAAUAAGCAGUAAAGUAUCUAUCUAGUAUUUAUCUAGCAGUAAAGUAGUAAAUGUAAACAAAGCCCCCUGGCCUGAUGGUAUUCACCCGUGAACUAAGUGUAGAAAUAAGUGAACCUCUAUUUUUAAUCUUUCAGGAUUAAUUUCUUGAAUUGUUUAUUAACAUUGCCUUAAAGAUAGAGUACAGAGAGUUGUCAUUUAUGAUAAAUUUUCAAGAUGGACAAAAGUUAUAAGUGGUGUCUCAAAGUGUUCUGUUCUGGGACCGCUUAUAUUUAACAUAUUUAUAUGAUCUUGAAAUAGGCAUUGAAAGUCAUGCUUCAGUGUUUUCAGAUGACACAAAACAUGUAGUACAAUGUGAGUUGGAUAUUGGUGCAGAGGGAUUUAGACAAAUUGGGGGAUUGGGCACUCAAAUGGCAGAUAAAUGCAAAGUUAUGCACUUCGGGUUAUAGAAUACACAAGCAACUUACAUCCUAAAUGGUAGUGAAUACAACCAUUAUCUUGAAAUCUUUUCAUAAACAGGACAAUACAUAGGACACCAGGUUUUGCAUUUAGACUGGAAGAAAUAAUUUAGUCUAAGGCAAAGGCAAGGGUUUUUUACAGUAAGAACAAUAAGUGUAUGAAAAUCUCUACCCGAAGAGAUGGUUUUAUCAGAAUCUGUACAGAUGUUUAAACAGCAACUGGAUGAAUUCUUGCAAAAAACUAAAUAUUCAGGGAUAUAAUCAUUAUUAGAUCUUGAUCCAAGGAGAGAUCUGACUGUUAUAAUGGAUAUUAAGAAGGAAAGUUUUCCUAGUUUGUUUCAAAAUUGCGUGUUUUGCCUUCAUUUGAACGGCAAAAUCAGAUGGGAGAAAGGCUGAACUUGAUGGAUGCAUGUGUUAUUUUAGCCUAUGUAACUAUAACAGCAACACAUAGUCAUGAUUUCUAUAAGUGCUGAAGCAAAUUUUCUACUCAUCCCCUUCAGAGAUUCAGAAGAUAUUUCUAGUAACACUACUUGGAGAAAACAUUUGACUCUGUUUUAGUUUUUAUGAGCUAUAACAGAUAUUUGGUUUUAGACAUAAAGAAGAAUCCUGCACUAUCUUGGGACAAAGAAGGAGAAUUGUCUGCUAGAAAUGUAAUGGUGCAAACAAAAAGGAGACGAUGAGGCAGACAUUUCUCAACUUGGAUUUUCAUAAACAUCCAGAAAGCCCUCGUAUGGUCAGGAACCAACUGUUGAGCAUCUGUAGGAAUUAUUUUGAGAACUGGAAACAAUAGUUACAGUAUGGGAAUGGUCAUAAUGGGGAUGUAGACAAGGAUGAACCAAGGCUUGACCCGAGCACUGUGGAAACUCUGAUCUAACCUUUCUCACUGCCAACUUGGUGUCAUAGGUAUUGACCCUCUGCCAUCAAUGCUUGAUACUUGUUGGGUGAAUGGCCUUAAUACAUGCUUUUCCUAGUACCCCCAAGUGAUCCUCACAAUAUAGGUGUAGAUGGUGAAAUUAUUGAGGCAGAUGUAUGCAUAGUCUUUCAACACCGCAAAGAGCUGGUCUGCCACCUGCUGAGUGUUCUUUUCAAACGGCAUCAGGGAAAACUGGUGGAGAACCAUUGAAGUGGUAGUUUGCCUUUCUUGUUAUAAGAACUAAUGGGGCUCAAUAGGUCCAUGGUCAUGUGAGCAAAGGAAUUGGGAAAUAGGCCCAGGUUUACCUGCCCUGAAGGUAGGCUGCCUUCUACAGAGUUUCUUAUGCCAAAUUUAGUGCCAUCUACUCUAGUUACUGCAUAUCAUAGAGGGUCUUUAAAACUGUACUGUCGGAGGAUGCAGAAACCAUGUUUUCCAUUGACAGGAAGGAUCUCACAAAAUGGAGUCUAGUUUCAUAGGAACUUAGAGCAUUUGGAUUACCCGGUCUAAAAUUACAUUGAAGGAAAGAAAGUGCACAAACAAGAAUUUUAAUCAUACAUGAAUAUAUUAAGUAUUAAACCCCCAUACAUAAGAAACUGUGAAUACCUAGGGAAAAACAAGCAAACUUUAAUUUCAACUAGUGCUCUCAUCUUUCCAAUAUCAACAUACACUGUGGUCGGGCACCAUGUACUCCGGCAUAGUGAACACCAUGUACUCCGACAUAGUGAAACAUCCAACCCAAGCCUUAAAUGUUUCACAUGCCUGACGGUAUUCGAUUGGCCAGAAGAUUGGAAGAAAGUCCAUCAAGUUCAACCUUGAAACACAAGGUAUAGUAUACAAGUAUUUUCUCUCCGUAGUUGCAUGAGUAAAUCAUUUGAAACCCUGCAUUCUGCCCCCUCCCUGACAUGCAAUCACCAUCUAUCCCAAAGCAGUGGCAGAACUAAAGUAGAAAGGGUCUGGUGCGAGAAUAGUUUUGGGCCCCUCAAGGGUAUCUCAAGGGUGCCCAAAAGGUAGACCCCUAUCUGUCAUGCAACUACAACAAUGCUCUGACAGCUGGGGCUCUACCAUUUUCGUAUGCUUGCGGGGUUGUGUUUAGUACUGAGCAGUGUUUGUGUGUUUGAAUGUAAGUGUGUAUUUGUAUGGAGUAUGUUUGUGUGAACGUAGGGCGUGUGUUUCUAUGUGGUGUUAGCAUUUGAAUGCAAGCAUACAUGUAUGUGUAGUGUUGUUUUUCGACUACAGGGGUGUGUUUAUAUUUAAUUUUGGUGCUUUACACAAAGGUGUGUUUGUAUAUAAUCUUGCUGCUUCAAUGUAGGAGUUUGCUUAUAUGUAGUAUUGGCAUUUAAAUGUUGAGAUGUAUGGACAUAUACACAUACACUGCCACACACACACUGUGAUACACAUACACAACACAUGCAGAUACAUGUCAUGCGGUAACACUUCUGGGUUCGGCACUACGCUGGGCAGAGGUGGACCCCGCCCCCCUCUAACACAUCUCUGACGGUAUUUAAGGAGACUGUGCCAGAGAGAGGGUGCUUGGUGAUACUGGCAGCUACUUCCACCAGACUUACCUCUCCACAAGCUCAGACAAGCCGUUCCAGCCUUUGAGCCAAUGCAAGGAUUGCUGCAUGCCAUAAAGGAUUACUGGAGAACGGAUACUUUGCUACUUUACAAGUGGACCAUAUCUCUGAACUAUUGGAGGACUACACAUAUUAACCUUAAGUAUAUCUUUCAGUUAUUUGUCUACAAUAUCAUUUAAUAAUGAACUAAUGCUUGCUUACUCAAAUCUUCAGUGCUUCAAACUACUAAUUAUAUGGAGGACAACUCCCAUCAUGCUUAUUCACUAUAAACUGUUUCUUGCUUUGCAAAGACACUCAAUGCUUCAAGCUACUAAUUGUAUGGAGGACAACUCCCAUCAUGCUUAUUCACUAUGAACUGUUCUUGCUCUGCAAAUAUUCUUAGCUACUUGCUUAUUGUUUCUAUUGAAGAUUAUUCUCAUGAACUUAAAGAAUGUUACUUAAUGCAUCUCUGAGGAAAUACUUAAUAAUGAACUUUGUGUUGUUGAUUACUUGCACUUCCUUUUAUUGGAUUAUUGCCUAAAUGCAAUUCAUUUAAGUUUAACACUUAUUAAAACUUCGGUUGAAUCAAGUUACCAGUGAACCUCUCUUUUCUUAAAGCUACAGUAUUGAUACUUUAAAGAUUCUCAGUUUCUUCACAAUUGUAAUUAGGGAGUUUACAAGCUGCAGUUGAGUUCGAAUCCAAAUCACCCCAAGUAGCGUAACAAUACAUAGAUAUACACACUGACACACAUGGAGAUAUGCAGACACAUAUACACUGAUGCAGAUACAGACACAGCAAUACACAUACAGACAAACAUAUACACAACCUGAACACAUGCAGGUACACAGACACACAGAUACAAACACUGACACAAAAGCAGAUACACACACACACACACACAGAUAUGUGAUGUUUUGUAUAAAACAGUCAAUAAUUCCUGAAUAACAAAGUACUCACUUUAUUAAUACAUAUAUAACAGCAUCUUCAUAUUGCAGCCUUGUUACACAGGGUUUCUGCAGCCGCCAUUUCAAAUCCCUCGAACAUUCCACCAACUGCCAACUGCCAACAGGAGCAGGAAGUAAAGAACCAAAAGAAAGGAAGUGCAUCAUUCACAGCCCAACUGCCCAACUGCCCAUACAUCACAAUACAUACACUCACACACACAUACACAGCCUAACAGUACAUACACAUACACAGCCCAACAGUACAUACAUCACAAGAUACACAUAUUGACAACAUACAGAUACACAGAUACACACAAUGACAACAAACAGAUACACAGACACAUGAACUGUCAGAUAUACUGGCACACAUACAUACACUGACAGACACACUAACACAUACAUACAUUAACAGACAUAUUGACACACACACACACAAUGACAGACAUACACACACACACUGACACAUACACUAACAGACAUACUGACACACACACACACAUACACUGACAGACAUACUACCUCACAGAUACACACACACACACACUGACAGACAUGUUGACACACACAAAUAGACACAUACACUGACAGACACACAGAGGCAUACACUGACAGAUAUACAGACACACUCACACACACACACAUACACUGACAUACUGACACACACACUGACAGAUAUACCUGCACACACACACAGACACAUACAGUGACAGACAUACUGAAACACACAUAGGAUACACACUGACAGACAUGUUGAGACACACACACACACACAUAUACUAACAUACAUGAGGACACACACAGACACAUACAAUGACAUACAUCCUGACAUACAGGGCCGGCCUUAGGCCUUCAGGCGCCCUGUGCGAAAAAUCUUAACAGCCUCCCCCCCCCGCCAUCCAUGUGUAUAGGGGAUUUAUUAAAUGAAAAUUUAACAAUUAACAAAUAUUUAUCACCUCUUCCCUGUCAUUACCUUGCAUGGAGGGAGGGCAUGCUGAUCUCUGGUGAUACAGUUUGCUGGGAAUAUGGUCGGUGCCUUCACUGGGUGCAGACCAUCAGCAGCUGUCUCCUGAGCUCAGGCACUUACAGUAUCAGAGCUUUCCUGUGGUAAUCCGCGGCAACGUUCUGAUUGGCCGGAACUCGGAAGACAGCUACAUUUAUCAUGUGUGUGUCAGACGUGAUUGUGUGAUGUGUUCUCUGUGUGCCAUAUUUGUAAUGGGUGUAUUGACUGUGUCUGAUAUGUGUGUGUAUUGACCGUGUGUGAUUUUUGUUCACUAUAUCAGUAGAUAGGGGGAGCAGGGGCACUGGGGUAGAUGUGGGAGCAAUGCACUAUAGCAGUAGAUAAGGGGAGCAGUGUCACUAGGGUAGACAGGGAACAAUGGCAAUAUAGGGGGAGCAUGGGCACAAUAGGGAUAGAUAAGGAGCAUGGGCACUAUAGGGGUAGAUGGAGGGAUCAGGUACACUAUAGGGGUAAAUGGGGAAGCACUAUAGGGGUAAAUGGGGAGCAGGGGUGCUAUAGGGGUAGAUCGAGGAGCAGGGGCACUAUAGAGGUAGAUAGGGGGAACUAUAGAGAUAGAUGGGGAACAUGGGUACUAUAGGAGUAGAGGGGGCACUAUAGGAGUAGAGGGGGCACUAUAGGGGUAGAGGGGGGCACUAUAGGGGUAGAGGGGGAACAGGUGUACUAUAGGGGGAGCAGGGGCACUAUAGGGGUAGAGGGGGAACAGGGGUACUAUAGUGGGAGCAGGGGCACUGUAGGGAUAGAUGGGAACAGGGGUACUAUAGGUGUAGAUGGGGGCACUAUAGGGAUAGAUGGGGAACAGGGGUACUAUAGGGGGAGCAGGGGCACUGUAGGGAUAGAUGGGAACAGGGGUACUAUAAGGGGAGCAGGGGCACUAUAGGUGUAGAUGGGGGCACUAUAGGGAUAGAUGGGGAACAGGGGUACUAUAAGGGGAGCAGGGGCACUAUAGGUGUAGAUGGGGGCACUAUAGGGGUAGAGGGGGCACUAUAGGUAUAUAUGGGGAACAGGGGUACUAUAGGGGUAGAGGGGGCACUAUAGGGAACAGGGGUACUAUAGGGGUAGAGGGGGGUCACUUUAGUGGUAGAGGGGGAACAGGGUUACUAUAGGGGUAGAGGGGGGCCCUAUAGGGAUAGGGGGCACUAUAGGGAUAGAUGGGGAACAGGGUUACUAUAAGAGUAGAGGGGGCACUAUAGGGAUAGAUGGGGAACAGGGUUACUAUAGGGGUAAAGGGUGCUCUAUAGGGGAAGAGGGAGGCACUAUAGGGAUAGAUGGGGAACAGGGUUACUAUAGGGGUAGAGGGUGCACUAUAGGGGAAGAGGGGGGCACUAUAGGGAUAGAUGGGGAACAGGGUUACUAUAGGGGUAGAGGGGGGCACUAUAGAGAUAGAUGGGGAACAGGAUUACUAUAGGGGAAGAGGGGGGCACUAUAGAGAUAGAUGGGGAACAGGAUUACUAUAGGGGAAGAGGGGGGCACUAUAGGGAUAGAUGGGGAACAGGGGUACUAUAGGGGAAGAGGGGGGCACUAUAGGGAUAGAUGGGGAACAGGGUUACUAUAGGGGUAGAGGGGGGCACUAUAGGGAUAGAUGGGGAACAGGGUUACGAUAGGGAAGAGGGGGCACUAUAGGGGAAGAGGGGGGCACUAUAGGGAUAGAUGGGGAACAGGGGUACUAUAGGGGUAGAGGGUGCACUAUAGGGGAAGAGGGGGGCACUAUAGGGAUAGAUGGGGAACAGGGUUACUAUAGGGGUAGAGGGGGGGCACUAUAGAGAUAGAUGGGGAACAGGAUUACUAUAGGGGAAGAGGGGGGCACUAUAGGGAUAGAUGGGGAACAGGGGUACUAUAGGGGGAGCAGGGGCACUAUGGUCUCACUUACCAGGCAGCAGAUUCAGGCCUCGGUUAGCUCCGCCCCCGCCGACCACUUGGCUCCGCCCCCAUCGGCUGCUUGGCUCCGCCUCCUACAGUCUCUUUCGCUGCUAAGCCCUGGUAGAGGGCAGGGGGUGUGCAAGCUGUCAGCCAUAGGGCGCCCCCUGCUGCCAUGGCGCCCUGUGCGGCCGCACAGCUCGCACACCCCUAAGGCCGGCCCUGAAUCUAGGCUGGGGCAAAUGCCUUUAAAAUGGUAAAGGAGACUUUCAGGGGGGGCUCCUCACUCUAACCUAUUUUGUGGGCAGUUUUAUUCCUUCUGCAAGUUUUUUUUUAUUUUUUUAUGACAUAUCCUCUUCCAUUGUGUGCGAGGCCUCCGGUUUCUUUUUUUUCUUACAAUCUUUAUUAAUAAUUUUCAUGUACAAAUUUGGGAAAAUGAUCACAGUGUACAAAUAAAAAAAAUCAAGGUACAAUAGAACAACCAAGGCAUGAACCAUGAGCAAACACUCUAUUACCAUUUUUUUCCUAAUACAUUUGUGGCACAUGUAUAUUACUUAUGUGUGAUGCUUUAAAAAUCAGGGGCGCCCAAUAGUUAGAUCCCCAGAUGUUGUAGGACUUUGCACGCCUUUAGAAUGCCUUUGCAUACCUUUAGAAUGAAUUUGCAUCAUGGAAGCUGCAGGUUUAAAAUAUCUGGAGAGCUACCUUUUGGGCACCCCUGCAUUAAACCCUUGAUUAAGGUGGAGACUUCCCGUUUUAUGUCAUGUGUCAUUGUAAUAAUGAUAAAGCAACAACGAAAUAACACAAAAGAUAUAUUAACAUGUGGAAUUUCAAAUGAAUACCACUAAAAAAGAGUGAAACUGGCUAUAAGGGUGUUUGUUAAAACUCAUCUUUCCUCCCCUCCCCUCAUUCCUCGGGAUUGUAAAAGCCCUGAGAUGUCAAUUGGUUAUUUUUCCACCAGCACAAUGUAAAUGUGUACCCAGUAAAUGCUUAAUAUUUUAUAAAGAAUGUUAUCUACCUGUCAAAUUAAUAUUACACACGUACACGUGCACACACUCAUAUAUAUUGCAAUUAAAGUAUCAAUUUGAUUUUUGUUUUUUAAGAUAACAUUAUUUUCAUCUAAAUCUCAUCAACAAGGUAAUGAACUCACCACAAUACAUGAGUUAGCAAAUUACCCUCCUGCUAAGACGCAUGAUCAUGUUAGCCUAAUUUUGAUCAUUAUGAAACUAGGCAUAUUAAGAUUACAACUAAUGUAAUUAACACUUAUAUGUAUUUUUUCCCAUUAAAACGUUGUAAAUUUAUAAGCAAAUUUUUAAAGUUUCCUUAUCAUUACUGUGAGUGUGUGUGUGUUUCUAUCCAUUCAAAGGCAUCCUCUAUUAUUUUACAGAAUUGAUCUAAUAUCAGAACAUGUACAUUCUCAAUUUAUGACAAAAUUUGAUAUACAUUUGAAAAAGCAUGUAAGAGAGAAGGUUUUAUAGCUUUUCAUUAUGUAAUUGUGUGCUUCAUUGCUUCGUGUCAGGUUUUGCGCUGUGGGAGAGGCUAGAACAAUCCAAAUACAAUUUAUUUAAGAAUGGUAGUUUUAUUUUAAUUAACAAUAAAAAGUACUGUUGUUUCACAUGCAACUGAAGGGACAAUCCAAGCACCAUAACUACUACAUUAUAUUGUAGUAGUUAUGAUGUAAGAAUGUUUUGGGCAACGUACCUUUAUUUUUGUCAAACUGUAUUUAGAAGGAAUAACAACAACAGCGAACACACAAGAAACUUAGAUCCUAAAUGGGUUUUGAGUUAGGUGUACCAGUAAAUGAAAAAAGACUAGAUAUUAAUGUGUAAAAUCAGUCAGCAAAGGAAUACAGGCAUAAAAUAGGUAUUAGGUCGUGUGAUGAAAAUACUUUGUUUUUAAAAAAUAUUAUAAGUCAGUCCCCUCCCCAUUUUAAGUGGUCCACUUUUUUCUUUUUUGUCAAUCUGUUUUUAUUGAAGGCAUAUCAGAUGGGGUACAUAAGAGAAAGCAGAGGAAAUGUACGGUUGGUUUACAAUACAUGGUUGAUACAUCAUUCGGCUAGAGUACGUUUCAUUUCCAGAAUAACGAUGCCUCAUUUUUUUAUGUUUAAACUGUAGUAUGAAAAUACAAGCUAUGGAUCAUAAGAUCCGGGAAGUAACAUGCUAAAUUAACAAUGCGUUAACUAGUCUUAACGUUCCAACAGUAUAAUACAGUGUAGGUUAAACUAUGAGUCAGCUGGUAUGCAUUUGCUAGUCGUAAUGUGUAUAUAGGUAAUCCAUGUAUCAUGCUAACUGUGCUUAAACUGCGUGUUGUAAUACAAGCUGAGAGCAAGCAGUUAUAAUAUGUGAACACAUUUAAUGCGCUUGUAGUUGCUAUCUAAGUAAGGGGUCAAUCAUGUCAUUGGCAGUUUAAGCUUGCAGCAAAAAACAGGUUGAGCGUUUAUAGUAAAGUAACGAGAGGCUGUCCCUGUGUUAUAAUGAUGAACCCUGUUCAUAUCUAUGCACACAUACUCACACAGGUUAAACAUUAACUGUAGAGCACCGUAGUGGGGGAUUGCUUAAACUGCACUUAGCUUAAUACAUGUGUGAGGGAUGCAACAAACGAAGCGUUUAGUGGUUUAGUACUGCUGGACCCACUGGUGAGUUGCAUGAGUGUCUAGUAAGCAAUGUCGUGGUGUGAACUGCAAGUGGAGUCGUUUAUCUAGUUAGGAAACACGCUGGAUUAUCCACCAACCUCCCGGGGCAAGUCUGGUUUACUCUAUGCAAGAGGUUGGGGCUCAAUUUAGUGUAUCUGCGUGGACAGUUCAUGCUGUGCCCCAAAGAGUCCACGGCUGUGGGCGGCAUAUAGUGGGGCCGCGGGCUUACGGUCCAUCUAUCAGCCGAUACCCCUGCUGGGGAGGUCGGAGCCAUGAGUUGGACGGGUCAGCAAGAGGCCGGUGAGCUGUUGGUAUAAGGAGCACUCCAGCCCCAGGCCGGAAUGAAGGCCAGUACCUGCAGCUCACAGACUCUGAUUCUCGUGGUCGAGGCUGGGUCUACCCUCUGUUGGGCGCCAUGGGGAGCUCGAAUGUUCUGCCGUCGCCUGCGACAGUCGGGCUUCUGGCGGGGUGGUUGGUGCCGUGGAGAUUUCCUAUGGGAGGCCUUCAGCCCAGGAAGGAUUGCAGGGCUGGCUGCGACAUUAGCCUUGUGUGGUUUACCCGAUGUAGGUCUUUUCCAGCUCCGCACCUCGUCUUUGCUUACUGUUCCCACCGGGUCAGGUGGAUCCCAUCUGCAACAUAGCUUCAGGCGCUCCCAGAGCCUUUGAAAGAGCCUGUCUAGUCUCUCAGCAUACUGCUCCUCUGUGUAGUAGCUUUGGCUGCAUUGAUGGGCUGGCGCGGGCUUCUGCCACUGAGUCGCGGCUGCCAUCUUGUGUGGCACACUGGCUGCGUUGUUCAGGCCGCGGGGUAUAGCCGGGACUUGUGGUGUCUUUUGACCUGGUUUGGUGGGGACCGGGAUGAACCCCACAGGUCCAAAGGGGGGGAUAUCAAAUCUAUUACAUGAAGAUCGAAUAGCAAACAUUGGUAAGUCUGUGAUUGGACAGCCAUAGAAAGUCUGGGUGGGGUUAAAAUUGGAGGGUUUGCAAAGGCUUCAGUCAAGAGAUCUGCCGUUUUUGCAAGUUGUUUUUAGAUAUCCUCCCAAUGAAAAAUGCAGAAUUAAAUGCAUGCAUGUCUUCACUGGGGAUAUAUCUCCUAAACUCUACUUCCCAGUAAGUUUAAUCUUUUCUACAGGUUUUUAAGGGGGGGGGGAGGGACAUUUAGCAACAAUAAUAUAACAAGGGUUGGAGUAACCCUUUAAUAAAGAGAGACCCAUCAAAAGUUAAAGGAUCACUAUAGGGUCAGGAACACAAACAUGUAUUCCUGACCCUAUAGUGUUAAAACCACCCCUGGGCCCUUCAUGCCUCCAGAAAUAUAGUAAACUCUUACUGUAUUCAAGCCUGAAGCUGUAGAUCUGCAUGCUGUUUGCCUAAAAAAAAACAAGCAGUCUGCUGACAUCAUCAGAAGUGGUAGCCUGAUCCAAUCACAAUGCUUCCUCACAGGAUUGGCUGAGACUGACAAAGAGGCAGAUCAGGGGCAGAGCCAGCAUGAUUCAAACACAGCCCUGGCCAAUCAGCAUCUCCUUAUAGAAAUGAAUUGAAUCAAUGAAUCUCUAUGAUGAAAGUUCAGUGCCUGCAUGCAGAGGGAGGAGAUACUGAAUGUUUGGAUGCAUUUUAGGCAGCCAUGACCCAGGAAGGAUCUCUAACAGCCAUCUGAGGAGUGACCAGUGAAGUUAUCACUAGGCCAUAAUGUAAACACUGCAAAAAGCUUGAAGGUAAUGAUUCUAUUCACCAGAACAAUAAGAUGUAGUUGUUCUGGUGACUAUAGUGUCCCUUUAAGAGAGUAAUUCACUACAGUUAUUUUAUCUCAACAUUAUUCAUUUAAAAUUUUUUCAUCAGGAUGAAUAAAAAUGUUGGGGAAAUAGUUGACUAAAAUUCUUUAAUUCGUCAACUCUUCACUACAAGACUGUCACCUUCAGCGCAACUCAUUAAAAGCGAUGUUGUAUCAUUUUUGUGUAACGUAAUCAUUUUAAUUAAGGUUUAAUCUUCCAAAAUAUUUGGAAGAUUUUUAAUUGACAUUUGUGGUAAUUAAUUGGUAAGCAUUACAGCUUUGUCGGAAGAAUUUAAAAAACUAAAUUUGACGUUGAAAUUGGCUAGCGACUGCUGUGAGGUCCCUGCUGGGAGCAUUUCAUCAUCUUGUCUCUCUCGGAGGCUGAUUGUGGGUGGGGUGAAGUGAUGGACACUUCUUACAGUCAUGAAUUACAUUGCUAAUUUAUUUUAUUACCACCACGCAAAUGUCAUGUUAAUUUCUGAUCAUCAUGAAGUCAGACAAUGGCCUCCAUGCUGGCAACAAGCCAAUUAGUGAUGUGCAAGAAGAAGAGAGAAAAAAAAUAUCCAGCCAAUUACAGAACUUCCGUAUGGGUUAAAGACAUAGGACAAAGAAAAAUAUGUGGUCGGUAUUUUUUAUCCAUCUGGGAGAUAAAAAUGUGAGUUGACAUGGUCUCUCUGUGCUACGGUCGAUAUUGAAUAGUCUGAUAGUAAGCUGCCAAAAAAAAAAAAAAAUCAUAUUUAUUUUAUUAAAUAUCGCCUAUUUUAUAAAACUAGUUUAGACCUGUAUGCUCACCUUUACUUAUGAAACAGACCAACGCUCUAGAUAAGAUAGUGGAAAGUAGAGGAGAGAAAGGCGGACCAAAUUAUUAGAAGUUAUUACAUUUUUUUUUUUCUAUUUAAAUGCAUUUUUGCAGAACCUAGAAUGCUAAAAGUUUGUGGGUUUUGCAUUUUCCUAAGAUGCCAAUGAUUUACAACAUUGGACAGUAAAUGGACCAUUAUUUUCAUUCUAAAGUUUAAAUGCGAUUAGGGAUGAUCAAAUACAUAUAAACUGGGUUUAAAAUACCCCGAGGGCUACGAAAAUGAAGGGUCAUUUAUAACAAUAUUAUGUGCGCAAGCCGUAUGUAAUAAAGAAAUGUAUUUACAUAAUGGCAUCUCUGGGAGAUACAGGAUGCUAUAAGCCCCUCUACAAACUUAAGACCUUAAAUACGAGCCGUCAUUUUGAUUUGAGUGUCUUUUAAGCCAAUUUAUAGUGCCUGUUCAGUUUUUUUUUCAAUUUCAAAUGUACACAGCACCAAUUUACCCUCUUUUUAGAAAAGAUUAGCUAUUCAUUUUGUGUCAUUCAUCUCUCACUUUAUUGUGCAUUUUAUAUUCUCUUGUGAAUAAAAAUUAGAAAAUGUACAGUAUGGACUAGCUUUAGAAAAAAGUUAAAUAUGUAAACUUCUCCUGGCUUAUUUUGCAUUUCCACUAAAUAGGCUCAAAGAUAUUUUUACUAAACCCAAUCAACUUACACUCAUGUUGCUGGGGUAUAUAUGAAAAGUAAUCCUAGGCCAACUUUCAUAAAUUUGAGUAUAUGUAGGUACAUUCCAUUAGUUUCUUUGGCCAUUGAUCCACUUAUAGAAUUUUGAACCAUAAAUAUUCUUUAAAUAUAUUCUAGUAGAUGGCAUCCUCUUACCACCUUGGUUCGGCCUUAAAGGGGUAGUGCCACUCUUAGUGGCACAUGUGCUGGAUACACCUAGAGCCAUGUUUGUGUAGACUCUAAACAAGGUGAUCUGCUAAGUUUAUUUCUCUUUAGUGGCUCCCUGGUUCUACAUACUAUACCAUUUAUUGUAUUUCUGCUUUACCUUUUAGCUAUCCUCUUCAAAGGAUUGAAGAGGUAGAGUGUCACCAAAAGACAUGUCAGCUUUUGUGAUUUGCAUAGAUAGAUUGUGGAACUGCACUCAGACCCUUCCUCUCUGGGAUCCUUGGGUGCUAACCAGAUCAGUCCCAGUACCAAAAGACCAAAUGUAGCAUUAAAUGUAGAAAGUAAUCCAGGCACUCCAGAGUAUCUCAAAAAAAGGCAACAUUAUUGGACCCACGAACCAAAACACAACGUUUCGACCCUUAAGGUCUUUGUCAAGCUACUAAACACACACAUAACAAUCAAUAUAUAAGUGUACAAAGUAAUUAACAAGUGACAUAACAGGAUUAAUUGUCUACAUAAUCAGUCAAUACUUAUUAGACAUACUAAGGCACUAUAUUAUUUUUUGAGAUUUGAGCCUACCCAACUAAGGCUCUAUAUUAUUUUUUGAGCUUUGAGCCUACCCAACUAAGGCGCUAUAUUAUUUUUUGAGAUUUGAGCCUACCCAACUAAGGCUCUAUAUUAUUUUUGAGUAUAUUACAUGGGAAUACCACCAUAUUAUAGAGGGGUAAGUUUACUUUUGAGUCCCCCACUUACAUACUGACGCUAGGGUUUUGGCUAUGUGGUCACUCAGUUGUCCUUUUUUGUGUCUGUGUGUCUGUAUAUAUUGUGGCAUUGAAUCAACUCUCCAUCCACCAUUUUACAUCUAUAUAGUUGACAGAGACAAACAUAAAAAUGAUGUUGAGCUGCCUGAGUAAUGAUUUCAAUUAUUUAACAAAGUGUAUAUUUAACCCCUUAAGGAUACAUGACAUGUGUGAAAUGUCAUGAUUCCUUUUUAUUCUAGAAGUUUGGUCCUUAAGGGGUUAAUGUAUGACAAAGUUCUUUUUGAUAACAACAAUGGGGGCAGGAUGAUACACGUGUCAUCAAAAUGUUUGACACUCAUGAUCCAGGUGGGGAGAUACAUACUUAUCUGGGAGUUUUUCUAGUGAAUACUUUUGGGACUAUAACCAUUAUACUAUAACCACUACAGCUAGACCCGGAAUCCUCUCCUGCAGGGCUUAGCUCGGUCACCAGUAGUUGAGGCAGGGAGCUGUGUCCAGCAGAUACCAGGUAAGUUUAAAAAAAAAUUGACUACAUACAAUGAGGGGUGCCAGGUGUAGUGGUUAUAUUGCCUGCAGUUUUCCUUUAAACAUAAACCAUAUUUAAUUCCAUUGAGAAGAAUUCCUGAUUUGCAAAUUUCCAUUAAACACAGGACAUUUGAAGAUGAGUACCUUUUAAUUAAUUAUGUUUUUAAAUAAAACAUUUUACAUUUCUUAUUUUGCAUACCUGUUUAAUAUUAUUUAUAUAGGAGUCAACUUGAAGAGUCUCUGUAAGUUAGGAUAUUUAUAAAAGCGUUUACCUCUUCUAUAACACCUUGCUAAAAUGGAUCCUUAAAAUAGAAAAAGGUUUGGAAUAGUUUGGCUAUAAAGUCUUUGUACAAUACCUCCGUAAUGAAAAAAAAAUGUUUUAUUUAUUAAGUUUGCACAGCCAUUCAAUACCUAUUUAUAGUGUAAAAUACAAACUUACUAAUUUACAUUUUUUAAUUCUUUAUUUUUGUAGUGCAAGUUUAGAACAGCAAGCCCAUGUUGCCACAACAGCAGUCACAGGCAUAACAUCAACAUACAGUAUCUGACAUGGCAAGUGAGAGAACUGCACAGUUUUAUAAAUUGAAGCAGAAAAGGUCCGCACAUUCUUUGUUUUGUUAAAGUAACUGAAUAACAUAUGAGCUUGAUAUAGGUAUGCUUGAAUACAGUACUAACAUGGUAACGUUAGAAGUAAACAGGUGUUGGUCGCUAAACUGAACAUAAACUUCGCCUAAUCUGGGCAAGUAAGGAGUUAGGGUGUAGUAUCGCCCUGCUAGCCAGUGUGGUCUCCUAAGGCUAUGUGCCUCAGCUCGCUGAGGUCAAGGACACAGCGACAUGAGUGGUAGGGCUGUGAGUGGUAGGGUUAAUCUGGGUAAGUGUAGCGAGCUCUUGGAAGCAUGCCUCCCAUACCCCUAGCGUAGCUAUAGUUAUAGUUAAGUGGCUAGACUGCGUGGGCUAGUGUGGAUAGUAGGUAUGCAAUUGAGUUGAAUGUGGUGGAGGACCCUGGGUGUUGUUCCAACUGAUAGUCCCCGUGAUCCGUAGCCGGAGCGAGAGUUCACACCUUUGUGUAGGUGAAAAAAGAAGAAAAACGUCCCAGUGAGCAGUCCCUGGCUCAGAGUCUCUGUUCAAGUGGUGGCUGUCGCAUAGGGUUCCGCUGGUCUUUGCUUUGGCACAAAUUCCGGUGCUCUAGCCGAGUGUGUCCCGAGGCUGCAGCUUGUGGGGCCUCUCUGCGCUGAAGCAGCUUCUAGAGUUGACAGUGGGAGGUUUAGCUUCUCUAAUGCCUCUGCGGCCUCUUGUAGGUUCCGUGUCAGCACAGGGCCACUUGCGCUCUCUAUGCUCAGGGUCCGGCCGGGUCCCCAGCGGUAUCGGAUCUUUUGCUGCCGUAGGAGAGAGGUGACCUGCCGGAGGGACCUUCUCCAGGACAGUGUGCCACUCGAUAAAUCCGCAUAGAAAGAGAGGGACAUUUCUUCAAAGGUGUAUGUUGGCCUGCCCUUGAUGGCCUCGAGUACUGCCCUUUUGUCUCUUGCUGUUUGAAAGCGGAGGAUUAUAUCACCGGUAGCCGUUGGUGGGGCUGUAAUCGGCUUUGGGAUGCGAAAAAUCUCAUCCAGCAGGAUCGUUCUUGCCACCUUUGGAGUCAGGAGCGCAGUUAGCAGUCGCCUGGUAAGGUGAGGGAGCUCUGCUUCAGGAAUGGAGUCCGCGACCCCCCUUAGCUUCAGGUUAUUUUGGCGUCUCCUAUCUUCUUGGGUGGCCAAUUGUUGUGUAUGGAGUGUCGCUUGUUUUGUCAGGUCGCUUACCGCUGCUUGCAGUUCCGCAAUCUGGCUUGUGUGGUCUCUGGAGGUGUUUUCCACCGUUCCCAGCCGGGUGCACAGGCCUUGCAGGUCUUUCCGGAUUGUUGCCACCUCCGUUGAAAUUUUUUCAUGGUGGGAGGCCAUGAGUGCCGUGAUAGCCUCCAUGGUGACCGGCGUGUGGGUUGAGGCGGGUGGUCGAGAUUUCUCAGGCAGCUGUGGUAAGCCAGUUGGUAUGAGGCUCCCUUCUCCCUCAUCGGAUGUCUCAUCCGAGAAGUCUGUACAUCCUCCAUGCAGGGACUCCAUUGUUGUGCUCGCGGCCUCUUGGGCCUGUCUCCACAUGUCCCCGAUGUUCAUACCCUGACGGGGCUUGUCGGGCUUGGGCUUCUUCGUUUUUCUGCCCAUCGUCGUCGGGUGUGUUAGGGGCACCUUGGGGUCCGUGGGGCCGUGUUGGGCUUCAAUAUCAGCAGAUUUGUAUAAUUUUAGUCGGGAGCUCCUCGUCCAUGCGACUAUCCUUGUCCGUAGCUUAACUCCGCCCUAAUUUACAUUUUUAAUAACAACCUUAUAUUCAUAAAUUUAGAAUAGACACAUUGUAAAAAUAUUACCAUUUACCUUAAAUUUAUAUUGUUACUGCUAAAGGAGUUUAAAGCAUCUCUUGUAAAAUAGGAGAAGGAGGGGUGAACACCGAAAUUUAUUGGUAGCACUUAGCAAAUCAGCAUUAUCCAAUAAUGGCUUAGAAAUAUCAUUUUCAUGUCAGUGUAUGAUUUGAAUUACUGGUGAAUUAUAGGGGAAUCAAUGCAACUCUGUGAACCCUUCCCCAAUGAUUUUGCUGGGUUAAAGCAUUUAGCAUUCACACUUCAUUCAAAAUAAAAAAAUAAAAAAUAAAUCAAUAACUGGAUUAACAUACUUUUCUAAAUCAUAGUUUUAUAAGGUCUUUGUAGCUUAAUGUUCACUAUGCAAUUAUACAGAAACGUUGUCAUUCAUUUAAAGGGGUAAUGCCAUUUCACAGGAUUUUUAAGCCCUUGGUGACUGACCAUUCUCCAAGUUUCUGUCAUUUUGUGAGUCAUUUAUUACAUUUUUGCUAUAUGCUUUUCAUUGGCCAUUUUCUAUUUCUCCCCUCAUUUGCAUUGUGUGCCCUGUCUGUGCCUGGACAGAACUGAAUUGUGAUGGAAUUUGCUAAAUCUUGAGCAUAAGUUUUAAAACUCAUUAUAGAUUAUAAGGCUAUUAACGCUUAGAAAAAUAUAUUUGAUGUUAAUAUAAUAUCACUACAUAAACAGUGAAGUUAAAUGUUUCUGCUUACGUGCUACAGAAAUAGCAAGAUGGUAUGGAAUCAACACUUAAUAAUAAAGCAUAAUUUCUGUUCUAUACACAACUCCCCUCAACUGUAAACUGUAAUGUACUAUAUAAAUAGAAUAUACAUACUCUCUAUAAUUAUAGCACUAACAGUAACCCUGUCUAGCAAUGUAAUAGGCUAAGCUCACAUCUUAGUAUUAUAUAGGUAAAAUACACACUGCAUAAAUUUGUUACCAUACCUCUGCCAUUAACUGUAACUUAACCUAAAUUGAAAAUAGGUCUGUUAACUCGUUAUAAAAUAUAAACACAUAUACAGGUGGACUUCACUUACCGACCAGGUUCCAUUCUUGCAACUCGGUCGUAAAACGAAUUAAUCAGAAAGUAAGGAUGCGCUAAAGAGCCUCGAACAUAGACCAGCUAACUAGAGCAGGAAAUCCCGCGGAUCUAUGUAUGGGGGAAAUGCUCAGAACAUAGAUUAGCUCGCAAGCGCAGGCAAUCUCUGAAAUCUAUGUUCGGGGAAAAUUCUCUGAAAAUAGACCAGCUCUCUAAUGUGGGAAAUCCCUUGAAUCCACGCGCUAGAGAGCUGGUCAUAAGUAGGAGCAGUUGUAAAGCAGGUUAGUCGCAAAGUGAGGACUAUAUGUACUCUCAUAAAUACUGCACCAACUGUUCCUCUGCUGUGUUGCUAAGUACAACUGUUAGUGCUACAUAAAAUAUGCAUAUACAGAAUAACUACUCCAGUUACUGUACUCCCUAACAAAUUGCCAAGUAUACUAGUUAAUGCUAAAUAAAACACACACACUCUAAACACAACUACCGCACGUACUCUAUAUCUCCUUUUCUUUAAUGUAAUCUGUAAAUGUAAGUUCUAAAUAAAUUCUAAAUUGACAAGUGCUCCAAGAAACCCCCCUUUGGACGUAAUACAGCUGAUAUUAGAAAUGAGAGAAAUUUUUGUUUUGAAAAACAAAAAUGGACAUCUUUCACCAAAACUAAACAACCUGCAAUGUACAAAGCUCUGGACAGUGUAUAAUAUCUCAAAAUAUCCAGAACAUUUCAGACAUAGGCCUUGAUUUAAUUGUAUGAAUCAAAAACAAAUUGCUGCUUUCAGAUGAUUUUAGAAAAAAAUAAAUAUUUUACUGCAUUUAAUGAAUGAAAUUUAAGUAGCUGAAUCGGCAUUUUGUAAUGACUUACCUUGUUUAAAGAAGUUUUAAACAAGCCUAUAGGGGUUAAUGUGACCCCCAAAAAAGUACAACAUAGUGUUUUUGUCUUUGGUUUUAAAACUAAUUAGAUCACUGCAGUCCAGCCACCACUAGAUCUGGCAGAGGGCAUAGUCCUACUAAAAUUAUCCAAUUCAAAAAUAUGGUUCUGCAUAAAACAGAGCCAAAAUUACCAGUGUAAAUCCAGCCAUAGCUACAUUCAACAUGAAAAUAAAAAAUUUACAUAAUUACCCCUGCAACAUACUAUUCCAAACAAGGUCCAGUCAUAUGACAAAAGCUAAUGAUAGAAAUAAGAAAACUCCAUCAUAUUCAUGUUAAUUGUAUUUCUUAGUACUCAUUAGGUAUUAUUAGUACCUCAUUGUGUUAAUAAUUCGAAGUCUAUAAAAUACUAGGAUAAUGUUUUUGCUUCUCCUAUUCACCUAGAGGAACUAUUUAAUCUCCCACCCAGACAACUUCCAAAAAAAUCCCCUUCUCUAUAUGUUGGCAUGGGUUUAGAAGAACGUUUAUGUACGAUCUUAUCAUCCUACCAUUGGCAACCCAGCAUUUCAGAAUAAUGACCUAUUGUAAACUGUUUAUUUCCUGUUCUCUAUGGAAUAUUGUUAGUUGCAGCAUUUAAUGAUUCUGACUAGUUUUAAAAACUGGUUUGUGCGUAAUCGGUUGUGUUAAAAAGUCCCCUACCAUUACUUGCACAUAACCUUAGGCAGUAUCAGUCCACCCUCUCUUCGUUAUUUACAAAUGAAGCCCUAUGCAGACCAAAUUAGCAAAUAACUUUGUAUAAAAGAGCUUAAAUGGCUAGAUCUAAUCAUGGACAGAGCCCUCUUAACAUGUUAUAUUGAUAUGUGUAUAUUGUACUGUCUUUUACCCCCAAAGUACAGGAUUUUCAGAAUUUGUUGGCGCUUUAUACAUGCCAGUAAUAAUAAUAAAAACAAUAAUAAUAAUAAAUUUCGGCAAUUUACUUUAAACAGAUCUUUAACAUAUGCUGUUUAUUGAACACAUCGCUGAGUGGAUCUGCUUGUUUGUUCCUUGCUUUCUUACAAGUGUUUGAUUUAUAUCCCUGAUAUUCAAAGAUGUGUUUGUUAACUAUGUUGUAAAAAGCCAUGAGUUUCUGUAACAAAACAUCAGUUUAGAACAGAGAGACUUAAAUUUGCAUGACAUGGACCCAAAUAAUGUAUAUGGCAAUAACUUGGGGACCCAUUUUUCAAAUGUAAAGUUAGCUCAGUCACUCUUUUAUCCCAUCUAGUAUAAUAUAUAGUGCAAUUUAUUCAACAAAGCACUUUUAUUAGACAGGUCUUUAUGUCAUAUGGUUGUCCAUUAACAUAGGGAUGGCAGUGACCCUACAAUAAAUGCUUAAUGCUGACAGGAGCCGAGAUUUGGAUGAAAAUGAUUUCAAUGUUCGGACAAGUGGAGUCCUACUGAAAUAACAUGGGGAUACAAUUUUUAGGUUCCAGCCCUGGGAUAAAGAAUCCAUGGUCUAGAAGGAUCACUAAAUUUGUAGAAAUAAUUAUAUUAUUGUAUGAAAGAAUAAGUCCAUGCUCUAAGACAAGGCUUUUUAAAAGUUUGGUCGCCAGCUGUCAGAAAACUGCAACUCAUAUGAUGGUUUGCCAGCCUGCUGUAAAAUGCCUCAACUUCAGGUGGAGCCCAUCGACCCUGUAAGGUCUAUAACACUGAAUUUUACUGAAAAUCAGUAGUGGUUCAUGAGGUUUUAGGACGGCGAGAGCCAGAUACCACCAUCUCUUUCUGAAAAACACACCUCAACACCUUAAGGUCCAUUGGAUUUAUAUUAAAUAUUAAAACAGCUAUCAAAAAAAGCUUUAUUUAAUUGGUUCAACCAAAUGCCAGUGAUAUGUUAAGCACACUGCAGAGCACUGAAAGGAUUCAAAACAUAUGCUUAAAUAUUACUCAAUAUGCAGGAAAAAUAUCUUAGGUUAAUGAGUUUUAUUAUUACACUAUUCCUGCUCUGAUACAAUAAGUUACUUAAAGGAGCACUAUAAUGUGAAGAACACAAACAUGUAUUCCUGACCCUGUAGUGUCUCCCUAAAUAUAGUAAAAUCUUAAUUGUAUUCAAGUCUCCAGAUGCAAGCUCUGCCCCUGCCUGCCUCUGACAUCAUCAGAAGUGGUGGUCUGAGCCAAUCACAAUGCUUCCCCAUAGGAUUGGCUGAGACUAUCAAGGAGGCAGAUCAGGGGCAGUGCCAUCACAAGUCAAACACAGCUCUGGCAAAUCAGCAUCUCCUCAUAGAGAUACAUUGAAUCAAUGCAUCUCUAUGAGGAAAGUUCAGUGUCUGCAUGCAGAGGGUGAAGACACUGAAUGUUGUGCUGCACACUAGGCAGGACUGCCCAAAGAAGUGCCUCUAGUAACCAUCUGAGGAGUGGCCAGUGGAGUUAUCACUAGGCUGUAAUGUAAAUACUGUGUUUUCUCUGAAAAGACAGUGUUUACUCCCAAAAAAUAAAUACACGUUUUCAGCAAACACACAUGCUACUGAGAUGAGAGACAUAUGUCUAGAAGGCACACAGUGUUGUUAUUGGGUGGCACAUUAUCAGCAGACACACACAGUACAAACAUAGUGAAACAGAGGUUUGCCGUUUUGCCUUUCUCUAUAGCCUAGUGGUUAAGGUCUUUAAUUUUCCACUCUAGCAGUCAGGGAUCAAAUCUUUUAUUGGCAUUUUAUUUUGUUUAUUAUGAUCUUUGCUAAAUCGGAUAAUACCACACAUUGUUUGAGAUGUCACAUGCAGUGAAUAUAUUAUUCUACAUGGACCAACAGAUAAGCAAGUAAACCUAUGUAAUCUUACAUGUUCACUCUGUAGAAAAUCAAUAAAUGAAAUGACUGUAAUUUGUCCAGGUGUCAAUAAGAGUAUUCACUAAAUAUAUUAAGAUAAUAUAAAUUUGGUAAAUGUAUUACACUUGGGGAAAAAAAUCACAAUGCAGGGAUUGAAAUCACAACCUGAUUGAUAUAGAAAGCACAAGUGUAUCUGAUGGGCACAGAAUGAGGAGAAAAUUCCUUGCAGUGAGGGAGUCGAACUCAUAGGCUUUGAAGAACAAGCUCAGGUCCUUAACUGUAGGGUACUUUCUAAAUACCAAUUUUAAGACAAAUUGUAUGAGGUUUUCAAUAUUCUGGGCAUCCAAUUGACCUAAAUUUUGCAUAAGUCCUGCUGAUCUCAACAGUUUAUUGAGACAGCUAUAAUUCAUUAUCAAGUAGUCAUUUUUCUGGGAGAAAAGGGAGGGGAAAUUAUAGCACUGCAGAACUAUAUAGUGUUUACCAUUAUAAAGAAAAUUUUAAAGUUUGCCUUUUCCCAAAGGAAAACAGUGUUAGUGGUUCACUCUUUUACCACUGGUAAUAGAUGUUUUAUUCUAAUAUGACAACAAUUAUCUAGAGGGAUAUGGGCUAAAAGCCCACAUUGAGCUGCAACUGCCUAACAUGAAUUUUUAUAUACCAAUUCAUUAUGAAAUUCUAACUUUAAAUAAUGAAUAAUAGUGACGCUCUGCCUGAUAGAUUAGCAGAUAGAGAAAUGGCUAAAAGGUUUAGUUGAACAUAAAAAAAAGUGGAAGAACAAAAGUUAUGUUUUUAAGGUUAACAAAGAGAACAUAUUCUUUAUUGUAAAACUUUCACUUUAAUGUUGCGGUUUUGUUUACAUGCAACUUCAUGAGCUUUAUGUUAAAAUUUUGUAAACUGUACUUCAAUUUUCAGCUGUAAAAACAUUCAAGCUUUUGGUAGUGAAUGGGACUCAAUGGUAAGACUUGAGCAUGUUACUGUUAUGCUAUGGUUAUUUACAUAAGAAUUAAGCUUUAAAGUAAAAAUGUCUCUUGACAUUGGUGCAGGAGUUGGUAAACAGACUUACCGUCUUCAAUUGGGGGCAUUACAUUAAAUAACUCAUCUUCUUCUUGAGAUUUGGAUGUAGGACAGAAAUCCUUUGCAUCACAGAUUUGUGCAUCCGCAGGAACCACACAUCAACAGCGGAACCUGAAAUAAAAAAUAUAUACAAAUGAUCACAUACAAAAGGUUACUUAAUCUGACAAAGAAUAAUCAGCAACAAGACAUACGUGAAGCAUCCAUGAUGACAAAACCCUAUGGAGUCAAGCAGAAACGUUUUAGAUGUUAGGAAAACUUGGAACCACAUUAUGACUUUUUGUCAGUUUCAGCCUGUUUGUACCUUUCCUCGCCUUGCAAGCUGAGGCCUAACUUGUCCAUAUCUAUAUAGAACACACUGAAUUGAAUUGAACCUUACAUUAAUCCAGCCGGUCCUGACCUUGAAUUCUUCAUGAUUUGCUGAAGUUCAAACUUGCAACUCCCAUAUGUAUUAUAUGGACUUGUCAACCCAUGUGAGAGGUUCUGGAGCACUGGAUUAAAAAUGGAUUUCUACCUCAUUUAUUUCUGAACCAAUUAGAUGGUACUCCUUUUGAAUAAUACCUGUACUGGGUAUGGUGUCAGUAAUACCCAUUUGCAAGUAGUCAAACCACUUUAUACCAGUUUUACUUCUUACCUGAGGUCCGUUGGGCGCAGAUACUCAUCACCUGUCAAGAACCAGGAGAUCCGGAAGCUCCUGCCAGCUCAUUGGCUGAGAGCAAGUGUCAGCUAGGUGCUCUCAUCCAUCGAGCUAAACUCUGUACCACUGAGACAGAGAGCUUCCAGGAUACAGUGAAGUAUUCCAGUUAAGUAGUCAAACUGUUCUAACACAUUAUGACUACUUACAAUAACCAGGGCACUUUUGGUAUCAUAACCACUACUGCAUACUGUAGUGGCUCUGGUGUUUGUAGUGUUCCUUUGAUGAAAAAUGUAUUGGAUAACAGAACACUAAGCAAAUGUAAGUUGCAUCACAGUGGCAAAUGGAUAUAAAUGGAGUACGAGCGAAAACUCAGAUGUAUGCAGGAGAAUACAUUUAGAACAAUAAGGCAAAAGAAUGGUGUGAGUGUAGACCCCGUAAAGACCCUGUGCAAAUUUUAUAUAAAGAAUAAACAAAAAGCUAGAGUUUAAGAGUUUUACAGUAGUACCUACCUCACCAUAUAGCAUGAUACGUUCCAUAUCGCUCUUGUGAUAAAGAGUGUCUCUAAUUCUUAUUUGAGCGGUGAUAUUAAAAGGACACUGCAUGUUGGGCAUAACCCAUUUGAAUGCAUUAUAAAGUUGAUGCACUCAUGUAAGCUGAAAGUUAGUUAAACAAAUUUAAAAUAAAAAAGGAACUCACAUUUGAAGAUCUUGCUUUUACUUGCAGUAUGCUUUCACUAAACCAGAACAUGAUGCUCCAACUGAUUUUAGAUGGAGAUUUCAUUUCUACGGGACAUGUAGUACAGCACUUGGCAGCGGGUACAUUCAUCACAUACAUUUUGUGAAAGGAGCCACCAGAUGUUAAACAGCUAUCACACUGCCGCGCAUGCAUUAGCUCUAAAGGAUCCAGUAAGGGGAGUUGAGUAUUUGCAUACUGUGUGCCUUCUUUGUUUUAAUGUAGUUUUUGACCAGAUUGGGUUAAGAAUAUGGUCUGUUAUUGACUGCUUUAAUGGGAUGCUUUAAGUGUUCAAUAUCACAUGGAUAUUAUUACAUGUGCCUACCACUUCUUGAAAUGUGUACAUCAAUUAGACGAUAUAAUCGUAUUAUUUGCAAAUGGUUAUCUGGUUUGCAUUCUGUUGGGUCCACAUUGUGUUAAAGAAAUUUUCUUCAGUGCAUCAUUCAAUAAUAGUAUAAACGGGUCAUCCCAGCCUUUGCUAAUCUGUUGAAAGUAUUGGAUCUCUGAUAUAUUAGGGAUUGUUAAUUUACCUAAAAUGGUAUUGAUUUUAAAUUAAGUGGUUAGCAUGCAACCAUUUUCAUUUGAGAAAAUGGAUGUUUAAGAUACAUAAAAAGAGCCAACAUAUCGUAACUGCAACGUUAAAGAGAUAGUUCCCCAAUUUUUAUUUCCAUGUUCUACUGAACCAUACAAUAUUAUUCUUUUUUGUUCAUUUAUUGAGCUAUUUUUAAUUGAAAUAUAUAAUAAUUUCAAGAUAUUAGCAAAAAGGUAAAGAAAAUGAGAGGGGUAUAGCAUCAAAUAUAAAUCACAAUAUUAAAUAUUUUGCCUUGCCCUGCUAUGCCCAAGUAUGGUUAAUAUUUGAAUAUUGUGAGCCAGAGAAGGUCUAUUUUAUGACUAAGCAGAACCAUGUAUUUUAAAGUGAACUCAGUAGCUAAAAAAUAUACAUGAAGAAGGAAAUAAGUGGAGAAUUGGAAUAAAAAUAGGAAGUGCUAGAAUAAAGGGGAAAUAAUUACUGAAAGGGGACAUAAUUUGAGCAUACAUUGUUCCUAGAAAAUGGUGUAUUAGGGAUGAAUGUAGCUUUAUAAUAAAGGAGGCAAGAGUACUGCCCUCCUCAAAAGGGGAUUCAUUUAGCAAACGUUACAAAGAUUCUAUAAAGAAUUAUGUUUGAAUGCCUUAUGUCAAAGGUGGUGGACACAAAACCGCAGUAACAACAGAUGCCCAGUAAGGCAGAAAUGGAGUGGAAAAGAGAGGUGCAGGGAACAGGAAGGAAAAAGAAGAACAGUCAAAUGAAACUAAAAAUAAAAAGUAUGGGUGAACCCCAGGGUAAUAUUUGCCUUAAGGAAGUGAGGCCGAUGGAUGAAGUCUAUUCUAGGUCUACUGAGAGUAUUCAACUGCCAUUUCUCAAAAAGGGAGCCAACUAGCACCUAGGAAAAAAAAAUGUCCGAAUCUCCAGGGCUGACUUUGAGAGUAAAUAUAGGGCUCUCUAGGCUCCUGUAAAAGCCAGUUUGAAUGAAACUUACUCGGCAGAAUCUUCAAGCAUACUCUUGCUGAUUCAGUGGUGCAGAUGGCCAUCUUAAAGAUUGAUUGAACUUGUAGUGGAUUUAUUUGCUUUUGAGAUAUGUCAUUAAUACAUUUUUGAGCAGAAUAUGUUUCUUAACCUGUAUUUUUUCUUUAAUAAAUAAUAUGUAUGAAUAUAAAUGUUUUUUCCAGUUUAAAUUUUUUUAACGUUAUGGAUCAAGGGAAGCAGUAUAAGGUGAAACAUUUGCAGGUGUUUAGAUAUUGUGCAACUUUGUAUUCCUGACUUUAAAGUGUUAAACUAACUAUUUAGCCACCCUGCUAACCCUUAAAUCUAGUAAAACUCAAUUUGUUUCCACCACUGUGCUGGCUCUGCCCACGAUCCGCCUCCUUGGAUGACAUCAUCAGGAUUCAUGAUCUCAGCCAAGCAAAAUGCUUUCCUAUAGGAAAUGAGAAGGCAAUUCGGAUUAUCUCGGCCAAGGAGGUGGGCCAGGGUGGAGCCAAAUACCACCCUGGCCAAUCAGCAUCUCCUCAUGGAGAUGCACUGAAUCAAUGCAUCUCUAUGAGGAAAGUGCAGCAUCUCCAUGCACAGCGUGAAGACGCUGAACUUCAGUGCUUCACACUGUGCAGCUCUGAACCAGGAAGCACCUCUAGUGGCGGUCUGAGGAGUGGCCACUGGAGGUGUUCCUAGGCAGUGUUUACAUAAAAAAAGCCUUCAGGAACUUACUAUACUCACCAGUACAACUACAUUAAACUAUAGUUCUUGUAGGCUAUAGUGUCCCUUUCAGGGUACCACAACUACCAAACUGCCAAGCAUUACACAAUACCCACAUACAGAUUAGAUCCAUUACUUUUAAUGAAUUAAUUUAAUGAAAAAAGAUAUAUAGAAUUGUUCUAAUACAAUAAAAUAUUUCUAAUAAAGGCUGAGUUGGAAAUUGUCUCUAAUUUAUUUGCCUUCUAUUGGAUCAAAAGCAGCAAAAGUGAUGCAUAAAAGCUUGAUUCUCAGCCUAGAUUACAAGGUACCUAAGAGCGACUGCUGCGUGUCAGAUGUCUUUCUCCUUUAAUGUUGAAGCAGAUAUGUUCCGAGAGGAAGUAAAAUUAGAAUAUAUCAAACUAUGAUAGAUUAAAACGUUAUUUUUAAAUUUAGUGUUGUAUUAAUUUUGUUGCUUUUCCUGUACUCAACCAGAUUCUGUACAAGUCAUAUGUUUCCGUCCAGAAAGGACAUUGUGUUUUUAUGGAGCUAAAUUCUUAUGCUUGGGCACAGAUGGAGAAAAUAAACCAGUAUAUUAAAAAUAUGUAUAUGGAGAUGUAAAACAUGCUUUAUUUUGACAUGAUCUGCUGCUUGCUAGUUUGGGAAAUUUUAGCACCUGGAAACCUUAAGCAAAUAAACCAAUAUUCUGUCAUCUGUAUUUGAAAGGGUGUUAAUGGAAUUGGAGAACCAUGGUAAUUUCCAUGUUAUUUAUUAAAUCCUAAUUCUUAACUUUUUUUUUUUUUUUUUUACUUCUGUUUGUUAAUCGUGCUUAUUUUUCUAUCUGGUUAUGUAAUUUACGAAAGGCAUGUAAUCAGUCAAAAGCUGAUCUAAUUAUAGUGUUCAUGUGAGAUCAAGAUGAGUGUAUUUUCUCUUNNNNNNNNNNNNNNNNNNNNNNNNNNNNNNNNNNNNNNNNNNNNNNNNNNNNNNNNNNNNNNNNNNNNNNNNNNNNNNNNNNNNNNNNNNNNNNNNNNNNCUCAAAUUAUGUCCCCUUUCAGUAACUAUUUCCCCUUUAUUCUAGCACUUCCUAUUUUUAUUCCAAUUCUCCACUUAUUUCCUUCUUCAUGUAUAUUUUUUAGCUACUGAGUUCACUUUAAAAUACAUGGUUCUGCUUAGUCAUAAAAUAGACCUUCUCUGGCUCACAAUAUUCAAAUAUUAACCAUACUUGGGCAUAGCAGUGCAAGGCAAAAUAUUUAAUAUUGUGAUUUAUAUUUGAUGCUAUACCCCUCUCAUUUUCUUUACCUUUUUGCUAAUAUCUUGAAAUUAUUAUAUAUUUCAAUUAAAAAUAGCUCAAUAAAUGAACAAAAAAGAAUAAUAUUGUAUGGUUCAGUAGAACAUGGAAAUACAAAUUGGGGAACUAUCUCUUUAACGUUGCAGUUACAAUAUGUUGGCUCUUUUUAUGUAUCUUAAACAUCCAUUUUCUCAAAUGAAAAUGGUUGCAUGCUAACCACUUAAUUUAAAAUCAAUACCAUUUUAGGUAAAUUAACAAUCCCUAAUAUAUCAGAGAUCCAAUACUUUCAACAGAUUAGCAAAGGCUGGGAUGACCCGUUUAUACUAUUAUUGAAUGAUGCACUGAAGAAAAUUUCUUUAACACAAUGUGGACCCAACAGAAUGCAAACCAGAUAACCAUUUGCAAAUAAUACGAUUAUAUCGUCUAAUUGAUGUACACAUUUCAAGAAGUGGUAGGCACAUGUAAUAAUAUCCAUGUGAUAUUGAACACUUAAAGCAUCCCAUUAAAGCAGUCAAUAACAGACCAUAUUCUUAACCCAAUCUGGUCAAAAACUACAUUAAAACAAAGAAGGCACACAGUAUGCAAAUACUCAACUCCCCUUACUGGAUCCUUUAGAGCUAAUGCAUGCGCGGCAGUGUGAUAGCUGUUUAACAUCUGGUGGCUCCUUUCACAAAAUGUAUGUGAUGAAUGUACCCGCUGCCAAGUGCUGUACUACAUGUCCCGUAGAAAUGAAAUCUCCAUCUAAAAUCAGUUGGAGCAUCAUGUUCUGGUUUAGUGAAAGCAUACUGCAAGUAAAAGCAAGAUCUUCAAAUGUGAGUUCCUUUUUUAUUUUAAAUUUGUUUAACUAACUUUCAGCUUACAUGAGUGCAUCAACUUUAUAAUGCAUUCAAAUGGGUUAUGCCCAACAUGCAGUGUCCUUUUAAUAUCACCGCUCAAAUAAGAAUUAGAGACACUCUUUAUCACAAGAGCGAUAUGGAACGUAUCAUGCUAUAUGGUGAGGUAGGUACUACUGUAAAACUCUUAAACUCUAGCUUUUUGUUUAUUCUUUAUAUAAAAUUUGCACAGGAUCUUUACGGGGUCUACACUCACACCAUUCUUUUGCCUUAUUGUUCUAAAUGUAUUCUCCUGCAUACAUCUGAGUUUUCGCUCGUACUCCAUUUAUAUCCAUUUGCCACUGUGAUGCAACUUACAUUUGCUUAGUGUUCUGUUAUCCAAUACAUUUUUCAUCAAAGGAACACUACAAACACCAGAGCCACUACAGUAUGCAGUAGUGCCUAUGAUACCAAAAGUGCCCUGGUUAUUGUAAGUAGUCAUAAUGUGUUAGAACAGUUUGACUACUUAACUGGAAUACUUCACUGUAUCCUGGAAGCUCUCUGUCUCAGUGGUACAGAGUUUAGCUCGAUGGAUGAGAGCACCUAGCUGACACUUGCUCUCAGCCAAUGAGCUGGCAGGAGCUUCCGGAUCUCUUGGUUCUUGACAGGUGAUGACUUCGAAGUUAGAAAAAAAUUAGGAACAGGGGUAAAGAAUCGGGUUGCUGGUAAGGUAUGGGGGAUAACCCCUAGUAACUAAUACAAAGCUGAAAAAGAGAAACAGAUGUAGAGACACCUAAGGGUUAAAUCGAUCAGUCCCAGAGGUUCACUACAUUAGUAAAGCAACCCAAAAGAAAAUAUAAAAUUUAACUUUUAAUGGAAUCCCUGGUAAAAUAGCAAAAAAAUAAAGUAAAGAAAUCCCUGCUAGUAGACAGCUAAAUAAACAAAGAAAAGGAGAGAGCUCAGAGGAUAAAUAAUAGCACAGAGAGAAAGAGGAAUCCUAAAGGAUCAAAAUGAAUCCAAAUGUAUCUAUAAGAGAAGGUGAUACAAAUCUCUGUCUCUCUGUAAGCAGGCUAAUCCUGUGGGUAACAGCCCUCAAUAGUCUGAAUGGUUACAUAGCUAUCUAUAUGUAACACAAGUAGUCUCUAAUAGAGGUUCGCCAAAUAAAUGUAGUAGUCUAAAAGCUAAAAAUCUGGAGAGGGUAGUCAAACAGGAGCAUCAUACACGAAUAAUUCAAAUAGCUAUAACAUAGUCCCUAAUCUAGCUCCAACCACCCGCUCACUGUACUAAUCCCUGACGCGCGUUUCGCCACACUGGCUCUUCUGAGGGAAUAGCUAUAGCUAUUUGAAUUAUUCGUGUAUGAUGCUCCUGUUUGACUACCCUCUCCAGAUUUUUAGCUUUUAGACUACUACAUUUAUUUGGCGAACCUCUAUUAGAGACUACUUGUGUUACAUAUAGAUAGCUAUGUAACCAUUCAGACUAUUGAGGGCUGUUACCCACAGGAUUAGCCUGCUUACAGAGAGACAGAGAUUUGUAUCACCUUCUCUUAUAGAUACAUUUGGAUUCAUUUUGAUCCUUUAGGAUUCCUCUUUCUCUCUGUGCUAUUAUUUAUCCUCUGAGCUCUCUCCUUUUCUUUGUUUAUUUAGCUGUCUACUAGCAGGGAUUUCUUUACUUUAUAUAUUUUUUGCUAUUUUACCAGGGAUUCCAUUAAAAGUUAAAUUUUAUAUUUUCUUUUGGGUUGCUUUACUAAUGUAGUGAACCUCUGGGACUGAUCGAUUUAACCCUUAGGUGUCUCUACAUCUGUUUCUCUUUUUCAGCUUUGUAUUAGUUACUAGGGGUUAUCCCCCAUACCUUACCAGCAACCCGAUUCUUUACCCCUGUUCCUAAUUUUUUUCUAACUUCGAAGUCAUCACCUGUCAAGAACCAAGAGAUCCGGAAGCUCCUGCCAGCUCAUUGGCUGAGAGCAAGUGUCAGCUAGGUGCUCUCAUCCAUCGAGCUAAACUCUGUACCACUGAGACAGAGAGCUUCCAGGAUACAGUGAAGUAUUCCAGUUAAGUAGUCAAACUGUUCUAACACAUUAUGACUACUUACAAUAACCAGGGCACUUUUGGUAUCAUAGGCACUACUGCAUACUGUAGUGGCUCUGGUGUUUGUAGUGUUCCUUUGAUGAAAAAUGUAUUGGAUAACAGAACACUAAGCAAAUGUAAGUUGCAUCACAGUGGCAAAUGGAUAUAAAUGGAGUACGAGCGAAAACUCAGAUGUAUGCAGGAGAAUACAUUUAGAACAAUAAGGCAAAAGAAUGGUGUGAGUGUAGACCCCGUAAAGAUCCUGUGCAAAUUUUAUAUAAAGAAUAAACAAAAAGCUAGAGUUUAAGAGUUUUACAGUAGUACCUACCUCACCAUAUAGCAUGAUACGUUCCAUAUCGCUCUUGUGAUAAAGAGUGUCUCUAAUUCUUAUUUGAGCGGUGAUAUUAAAAGGACACUGCAUGUUGGGCAUAACCCAUUUGAAUGCAUUAUAAAGUUGAUGCACUCAUGUAAGCUGAAAGUUAGUUAAACAAAUUUAAAAUAAAAAAGGAACUCACAUUUGAAGAUCUUGCUUUUACUUGCAGUAUGCUUUCACUAAACCAGAACAUGAUGCUCCAACUGAUUUUAGAUGGAGAUUUCAUUUCUACGGGACAUGUAGUACAGCACUUGGCAGCGGGUACAUUCAUCACAUACAUUUUGUGAAAGGAGCCACCAGAUGUUAAACAGCUAUCACACUGCCGCGCAUGCAUUAGCUCUAAAGGAUCCAGUAAGGGGAGUUGAGUAUUUGCAUACUGUGUGCCUUCUUUGUUUUAAUGUAGUUUUUGACCAGAUUGGGUUAAGAAUAUGGUCUGUUAUUGACUGCUUUAAUGGGAUGCUUUAAGUGUUCAAUAUCACAUGGAUAUUAUUACAUGUGCCUACCACUUCUUGAAAUGUGUACAUCAAUUAGACGAUAUAAUCGUAUUAUUUGCAAAUGGUUAUCUGGUUUGCAUUCUGUUGGGUCCACAUUGUGUUAAAGAAAUUUUCUUCAGUGCAUCAUUCAAUAAUAGUAUAAACGGGUCAUCCCAGCCUUUGCUAAUCUGUUGAAAGUAUUGGAUCUCUGAUAUAUUAGGGAUUGUUAAUUUACCUAAAAUGGUAUUGAUUUUAAAUUAAGUGGUUAGCAUGCAACCAUUUUCAUUUGAGAAAAUGGAUGUUUAAGAUACAUAAAAAGAGCCAACAUAUUGUAACUGCAACGUUAAAGAGAUAGUUCCCCAAUUUGUAUUUCCAUGUUCUACUGAACCAUACAAUAUUAUUCUUUUUUGUUCAUUUAUUGAGCUAUUUUUAAUUGAAAUAUAUAAUAAUUUCAAGAUAUUAGCAAAAAGGUAAAGAAAAUGAGAGGGGUAUAGCAUCAAAUAUAAAUCACAAUAUUAAAUAUUUUGCCUUGCACUGCUAUGCCCAAGUAUGGUUAAUAUUUGAAUAUUGUGAGCCAGAGAAGGUCUAUUUUAUGACUAAGCAGAACCAUGUAUUUUAAAGUGAACUCAGUAGCUAAAAAAUAUACAUGAAGAAGGAAAUAAGUGGAGAAUUGGAAUAAAAAUAGGAAGUGCUAGAAUAAAGGGGAAAUAGUUACUGAAAGGGGACAUAAUUUGAGCAUACAUUGUUCCUAGAAAAUGGUGUAUUAGGGAUGAAUGUAGCUUUAUAAUAAAGGAGGCAAGAGUACUGCCCUCCUCAAAAGGGGAUUCAUUUAGCAAACGUUACAAAGAUUCUAUAAAGAAUUAUGUUUGAAUGCCUUAUGUCAAAGGUGGUGGACACAAAACCGCAGUAACAACAGAUGCCCAGUAAGGCAGAAAUGGAGUGGAAAAGAGAGGUGCAGGGAACAGGAAGGAAAAAGAAGAACAGUCAAAUGAAACUAAAAAUAAAAAGUAUGGGUGAACCCCAGGGUAAUAUUUGCCUUAAGGAAGUGAGGCCGAUGGAUGAAGUCUAUUCUAGGUCUACUGAGAGUAUUCAACUGCCAUUUCUCAAAAAGGGAGCCAACUAGCACCUAGGAAAAAAAAAUGUCCGAAUCUCCAGGGCUGACUUUGAGAGUAAAUAUAGGGUUCUCUAGGCUCCUGUAAAAGCCAGUCUGAAUGAAACUUACUCGGCAGAAUCUUCAAGCAUACUCUUGCUGAUUCAGUGGUGCAGAUGGCCAUCUUAAAGAUUGAUUGAACUUGUAGUGGAUUUAUUUGCUUUUGAGAUAUGUCAUUAAUACAUUUUUGAGCAGAAUAUGUUUCUUAACCUGUAUUUUUUCUUUAAUAAAUAAUAUGUAUGAAUAUAAAUGUUUUUUCCAGUUUAAAUUUUUUUAACGUUAUGGAUCAAGGGAAGCAGUAUAAGGUGAAACAUUUGCAGGUGUUUAGAUAUUGUGCAACUUUGUAUUCCUGACUUUAAAGUGUUAAACUAACUAUUUAGCCACCCUGCUAACCCUUAAAUCUAGUAAAACUCAAUUUGUUUCCACCACUGUGCUGGCUCUGCCCACGAUCCGCCUCCUUGGAUGACAUCAUCAGGAUUCAUGAUCUCAGCCAAGCAAAAUGCUUUCCUAUAGGAAAUGAGAAGGCAAUUCGGAUUAUCUCGGCCAAGGAGGUGGGCCAGGGUGGAGCCAAAUACCACCCUGGCCAAUCAGCAUCUCCUCAUGGAGAUGCACUGAAUCAAUGCAUCUCUAUGAGGAAAGUGCAGCAUCUCCAUGCACAGCGUGAAGACGCUGAACUUCAGUGCUUCACACUGUGCAGCUCUGAACCAGGAAGCACCUCUAGUGGCCGUCUGAGGAGUGGCCACUGGAGGUGUUCCUAGGCAGUGUUUACAUAAAAAAAGCCUUCAGGAACUUACUAUACUCACCAGUACAACUACAUUAAACUAUAGUUCUUGUAGGCUAUAGUGUCCCUUUCAGGGUACCACAACUACCAAACUGCCAAGCAUUACACAAUACCCACAUACAGAUUAGAUCCAUUACUUUUAAUGAAUUAAUUUAAUGAAAAAAGAUAUAUAGAAUUGUUCUAAUACAAUAAAAUAUUUCUAAUAAAGGCUGAGUUGGAAAUUGUCUCUAAUUUAUUUGCCGUCUAUUCGAUCAAAAGUAGCAAAAGUGAUGCAUAAAAGCUUGAUUCUCAGCCUAGAUUACAAGGUACCUAAGAGCGACUGCUGCGUGUCAGAUGUCUUUCUCCUUUAAUGUUGAAGCAGAUAUGUUCCGAGAGGAAGUAAAAUUAGAAUAUAUCAAACUAUGAUAGAUUAAAACGUUAUUUUUAAAUUUAGUGUUGUAUUAAUUUUGUUGCUUUUCCUGUACUCAACCAGAUUCUGUACAAGUCAUAUGUUUCCGUCCAGAAAGGACAUUGUGUUUUUAUGGAGCUAAAUUCUUAUGCUUGGGCACAGAUGGAGAAAAUAAACCAGUAUAUUAAAAAUAUGUAUAUGGAGAUGUAAAACAUGCUUUAUUUUGACAUGAUCUGCUGCUUGCUAGUUUGGGAAAUUUUAGCACCUGGAAACCUUAAGCAAAUAAACCAAUAUUCUGUCAUCUGUAUUUGAAAGGGUGUUAAUGGAAUUGGAGAACCAUGGUAAUUUCCAUGUUAUUUAUUAAAUCCUAAUUCUUAACUUUUUUUUUUUUUUUUUUACUUCUGUUUGUUAAUCGUGCUUAUUUUUCUAUCUGGUUAUGUAAUUUACGAAAGGCAUGUAAUCAGUCAAAAGCUGAUCUAAUUAUAGUGUUCAUGUGAGAUCAAGAUGAGUGUAUUUUCUCUUACAAUAGAAACUAUGAAAAAAUAUACAUUCAUAUCAUGCAGCAGUGUAUUUUAACAGGUUUAUAAACCACUCCCCCCUAUUAAAAGAUUUACUGAGACGUAUAUAUAUAUAUACACGGGACUUGCUGGAAUCAACAAGGGUUUCCAAGAGGUAGCUCUGUGCCUCUUAGGGGGAUCAUCAUCCUUUAUAGGAUAUGUACUGAUCAGCCACAACAUUACAACCACAGACAAGUGAAGUGAAUAACAUUGAUUAUAUCAUUACAAUGUCACCUGUCAAGGUGGAUAUAUUAGGCAGCAUGUGAAUAGUCAGUUUCAUUGUUAGAAGCAAAAUAAAAGCAAAAAAAAAAAAAAGCAAAAUGAUCUUAAUGACUUUGACAUGGGCCAAAUAGUGAUGGCUAGACAACUGGGUCAGAGAAUCUCCAAAACGGCAAGACUUGUGAGCUGUUCCCAGUAUGCAGUGUUUAAUACCUACCAAACGUGGUGCUAGGAAGGACAACCGAUAAACCGGCGUCAGGGUCAUGGGCACGCAAGGCUCAUUGAUAAACGUGCGAAGCAAAGUUUAGCCUGUCUGGUACAAUCACAGAGAAAACGUAAUGUUGGCCAUGAUAGAAAGGUGGCAGAACACAAAGUGCAUCGCAGUUUAGUCAAAGUGCCCAUGGAGACUCUGUCCACAGCCAAAAGCUCCUUCAAUAAGAACAUGAGAGUCACACCUGGCCCAUGGAACAAUGGUUGCUGGGUCUGAUGGAUUACGCUUUCUUUUAGAUCAGGUGGAUGACCAGGUGCCUGUGCGCUGUUUACCUGGGGAAGAGAUGGAUGCAGGAUGCAUUAUGGGAAAAAGCUGGCGGGGGCAGUGCUAUGCUCGGGGCAAUGUUCUGCUAGGAAAUCUUGGGUCCUGUCAUUUAUGUACAUGUUACUUUGACAAGUACCACCUCCCUAGAGAUUGUUGCAGAAUACAUACACCCCUUCAUGGUAAUGUUGUUUUCUGACGGCAGUGGUCUCUUUCAGCAUGAUAAUGCGCUCUAAAAAAAACUGCAAUAACUGUUUGAGGAACAUGACAAAGAGUUCAAGGUGUUACCUUGACCUCCAAAUUACCCAGAUCUCAAUCAAAUUGAAGUUGCCAUACACAAAAGGAUCUGAUGCUAAUGUCUUGGUGCCAGAUAACCACAGGACACAUGCAGAAGUCUUGUGGAGUCCAUGCCUCGAUGCUGUUUUGGCAGCCUAGAGGGACCUACAGGAUACUAGGCAGGUGAUUUUAAUGUUGUGGUUUAUUAGUGCAAAGUCCUAAAAAAUACAGUAGUGCUCUAUGUAUGGUGGAAAACUGCAUUUAUUUUGAGAUUUCCUGUUUCAUUUUAGCACCCAUGACUCCAUUCUGUAGGAAGUAAGUUAAAAAUGCUGGAUCUGAGAUAAGUGUAACUGCAGACUUCAAUAGGAGUUAGAUCACAUUCCACAUUGCGCGGCCAAAACAUUAUUUCUGUAUCUGAUUUCUAUUAAAAUCAGCAGUUACACCCACCUGGAGUGCUUGGAUCCAACUUUUCUACCUGGUUGUCAUUGCAGAGGUCUGCUACCUUGAAUCCAGUGAUGCACCAUGGUGUAGAAAAGGUGACUGAAAUGGACUGAGUGCAGUCCAAUCACAUUCUAUCAUCGGCACAUCCCAUUCCAUCAGGAUAUCCUACCAUAUCAUACCAAACCAUAUAAUUUAUUAUUAUAUAUAAAUGUGACUUGGGCAGAAUGAUAUACAUAUAUGCUUUUUCAAUUACCUUAAAGGACCACUCUAGGCACCCAGACCACUUCAGCUUAAUGAAGUGGUCUGGGUUCCUGGUCCAGCUAGGGUUAACCCAUUUUUUUUAUAAACAUAGCAGUUUCAGAGAAACUGCUAUGUUUAUAAAUAGGUCAAUCCAGCCUCUAAAGCCUCUAGUGGCUGUCUCAUUGACAGCCGCUAGAGGCAUUUGCGUGCUUCUCACUGUGAAAAUCACAGUGAGAAAACGCAAGCAUCCAUAUAAAUGCUUUCCUAUGAGACAGGCUGAAUGCGCGCGCAGCUCCUGCCGCGCAUGCACAUUCAGCGGAAGAGGAGGUGGAGAGCUCCCCGCCCGGCGCUGGAGAAAGGAGAGCCCGGCGCUGGAGAAAGGAGAGCUCCCAGAAGCCCGGCGGGAGGGGGACCCUGAGGGUGGGGGCACCCUCAGGGCACUAUAGUGCCAGGAAAACAAGUAUGUUUUCCUGGCACUAUAGUGGUCCUUUAAUAUAACUAAUUAAACUGGCGCUGGAGCAUUCUCUGCUUUUUUUCAGGCUAAUGAGAAGAACAUACCAGAAUCUGCCUUUUCUUUCAUUAUUACUAUUAUUUAUAAAGCGCCAACAAAUUCCGUAGCUCUGUACAAUAGGUGGGCCAACAGAAAAGUAUUUGCAACAAGACAAGUUGGACACACAAGAACAGAGGGUGUUGAGGGCCCUGCUCAAAUUUGCUUACAUUCAUCUUUAGAAGUCAGGAAAAAAAAAAAAAACUGUUUUUAAACCUUUGGUAUCUGAAAGAAUUGUCAUUUCUUUGUGUUCAUGCAACAGUGUACACAUUGCAUGAAGUAAACAAGUUUAUUGUUGUGGCCCGUGCUCCAGGGAGCCGACAGCUGUGCCUCUUUUGCUCCCAGAAGACAUUUUCUACCAAGAAAAGAUCACUGAAGGAAACAAAAUAAACAAGCUUCAAAAACUUCGAAAACUGUGUAUUACAUUAGACAACACCUGUUUACCAGAGCUAGUUGUUUGUAAGCAUAUUCCCAAAACACUUGUAAGUCUACAAAGUUACUAAGAGCAGCUUCAAGGGCUUAAACACAUGAUUUUCCAUGUGGGUGAUUUUAGGACAAAGACAAAAGGAGAGCACUGACUAUAACUCUCAGCCGACGAGACUUAGCCACCACAAUAUUGUUGCUACAAAACUUACCCAACUACACCUAAAACUCAGCAAGAACGCACCACUUCUAUUACCGUCAGUCAAUUCUGUUAAUUGAAUUAUGUAUAUAAAACUCAGCCACAGCACAGUAUUGCAGGUAACACACAGGAACCACAAAGAUCAAUCCACAGUACAUGGAGCAGUGCGCAUGCACUAAUUGUAAAUCUUUAGAGCAGGGCAUUCUUGGCCUCUUUUUGUCUCUGCUAUUUUUUGUAUGUCAAUAACGUGUCAAAUAUCCCAAUUCUAUAAUUGUUAAGCGUUACAGAAUAUGUUGGUGCUGUAUAAAAUAUAAUAAUAACAAUAUCCACAUUCUCCCAGUAACUAUUGUGUCAUUAACCCUUCCCUCCUGCAUGAAAGUGCUGUGCGAAGGAUUAAGAAAAAGCAGGUUAUACUUCGCUGCCGUACACACAUUUUAAAGGACAAUAGGAAGCUUUUUGAUGUCUUAAUGGACCAGAUGCCAUUUUAUGGCAUUCUAAAUACUUUUAUGAGGCCCACAGCCAGUCAUCCUGGAAUAGAGAGGUAUCUCCAAGUCCUGAACAUACAUCUCUAUGUCCUGGAUUGUUGGUGGCCCGAGUCCGGAUCACAAUUAAGAUUGCACUCUUACUUGCCGUGGCUGAGGAGAUGGCAGAUUAAAAAUGCAGUGUUAGGCCCUGGGGAGAUAGCGUAGCUAAGUGGACAAGGGCACAUGUAGGAGUGUGGGGAUAGAUGGAUGGGAUUGGUUGGGAAAGAAUGUGUGGGUGGGAUUAUGUUCUAUGUGAGUUAGUGGGGGGAGGUCUUACCUCAGUGCCACUUGGGAUCAGGGCCAGCAAACAGCUUCCCUCCCGCCCGCCCUAUUAGUAUAUUUAGUCACAGCUAGCUGGGGUAUGUCCUUGCCAAUUGAGUUUAAGGGGUUACGUUUAAGUAUAUGGAAUGAGAUGAACAAGUUUUUAAGGUCUCAACCUCCCCUGCUUCAAACGGUUAACAUUAGGUUGCCUGAGGUGUCGUGCCCAUCGAGUGUGGAAACGUCGGCUGAUGGUGGGCAUUGGAAAGAUAUGAUUUUUAUGACGAGGGGGGAGGUGAGAGGAAGUGGUGAUUAGGAACCACUGUAUGUUUAUUGGCAAGGACGGUUGGGUCACUGUAUAACACUAUGUGUGGAAUUAUGUAUAUAUGUUAAUUUAUACUUAUUUAUGUCUCACAUUUUUGGUUACAGAAAAAGAAGAGAUUUCAUAAAUAAAGUUAUUGAUGUGUUAUGCAGUAAUUUAGUUUGUGAUAAUAAAUGCUGUGGCCUGUUUCAUCCAUACUAAGUGGUCUGUCGUUAUUGGGGGGUUGAAUGGGGUUAGUUUUGUUCUAGGCUGCAUCAUGAUUCCCCACUACGUACAUACAUGUCUGUACUCUAUGCUCCCACCAGCGUCAUUAGUUAAGAUCUAACAUUCGACAGUCACAAGCAGUAAGCAGCCUACAUCAAGAGCUCAGCCACUCUAAAGAUGCUGGAAUGGAAGGGGCGAAUAUUACAUGUAUGUGUACCUAUGUGUAUAUGUGUCUGAGUGCAAGUACGUGUGUAUGUGUAUGUACGUGUGUAUGGGAGGACAAAUUUAUGUGUAUGCACAUGCAUCUGGUAGUAUGGAUUUUUGGACCCAUAGUAGAAGAUGGUUUGGACUGUGACCCGUAGGUAAAUUGACUUUUUAGACCCCGGCUCUAAGGGAUAGCAGUCCUUUGGAUUUUCUGUUAUCUGAAUAAAAAUGUAGAAGCGGUGCCUAGUGUGCUCAAAGUUGAUUAGAUGAUGUGAAUGCACAAGCAACCUGUAUUGAUCACAGUGAUAAAACAAAGCACAAAAUAAGCUAUAUUAGAAAGGUAGCGGAGUAAAUAUAAGAGAACACUGUCUCUUGUGUUUACAAAUAUACUAGUAAUAAAUGGAUUCAAUUUGUGUCUGCUAUUGCAUAUUGAGAAAUAUUUUACCUGAAUAUCUUUGUUUAGGACAGUGAUGGCGAACCUUUUUGAGCCCGAGUGCACAAACCACAAUACAUACCAACUUUUUUCACCUCAAAGUGCAAACACAGCAAUUAAACCUGAAUACUGAGGUUUAAGUAUAGAAAAAAUAACUCAUACAGUUGUUCGAACUAAUUCUCCUCUUCUCUCCCCCCCAGCAUCUUCCCUUCUCUAGCCACAGUAUAUCCCCCUGUCCCCCCAGCAUCUCCUCCUCCUCCUCUCCCCAAAUUGUCCUUCUCCUCUCCCCCAGAUUCUCCUCUUCCUUUCCCCUUCUCCCCCUCUUUCUCUCCCAUUCUCCCCCCAGAUUCCCCGCCUCCUCUCCCUCAGAUUCUCAUCUUCCUCUCCCCAUAUUCUCUUCCUUUCCCCUUCUCCCCCAGCAUCUCCUCCUCUCCCCUUCUCCCCCCAGCAUCUCCCCCUCCUUCUCUCCUAUUCUUCCCCAGAAUCUCCUCCUAUUCUCCUCCUAGAUUCUCCUCUCAGACUGGUUUAGGAGCUGUAAGGUGCAAGCAAGGCCAAUAUUUCUCCAGUUAUAAAAUUCUAAAACUAAUAUAUAAUUUUUUUCAAGUUCAUUAGGAAGUCGGUGUUAAAUUACUUUUUGCUAAAGCAUUAUCGGAUACUAAUUUUUAAAAUAUUUUCUUUGACAAUUAUUUUGCAUAUUUUUACUGAGGGUUGUUUUCCGAUGAGGAGUUGCAGUGCAGAAAUAGUUAAACUCAGACUCUCUUGAGAAAGUCCAAAGAUUGUUUGAUCUGGCUGUGAUAACCAAACUUAUAGCAACAGAUGGACUGUAUUAGGGAUGGAAUGGUAAACAAGCUUGGAGAAUUAACUAUACAGUGCGUUAAUACACAAAUACAUAGCCAAUUACUUACAGUUCUAAGAUAUCAAACAUUAAACCACGGCAAUUCAGUAUCACAAUUUGCUUGGUGAGUGUGUGAUGUUUGGAGGACAACUGGGUAAGAAUAAAUACGUAUGAUGAGACAUCAGUAUACAUAGCAGGGCAAUCUUAACCUUAAAAUAUAGAAAGUUCACAUCUUCUCUACUUCACACUCUUAUUCCUACUAAGAAGUCACUUUUCUUUCGUUCCUUCCCUCCCAUCCUUCAACGCAUGGGGAAAAGCUCCCCGUAGCUCACCUAUUGACCUCCUAGUUUUAGCUCCAUCCCCCCGUGGAUUGCCCGUUACCAGCCAUAACCUCUGGGGAUAUGUAGACAGGACCACUUGAUUGCCCAACACAACUUUACACCAGGGUGAUGACCCACAGUAGGCCACCUCACAAAUGAUGAGACUUAUGUCCAGACAACCCUCAGAAAAAGCAGAAGGAGACCCCAUGCUUGGAGCUCUAGGGAGGCAUAGGGGGCAGGCAGUCCGAGGAUAGACCGGACCAGAGUGGGGGUGAUUGAUGACGCAUUAGACAGGAUGUGAGGAACGAGACAUUCUAAAAUGCAGAAAUAUAUUUGAAAGUCCACUCCUGGCUUAUGCCCCAGGCAUGGGCCUAGCACUGGAGAGCAUUACUACCUGUCACUUCCCUACUCUUGACCUAUUUUGUGACUUUCACAUGUCUACUACGACAAUAUUGCUAUUGAUAUGUUGCAUUUACUUCAAUGUGCUGGAAACUAUCCUCCUCUGUGUGGGAUGGCUCAGACCAUAUAUGAUUUUAAUACAAACUGGUUUUAAACAAAGUGAGCACUUCAGAGGUACCUCAAGCAGGUGACAAUUAAACCAACAGUUACAGAUAAAGCAGCAGGGACCCUAAAGGUGGACACUGCUACAAAUUAACCCGUAUGAUACCUUUUUGUCAGUGAGAUGUGGUUAGAGAGUGUUUUGACUUCACCAACAUCAUUGUGUAUCAAAUAGUGUGGAACACUGCUUCCACCAGGAUGGCCAUAAAAAUAUUGAGAGAGUAGGAGAAAAUGGCAAAGUGCACCAUAUAGAGCCAGGAAGAGAAAGUCAGCAGUGCAGAGACAUGAGGCGAAGGAAGGAUGUGGUAACUAUGAUGGACUACGGGUGGUAUGAUGAUCGAAGGGGAAUGGAUGAUAUGUAAGCCCAGUGAUUAAGGCCCACACAUAAAGGUUUCUUAGAGGGCAUUUUAACAACUUAAAUGCUUUUCCCCCCCUCUAUUCUUUAUUAAACCUUAUAAAAAGGUUCAGCUUUAUGAUUCUCAAAUAUUACAAUUUGUAAGAAUUGGUUUACAUAAACAACAUGAAUGACACAGUACAUACGGAACUGCCCAUAUAAAAAAAAUUCUGAGGAGAGGUGGGGUGGGGGGUAUACCCGAGAUAUGCAGCAAACUAAAUGUUUCUGACAAGUACCCAACAGUAAAGCAAGUCCAGUUCAUUUUGAAUAAUGUGCCCUGUUGUCUCACACUGUGCUCAUAUUUCUUUGUAGUGCUCUUCAAAUUGCUCUAAUCAGCUGAGAUGUUCCAUCCAUCUGUCUUAAAGGAACAUUUUAAUUUAAGAAUACAAAUUUGUAUUCCUAACACUAAAGUGUUCCUCUGCCCCUCCACCCUUUUUCACCUCCCAGCGGCACUGAAACCCCAGCAGCACACUCAUCUGUUUCCAGCGUCUCUGCACUGGCUCCAUCUCCACCUCCUCCAUCAGCGCCACAUUAGGCCUUCCGUAUAGGAAAGUAUUGAAUCAGUGCUUUCCUCUUGGGUAUUUGAAGACUCUGGAUGUCCUCAUGCACAUUGUGAAGACGUCCAGAGUCAUUUCAUGGAGUUAAACUCUGUGAAACAGCAGAAAGCGCCUCUAGUGGUUGUCUUGGAGAGUAGUCUAAACCCUACAACAGUGAUGUUGAACAUUUUUGAGCUUGAGUGCCCAAACCACAAUACAAACCACUUUUUUUAUCUCAAAGUGCUAACACAGCACUAUGAUUGUGAGAGGUGCAGUGUGUGUGGUUGUGAGAGGGUGCAGUGUGUGUGACUGUGAGGAGGUGCAGUGUGGUUGUUAGGGGUGCAGUGUGUGUAGUGUGAGAGAGACUUUGAAGUUUAGGAUUGGGGCUGAGUGUUGCAGGGUCUGAGAGGGGAGCAUCUUUUUAAUUGAAUUAUUAUUAUUUUUUAUAUUUUAAUUUAAUAUAUUUUUGGUUUUUCCCCCCUCCCUGUUACUUACCUGAUUCCAGCCUUUUCUCUUGUAGUCCGGUGGCACUGUAUUUCCUGGUGGUCCCAUGGUGCUAAAGGUAGGGGUCUCAAUCAUCACCUUUGCGGCUCCGCCGGGUCAAUGCAUUUCCCGUGAGUCCCGGCACCACGUGGAAUCGAGCGUUGUUGUGGUUACUACCUCUGAAAGCUGGGACUCGGCUGCAGACAUAGAGGAGAAGGCUGAGAGACUCCUUCCCCCUUUCCUGCUGCACAGCUCUGCAAAGACCCUUACCGGGUCUGUGUAUAUCUAAGGGGCCCGAGCUCGCAGGGCCCCUUACAAGUGAAAUCGUUUGGCGGCAUAUUUUCGUACCAUAGGUUCACCAUCGCUGCCCUACAAUGUAAAAAUUGCAGUUUCUAUCAAACUGCAACAUUUUAGAUUGCAGGGUUAAGGAGACAUGGCCACUAAACUCAGAUUACUUCAAUGAGAUGAAGUGGUCUGGGUGCUUAUAGUGUCCCUUUAAUUGCUUAAAAUAAUCUAACUUGUACUGCCUUCCAUGGUGAUGUUAUUGAUUGUUCCUCUGAUCUGUUUACAUCAGAUGUUUGUAACUGUAUUUUGCAUAUCUUGGGGAUAAGAUUAUUACCACUUUUACUUUUAACUUCCUGCAUCAUCUUUAGUUUUCUAAGAUUGGAACAAGCUACGCUCACAAAUCACUUUUUCCAAACCACCAACACAUGCUCGCAGCCUCCCUAGUUCAUUUCAUUAAGAAUCUAGGAGGUAGAAGGCAGCGAGAUUUGUUGGAAGUUAAAGUGACUUUAAUGAACACUGUGAUCACCACUGAAGCAGAAUUAAUACAGAUUGUACCAUUUGUUCCUCUGUGCUUGUGUUUUACUGAUUUCAUUUAUUAGCUUAAAUCAUGUUGUUGGAGCUUAUAUUGGCUAGACAUUUUAUUUUUUUAAACGUACCAUUCAUAUAAGGGGGGCUGAAUCAUUUAUUGAGAUGUACAUUUCAGCUACUUUUGCUAAGGCCAUUAUUUUGUUUUAUAACUAAAAGUCAGACAUUAAAGGGACACUAUAGUCACCAGAACAACUACAGCUUAAUGUAGUUUUUCUUGUGAAUAUGGUCAGUCCCUGCAGGCCUUUUAAUGUAAGCAAUUCCUUUUCAGAGAAAAGGCAGCAUUUACCUCUUUUAUGAGUCACUCAGACGGCCCCUAGAUGUGCUUCCUGGGUCAGUGCUGCACACUCUGCAUCUCCUCAUAGAGAUGCAUUAAUGCAGUUGACGCGGUGCUGCAUUUUGCCAUGCAUGCACGAAAGUCUCCCAAUGUCUUCCUCUGGGAAAGGGGGGCCGGUACCUAAAUAGUGAUCUUAAAACUUUGUCUGGAAUUGUGUCAGUCCCGCUUGAAGGAGGAACAAUAACUUAUUUGAACUAAGGAUCGACUGAUAUAAUUUUUCCAAAGUCAAUGCCGAUGCAGAUUAUCGGUCGCCUUUUGGUUCAAUUGCCGAUAACCAGUGCUUAUAUUCUGUAUAUUUAAAGUUUGAAAAAAGCAACACAAUUUCUAAACAAUUCUGCCAUUAACGUAAAAUGCUGACAACAAUCACUCCUAUCGCUCUAAGUACAUGCUAGAAUCACUGAGAUCCCAACAUGUACAAUGCUGUUACUGUUAUUGUUGACAGCAAACACACUCCUAUCGAUCUCAGUCAUCCAGCCCAGUACAUUACAGUAGAUUAUUCACUGUCUCAGGGCGUUUAGUUGAGCGAGACUGGCGACUAGAGUUUCCAGAUGUGGAAGAUGGGGUGCAUUGACUGGGAGAGUUGAGUAAGUAAAUAUCUGUAAAUUACAAGACCAAGACCGAUACCGAUUAUCAGAAAUAUGCCGAAUAUUGGCUCUAAUAAUCAACAGAACCGAUAAUCAAUCUAUCCCAAGUUCUAACUUUUUUUUCUUCCUCUACAUUUUUCUGUUUGCUGUGUUUAUUUAUGUUUUGUUAUUGCAUUGUAAAAAUUGCAAAGAUAAAGAAUUAAAAAAAUAUUGUUUGAUCUGCUAAUUGGGAGGUACUGCAAAACUACAUUCGAAUUUGUUUGAUUUCUGUGAUAGGUAUAGGAAAAUAAUGGGAUAUUGCGGUACCAUAUUACCUUUAUAUUUAUCACAAAUACACAACCUCACAAAUAGUAGUCAAAGGAGUCAAGGGAUGGCAAAGUUCUACAAUUAAAGUAAUCUGAAUAGAAACCCAGUACACUGUUUUGAUGGCUCCACUUUAGGAUCUUCAGCCCAGAACUGAUAUUUAGACAUAACCUCUUUCCUUUUUACACAAGUCCUUAUGGUGUAUAUAUGGGUAUUCUCUGCUAAUGAUGUAAUAAGAAUUAAGUCUUCAAGAUUUAUGGCUGAUAUGAUAUACAUUCCCCCUGCAGCACAUGGGGAUCCUGCUGGUUUGGCCAGACGGUGAAAAUAAGUUUGAAAUGACCAAGUAAAACUACAACUUUAACUGGAGAAAUCAAACCAGACACAACAAACCACAGAACAGUCAGUUUUACUUGUCAUAAUUCAUGUGUGCACAAUUCAACUGGCUUUACAGAGUGCUACAUUUCUGCCACUGGCAAAUUCCGUGCACUUCGUCAAAUUUGGAGGAGAAAAAGUUGCUGAUAAAACAGUUUUGAUUCCACUGUAAAAAAAAAAAAUUCUCAUUAAUCAGUCACACGGAAGCAUGCACAUACUGUGAAUGUACUGAACGACUUUCUGUAUGCCCACUAUACCUCCCAACAUUUAAAAUGGACAAAGAGGGACGCUAUCAUUUUAGAGUUGUGAGAGGGUGCUUUAAAAAUGUUAGAUGUAAUGCACACACUUAAAAAAGGGGAAUACUUCCUGCAGGGUGCUCCAGAAAGGAGACAACAAAUAGAAGAAAAAGACACACCUGAAGAAAAGGUAAGUUUUAAACGUUUCAUCUCCACGGAGAGGGGGAUCCGAAACCUAAACAUCCAUUCUAAAAGUGUCAGGAAUACAAAAACACAACAGUGUUCUUUUGAGAUAGAAAAGAGGGUAUUUGGGUCCAAAAUAGGGAUGCAUGGGGGAACAUACUGGCAAGGAAAGAGUUAAAAGACAUCUCAGUAUUUUGUCACUUUGCAACCUGAAGACGGUUUGAUGAAGAUGAGAAUGCAUUUGUCAGAAUGUUUUUUAAAGGCAACAUUCUUGGUUCUGUAUCACGUGUAGUAUAUAUCUACACCAGAUAUUAUACCAGAAAAUAAAUUGUAGCUGUAAGCAUAUGCUGCAAUUAUUAAACAAAAGUCAAGAUAUUUAACAAUGACAACUUCAUUCUUUGCAAUGUUUGAGGAAGUUUUGUGUGUGUGUGUGUGUGUCUGUGUGUGAACGCAGAAAAACUACUCUAUAAUAACCAAGAUAAUGUUAAUUUCUACAGCAUCUGGUACUGUUGAAGACAGACAGGCUAAUUUUAGAAAGAACCAAAAACUGACUGAUUCACUGCCAGAAUGGAAUGAACAUGUCCUGGCACUUCACACAAUUUAUUUGAAGAAACAAAAUUCUCGCAAGACAGAAAGUGCAAAUUUUGGCCUUUUAUCUGCAAAUUAUUUCCUUCUCCUUGCCCACAUGAAUAUGUAAUCUGAAGUUAUUCACUUAACCUUUUUUCAUUGAUGGGGUGCUUAUUCACAUGUGGGAAAAUGGUCAAUACUAGCCAAAAAGGCUGAGUGUUAUGCAUACCAAGCUGACUGGCAGCACACACAGGACUGCCCAUGGCCAGAAUGACCUCAGUACAGUUAGCGUGGUUAAUAUGCUCCCACUGAGCUUACUAGGGAUAUUUUUCAUAUACAAGCCCCAAAUCAGGACUCUGUCCUGGAAACGUGGGGUGGCUGGGAGGUUUGGCAUUCUGUAAAUAAAGGCACCAAUGCAGACAAUUUCCUUUACCUAUUCAAACCACAAUGGAUGCUUUUAAGUGAGGUUUCCUAAUGCUUUGAAUUCCUCCGCCCCUCUACCCCCCUCUCCUCCUCCCCACAUUAAAACAGGGGUUAGAUUUAAACCUCUUAGGGCUGCAUUCAUGGAAAGUAAAUUUUGGUGAUCCAAAAACUAAAUUACAAAACUGAAGAAGUUGGAAAAAUACCCCAAUGUGGCUUUGUUAAACUAUUUUGAUCAAAAUGUAGAUUCCUAUAUAGUGAAUGAACCUUUAAAGUAAUUUGGGAAAAAAACAACGACAAUUUUUAUUAUAAAGUUGGAAUAUUUUUUGGAAAAGUUCAUUUCAAGCACUAUAAGUAAGAACCCAUGGUCAUUGCAUUGCACAAAGGGCUUAUAUGAUAAGACCACAAUGAAAGACUCCUGACUAAAGGAGAGUAUUCCUAGUCCAAAACAUUCCUGCCUUCUGUUUCUGCAUUAGAAAUAAAAAUUAGUUACUAUAAGCAUUGGAGCUUGCUGAAAUGGUUAGGGUACAAAGCAUGAAAUGCGAUAUUUAGAGUUUAUUGCCGGGGUAACUUCACCUCCAGUUCCUGUCAAUCAGCCAGUAUGAGCCAACAAGAGUUUCAUAUUGGCAACUAUUAAAAAUUAUCAUUAAUGUUUUGCACACCAAGAUAUACUUUCAGAUCAACACAGUUAAGCCUGUAUAUCCAUUUAAUUUCAAUCAAAAUUAAAAUUGGGACUGUGUGAGUAUAUGCAAUGAACACCAAAUAACAUCUUUUAAAAGAAGUAACUAAUUAAACAAUUGCAGAAUUAUUUGCCGAACAAAUGCCAUGUGUAUAACUCAGGUCCAUGUUAAAAAUAAUAUGAAUGUCUGGUUUUAAAGGAACACUAUAAAUAUUUUUUUCCUUUUAUGCACGACAAAUAUUAGGCUAUAUUAAAAACAAAAACAAAUUUUUAAUUUUUUUUUUUUUUGCAUUCUGCAUCUUAACUCUGCUCCUUCCUCCAUACCAAAAAUAUUUCCUUUUUACUGGUUAAUGCAGCUGGUAUGGGACAUCAGUUCUCCAAAAGCCCAUCUGGUUUGUUCCUGUCCUAUUACCCCAUCUAUAACAACUACAUAUGGUCCUCACUUAACGACCUACCUGUUUUAUGACAGCUCCACUUAUGACCAGCUCUCUAGCGUGGGUAUUCAAGGGAUUCCCCGCGUUAAAGAGCUGGUCUACGUUUUGGGAAUUUUCCCCAACAUAGAUUUCAGCAAUUCCCUGCGCUAAUGAGCUAAUCUAUGUUUGAAGAAGUUUCCCCGAACAUAGAUUUGCGGGAUUCCCUGUGCUAGUGACCCAAUCUGUGUUUGGAGAAGUUUCCCUGAACAUAGAUUCGCGGGAAUCCCUGCGCUAGUGAACUGGUUUAUGUUCUGGGAAAUUCCCCCGAACGUAGACCUGCUCUCUAGUGCAUACUCGCUAGCGCAUACUCACUUGCCAACUAAUUUGUUUUACAACCGGGUCGUAAGAACAGAACCCAGUUGGUAAGUGAGGACAGACAAAAUGAAAGUGUAGGUACACUGGAAACAGAGUUGGGUUUAUUAGCUAAUGAAGACCAGGAAAAAGCAGAAAUUUUAAAUAACUAUUUUUCUUCAGUAUAUAUUAAUGAGGAUCCUAUGGCAAGAGAUAUGCAAAUGAUUGCUGCAAAAAACUUGCAGAUAACUUGUGAUUGGAUAACUUGAGACAAGGUGCUACAGCUAUUAAAGAAAAUUAAUGUAAAUAAAGCUCUGGGGCCUGACGGUAUUCACCCACGUGUACCUAAGGAGCUAAGUGGGGAAAUAAGUGAACCUCUGUAUUUAAUUUUUCAAGAUUCUUUUGUUUCAGGUGUUGUACCGGAGGAUUGAAGGAAGGCAGAUGUUGUUCCUAUAUUUAAAAAAGGGUUCAAAAUCCUUGCCUGGAAAUUAUAGACCUGUGAGCUUAACGUCUGUAACUGGGAAAAUAUUUGAAGGGCUAUUAAGGGAUAAUAUUCAGGAAUUUCUUUGGGAAGAACUUUGUUAUUAGCAAUAAUCAGCAUGGUUUUAUGAAACAUAGGUCAUGUCAAACUAACCUAAUUGCAUUCUACGAAGAAGUAAGUAGAAGUAUAGAUCAGGGUGUUGCAGUGGAUGUGAUCUACUUGGAUUUUGCCAAGGCAUUUGAUACGGUUCCUCACAAUAGGUUAGUCUUCAAACUAAAAGAAAUUUGUCUAGAUGAAUAUUCUUGUUUUUGGGUAGAACAUUGGCUUAAGGAUAGAGUACAAUGAGUUGUCAUUAAUGGUAAAUUUUCAGGCUGGACAAAAGUGGUAAGUGGUGUCCCUCAGGGUUCUGUUUUGGGACCACUUCUAUUUAACAUAUUUAUAAAUGAUCUUGAAAUAGGCAAUAAAAGCCAUGUAUCGGUGUUUGCAGAUGACACAAAACUUUGUAAAGUAAUAAAAUGAGAGCAGGAUAUUGCUUUGCUGCAGAGGGAUUUGGCUAGAUUGGGGGACUGGGCACUAAAAUGGCAGAUGAAAUUUAAUGUAGAGAAAUGCAAAGUUAUGCACUUCGGGGUUAAGAAUGCACAAGCAGCUUAUACACUAAAUGGUAGUGAAUUAGGGAUAACCACACACGAGAAGGAUUUGGGAAUGGUUAUAGACAACAAAUUAGGCAGCAAUAUGCAAUGUCAAUCUGCAGUUGCCAAGGCCAGUAAGGUUUUGUCAUGUAUAAAUAGUGGCAUAAAUUCUCGGGAUGAAAAUAUAAUUUUGCCUCUUUAUAAAUCGCUGGUAAGACCACACCUUGAAUAUGCUGUGCAAUUUUGGGCGCCUGUUCUAAAGAAAGAUAUCAUGGCACUAGAAAAAGUCUAGAGACUGGCUACAAAAUUGAUUAAAGGAAUGGAACAUUUUAGUUAUGAAGAAAGGUUAAAAAAAUUAAAUCUGUUUAAAAACGGCACCUGAGAGGGGAUAUGAUAACUUUAUACAAAUAUAUUCGGGGCCAGUACAAACCUUUAUCUGGAAAUCUAUUCAUAAACAGGGCUAUACAUAGGACACGAGUUCACACAUUUAGACUGGAAGAAAGGAGAUUUCAUCUAAGGCAAAGAAAACGUUUUUUUACAGUAAGAGCAAUAAGGAUAUGGAAUUCUCUGCCUGAAGAGGUGGUUUUGUCAGAUUCAUUACAGAUGUUUAAACUGCAAUUGGAUAAAUAUUUACAAAAACAUAACAUACAGGGAGACAUCUGACUGCUAUUUUGGGGUCAAGAAGGAAUUUUUUCCUAGUUUGUUGCAAAAUUGGAAGCGCUUCAGACUGGGUUUUUUGCCUUCUUUUGGAUCAACAGCAAAAAGCAUCUAUGAGGAAGGCUGAACUUGAUGGACGCAAGUCUCUUUUCAGCUAUGUAACUAUGUAACUAUGUAACUAUAUUCAUUUCCUCAAAAAGCAGAGCAAAGGUGUAGAGGAUUUGUAGUUCUGCUAAAUGAAUUUAGAAUUAGAAGGCUGAUAACUAAAGCAUAAUUUCUAGAAAUCAUAUCCAGAUCACCAUACUGUGCAGGAGCCUAUGGAGUAAAACAGUACUUUCAAACAUGUCAUUGAAAAAUACUGUAUUUGUGCACAAUAUCAUUCUUUGCCUGGGGUUGUGUAAUGCCUGAAUAUGUACAGAAAAUGUAACAACUACAAAGGUUUAGUUUUAUCUUUUUUUAUUUUGUAUUUGUUUAGCAUAUAUACUUUAAAUCGGACUCUAUACAAUCCAUUAAAAAUUAAUUGGUUAAUUCCAGCCUGGCAAGCCCCUUUAACACCUUACUAUUUCCAGGCUUAAAAUUAUACAACAAGAUAUUGAUAGAAAUGUUAAGGAAAAUGAUUGUUCAAUGAGGAAACCACUUUUUAUAAGAUCCUACACUGAAAUAUUUCACUUGUAAAUCUUGCUCGUAUCUAGAAGGCACCACUUAUAAUAACUCUCUGUUCUCAAUCACUAAACCAAUUUACAUCCAAGCACAGAUGGUUUCCACUAAUCCUAUAUCCUUUAAUUUGUACAGUAAACUUCUGUGUGGCACAAUAUCAAACUUUUCAACAAGAUCCAAAUGGACCACAUCCCCCACAUUUUCCUGGUCCACAUUCCUAUAGAAAGUGCAAAGAUUUAUUUGGCAAGAUUUGGCUUCUACAAAAAAAUACAAAAUCUCUGUGGCUUUAAUUGGCAGUCACUGUGGCUGAGAAGAUAUAAGAUGGAAAAAAAAACUGCUUGUGUGUCUCCAUUACUGAAUUUGAAGGCACAGUCCAAGCACUAACCAUGAAUGUCUCCUGCAAAGAACGUGAUUAAUUUUCUCCAAAUUAUUAUAGUUAUACCAGUUUGCAAGAAAUGCCUUCCACUAAGAUCCAAAAAAGAUGUCUUUACAUACCGAACUACUCCUAAAUGACUCUAUAGGCUAGGGGUAGGCAACCUUCGGCAUUCCAGAUGUCCAAACUACAUCUCCCAUAAUGCUCUCAUAGCCAUAACGCAGGCAAAGCACCAUGGGAGAUGUAGUCCACAAUAUCAGGAAUGCCAAAGGUUGCCUACCCCUGCACAGACUGUGUCACUGCUGUCUUUGAUUUUACAGCAGCCGCACACAGAUGUGGUAUAGUUUCAUUCAUGAAAAUAUAAUGGAGGUGUUUGGUAAGCUAAGUAUGAUGAAUGAAACUACUGGCUAGGGCUGCAAUUUAUAUCCCAUAAACCACAGCUGCACAGAGUUUUGUGGGAUAAGCACUGUAACUUAGCGUAGGGCAAGGAUUGGCUGUGAAAACACAUCCACUAACUUUUCUCUCUAGAUCCUUAUUUGCAGCAUAUGAUCCUAGGUGAGGAUGUUUUUAUCUAUAUUAGUUUUUACAUAUUUUUAAGAAUUAUCUACAUGCUUAAAAAGAUGCACAAUGCCUCAAUUUCCUUGGACUGAGUAUGCAAUAUAGAUUAAAGAAUAUUUGUAUCUGAUUUUUUUUCCUGUUAUGUGCUAUGGGCUGUAGCCCAGUAACCAAAAAUUUACAUUUUUUCAAUCUAAAAAAGAACAAAGGACCUUGGAAGCCAUUUACAAACUAUAAACUUUAAAGUAUUAAAAUUAACUUCGUGAACCUUUAAGAGACAAGGUAAAAAAAAUUCUUAAUGUUUCUGCAUUUGAAAUUUGAGGGCUAUGUGGCUAUUAUAAUCAAUGUUCUUAUUGUGUUUUUAAACUUGUUAGAAGCUGAAUUAUAGUAAUUUUUUUUGCUUACAUGCACAGUGUUAUGACUAAUUGAAGGUACCCGAAAAUAAAAUACAAUUUCAAGCACAACAUGUAUAUAUGUCUAUAAAAGCAGCUCGAACGCCAAAUGCAAAAAAUAAUAAUAAUAAUAAAAAAAAAACAUACAAGAGAUGCAAAUUCUAUUACUUUUCUCAGGCCUUUGCAUUAUCAGAGUCGGUACUAAACACAACUACAAUUUUAACCACCCACAAGGUUGUACUCUGAAACUGGCAAAAAUGAUCCCCCUGACAACGUGUGUCUUUUACAACAAUGUGAAUUAAACAAUAUGCAAGUAUUAGGCUGCGGAGGCUAUUAUUUACGCUUCCCUGGUAUUACACUGUUGUGUGGAUACAUGCUAAGGCCUCUUGUAAAAGAGCGGAAUGGGCAGGAAUAUAGGAAUCAGGGUGAAAUGGUAAAAAAAAUAAAAUAAAAAUAGCAAAAAUAAAAUAAAAAUAUUAUCAUAGAGCUAUUAAUCUACGGGGUUUUAAGGCAAGAGUCAGGCAUUGCACUGCCAUAUUUUACUCAACUUACGGAACCAUCUGGCAAGCACAGAGUAACCAAUUAAGUGCCACAGAUGUUUUACAGUUCAUACACUGGCCACCUUUAUGGUAGUUAGAGUUGAGCAGUUUUUAUCAGUAUUUGUAAACUCUGUGUAAUUUCACAGGGUAGUUUUGGGUUAUCUGCUCUACAAACAAACAAAAAACCCUGGUAUAGGGGAAGGCAAGCCCACUGACAGGCUCCUUGGCCCUCCCCCAGCCUUAGAGGGUGACCAGGGUAAUGUAGUUGUUUUGGUGUCUACAGCCUGUCCCUGCAGGAGUUUUAAUGCAAACACUACUUUUUCAGAGAAAUCGUAGUGUUUAGAUUAACAUUUAGCAUCAAAGGCAGUGUCUACAUUGACGCUGAACGCUCCACAAAGAGAUGCAUUGAUUAAAUUCAUCUCUAUGAGGAGUUGCUGAAUGGCGCAGCACAGCGUUCUGCCGCGUAUAAGCAAAAGCCUCCAUGCAUUGAAUUGGCUGUGAUUGUCAAAUUCGCUGAUCUCAGACAAGGAGGUGGAGCUGGGCUAGCAGCGACGAACCCAUUAAGGCACUGGAAAUAAGGUGAGUAAACUACCUUUCUAAAGGCAGGCAAGGGAGGCAGUCACCUUACCAGCACUUUUAUAACUAUAGUGUCAGGAAUAGAUGUUUAGAAUCCUGACACUGUAGUGUUCCUUUAAGGACAAUACAGGGAACAUGAACUGCAUGGGCCUAGUUCCCCUUUCACAGCUGUGCUGCCCAGGGACAGUUCCCUGGUGUUCACAGUUACGGGACACCAGAGAACUGAAUAGGGACAGCUGGGAGGCCUGUAUAUACAAAGAAAGUGACAACACUCAUGGGACUUCAUAAAGAUAAAUAAAAACGUAACUUUUAUUUCGUACCAUUUUAAUUUAUAAAAAAAAAAAAAAAAACUUUUGUCAGGACAAGUUUACAAAACAACACAGAUUUACGCACUUACAAUAACACUCAUAUUAAUACAAAUAAUGAACUGAAGGCAAAUUACUCAACCACCUUGCUAUGCACGCCAAAUUGGCACACGGCCCUCCCAUGCAUGUAGGCACUGGCAACCCCAAACGUCACAUUUUAUUAAGAAACGAUCUUGUUUAUGUCUGUUUACUGGAGAGAAACUGAGUUUACUCUGCUUUUGUUAUUUAAGAAUAACAAUUUGCUUAAAGUCCACAUAAUAUCUGCGAAGAGCAUUACUAUCUAGCAAUGACUGCACUGAUUGAAAUACCAGAAUAUCCUACAUAAAACAGCAUGUUACAGACAUGAUGUAAUUGGCAAGCAUUUAAAUUGGAUAUACCCCACCCCUAGACUGACCACAUUACUGAUUUUAUCAGGGCUGCUUAUAAAAACAAUGCAUACUUCAAGGCAGCUUUUGGGAAGAAAAAAAAAAUAUUAAUUUCAAGCCUUAACUGUAUUGAUUAUAGCUCAGCAGUAUCCACUUUUUAUAAGCAGCCUCGCCAGAAUCAGAAGAGUAGUCAAUGUAACUCCUCCCAAAAAAAUACAUUUAUUAUGGAAACAUUAUAGGAACAUUUAGAGCAUUUUAACAACUCAGCUUAUCAUAAUGGUUAUGUUGCUAUUAAGCUGUCCCUGGAAACAAUGUAUCUUGUUUAUUGGCUAAAUAAUAUAUAUCUAUUUUUACUAUUAUUAUUUUUUUUAUUUUUUUUAUUUUUUGUUGUUGUGCGCAGACAUAUAACAUUCGCUUGUGAGGUACCCCAAAGGCAAUCCUCUAGCGUUCCACAUUUAUAUAUUACAUAGGGGUGUAUGACAUGCACAUUUUUGUUAUUAUUUAGUCGUACAUGAAAAUUAACAGGCGCUUUUGCGAGUAAGUCAUUACAUGCUGGCCAUUAUAGUUAAAUUAGGCUGAAUAUGCCACAGGAGCCGGCUUUGUGUGAAAGAGUAUAAGUCAUGCUACCAUAAAAAGGAACAUAUUAAAGGAAACAAAGCAAGAGAGUGGGUCUAUUGAAAACAUAAGCUAGGCAGGCCUAUGUAGGUAAUAUCAAUGAUGAUUAAUAGAUUUAAACGUCUAUGCACACAUUCGUAGGUGCAUGUAUAAAAUGUAAUCUAUGGUCACAUUGAUGCUUAUUAAAGUAAAGAAUUCACUCCUGUCAGGCUAUAUAUUCAUGUCUAAAUGCUGAACUAUGCAGGUGCAAGUAGGGAAGGAAAGAUGAUACAGACAUGGUGAAAGCUAAACAUUUUCUAUUGUUAUUGUCCAGUGUUAUAUUUACUAGCCAUCGGCUGUCGUAGCUUGCGGUCGGCAUCCAUUAAUCCGGCUGUCCCUUGCUAUGAGGUUCUUUACCCGAUUCCCUGUCUGGGCCCUGCUCAGGGUUGGUUGCGGGAUUUAUCUGGGGCAGCCCUGCUGCGUUCUGUGCGUGUGGUAUGUCUCCAUCUCCAGCCCCUAUCCGAGUCUGUGAUAGUUGCAGUAAGGCAGUGGUCCCCCCAUUUGGUGCUCUUCCAGUUCCCAGUCGGGAUGGAGUCUGGGGGUAUGGUGGCUACAGUUUCCUGACUUGUAUUAAGCCUAUCGUGGGCUUGUCGUCUCUGGCGGGGGGUGUGAAGCAGGUGGCAGCUGGAAUCCUCUGUCAGGGCAGUUUGGUAAGGAGAUCCCCCCUCGUGCCCCUUUACUUUUGAGCGGAGACCCUGGGCUGAGUUGUGUCUGGUGGUCUGUAGGUCUCCUUCGAGGUUUCUUCACUUGGGAGGGGUAGUGAUCACCUUGGGGGAGGGGGGGUGUAAGCGGGCAGACCAGGGGUAUGUCGCCUCUUAGUUGGGUGACUCACCGCUGGUGGUCUGUUGCCGACCCGUUUAUGCUUGCAUCGGAUUUCCCGCCUUCUCCUCCCAGCUUUCCAGGCUUUAGUUUGGCCUCCUCCUGGAGCCGCGGGUUGUAGCUUGGUGACCUGUGGGGUUGUUGCUGCUUGUGUCUUUGCUGGAGCGGAGAGAUUUGCCCAGAAAGCAGCUAGCAGGCGGUCCAGCCGCUCCGACAGUAGUGGCAGUGAGGAUCUUUGCUCUGGCUGGCACGUGGCGUCCGCCAUGAUGUGGCACACCAGACCGGCAGUAUUGGUGAGUCGAUUGUGUUGCCGUGCACCUGAGGCUUGAGCCGUGAUAUCCCUCUCCGGCAUGGGGGGGUGAGAGUGUGCCGGGGAGACCGCCAAGUAGUUUGGCAACAGCUAGCAGAGGGAUCGGCCGCCUCCCCCGUGCCGUCUGAGUAGGCCGCUUGUAGGCCCCAGGUCGAUCCCCGGUAAUUGUUAAUAAUUAAAAAGGUGUUAAAUUAACACAAUUAUGCUAACAGAUAUAAUAAGGAACUACGGAACCGAAGGAGUUAAACGGUGCAGAACACAGAGCAGUAAAAUGCUUUACAACCUUCACCAAGAUCUUUGUAUCCAUUCCAAAGUUAUGUUUGCUCUGUCCUGGUAAAGAUCCUUAUCAGACAUGUGUUGGUAAAUAGGGUGCAGGAGGAGUCAUGUUGGAAAUAAAGAAGAAAUGUAAACUGAUUUAUCACGCGCUAAUGUAUUAUAUCAGUGAUGAAUCUUUUCAUCUUGAAAGACACUGGCACUUACAAAAAGAACUACUUCACAGCAGAAAUUUCUAAUUAAUAAUCAGCUCUAUUAAAGAGUACGUGUGGUGCAUCAAUAAAAUAGCAGCACUUUAUAGACAAUAUGGAUUUGACUAUCCAUUUUGCAAGCCUAAUUGCUAGCAAAUCUAUAUAUUUUAUUUAAAAAUCUUUCUUAUUUUGCUUUUAUUUUGCAAGGAGGUGCCGUAGAUGGGUUGACUGGGGUGAAAUCCACAGUGUUACCUCCCUUAUGUAUUAUUUACCAUAAUUCCUCAAAACCUACUUGUUAGUGCAAACAAUUAUUUUCUACAGUCUACAGUUUACUAUAAAUUAAACUGUAGACUGUAGAAAAUAAAUUAUGGUGUAAAACAAAGAAAUUAUCAGUCUAUAAUUUUAAUGGUAGGUGUAUUUUAACAGUGAGAGACAGCAUAACAAUAAAAAAAUCCAGAAAAACACAUGUCAAAAAAGUUAUAAAUUUAAUUGCAUGUCAAUGAGUGAAAUAAGAAUUUGACCCCUUCGACUUAGUACUUGGGGGCAAAACCCUUGUUGGCAAUCACAGAGGUCAUUCGUUUCUUGUAGUUGGCCACCAGGUUUGCACACAUCUCAGGAGGAUCUCAGAACCUUCAGCUCCCUCCACAGAUUUUUUAUGGGAUUAAAGGGAUCCUAUAGUGCCAGAAAAGCAAACCUGUUUUUCUGGCGUUAUAGGCUCUUGGAGUGCCCCCCUCCCUUGGGGCCCCCUCCCUCAGCCACUUACCUUAAUCUAGCACUCCCUCUGUGCUGGUGACCUCUCCUACCCCGCCGACGUCAGCUCCAGAGUGGAGCCAAAUGCGCAUGCUUGGCCAGAGGCACGCACAAUCAAACCCGCCUAUACGAAAGCAUUACUCCUGUGCUUUCCUAUGGGAAUCUUAUUUGACGCUGGACUCUGUGAGGACAUCCAGCAUCAAAUAAGUGAGAUUUACUCUGUGUAAAUCGCGGAACCGGCCUCUAGUGGCUGUCAGGGAUACAGCCACUAGAGGCUGGAUUAACCCUGCAGUGUAAACAUAGCAGUUUCUUGGAAACUGCUAUGUUUUCAGCUGCAGGGUUAAAACUAGGGGGACCUGGCUCCCAGACCACUUCAUUGAGCUGAAGUAGUCUGGGUGCCUAUAGUGGUCCUUUAAGGUCUGGAGACUGGCUAGACCACUCCAGGACCUUAAUGUACUUCUUCUUGAGCCACUCUUUUGUUGCCUUGGCUGUGUGUUUUGGGUCAUUGUCAUGUUGGAAUACCUAUCCAUGACCCAUUUUCAAUGCCCUGGCUGAGGGAAGGAGGUUCUCACACAAGAUUUGAUAGUACACGGCCCCGUCCAUCGUCCCUUUGAGGCGGUGGCUCCUUAGCAGAAAAACACCCCCAAAGUAUAAUGUUUCCACCUCCAUGUUUGACGGUGGGGAUGGUGUUCUUGGGGUCAUAGGCAGCAUUCAUCCUCCUCCAAUUGUGGUGAUUUGAGUUGAUGCCAAAGAGCUUGAUUUUGGUCUCAUCUGACCACAACACUUUCACCCAGUUCUCCUCUGAAUCAUUCAAAUGUUCAUUGGCAAACUUCAGGGCCCGUACAUGUGCUUUCUUGGGCAGGGUGACCUUGCGGGGGGCUGCAGGAUUUCAGUCCUUUACGGAAUAAUGUGUUACCAAUUGUUUUCUUGGUGACUAUGAUCACUGAAACUCCACGAAGUGAGAUCUUGCAUGGAGCACCAGACCGAGGGAAACUGACAGUUAUUUUGUGUUUCUUCCAUUUGCGAAUAAUCGCACCAACUGCUGUCACCUUCUCACCAAGCUGAUUGGUGAUGGUCUUGUGGCCUAUUACAGUGUUCUGACAUCCUUGGACAGUUCUUUGGUCUUGGCCAUGGUGGAGAGUUUGGAAUCUGAUUGAUUGAUUGAUUGCUUCUGUGGACAGGUGUCUUUUAUACAGGUAACAAGCUGAGAUUAGGAACACUCCAUUUAAGAGAGUGCUACUAAUCUCAUCUUGUUACCUAUACAAAAGACACCUGAGACAUCCUUCCUAAAAUCUAUGGGCCCCAGGAGUAUCAAAACCUCAAGCUGAGGGGGACUCGAGCGUUGAAUGUAGAGGGUUGCCCAUGCAGAGAGUUGCCUUCAUGGGCUGGUGGGGAGAUCAAAGAUCUCUCACACCAGCCUGCUGCACUCAUCGCACCCCCCACACAAACAAACUACAGCCCCUAUCCCAGAAUACAUCCCCUGAACGUGUGUUCUGCAUCCCUAGCAUAUUAAUUGUAAGUGUGCUAAAAGGAGUCAUAAGCGGAUCAAUUGGGGAUGGGAAAGGUUGGGGUUUGGAGACAGGUCAGGAGUUCAGCUUUAGACAAGAGACACCAAACUUUUUGUGGGCUCAAGCCCUGGGUGUUUGUUGACCACAGCACCCGCCCUGAUGUGCCCUUUGUGACACUAACUCCAUGUUAAUAAAUAACAGGUUAAUACUGUAGGAAAGUUGUGUUUUAAAAUCUGUUUGUGGUGUUGUUUGUUUCUAAUAGUAAUUAAAUCACUACAGUCUGACACUUUGAUUGAGUUAGUGCUGCUCAGAUACCCUGGCACCAGGAGUGAGUGUAAUAUAAUUAAACAUGUUACUGUUAACGGUUACUUUUCCAAGUACUGUUGGAUGUCAUAUUUUAUUCUUCCCUUGUGCUUCCCUAUAUAAAAAGAUGUCCCUUCAAUAAAAUACACAUUUCUCUUCAAAUCGCUUCUGGUGUUUGGGGGGGAGGGCGGGGGAGGGAGAUACAAAGAACUAUUCAACUCUCACUCAAGUGACUGGCUGAGGGUUAAGGAAUAAAAAAGGAGUUGCCAGAAGAACUCCAGGAGGAUACUUUACAGAGCCCUUGUGGACAAAGAGAAGGGACCAACUUGGUAGCUCUGGUCCUCAAGCCUAAGACCCUUCUACACAGUUCUAUUACAUGUGGGAAUUGGAAUUAAAACAGACUUGUUACUCAUUCCCUCACUACUAAUAAAUGCUAGUAAAACACCAAAUGGAUGAGUCCUGCAGCAAUCACCUCUGUACCACUACCGUGUCCAGGGUGACAUCAACUGCCCCCCACAAUGUUCCAUGUGUCAUUAAAUUGCCAUACAAAUACACAAUCAGGCAUAUCUUUCACAGUUUCUUGUGCGCUCUUUUUGCCAUAUACAUCACUGUAUAGGUUAAAUGUAUAUGGUAUGUUCUGCAGUGCAUAAAAUGUCAAUUAAAAAAAUAAAAUGGUUUGGAAUAAAAAAAAAGAGGAAAAAGCACAAGCCACAUACCACAUAUGCAUUAUAAAUGCAUCAAUAAUAUGCAGUUCAUGUAGAAUACAAACAUAUUGCUCUCUUCCUGUCUUCCAACAUACAUCUAACAAUAGCCUGAGACGGUGUAUUAUACUUAUGGGCAAGAGAAGCACGUCUAGGUUUAGGUAAUUUGUCCAUUUUAAUUGAAACGGAGAAGUCCCCUAAACCAAACCGUGCCACUCUUGUCUGUACAUAUAAUACAGCUUGUCAGGCUAUUGUGAGAUCUAUGCUGGAAAAAAUUUCAAUACAUCUUUAUUGAAAGAUGAAGAGAAACAAAUAAACAACAUGAUUUGCAGCACAAACAAUAUAAGCAGUGGAAAUGGAUGAAAGUAAUGAAAAUAUAGGAAAAUACAGUGAUACAAAGUUUACAUCUCAUGACAUAAACAGGUACUUAUUCCACGAGCUAUUCAUAGAAGAAAAUAACUCAGAGCAAUGUCAAUAGUAUUACUAUAGUAUUAGUAACAAUAGAUAAGAAAACCUUCAUGUAAGAGGAAGUUGUGAUGUGAAGUGGUGGGGGUUGACUAUUGUGUUAUAUGAAAGUAUAACUGAAGAGUUAAGAGGAAAAAAAAAUAAAAAAAAAAAAGGUCAAGGAUAAUAGGGAAAGAGGGAUUCAGAGCACUCAUAUGUCAAUGUGGAACUGUCGAUUCCAGGAAUUUUUUUUACCUGUUUCUUAAAUUUAUACAAAUAUGUUUUUGUGAGAAUUGAAAAAUAAAAUGAAAUGUAGAAAUCCGUACAUCUAAACUGGAACUGGGUGCUACCAUCUUGGCUCCAUCAAUCAUCAUUACAACUGAUGUCAGUAUGACAGUCACUAGAGGUGCUUCCACAGGUAUAACUUGGUGGGAACCCCGCACAGAAUAUCAUUGAUUCGAUGCAUUCCUAUGGAGAAGCUUGCUUGAGCACUAGGUCCCCACUGUAUUUCUAUAAUGAGCAUUGGAUGGGCCAGGCCAGUAAAAUCAUCUUUGAUUGUAUAAUAAUGCCUUGCCACAAUUGUUUCAUGGACUACCAUUGAUCCAAACAUAUAGGUACCUGUUGUACUUUGAAUUUUAUUCCCUCUUCCUUGAUGUAACUUUAUUGUUCAUUUGUCUUAACAGCAUCGCAAAACUAAUAAACACUUUAGUCGCAAAAAGUAAUCCUAACAUCUGUGGUCUACGGGUAAAGCUGGAUCAGAGUAUACACAGUAACUCUAAUGAUGUCUAGGCUGUGUAACGUGCAACACUGUGACCCUCUGAAGUUUUUUUUUACCCUUUCUGUCCGGGAGGAAACAUGAAAUCCAACAACGCAUUGCUUAGUAAAAUUAGUAAUACUAAUUAUGUUAUAGAUAGCUUUUUCAGAUGAAUCACCCAUUACCUUCCUAGGAGGUGGGAGGGUCUGGGAGGGAGGGUCUGCUGCUGAUUGGCUGGAAUGUGUCUGCUGACUGUGAGGUACAGGGUCAAAGUUUACUGAAUGAUGACAUAGGGGGCGGACCGAACAGCGCAUAUGUUCGCCAUCCGUGGCGAACCGUUCGGCAAACCGUUCGGCGAACCGUUCAGGACAUCACUAAUCUUGAGUAAUUUUGGUGGUGCCUUAAUUGUUAAAAGAGACACUCCAAACACCUUAACCACAAGGCUAGGGAGUCUGUGUUAAUUCUACCACAAUAAAAGGGUUAAGAUAAAAGGAUUCAUAGUGAUCAGUAUGUUCAAAUCUAGCUUACCAAUAGAAAUAUUUAAAUCAUAUAUAAAUAUUAUAUUAUAAAACAAUUAUGGGUUCUAAUUGCCGCAGUGAAAGAUAGCCUGCAUUUACAUCAGACUCACUAAAGAGACUUUGUACUGGCCCAUUAAAUAUGCUGAUUACAGAAACACUCUACCAUUAAAAAAUAUAUUUAUCAUCAAUGUUUGAAUGUUUCUCUAUGUAAUUUAGCUUCAGCAUUCCCACUUUUAGUAUAAAAAAAGCUAGAAAAACCAUUUAACAAAUUUGUAAGCAAGCACUAAGGAAUUUGCUGGUGCUUUAUAAAUAAUAAAAUAUUAAUAAUAAUAAUAAUAAUAAUAAUAAUAGUAUUCUUGCAGCAGCAAUGUUGUGAUUUGUACAUGUUAAAGGACAACACCUAUGCACAAAACCCACAACACUAAGAUCCAGAGAGUUUUGGUGCUUGGAGUGUCCUUUAAUCAACCAUAUGAUACUAUAAUCAGUGUAUUUUUAGUACGAUUAUUCAAAUACUUCCAAUAAUCAAUACAGCUCUAGUGAAGCACAUAGUAGAGCAAGUGCUUGACGUGGCAACUGAUAUGGGACCUGGCAAAGAGAACUGUGAAAGCUACAGUGCCGAAUUAAUAAGUUAUCACGGUGCACAUAAGUUAAAGAGAGCAGCAUAGCUGUUUCUGUCUUUGGAAACAAACAGAGACAGCACACAUUUUCCUUAAUACGAAGGAUAGAAUGUUGCAUAUCGUAGCAUGAAAGGGAGAUUUAAAUAAAGUGUAGGUCUGCAUGUGUGAAUGUCUAGUUACGUGUGUGGGUAGGGUGUUGAUAAAUUAUAUGUGUGUAUGAGAGAGUAGACCUGGUAGGCAGGUCUAUGGGAUAAAUCAGACCCCUUAAAACUGAAAAAACAUGAAUGUUCAAGGUCAGUAUGUUUUCUAUUUUUUUUUUUGCACAUUUAAAUGCAUUAUCAAUUAUUGGUUCAUGCCUAGCCUGGAGUGUACUUUAAGGCUUUCAGUAACAGUGAAACUAUAAAAACAAAGAAUAAAGAAAAAUAUGCAAAAAAGAACAGACAGAAAAUACUGUAUUUACAAUCAAAGAAAUAUGUAUUUUACUUCAAUAUCACAUAUAAUCUGUAAUGAGAAUAACAAGGUACAUCCUGUCUCGCAAUUAACUUUUUUUUUGCAUACUUCAGCAAUAAAGGAGAAAUCACCUUCUGAAUGCAACAGACACCAAGAAAAAAUAUAUCACUUAAUCUGUUUUUUUUUUGCAUAAAAGGCCCUUGAUAGACAUAAAAAUGUGAUAUACAACUACUAUUUAAAUAAGCCCAAAAUGAACAAGUGCCUUUGUUAUACCUAAUAAAGCUGAUCAUCUACCAGUAUGUUAGGUGCACACUACCAUCAAUAUGCUAAAAAUGUAAGGUGCAAGGAAAGGCAUCCUACAAGGACAAAUUCAAACAAUCAAAUCAGCAACACCAGGAACAUUCUAAGGUGCUCUUUGCAAAGCUCAUAUAGAAAGACGUCUCUUGGUGUCCAUCCAACCUGUUCAUUAAGACUAAAAACGCAUUUGUACAAGUUCUCACAUAUUGUUCUAUGAGACAGUCUUAAGGGUUUCUGUGAGAGAGAUUGUACAACAGUAGCCCAAAGCUCACAACCUACCACCAAAUUGGCUUGAUAUGAUAGUGUAGGUGAGGGGAAGUGGCUACGUGCCAACAGAGUGAUAUGCUUUGUCGAACCACUCAAAAAUAGUUUGACAAAAACUGGUCAGAUUGCACUCAAAGACUCCUUGCACCAUGACGACUAUAAGGAGCUAUAGUAAGUGCUUAAAGUGUCCCUUUAACCCCUUAAGGACACAUGACGUGUGACAUAUCAUGUUUCACUUUUAUUCCAGAAGUUUGGUCCUUAAGGGGUUAAAUAUUACUGCGCCACAAACGUCAAGUAUCAUUAACAGCCCAUGGAAAUGUGGCGACAACUGGGUUUUCAAAUUUCCUUCACUGAUAAACUGCAAAAUUUUCUAAAUUCUGACACACAAGCAAAAAGCACAGAUUGUAAUGCAUUGGAACCAAACCAAAUAUGCCAUGCUGAUUGCUGCAAAUAUCUGAAAAAGCAAUUAGAUUAUCAUUUGAAAGUGAUAAAAAGCCACAACCUCCAAAAAUAUGUAAAUAUCAACCUUGUCAAUUAAUUAGUGUUCGUAAUUAGCACUUCGGUCCCACAUGCUUGAUCUUCAGCAUGUCAUUCCUUUAUUAUAUGGCCUGAUAAUCUCUCUUUCCUCUUGUCGAAAAUAAGAAAUAUUAUAAAAAUUGCAAUCCUAUAGAGAGGGAUGUCAUUUGUAACCAUUGGUGAUAUUUGACUCAGUGUCAAAUAUACAGUUCACAAAGCACAUAUAUCUAACUUUCAUGGCUCUAGAGCAAAUGUGUAGGAAUUGUUUACCCAUAGACUCCACUGCUGUACCUGCCAGGAGUUUAUAUAUGCUGCCUAAAAGUUUCUACAUCAAAGAUCAAGCAUAGAUUGCAAGAACAUUAUAGUUCCCUAGUCUUUUGGUGCUAUGCAGGCAAGUGCACAGGACAUUGGCUUGCUCAUUUCUUCCCAUUGCUCCCACUUACUGCCAACUGCAAAGGCUCAUGUCUCACAGUGCAGAGAUGUGAGUGAUACCAGUGUCAUGCCUCCUAAAGGUCCCAUACCCUGCACACUGCAAAGGAGCGGAUACAAAGAGAGAAUUGAAGGGUGAAAUGUUUGGUUCUCACACUCUUUCCACUAGACUGUAAGAGAUGAGGCCCUUGUUGCCACAAUUAAAGGUAGUCAAACAUAAGAAGGGACAAAACAAAUACAAGACAGCGAGAGCAGACCCAAGCACUAUAUCUUAAAUAGUGCCGGUCUAAGCUUGCGGUCCUAUGUACCGCAGGGAGACUCCAGGGGUCUCCAGGGGCUUAACCCAAAUAAAGGUAAUAAACGAAAAGGAGUAGAUGCUACCCACACACCAAUAUGUAUCCACGGUGGCUCAAAACUGUAUAACUACAAAAAUGAUGUUGUAAUAGGGACCAUGUAAGGAGGACAUCUCUAUUAUCUUAUAUGUGUAAACUGACCAGACAACCCGGCACAGGUAUCCAUGUCUUAAUGAAAAUAAAGAUAAAAAUGAAAACAAUCAAAAUAAUAAUAAUAAUAAUAAUGACCUACUAGUGCUAUAUUACAUGAUUGCAUGUGUAUCAGGCAUAUAUACAAAUUUACAGAUUUAGAAACAAAUUGAUUUACAAAGAGUAUGGGAGGAAUUGAUAGAUUAAUCCGAUAUAAAGGACGUAUAGGAGAAGACCUCAUUGAGACCAAGGGGUGAAAGUGUCUUAAACUUGUAGAUCCAGAAACUCUCUCUUUGUAAGAGUUUUUUUUAUCUAGAUCACCUCCCCUUGGUCCCAAUGUAACCCUUUCUAUGCCACAGAAUCUGAUCCCCUCCGGUGACCCACUAUGAUGCAAUUUAAGAUGUUUAGAGACUGGUGUAUCUAUCAGUCUUCUCGGGUUCACUGAAUUAACAUGUUCUCUUAUUCUGAGCUUGAAUAUACGAGAUGUUUUGCCAACAUAAAGUUUCUUACAAGAACAGGUAAGUUGAUAGACUAAACAUUUCGAUUGGCAAUUAAAAAAGGUUUUAACAUUGAAUUCCUGGGAAUAGGAAGAAUCUGGGAAGGUUUUUGAGGGGCGACGUAUGAAGUGUCAGGCUUUGCAUCUGCCGCACUGGUAUGUACCUAUUACUGGGGACUUCAGCCAAGGGGGUAUUUUUAAGGUGACUGGGGACUAAGAUAUCUUUAAAGUUGGGCCCCCUUCUUGCAGUCACCGAGGUAUGAGAUGUAAUCACUUUAUGUAUAUGUGAGUCCUGGUGCAAUAGGGGCCAGAAUCUUUCCAAAAUCUUGAUAAUCUGAUGCCAACCGGCAUCAAAAUUCCCUAUGCACCUGAUAAUUUCUUGUGAUGGUUUCUGGUUGGUAUCCUCUGAUAAUAGAUCUUUUCAAUCUGCAAGAAGUGCACGUUUGUAUGCAUUUUAAUGCAUCUAUUUGGAUACCCCUUUUGGUUAAACUGACGUUGUAGAGUCUUGGCCUUAAAUUUGAAGUCCUCUAUGGUACAGCAGUUAUGUCGAAGGCGUAAAUAUUGUCCCAUGGGUAUGCCAUUAUUAAGGGGUGGGGGAUGGUAACUCUCCCAAUUCAACAGACUAUUAGUCGCUGUUGAUUUACGGAAUAGUGAAGACUUCAGAUUCCCAUCCUCUGUCAACAUGAUGGUAAUAUCCAAGAAAUUAAUUCUCUUUCCCCCAACUUCACUCGUUAGUCUCAGAUUAAUGUCAUUCAUGUUCAGGAUUGUCACAAACUCAUGGAAGAGAGCUAUGGUGUCUGUCCAGAUAAUCAAGACAUCAUCAAUGUAUCUCUUCCAUUGUUUGAUGUGUCUAGUAUAGCUCUGCAUGUUUGUAUUGAACACCAUAAUUCUCUCCCAGCCCAGGUGGAGGUUGGCAUAUGAGGGGGCACAAGCUGUCCCCAUAGCCGUUCCUCUCACCUGGUGGUAGUAUUUACUCUGGAAAAUAAAAUAAUUAUGUGUCAAGAUGAAUUUCAUCAAAUCCUGCACGAAUUGGUUCUGUAUAGAGGAAACUAUAGGAUGCAAAUCCAAAAAUGCUCGAAUAUAUUUUAAACCCACUUCAUGUGGUAUAGAGUUAUAUAGGCUGUCAACAUCGAGACUACAUAGGAUGGCGUCACCCGUAAGUGAUACUUCCUCUAUAGUAUUCAAGGUAUGCUUCGUAUCUCUCAAUUACGACGGGAGUUCAACAACCAAUUUCCGCAGGAUCUGGUCCACAUACAGGCUGGCAUUAUGGGUCAAAUUACCCUUUCCACAGACAAUUUCCACAGACCUCUUAGUUCUGGUUUUUGUUUGUGUACUUUUGGGAGGGCAUAGAAUGUUGCAAUUAUAGGGUUUUUGACCAGUAUGAAAUUAUAUUCAUCUUUGGAAAUUAAAGAGAUGGUCAGGACUGUAUCCAGGAUAUUUUUGAGUUCCACUAAAUACUUUUUGGUGGGGUCACUAGUAAGUAUUUCAUAUGUGUCACUAUCUUGAAUCAGAUAAUGUACCAUCGAUACAUAAUCGGGUUUGUUUAAGAUGACUGUAUUCCCACCCUUAUCAGAUGGUUUGAAUAUCACCUUGUCCAAUAUCUUCAGAUGUUUAAGGGAUAUUUGUUCUUGUGGAGUGAUGUUACUGCCGGGUUGGAUCAUAAGGUCUUUCUGGUUGAUUUUGUCUAUUUCGCCACACGUUAGUUCAACAAAUAAAUCGAUAUAUAUAUAAAAAAAUUGUGCCAAGUGUGGGGUAAAUAGACGCUUUUUCCUUAAUUGUGUAAAGGGGGGUUGCGGGUUUGUAGAGAUGUCAUUACAGGAAAGUAAGUCAACAAGUAUGUCUAAAAGACAGAUGUCCAAUGACAGUUUAAACAAAAGGGGUAUCCAAAUAGAUGCAUUAAAAUAAAUACAAACAUGCACUUCUUGCAGAUUGUAAAGAUCUAUUAUCAGAGGAUACCAACCAGAAACCAUCACAAGAAAUUAUCAGGUGCAUAGGGAAUUUUGAUGCCGGUUGGCAUCACUGUGAUUUUGGAAAGAUUCUGGCCCCUAUUGCACCAGGACUCACAUAUGCAUAAAGUGAUUACAUCUCAUGCCUCGGUGACUGCAAGAAGGAGGCGCAACUUUAAAGAUAUCUUAGUCCCCAGUCACCUUAAAAAUACCCCUCAGAAUCCAACUUGGCUGAAGUCCCCAGUAAUAGGUACAUACCAGUGCGGCAGACGCAAAGCCUGCCACUUCAUACGUCGCCUCUCAAAAACCUUCCCAGAUUCUUCCUAUUCCCAGGAAUUCAAAGUUAAAACCUUUUUUAAUUGCCAAUCGAAUGGUUUAGUCUAUCAACUUAACUGUUCUUGUAAGAAACUUUAUGUUGGCAAAACAUCUCGUAUAUUCAAGCUCAGAAUAAGAGAACAUGUUACUUCAGUGAACCCGAGAAGACCAGUCUCUAAACAUCUUAAAUUGCAUCAUAGUGGGUCACCGGAGGGGAUCAGAUUCUGUAGCAUAGAAAGGGUUACAUUAGGACCAAGGGGAGGUGAUCUAGAUAAAAAUAACUCUUACAAAGAGAGUUUCUGGAUCUACAAGCUUAAGACACUUUCACCCCUUGGUCUCAAUGAGGGCUUCUUCUAUACGUCCUUUAUAUCGGAUUAAUCUAUCAAUUCCUCCCAUAUGCUAUGUAAAUCAACUUGUUUCUAAAUCUGUAAAUUUGUAUAUAUGCCUGAUACACAUGUAAUCAUGUUAUAUAGCACUAGUAGGUUAUUAUUAUUAUUAUUUUGAUUGUUUUCAUUUUUAUCUUUAUUUUCAUUAAGACAUGGAUACCUGUGCCGGGUUGUCUGGUCAGUUUACACAUAUAAGAUAAUAAAGAUGUCCUCCAUCUAGCUAAGGAUACAUGGUCCCUAUUACAACAUCAUUUUUGUAGUUAUCCAGUUUUGAGCCACUAUGGAUACAUAUUGGUGUGUGGGUAUUUGAUACAAUAAAUAAUGAAACAUAUAGAUACAUGAUGAAUAUUCACUUUGGCUCACAUUCCAUUUGGAGUGAUUGUACACAAUUAUACAUAAUAAAUUUACUAAGGUCUUUUGUUUGUUUAUAUGGGUUAAACAUUGUUCUUUAUUAGAUUGCAUAUUUUGUGGGUUUUAGAUCCAUCUAUAUACAGCAUAGAUUUUGCACAUAGGACAAUACAUUCUCCCAUUAUUAGACAUAUAUGUGGGCUUUGUAUAUAAUAGGGACACCCCUUGACGGCCGAUAGGAUGCCUAGUAGGCGUGGGAGUUUGAAUCCAUGGGACUGCAGACUCCGACCGUUACGGAGCAAGUGAUUAAUCUCGCCCAUGUGGGCUGCACGCCGCAAUAUGUUCUAUGCUAGUAAGCGAUUAGCACCGCCUAUGUGGGUUGGAUAUUACAUUUGGAUUUCAUAACAGAGCCAGUAAGAUACCUCCCAACUCCGAUCACGUGGGGUACAUAUGUGUAAGCCGAUUGGCAGUAAUAGACAGCGUGAGUGCCGAGAGCAGCCACACCUGGGUGAGACUUCUCCCAUAGACAUCAUUGGCUACAGGUACUCAGUUUCGUUGGCGCCCAUUAUACUUAAAGGACCACUAUAGUGCCCUGAGGGUGCCCCCACCCUCAGGGUCCCCCUCCCGCCGGGCUCUGGGGAGAGGAAGGGGUUAAAAUCUUACCUUUCUCCAGCGCUGGGCAGGGAGCUCUCCUCCUCCACUCCUCCUCAAUAGUGACGUCAUCGGCUGAAUGCACAUGCGCGGCAGGAGCCGCGCGCACAUUCAGCCAGUUCAUAGGAAAGCAUUUACAAUGCUUUCCUAUGGACGCUGGCGUCUUCUCACUGUGAUUUUCACAGUGAGAAGCACGCAAGCGCUUCUAGCGGCUGUCAAGAGACAGCCACUAGAGGCUGGAUUAAGCAUAUUAUAAACAUAGCAGUUUCUCUGAAACUGCUAUGUUUAGAAAAAAAAGGGUUAAUCCUAGAUGGACUUGGUACCCAGACCACUUCAUUAAGCUGAAUUGGUCUGGGUGCCUAUAAGGGUGGUCCUUUAAGAGAGUCCUGAUUAUUAUUCUGUUGGCCCCUGACGAAGGUGCAGCAUUCAAGCACCGAAACGCGCGUCGGGCGUUCUUUUCUUUAUUAUGGGCACUGGGCAUCAUUUGAUUUAAGCACUUUUAAACUUAAAUGUCAAUGUUCAGCAGUGGCGUCUCUAGGAUUCAUUUUUAGGGGGGCACAUGGUGGGCCAGGGACAAAAGUAAGUGGGCACAUUUAACCCCACCCUGGUAGCUGUUUGACCCCGCCCCUGACACAAUGUGUUGUUUUUUUUAAAUAAUCCCUGGUGGAGGAUUCAUUAUUUUCCACCAGGGAUUAUUAAAAAACAAACACAUUUCCCUUGAUACAGUGCCAUAGUUGUCAACAUUUGAAAAAAAAAAUCCAAGGACAUUUUGCAGCACAGCUAUCAAUUACUGUCUGUGUAUAAUAUCCCUGGACAGUCAGUGCUCUCUGUAUAAUACAGGGUUGUGUGUAUAAUAAAUUGGGACAGUCAGCGGUCCCUGUACAGUGCUGCUCUCAGUAUAAUACAUGGCUGUGUGUAUAAUAUCCCGGGAGAGUCAGUGCUCCCUGUAUAGUGCUGCUCUCUGUAUAAUACAGGUCUGUUUGUGUAUAAUAUCCCGGGAGAGUCAGUGCUCCCUGUAUAGUGCUGCUUUCUGUAUAAUACAGGUAUGUUUGUGUAUAAUAUCCCAAGACAGAGAGCAGCACUAUACAGGGAACACUGACUGUUCCAGGAUAUUAUACAGACACAGACCUGUAUUAUACAGAGAGCAGCACUAUACAGGAAGCACUGACUAUCCCGGGAUAUUAUACACACACAGAUCUGUAUUAUACAGAGAACAGCACUAUAGUAUUAUACAGAUAGCUGAGCAUAUACCCCAUGUCCCAAUCUCUAGACUACUAGUACCUGUCAACAGCAGCUCCCAGACAUGUGUAACAGGGCUAAAGUGUGCAGCAGCUCACACAGAUGAUUCAGGGGUAAAGCACACUCGCUGGCAGAGGCAAACUGGGAAUCCACAGCAGCCCUGGAAAAAAUGUAUGCCAUUCCUACAAGUCAAUAUAUAUAUAUUGUACAAUGAGCACACAAGCUCACUGACAUGCGCAAAUAGGCUCACUGACAGACAAAACUCUCUGACUCACACACAAGCUUACUACAGACAAACUCACUUGUAUAAAUACAAGGCUCACUACAAAGAAGUUCAGGGACACACACAAGCUCACUAAAGACAAGCUCACUGACACACACAUGCUCACUAAAUAGAAGCUCACUGACACACACAAGCAGUACCAUCUUAACAGUGUUAAGGACCCCGGGCAAAGCAGUGCACUGGGGCCCUUCCUCCACAACUCUCAAGGAUAAAAUUUUUAAUUAUUGAUAGACUGCUGAGAACAUACACACAGUACACUGAAUAGAACACCGAGAGACUGCUGAAUACACACACACACACACACACACACACACAGAUUUCCGAGAUGCACACAGAUGACUGCUGAAUACACACAGGCACACGAGUACUGACACACACACACACACACACACACAGACUGCUGAGUGCCACACACACACACACACACACAGACUGCUGAGUCCAUACACACACACACACACACACAGACUGAGUCCACACACACACACAGACUGCUGAGUAUAUACACACAAACACAGACUGCUGAGUCCACACACAGACUGCUGAGUUCAUACACACACAGACUGCUGAGUCCACACACACACACAGACUGCUGAGCCCAUUCACUGCUAGACUGCUGAGUUCAUACACACACACACAGACUGCUGAGCCCAUACACACACACUGCUGAGUCCAUACACACACAGAGACUGCUGAGUCCAUACACACACAGACUGCUGAGUCCAUACACACACAAAGACUGCUGAGUUUAUACACACACACAGAAUGCUUAGUCCAUACACACACAGACUGCUGAGUCCACACACACAGACUGCUGAGUUCAUACACACAAGCUUCCUCACUAGCAGAGACACACACACAAGCACAUUAAGCCUAACUGUCACUGGAGGCUGUUGCUGGGGGUCAGACAGCCAUCUUCCAUCCUUUCUAGCAGCAGCAUGGUCUGCUGCUUAACGGCAGGGGUGGGGCUUAUGUGCAGGAGGCAGGGCUUUGUUUGGGGGCGGGGCCUUGCCAGGGAGCCUGUCAGUGCUCCGUUCCAGCUGCUCUGUCCUGCAUUCCCUCGGGCUGUCACAGACUGUUACAGUCCGAGGGAAUAUAAUUUAAACACAUGGCCAGCAAGGUGCCGGCAUUUGGGGGGCCCAAGGGGGGGACAGCAUGAUGUAGGUGAAGCCAUGGCCCCCUCUACCCCUCCCCCCCCCUAGCGACGCCACUGAUGUUCAGGGCUCUAGACAGGUGAUGCAAUCUGAAAUUACUUUUUUGUGUGAGGACAAAAGUAAAUUGUCAUGAUGGAUGAGUAGACUGGGCUACUGCUUUAAUCUCUUGGACAAGUAUAAUAUUUUUUUUAAAUACCAGUUAUAAUAAUAAUUGUCAUUAUUCAUUAACCCCUUAAGGACGCAUAACGGACCCAGUCUGUCAUCCUGGGGAGGCACUUAACGACGAAUGUUGGACUGGAUCCAUCAUGCGCUAAAAAUAACCCCAGAUCGCGGCGAUCGAGGGUUGAUGCUCCUCCGAUCUGCCUCGGUAUUCGAGGCAGACCGGGAGCACCCGAUCGCGCUGUCAUUGCAGCUGUGAUCGCUCUGACAGGCUGUCAGAGUGAGCACAUGUGCUGCAGGGACUUCUGAUCCGCCUCCCUGCUCUUCUGCAUUCAGUGUGACGUGCAGGGAGAUGGAUCAGUGAUGAUCCUCUUCACCCUGUAAAAAAAUAAAUUAAAAAAUUAAAGUUAAAUCCCACCCCCCCUUUCCCCUGCUUUAAUAAAAUUAGCCCAUUCCCUGCCAAUCGAUCACUGACCACAGUGAUCGAUUGGCAGGGACUACAUUUUACUGUGAUCUGAUUUUUACUCUAACCCCUGAGGGUUAAGUUUUAUUUUUUUUAAUCCUCAGUGGUUAAAUGUAUUUUAUGAAUUGAUUUAAAUAUUUUUAAAUUAUAUAUUUAGCUAGCUGGUGUGGGUGGGUGGAAGUUAGUGGGGAAUUGGGGAAUUUGAUGUUAGGCUAGCUAGGGGUUAACAUUAAAAAAAAAAGCUUUAAAAAGUAAAAUAAAGUUUUAAAAAAAUGUUUUAAUAACGUUAAGUUUAAAAAACCCCACAACCCCUUUUCCCAGUCCUAAUAAAAAUUAACCCCUUCCCUGCCAGUUGAUCACUGCCUACAGUGAUCAAAAUGCAGAUGACAGUAUUAUACUGUGAUCUGAUUUUUUUUUUAACCCCUGAGGGCACUCUCUCACAUACACACAGAUCGUCUCUCUCUCACACACACACACAUCAUCCUCUCUCUCACACACAGCACUCUCUCACACACACAAACAGCACCCUCUCUCACACAAACAGCACCCCUCUCGCACACACAGCACCCCUCUCUCACACACUGCACACCACACUCACACACUGCACACCACACUCACACUGCACACCUCACACACACUGCCCCCUCACACACACUGCCCUCUCACACACACUGCACCCCUUUCACACACUGCACCCCUUUCACACACUCUGCACCCAUCUUACACACACACAGCACUCUUCACACUCACACACAGCACCCCUCACAUUCACAAGCUGUGCACCCCUCACACACACACACAUACUGCACACCUCACACAUACACACUGCACCCAAACAUAUAUGUAUAUAGGCUACAGAACCCCAUACACACAUACUGAUGUUAGGCUAGCUAGGGGUUAACAUAAAAAAAAAAGCUUUAAAAAGUAAAAUAAAGUUUAAAAAAAAUGUUUUAAUAAUGUUAAGUUUAAAAAAAACCACAACCCCUUUUCCCAGUCCUAAUACAAAUUAACCCCUUCCCUGCCAGUUGAUCACUGCCUACAGUGAUCAAAAUGCAGAUGACAGUAUUAUACUGUGAUCUGAUUUUUUUUUUUAACCCCUGAGGGCACUCUCUCACAUACACACAGCAUCGUCUCUCUCUCACACACACACACAUCAUCCUCUCUCUCACACACAGCACUCUCUCACACACACAAACAGCACCCUCUCUCACACAAACAGCACCCCUCUCGCACACACAGCACCCCUCUCUCACACACAGCACCCCUCUCUCACACAUUGCACCCCUCUCUCACACACUGCACACCACACUCACAUACUGCACACCACACUCACACACUGCACACCACACUGCCCCCUCACACACACUGCACCCCUUUCACACACUGCACCCCUUUCACACAUUAUGCACCCAUCUUACACACACAGCACUCUUCACACUCACAAACAGCACCCCUCACAUUCACAAGCUGUGCACCCCUCACACACACACACAUACUGCACACUUCACACAUACACACUGCACCCAAACAUAUAUGUAGAUAGACUACAGAACCCCACACACACAUACUGCACCCCUAAACACAUGACAUUCAAGACCUACACUAGAUUCCUUACUUAACUCUGAAUCAUCAACACACAUACACACACUAGAUCCCUAUAUACCCUCUGAAUCCUUUACACACAUACACACACACACACACACACACACUAGAUCUCCUAUACACACUAUGGGUCCUUCAAACACACACUAGAUCCCCUACACAAACACUGCACCACCUACACACACACACUACAUUUCUGACAUACACACUCUGGAUCCCCUAUGCUUGCAAUAGAUUCUAUGUAAGCAAACAAACACACACUCUCUUCAAUCCCUACACACACUAGAUCACUUAUACUCACCACACACACACACACUACAGCCUGUAUGCACACACUCGCUACAUCCCCUAUACACACUAUGCCCCUAUACAUACACUAUCUACAACACCUAGACACACAUACAUUACAUUACACCACAAACACAACAUGACUGAAACCAACCUAUUAACACAAUACCACACCACAAUCAGCUCACUCUACACACACGCAAUACCACAAGCAGGUCCAAACACAUGCACAAUAAUCUUUCCUGGCAUUUUUGUCUCCUGGUAUCCAUUUAUAGAGACACCAGAGACAAGUUUCAAGUAAACACAGGGCAAGCAUGUUAUUGUAUUUGUGCAGAACAUAUACAGGUUUUUUUUCUCAUGCUAGAGCUGUUCAGCAGAGCUCUGCGCAUGGUCUGCCCUGGAAGAGCAUUGAACCAACAUGCUAACUUUGAGAUGGGGUGUGCUUGUCAUUAUUGAUGACAAAACACACCCUAUCUGGCCCCUCCCCCUUCUAAGUGGGCCAAUGUGAUGAAAAUAUGCCCGGGCCAAAUUUUUCCCCCAGUCCGGCCCAGAUGGAGUAAUAAUACCACCUCUUUGAAUGCAAGCAUUUUGGUCUAAGCAAUUAUUUCAACUACAUAUAAAAAUAAAGAGAACCCCAUAGUGAGGACCUUUUUCUUUUCUUUUUUUUUUUUUUUUUUAAUGGUUGUGAAGAGCAGGACCCUAUGGACAAGUCGGAUAAACAAAAUUAUAAUCCUUUAAAAAAAUAACGUGGAAAUGUGCAGGAGCAGAAAACAUUUAAAAAAAAAUUAAAAUAGUAUAACUUUAUGGUACAUUUAUGCUACACUGUUUGCAAAUAAAGCAACACAGCUAGGAUCUCGGUUUGACCUCAUAACAUAUACAUUCACCCUCGAUAUUCCUAACAACUGGACACACAAGGUUAUGAGGUCAAAGCUGAGAUUAACAGGUCAUUGUGCAGUCCACUUGGGAACAAUUACUUUUGGUCAUGGCUAAAUGGGCACUUGAUUGAAUAUCUGUAAGACAGCUCACAUCGCACUGAUAACAAUCCUUGCAGCAAUGAAGAAUUAAAACCCCUAUGAUUUAGUCUUUAUUACCCAAAUGAACCCAAGUGUUCCAUAAAGAAAUCUUGGUAUAUGCACGAUGCUAGGGCUAAAUUGAAAUGCCACCUCAUUAAACAAUAAUAUCUAAUUUCAUCUAAAUGAAUUUUCAUGAAAGAAUGCCAGACAGCACAGGAAUUUUUAAAAUGAAUGAUCACAAGCGAUAUGUAAUUUCAACAAAUCUACAUGAGAAAAAUAAAAUGAGCAGCAGAAAUUUAAAAGAGAGAUGACAAAUAAAAAAGGUAACGUGAAACAAAAAUGUCACUACUGUGGCUGUUAUGAUAAUAAUAAUAAUAUUUAGGUUUAUAUUAACUGUGGUGAUAAAUUGAAGUUUGUUUUUAUUUAUUCACUUUUUUAGCUUUUUCAGUUUUUAAAGGUUUUUAGGCUUACGUUUUUUUAAUUUUUUUAAAUUUUUUUUAAAGCAGAGUAACAAAAACUUCAAUAGUGAUUACAAACAGGCUUGAUUUUACAGGUUUGGUGGUUAGAAAUUCAAAGGUUAAAAUAUUUCAGAGUCUAUUUAUUCUUUUAACAGAAUUACAAACAAUUCAAAGUGUUUUGAUUUUUCACAAUAUAACUUUUUCACAGCCUUUGGCCCUGAUCCAACUAUUGGGUGUUAGUACACCUAUUGUACUACACUGUGAAAUACAUAGGCAAAUUACAUGAUAACAAUAAUAAGUAUUAAUUAUAAUAAUUCAGAAAAUUAAAAAAAAAAGAAAAAAGAAAAAAGCAAAGUAAAGAAUGACUGGUUUAAAGCAUAUUCGUAUUAUAUUAUAUAAACUAAGUUGACUCUUUAACAAUUACAUUGAAGAAAAAAAUAUUGUUAAAAAAAAUUUUACUUCUGAAACUAUAAUUGUUCUAUAAAUACUAUAUUACAAAUACUCUGAGAGUAUUGUAAAUUUCUAGGGUAUUAGCUAUAUUUUAAGAUCCACUCAGCUAGUUACAUUAACACAUUUUUUUUGUUACAAAAGAACUGGAAGUAAAAUAGGUGCAUGAAGUGCGUAUUUCCGAUUAUAUAUUCGUCUGUUGAUUGUAGUGUUGGCGAUAUGCCAAACUGAUACCGCAAGUGUGCAAUUAAGAUAGUGCAGGAAGAACAGUGUAUGUAAAACACAAGGAACAAAGAAUCACUUUUCACAGCGAAACACAGGUGUAGUUUUUGAAGUUUGGGUUAUUUAUAUGUUUAUGAGAAAUCCCCAACUAGAAAAGAAAAUAAAACCACGGGUUCAUUUGCAUGUUUUUCUUUUGCAAAAACAAAUGAGAACAAAUUUAAACCUAUUCUAACAAAACUGUUUUAUUCACUACUUUAAACCCUUUGUGGAGAGAAAAAUUAAAACAGUACCUAACAUGGAUUAUAAAGUGAAAUAUUAUUUCUUGGGGAACAAAACCGUAUUACUAGUAUUACAUCACGUAUAGAACAAAACCGUAUUAUGCUAGUAUUUUAUCACAUAUAGAACAAAACCGUAUCCUUCUGGUAUUAUAUCACAUCUAGAACAAAACCGUAUUAUGCUGGUAUUAUAUCACAUAUAGAACAAAACCGUAUUAUGCUAGUAUUAUAUCACGUAUAGAACAAAACCGUAUUAUGCUAGUAUUUUAUCACAUAUAGAACAAAACCGUAGUAUUAUAUCACAUCUAGAACAAAACCGUAUUAUGCUGGUAUUAUAUCACAUAUAGAACAAAACCGUAUUAUGCUGGUAUUAUAUCACAUCUAGAACAAAAUCAUAUUAUGCUAGUAUUAUAUCACAUAUAGAACAAAACCGUAUUAUGCCAGUAUUAUAUCACAUCUAGAACAAAACCCUUCUGGUAUUAUAUCACAUCUAGAACAAAACCGUAUUAUGCUGGUAUUAUAUCACAUAUAGAACAAAACCGUAUUAUGCUGGUAUUAUAUCACAUAUAGAACAAAACCGUAUUAUGCUGGUAUUAUACCACAUAUAGAACAAAACCGUAUUAUGCCAGUAUUAUAUCACAUCUAGAACAAAACCGUAUUAUGCCGGUAUUAUAUCACAUAUAGAACAAAACCGUAUUAUGCCGGUAUUAUAUCACAUCUAGAACAAAACCGUUUAAGCCGGUAUUAUAUCACAUAUAGAACAAAACCGUAUUAUGCCGGUAUUAUAUCACAUAUAGAACAAAACCGUAUUAUGCCGGUAUUAUAUCACAUCUAGAACAAAACUGUUUAAGCCGGUAUUAUAUCACAUCUAGAACAAAACCGUAUUAUGCUGGUAUUAUAUCACAUCUAGAACAAAACCGUAUUAUGCCAGUAUUAUAUCACAUCUAGAACAAAACCGUAUUAUGCCGGUAUUAUAUCACAUAUAGAACAACACCGUACUAUGCUAGUAUUACAUCACGUAUAGAACAAAACCGUAUUAUGCCGAUAUUAUAUCACAUCUAGAACAAAACCGUAUUAUGCUGGUAUUAUACCACAUAUAGAACAAAACCGUAUUAUGCCAGUAUUAUAUCACAUCUAGAACAAAACCGUAUUAUGCCGGUAUUAUAUCACAUAUAGAACAAAACCGUAUUAUGCCGGUAUUAUAUCACAUCUAGAACAAAACCGUUUAAGCCGGUAUUAUAUCACAUCUAGAACAAAACCGUAUUAUGCCAGUAUUAUAUCACAUCUAGAACAAAACCGUAUUAUGCUAGUAUUAUAUCACAUAUAGAACAAAACCCUAUUAUGCUAGUAUUAUAUCACAUAUAGAAUAAAACCGUAUAUGUUUGACACUAAAUGUUAAAUGGCUGGGAGAAACGUAUAAUCUAGUGUUCUAUUUAUGUUUCUAUUGAUCAGGGUUUCAGCUUUUCGAUAAUUGCAUUUAUUAUACAGUAUUUGGUAUAAUUGAAGUUUGUCUUGAGGAUAAAUAACAGUGCAAGAUGAAACAAUACUAUCAACUUAAAUGGUGUUGGGUUAGUACAUGCACAUCAUUGUCCCCAUUAUAUGAUGGAUUGCAUACUUAACUCCAAUCACCAUAAAUGUAUAAAAUAAUGUGAAUAAACAUUGCAGCACGACCCCACACACAUAUAUAAUAGCAAAGGUCAAUCUAAAAGUGCUUUAAACAAUAAUGCAAAGUACAGCAAAAACAUCAUAAUUAAGAGGGGCAAGAUUAUUAGGAAAAACACAGAAUAGAGAGCAUUGGUAUAUGGCAUGUAGGCCAAAGAGCUGCAUAUAUAUACAUUUAUUUUAAAUUAUUCUGAUUUGUGCAACACUAUAAACAAGUUAAAAUGAUCUUUAAGAACUGUUACAUCUUGAAGUUUCAAUCAUAAGAAUAAUUGCAAUCAAAAUAUGUAAUACAAUCCUACAAUGUUCCCUGAAACUCAAACAUUCUUCAACAGAAUGUUUGACUCCAAAGUCAAAGAAUGUAUUUAUUCCUUCAAGACCAAUAACACACACGUCAUUAACAGGUCUCACACCAAUGUGUGAAACAAUGUUUAACUCACAAUCACUUACCCAUUCUUCUUAAUUAAUGUGUUCGGAAAACCCAUUAAAAAUGGCUUAAAUCUAAUACAUAAAUUAUCAAAAGACAGAAUCAAUUGUAUUGAUAUUAUCCAGCAAACACUGAUGUUUAAUUAUGUUAAACAUAUCACGCAUGAUUAAAUACAAGUGUUUAUUUUUCUAUUCAUUCAUACUCAAUAAGUAGAAUCUCAGUACUCAACACCCAUUUAUAUUCAUUAACAUCUGGUACAGUGAUAUCUUUUGUUUUUAAAACUGUGCUGGAAAAAAGUUCUUAAACCAUUGUGGUCAUUUUGUUUUGCAGUCCAAUAAACAGCUUGGGCGUCAUUUCAAUUAAGUUGUUAUGGUGCCAGGAAGUCCCUGGUGCUUCUAUACCAUUACCAAGGUUGGCCACAGGCAAGAGCGCCUAUGAAUGUCUUAGAGGAGUAGUCAGCUGAUGCUCUAAACCAAUCAGUAGCUCCCUGUUUAUAAAAAAAAAAGAAUGUAGAUUUUUUUAUGCAAAAAUGCAUAUAUCAUUGCAAAUAUAAUGCAUUACUAUUUAAGCCCUAAUAGCUUACCUUUCAUUUGCUGCAGAACUGGCUUCUGCAGAUAAUGAUUCAUCCUCUUUUUGCCCAACACCGUGUUAGCAUUAGGCACUGGACAAAUCUCCAUUCCAAAGCUUCUCAGAGACACGGGUGGUUUUAUUGAGAUAUUGAGUAUUAGUUUAAAUGCAUUUUUUUAGUAUUCAUUUUGUGUCCAUUACAAUGGUGACUUGCUAUAUAAGGCUAUUGGGGUCUAACAUUCUUAUCUGGCUCUGCCGAUCACAGGAGGAGAAGUAGGAUUAUUGCUAUAUUUCACGUAAAAAAAAUAAUAAUGAUAAAAAAGAAUAAAGAACCUUGUAAAUGUUUUUGAUAAGUUAUUUGGAGAAUCUCUGGAUCCGAUGAUUUGACUUGUGCACAGUUUCAAUUGAAACAUGUUUUGUUUAAAAGGUAUAAAAUAGCAGGUCUGAUUUCUUCUCCUAUGUAAGUAAUUCUCUGUAUUUAAAAUGGUCAGAAUUAGAUACUUUUGUCUUACAGUAAGUUGCUGAUGGUGUCAUAGGAAAUACUAUUUUGUGCAUUUUUAUUCAUAACUAGCCAGUGUAUGUAAUUUAAUUUAUAUAUAAUUUAUACAAAUAAUUAUUUUCUUUCUACACACUAUUAUUAUAAGUGAUAUUGUUAUGAAGUUCUGUGAUACAUUCAAACACAUUUCAUAUUACAGUCAAAGGCGGAUACAGAACCCAAUCUCGGGUGGGGCACUGGAAGACUUUGCAUUGUGGGAGGUUUUAUACACCUGUAAAUAAAAAAGGCCUACCAAGGUAAUGAUUAAUAGAAAAGGGGGAGAGUGGGUGGGGCAAUCUGAAUGACUACAGCCCAGGAGAGGAGGUAGGCUGGGAUAAAUAGUCGGGUAACCCCUACCACAAUUCCAGGCUAUUGCCUUAACAUUUGUGGCUGGGGACAAAGGCUGACGCCUAAAUGAGCAAGUCGGUUGUCGUGUGAAAUGACAGUCGGGUAGAUCUGUAAAUAAAGAAGGCAAAUAUAUUUUUGAAAAAUGCAACUUUAUUAUGAAAUACACAUAUUACAUAGCCAAAUCUUAAAAAGCCUGCUUUAAAUUAUUUUCAAGUUGAGGGAUGUACCUCUCAUAGGCUGUUGACUUCCAGUGGCCUAAGCACUUAAUAACAUGGGCUGGAACAUUAUUGCUAAAUGGAGCUGACGUGGCACCGAUCCUAAACGAAUGCCCUGAAAAAGCCGAAAGGGUCCCUACCUAAUGUAACCAAAAAAGGCCUAGCAUACAAAAUGAAUUUAGCAGAAGUCAGGGGUUUCCCAUAAAGAGGUAGGAGUGUUCCUAGUGAAAUAUGCAAGGGAAUGGCAGUACUGAUCCAAGAUGUUCACAGGGCACCAAUUAUUGUAAGUAGGGUAUAGCAGGAUUUCUGUGGGUGGGACAAUUUGAUAAUUUUGCAUUGUCAAAGACUGAGGACACAUGUCAGAAUCAGAUAAUUUUUCAAUAGUAAAUUCUUUAGGGCAGAGGAAACUAUAGUAUGCAAUAUAGCUGUUUUGAUAAUGGCGUUUGUUUGGCACACAACAGGUACUUUGUCGAGCAGAUCGCAUAAAGCCCGGAAUUUAAGGCCAUAUACAGGUUGGCGUUUAGGUGCCUGAAAACAGUCUAACCAUUGAAUGUCUUUUAGUAUAUUUUUCUAUAGGGUAUGAGAACAUAAAGUCUUUGUGAUUGGGAAAUAUGGUUUGCAAAUAGUGCUGAAUACCGGUAAGGUAUAAUUUAAUCGUAUAAUGUGACAAUUUAAAAUUAAGGUGGCAAAAAGCUGAAAAACCAUGGUUUCUACAGAGAAAGAUUAAUUGAUUUGAUAUUCUGAAACAAAUCUGUUGAAGAUACAUAAUGCCAUAUUGUAGGACUUCCUACUAGUAGUAGAUAAUGGGACAUGCUAUGGGACAUAAAUUUAGCUAAUCCAUUCACAGGUAAUGGAAGCCUGGGACCUUGGUGGGAUGUUUCUCUGUUGUACGAUGAAGUUUGAAGAAGACCUGUCAUUUACAAUGGGAUAAAGCAUCAGCUGUAGAAUAGUGCCACCCUAGGACAUGUAAACAAACCAAAUAGAAAUGAGUAGCUGCUAACCACGCCAAUAUUCAAAUAAAUGUCAUAAUGGUUAAUGAUGGUUAAUAAAGGAAAACCCUUGCUAAUUUCAAAUUCUGACUGCCUGUCAGAAUAACAUUUGACUGAUUGACCUUGCCAAGCCCUACCCCAUAUCUGCGCUGCUGCUAUUAUGGGAUAAAUCUUAAAUAGAGACAAGGUUUUGUCAAAUGCCAGUAAACUCAUAGUCUCGUGAGGUAUCGGUCUCUAGAGUUGGGGAUUGAUCUAAAGGUGGCAGAAUGAAUACAGCCCUUCCAUUCCAGUCAGCAAGAAACUCAUGCCACAUAGCGAAUCAGUCCUAGCAUGGAUGUCGAGAGAGAUUCUGCUAUUGUCACAAAACUUUCUCAAGCCAGUUCAGUGAAUGGGGAGUCACUGACUAGAUGAGAGCAUCAGCUGACUGCUCUCAGACAAUCAGUGCCCAAUGGCACUGCGCUUCCUAAAUACUGAAAAUUCAGAAGCUGGAUCCUGCCUGGGGGGAAGUGGACAUUGCUGCUGGAGGGCACUUUGGGGUUAAAACUUUGAACAGUUUAACCAUUUGAGAUAAGACUGCCUUCGGGGGCUUCCUGGCACCAUAACAACUUCAUUUAGAUUAAGUUGUUUUGGUGUAUAAAGUGUCCAUGUAAAUUGAGCCAGAGAAGAUGCUGCCUUGGCUGAAAAAAACUUGUGGCAAUUAUAGGAGGUGAAACAACCGUACUUAAGCCCUAAGUCUACCAGCUUGUGAAUAUACAGAUCCAGUUCUUCACUACAUUGAGAAUAGGUAGAACAUAUUACAUCUCUAUAAAGCCUGAAGACCAAAAUGAACCCAGGUAUGGAAAGUUUUUUUAUUCAGUCUUGGGUCUCUGGCUUUUAAUAUCUCCGUAGGUGUAGGACUUGUUUUAAUUAUAUCUUGUGGGGCUUUGAGCAAAGAGACUAGGUUGACGUCUUUCACUUUGAGAAUGUCCUUCCUAAUGGUAAGAGGGACUAAAUGUGCGGGUGUAGAGCAAGAUUCUAGCUAUCCUUUGGGCAGAUAGGCAAAAACGUCCUUGUGAGGAUGGGAGUUGGCCUCAUAGAACCACUAUCUGUGGCAAAUAGUAACCUGAAGCCAGUUCAGCUCCCGCUAUACUGAAGUCGUGAUAAGAACUGCGUGAUGUAAUUUAUAAGGAACCGUAUGCAUGGGAACCCAUGUACCUUGAAAAUGUAUACAUCUGAUAAGCACUGGUAGGUGGAAUCGAGAAGGAUGAUACCUAUGCACACAAUGAAUGGGCUUACCAGGAUAUAUGUAAUUUAUGGAUUUUAAAAUGUAUUAGAUAUUUUUUGUUGAGUGUUAGUGUGUAGAUGUUUGAAUGUAGAUGUGUAUUUAUGUGGGGUGCUCAUGUUUGCCUGCAGUGGUGUAUUAGUACUGAGGGUUAGUGUGUGUUUAUGCAGGUGUAUGUUGUGUUUACCUAUCCCCCUUUCCUUACUAGUGCACAUCUCCACAUCUAUAUAUUUCUCCAUAUCACACAAUGAAUCUCUCUCUCCUACUUUUACUCAUACCACAAAAUUCCACCACUUGUCACUGCCUAUAGUCAUGCUUCUUCCACCUGUGUCCAUCUGCCUAUACCUCUCUUACAUUACUUCAAGCCCUUUGUCCAUAGUCUUCUUCUCCCACUUGUAGAAUUUGAUAAAAAUCAUACAAAUAUAAUGAAGUACCUGCUUCUCCCUCCUGUGUGGCCAUGGAGGCUCAGGGAUGGACAGUUGCCCUGUGAUCUCCCCUUGGUUCUGCCCUGAUUACAGUUUACUUUAUUACUAUGUAGCUGUGUAAUACACUCACACACUCCUGCAUGUUCAUAUUAGUUUUUUUGCUGCAAUGUUUUAUGAUAUACCCUAAACAUUCACCAUUUACAUGAACCGAAACCAGAGGAACACCAAGACAGGAAUGUGAGACAUAGGUAUUUGGGUCUAAGGGGCUAACCCUGCUUCAAACAGCAUAGUACCAAGUUUCAUAGUUUCAUUAACGGAACACUAAAGCAUUGGGGGUACAAAUGUCUAUUCCUAAUUGUAUAGUGUUUGUUUAAUGAAACAAUAUCUCAGUCAAUUUAAAGUAAAAGGUUGCACUGCACCAAUCAGAUGGUCUCAUAGAGAUCAUUUUACUACCCUAUUUCAUAAGCGUGCUUCUAGUGCUUGUUACUAUUACAGUCACUAGAGAUAGGUUAAUCUUGAAAUUGAAAAUUUGCCAUUCCUGCGUAAUGGCAAUGUUUUUAGCUGCAGGGUUAAAACGGGUGCAACAUGGCACCCAGACCACUUUAUUGAGAUGCAAUGGUCUAGAUGCCAAUAGAGUACAAUUUCAAUAAGGUUUUAACAGACGACUUUGCAACCAGGAGUCAUUCAAAAUGGAACACCUUUGAUGGACCACAGUUUGGUACUUGUGUGGGCUCACUGCAUCCAUAUGCCAGUCAUUUUAUAUUCCACUAUUAUCAGAUGUCUGUCUCUUAGUUGUGGAACUAAAUUCCAAAUUAUUUGUUGUAUUUGAUAAGGAUCACAGAUAAAACCACAAACUUUUUAACAAUGGGGACAAUAUUCUACAGAUACUGUGAUGGCUCUUAACUCACAGAUGUGAGUUAAGAAUCACAGAUGAGCUACUUAUUUCAAGAUAUACAGAAAGGUAUCGUCAACAGACAGGUUGAAGGAUAACCCGGUGUGAUCAGCUUCAUUUCUAAUUUUGCAUGUGAAUUCCUUGGUUAUGAGAAGACCUUUGGCCUUAAAACCUACCAAACCAAAUAGCCACAUUAAAUAGGUCCGGCACCAUACCACUAAUAUAUAAUGUUUAUUAAAAGAUGCUUGGCAGGAGAGAAAAUGAAUGACUCAAACACUUGAGGCAGAUGAAAAUGUGGGUCAUGUAUUUAACCCCUUAAGAACCAAACUUCUGGAAUAAAAGGGAAUCAUGACAUGUCACACGUCAUGUUUCCUUAAGGGGUUAACCCUGCCCUGACCAUUAGCUAAAACUGGUCAUGCAAUCAAACGGGUCAAUGUUGCAGCAAAGUUUAUUGUAUGUGUAGAAGCCCUAUAAAGGGUUAAAUGUGAAAGGGUUUAUAAAAUACCCCUUCCUGUCUCACUGGAGAUUCUUGGCUGAUAUCAGCAUAUCUAAUGGCUAGUGUAGGAACUCGCCUAUUGAAGCUUGCCUUGACGUGGCAGGUGAGCUUAUAUAUUCAAAUAGCCAUUGGAAUAAAACUAAAGAGCCUCCAUUUUGUUUAAAUGUACAUGGGGAUUUAGGCCAGAGCGCAAGUAAUGUUCUCUUUGUUUUUAAGAUGAAGUAGUUAACUUGAAAACAUUUCAGAACAUUCAAAACCGCAAAUUUAAACACAAACACAAAAAGAAACAGAAUAUUUAUUUAACUUUUGAAAUAAGCAAAGGAUAGAAAUAAAAAUAACAAGAUCCAAGAAAUAAAAACUGUGGAUUUCAGAAUGAUCCUGAACAUUUGGUAUGUGGUAGGUCUUGAAAAACACAGAAAAUAAAAAACAAGUAUACGUUUGUGUAAGGUUUCUACAAAUCAGCGUCUUUAAUCCGUGCAUCAGAAACACACACAACAAAAAAACAAAGAAAAUUGUAUUAUAUGUAUCUGAGGAAACAAGAGGGAAGGGGUGGGGGGGGGGGAGGUGAACUGCUAUCUUCUCCAGUUAUUUGUGGCUAUGGAUGCAGGGAUUCAAAAUCCCAAAGGUCAAAAGUGCUUCAAUCUCUAUAUGCUCUUCAGCAUUGUAUAGUGAGCACGGAACUCCCUGCAAACAAAUGUUCUGGGGUGGCCUGGUGAGAUAAUUGUAUGUAAUGGUAUGUAGGAGACAAGCUUUUGGUUUUUGGCUCAUGCCUCUCUGUCUGGCUGGGAUGAGUCAUAUGUCAACAUCUGCUUGUCUGCUACAGCGCAGCAUUCAACACAUCUCAGCUUACUUAGUCAUUGGUGGUCCAACGCGGUGCUAGGUCUGAGUGGGAAAAAAGAUGAAUUUCAAGCAGUUGAAUCUUAGCCACAGAUUUGACUACUGCAAUCCUUGACAUGUAAUGAAUUCUAAGCUGGGAGAUGUCAUGGAGAGUAGCUGAAACAUAUAGAUAGCACGUGAUGGGCUCAAAUACAAAAUGAGGUCAAUAUUAGUAAUUUAAGGACACUCUACCAAUAAAAAAACAUCUGGAACAUGUUUAGGUUUAUAUUUUCACCUUUUCUAUUUAUCCCACUUUGGCCUUAAUUUAAUCAGAGAUGAUAGUUUUUUUUUCCAGCAGUUUAUUGCUCCCGCUAAGCCCUUUAUCAGUUUGGAUCAAUUCAAUUAAAGCCCCUAAAAGCUUAACAGAAGUUGUUAUUAUUAUAUUAUUAUUCUCAGUUUAAAUAUCUGGUAAUUUUCCAAAAAACAAUACCUAUACUUUACAAUAAAAAUAUUGGCUUAGGUCAUUUAAGUCCAUUUAUUUUGUGUACAUUGCCUGAUAUAUGGCCUUAAAGGAUUCGACAAUUAAAGUUGUCGAUAAAUACUUUUUUUUAAAAAUAUUUGUUUGCUUGGCAGCACUAGCUGCAAUAGGGAACAUGGUUUAAAAAAGAGCCUAUGUCUUCAAUAUGACCCCCAUUUUGUAUAAGAGAGGUCUAAUACCUUCCUUAGGUCAAAUGAGCCAUUACGAAGGUGUAGGCAUGUCUACCAAACAGUGCGCAGCCAGCAGCUGCUCGCUAUAAUUAAAAACUAGUGACAGGGUAGCUAUUGAUGUCCAAUCACUAUUUAAAAUACAAGCAAGGGCUGGCUGACAAUUAGAUAAUGGAGGGUGGAUAGGUCACUGUUUAUUCCCAUGGUCCCAUGCAGUGGCUUUUGUAAAUUUAAAAAAAAAGGGAGGACAUAUGGAAGGCCUUACCCAUGAACUACUGAUGGGGGCUAUUAAAGGACCAUUAUAGUGCCAGGAAAACAUACUUGUUUUCCAGGCACUAUAGGGUCUCUAGGUCCCCCCCACCCUUAGGGCCCCUCUCCCGCCGGGCUCUAGGAGGUGGAAGGGAUUAAAUCUUACCUUUUUUCCGCCGCCGGGCGGUGGGGACGCUCCUCCUUCUUUCCCGCGCAUGCGUAUUCAGCCAGUCCAUAGGAAAGCAUUCUCAAUGCUUUCCUAUGGACGCUGGCGUCUUCUCAUUGUGAAAAUCACAGUGAGAAGCGUGGAAGCGCCUCUAGCGGCUGUCAAUGAGACAGCCACUAGAGGCUGGAUUAACCCUAUUAUAAACAUAGCAGUUUCUCUGAAACUGCUAUGUUUACAGCAGAAAGGGUUAAUUCUAGAUGGACCUGGCACCCAGACCACUUCAUUAAGCUGAAGUGGUCUGGGUGCCUAUAGUGGUCCUUUAAGUAAUAAACAGGGGGUAGCAUGGUUUGAGGACAGGGACUAUUGAAAAAUAAAGAAAUCCUCAAAUGGGAAGUAUUGAUGACAAGAGGGGAUGAACUUACAUUGUCUAUCUAACCCAAACCUGUGGCCAAGCGCCACCUCCAGGUGGUUAAGGGUCACCAAUCACCAAGCUCCCCACCACAAUAGUGGGGAGCAGGGGGGUGUCCAAAAAAUCUAAAGUCAUAUGUAAAAAAAAAUCAUACUUACCUUUAGAUGUCUUGUUUUUUCUUAAAGGGAAACUCCAAUGCCAGGAAAACAAUUUGUUUUCCUGGCACUGCAGGUCCCCUCUCCCUCCCACCACCCAUCCACGGUUGCUGAAGGGGUGAAAACCCCUUCAGUGACUUACCUAAGACCACUGCCGAUGUCCCACGUCUCUGCUUCUUCCUCCGUGCCGCUCCUCCCUGUGAUUGCACAGCCACUAGAGGUGGAAUUAACCCUGCAAGUUAAUUAUUGCAGUUUAUAAAAAAACUGCAAUAAUUACACUUGCAGGGUUAAGAGUAGUGGGAGUUGGCACCCAGACUACUCCAAUGGUCAUAAGUGGUGUGGGUGCCUGGAGCGUCCCUUUAAUUCCUUCUGCCCCACAAAAGUUCAAAUAAAAGUCCAUAAAAACCGAUGCGACUAUAAGAAAUAUUUUUGCAAAAAAAAUUAAUCCGUCUUAACACAGCAAGGGCUUUACACAAAAUAAGCUUCCAAGCUUCAAUAAUUCACACACAUUUAAAUCUCAGCUAGAGUGCUUUGAUUGGUUGGAUAGUAAGAGAAAGCCCUUGGAGUGCGUGAAACGCAUAGACUAAAGCUGUCAGGGUCUUGCUAGUGACCAGUAUAGGUGAGAGGACAGACAGCUAUCUUGUGGAAAUACAUCAUCUGCUCCCGGUCUGUAUUGACAGGAUAAGUGUCAACAGAUUACACUGCCUGGAAUGUUUUUAUCUCCCCUCCUGUUCAGUCAAUCACCAAAUCCUGCCGCUUCCAUCUCAAAAACAUAGUGCGCAUCCGCCCUAUUUAAAGUUGGAAGUGGCUAUGGUGCUGGUCCAUGCUGCUGUCCUUUCUUGCCUUGACUUGUGCAAUCCACUUCUCAGUGGUCUUGUGCACUCUCUUGUGCAUUCCCACCUUGUCCCUUUACAAUCUAUAAUGAAUGCGUCAGAAAGGCCUAUCUACCUGUCCAUCCACAUCUCCCAUACAUCCCCCUUUAUAAGUCUGUACAUUGCCUCCCACUAAGAUAUAGGACUCUAUUGAAAAUUCUAGUACUUGUUUGCAAAUCUCUAUACCUGCUCCUACCUACCUAUCCUCACUAAUACACAAGUAAACAGGCCCCUAUGCCCUGCCGUAGACCUGCAUCCAUCCCCAGUUCGUACACAGACUCUGAUCUCAAGUUCAAGUUUUCUUAAGGGUUGCACCCUAAACGCUGGUUUUUCUUACUUCUUCCUUUCUCUCAUAGGCAGAAUGUGAGGGGUUAAGAAUUACAAUGAAUCGUCAUGUCAGAACAAAUGUUCCUUCAGAAGGAAUUAAGUUAUAUUCAAGUGGAGAUCACUGGGGUCCACUAUUAACCACAAGGAGAGUAGUGAAAUGCACAUCCAUAAUUCCCUCACACCACAGUUAAUAUAUCUGGGCAGGUUAAUGUAUCAUUCCCCACAGACCUUGCUCUCCCUUGAAUUAUGUUGCAGUUCCCUAUGUGGAAAUGACUUGUUAACGAGGUCAGAUGAUAGGCAGAAAGGUCUCAAAUACUGAAGUAAGCCCUUAUAAAAACCGUAGCAUACAAAAGGGCACCUAUGCAUGCACAUGUAGAACCCUGAAGAAGAUGGUUUAUGGCAGAAGAUGGCUUCUUUGAGCUAGGAACCGAAAGAUGAGGCUUAAGUAGACAUAUGGUCACUAAAACUGGAUGACUGAAUACUGAAUAAACCUUGCCUGGUCUAAUGAACAAGGAGAUAUUUAUUCUUAAAAGAGUACUGUAAUGGAGCUCCCUGUACCCCGGCUGGGUACCUCAGCCAAGGACCGCUUCCUAGCUGGAACCGGGGACAAACCUCAGCACUCCUGCCCCCAGUCGCCGUGACAUGACUGCGGUCAUGAAACCACUCCGUCCAGGAGCUGAAUGGGGAAACUCCCUCUAUCCACUCCCAGGCACUGGUCGACACUCAGUCCUGGGAGUUCUAGUCCUUACAAGGACUUUCCCCAUUGAAUCCUCCACACUGGAACAAGCUAGAGUAGUGAUUAGCCCUUUCCCCUCUCAGCAACCAGACACAUAGUUCUGGGAGUACAAACUGGAAUUCUUUAAUCUGGCCAGAUGGCCUGCAUUUAUAGAAUUUCAGACACAGUUAAGCACCCCCCUGACACUCCCCCACAAACAGGCUAAUCCCUCACCUGGACCUGAGAGGGGACUAGUUAUAAGUUAUAAACUCUUCCUCUGUAUCUGAGAUAUAAUUGAGUCAGGAACUGAACUAACUCAAUUAUCUCCCCGCACAGAAAAACAUACAAUAUUACAAACCCCCCAAAAUACCUUUAAAACACAUAAAAACCCCACAUACAUCUCCUGAUAGCCCCCAUCUGGGUGACAAACAUAUCCAAAAAUCACCCAGACUGGUUCAGGGGUUUUGGAAUUUUCAUGGAAGUCAUAAUUUUGACCAACCAUGCACAUUGUCCUAUGCCCAAAACAGUUCCAUGAAAUCAGUGCUAACGGUCGGUCACGUUGGGUAGACUUUUACAGGUUUCCCUGCAGGGCCCAUAGUCCGUGGGCAGAAGGCUGGCAAGCAGGAUCCUCCAGGAGCUCGUGGCAAACUCAUGUGGGAAGGGGAGUAUGUCACAGGUACUUUGUCAAGCCAUUUGAAAACAGUUUGAACAAUCUCUUUUUGCACCAUAUCCACUGCAAUGAGCUGCAGUAGAUAUUAGCCAUUCUAGCGUUCAUAUCAACCUCACAAAUGACUGACUUUAUGGUUUAUUCAUUAAACAGUGAAUCAUGGUGAAAGGAAAGAUGUAUAAUAACUGGUAAAUUUUUCCAACUUAGAAAUAUUUUCCUAGAUUUUGCAAUUCAGUUUUCAAAUAAUUACAUUUCACUAUCCAGUAAAAAGAAAAGGAUAUUUACAUAGAAACAUAGAUAAGAACCAUUCUGCCCAUCUAGUCUGCCCAAUUUUCUAAACACUUUCUUUAGUCCCGGGCAUUAUCUUAUAGUUAUGAUAGCCUUAUGCCUAUCCCACGCAUGCUUAAACUCCUUUACUGUGUUAACUUCUACCACUUCAGCUGGAAGGCUAUUCCAUGCAUCCACUACCCUCUCAGUAAAGUAAUACUUCCUGAUAUUAUUUUUAAACCUUUGUCCCUCUAAUUUAAGACUAUGUCCUCUUGUUGUGGUAGUUUUUCUUCUUUUAAAUAUAGUCUCCUCCUUUACUGUGUUGAUUCCCUUUAUAUAUUUAAAUGUUUCUAUCAUAUCCCCCUGUCUCGUCUUUCCUCCAAGCUAUACAUGUUAAGAUCCUUUAACCUUUCCUGGUAAGUUUUAUCCCGCAAUCCAUGAACCAGUUUAGUAGCCCUUCUCUGAACUCUCUCUAAGGUAUCAAUAUCCUUCUGAAGAUACGGUCUCCAGUACUGUGUACAAUACUCCAAGUGAGGUCUCACCAGUGUUCUGUACAAUGGCAUGAGCACUUCCCUCUUUCUACUGCUAAUACCUCUCCCUAUACAACCAAGCAUUCUGCUAGCAUUUCCUGCUGCUCUAUUACAUUGUCUGCCUACCUUUAAGUCAUCAGAAAUAAUCACCCCUAAAUCCCUUUCCUCAUAUGUUGAGGUUAGGACUCUAUCAAAUAUUCUAUACUCUGCCCUUGGGUUUUUACGUCCAAGAUGCAUUAUCUUGCACUUAUCCACAUUAAAUGUCAGCUGCCACAAUUCUGACCAUUUUUCUAGUUUACCUAAAUCAUUUGCCAUUUUGCUUAUCCCUCCUGGAACAUCAACCCUGUUACAUAUCUAAGUAUCAUCAGCAAAAAGACAUACCUUACCAUCAAGACCUUCUGCAAUAUCACUAAUAAAAAUAUUAAAGAGAAUGGGUCCAAGUACAGAUCCCUGAUGUACCCCACUGGUGACAAGUCCAAGCUUCGAAUAUAUUCCAUUAACUACAACCCUCUGUUGCUCAGCCACUGCCUUACCCAUUUAACAAUAUUGGAAUACAAACUUAAAGAUUGCAGUUUAUUGAUAAGCCUUCUAUGUGCAACAGUGUCAAAAGCCUUACUGAAAUCUAGGUAAGCAAUGUCUACUGCACCACCAUGAUCUAUAACUUUAGUUACCCAAUCAAAAAAAUCAAUAAGAUUAGUUUGGCAUGAUCUCCCUGAAGUAAACCCAUGUUGUCUCUGAUCUUGAAAUCCAUGUGUUUUUAGAUGUUCAACAUUCCUAUCCUUUAACAUGGUUUCCAUCACUUUCCCCACUACUGAACUUUUAGUUUUUAACUAUUUUGGCCACAUCUGGAAGUACCACAGUGGUUUCUUGAAUUUUUUGCUUUUACUGACAAGCCUAAUGCAAUUUUCUGUUGCCUUACGAAAAACUUUAAAGAAACACUAUAGAGAUAGGAAUACAAACCUGUAUUACUAACGCUAUAGUGUUCCUGACUGUACCACUGUUUGAUGAAUAAAGGUUUAAAAACGCUUUUUUUAAUUACUUCUUUCCAGCAGCAUGGACCCCUUGGUGCUGAUUAGGUCUCCUCUUCUCACUAUGUGAGAGUGAUGGUGGGACCAAAUGCGCAUGCUCGGCGCUCAUACACACUCAUGAAAACCCAUAGGAAAGCAUUAAUUGCAAAGUGUGAGGACAUCCAACCUUGUUUCACGGAGUGAAACUCUAUGAGGCACCAAGAAGAGCCUCUAGUGGCUGUCUGAAAGACUGCAGUUUUAAAAAAAAUGACAGGGGCACUGAACCUAGAAAACCUCAAUGAGAUAAAGUGAUCUGGGUGCCUAUACUGUCCCUUAAAUUUCAAAGCACAUUGCAAAAUAUAAGCUAAAAUACCCAUAUUGUUAGCUAAAAUGUAAAAUUCGAUUUUUACUUUGCAACGAUUUGGUAUCUAGUUAAUACAUUUGUUCAUGUCAGUCUGUAUGGAAAUAAAGUACAAAUUAACAAAACUAGGGUCAUAUUUUUCAGGCCAAUGUACAUGAGCUGGAAAAACAACUGAGUUGAACAAUUUUCCAGUUUAGCUAUCUUGUUAUAAAAUUUGCAAUUGCUCUGAACACUUUCCAUAUUAUUAGAAUUAACCGUAUCGUUAAGUAUUUCAUACACCAACACAACUUAUAUGUGUUUUGAAGGUUUUGAUCUAAAUGUGCAUAUUUUAAAUUCUGCAGCACUUAAAGUGCUUGCUGAAGUGCUGUGUGUGUGAAGGAUGUCCUCUUUUUUAUUUUACAAAAGUCCAGAUUUCAACAGAAAUAAUUAACCUUUUUACACCCCUAACUGUCAAUCAGACAACCAGUCUUGUUAUUUCCUGUUUGUUUCACUCAGUGGAGCUAAAAUCAAGAGAGAGCAAUUUCCCAGAGCACCUGCCUUGCAAAGACUUCUCAUUGAGCUGCAUUGCGAAGUCUGUGAUUGGACAGCCACAGAAAGUAUAGGCUAGGGAAGAAGAGGAUGGCUUGCAAAGACUUCAGACAAGUGAACUGUAUGUUUUUAUUGGGGGUAUAAUUGCUAAACUGUGUUUUUUCCCCACCAGGGCAGUGGAAAGUUCCUUUAAAGUCACUUCCAAGUUGAUGCUGACUCAAUUAAGCAGUUUUGGUGUAUAAACCAUGCACCUGCAGUCUCACUGCUCACUUCUCUGCCAUUUAGGAGUUAAAUCACAUUGUUUAUAAAAACAAUGGUCACACCUCCCUGUGUGUCACUUGUACAGCCUCCUUAAACAAUUUAUGUAAUAUAGAUCUAAUGUUUAAGCAUCCUUUAAUGCACAAUCUGUUUAAUUUAGAAUUUCCUGCUCCUGUGUGUGAUUAAAGUUCAAUUUACAGAGCAAGAGAUAAACACUUCUAAUGCAAUUUAACAUCUGAUUGAAAAUGAAACCAAAGGUUUAUUUGAAUAAACUUUAUUUGAAAAGCAAUAUUAAAAACAAUAAAAGUACAAUUAAAAUAGGCCAUUUCACUUGGAAAAAUCCUUUUUUAAUGGGUAAAAUUUGUUAGUUUGUUAUCUUUUUAAUAAUUUUUGGACCUUCCUGUUAUCCAGACGUCUGGAGAAACUCUUCUUUGGUAGGAAACAUCCCACCAAACCUUUGGGUUGAUCAAAACCAAGUUUUGCUCCAAGUCAGGGACUACAUCUCCUGUUAUUUCUAUUUAAUUUAUCGCACAGUGUGCACUAUUUAUUAUUACUUGCUUUUACAUAUGUCACAGUGAGGAUUUUAAUUGCUACAUUUUCAAGGGUGGGAAUCGCACACACAUUCCAAAGUGGGAUCAAUCCACUCCAAGCACUACACAAGGAGCCUUUAGAAGGCUCCAUAAAAUGUGAUUGUGCACUGUACAUAUACUUUACCCACUAUAUUGGAUCCCUGACGUACUACACUAUAUUUGUGUUUCUGUUUCUUUUAUAUUUCUGGUCCACACCCUUUGGAUCAAGUCUAUAUCCUUAGGCAGGGAAUGUACCGCCCAGGUGCAGAAUCUGGAGCUACUCUACAGCUCCAAAACACAGGAAGUGCAAUUCCUCCUUUUCUCCUCCAUGUCCAUUUGUUAAUCUACUACAUUAUAUUCGUUUUGUUUGUCCUCUCUCUCAUUUCAUAAUUACCUGGAUUUGAGGACCACAUGAAGGCGCUGAUUCUCUCUUUUCCUCUCUCUGGUUUGGGGUGUUUCAAACUGUCAACUACAUUAUACAAGUGCGAAAAAACCUUUGUAUCUUCAUAUAUUUAACAAUUUAUAGCAAUGCAGUAAUAUUCACAUAUUAAUGAAAUGUAUUCCUAUUAUACUGUCCAACUGUGGUUGCUAUAUCACCAACUUAGAAACCACACAUUUUAGGGCUUUAUAUCUUGGUCGCUAAAAGGUAAAUGAGUUUGGGUGGACAUUAGCCAAACAUGGGCCUGAAGGUAAAAUGGUGCAAGUUUGUAUUUUUGGUUGCAAAUAUCUAUCGGCUGUUAGUAAAAACAACAGUAUACAGCUGAUAUUAAGCAACCAAUUUGGAAUCAAGUCCUCUUUAGGGAAAUGGUUCCAAUCAGGUUAUUUUGGUCUCUGAAGAGCUGCUGUUUGUACACUGCUUAAAAUUGCUGUUUAGUGAAUGAGCACUUAAAAUAAUCUAUAAAUUUUAAUACAAACGAUGCACACGUUAAAUUAAUAAUAUAGUUAUGGGCGGAAGUUGUUGUUUUUUGACAUGUUAACAGAAAGUCUGAAAGUCUAUAUUUAUGUUGAAUUCCCACUGAUAUUAAUUCCCUUUCUGUUGGCACAUACAUUUGGACUGCUUGGAGAGAGAAAAAAAAAUUGUCUGGAAAAAAUUGCAGGAAAGGGUGUGCACUUGGAAGCUUAUUCAGCGCUCCUUAUACAAGUCUUACAAGUGUGCGUGCUGGCAAAUAAAGUAUGCAGGACAGAAAAUAAAAUUAAGAUGAAAAAAUAAUAGAAAGGGAGUUGCCCUUUUUGCUUACAGCAACAUUUUCUAACUCGGUACAGAUAUAAAAAUAGGUGUAACAGUAAAGAACAUUUCCUAUUGUUCUGCGGGAGGAGGAAAAUAAAUUCUAUAUAUUCCUGUCUCCUCAGAAAGGCAAGGCGUUACCUAGACGAAACAUCUUGGGAGUUGGGAACACAGGGAGAGAAUAAAUUAAAAAGAAAACAACAAUAAAAACAAAACAAGCGAGCAUUGCGUCACAGUAAUUAAAAUAAUUUAAUUAAAAAAUAAGACACUGCCAUAGCUCAUAAUUAUAAUUUUUUUGCUCUAGAAAGUUGUACUUCUACUAACGUGUCCAGCGCUGAAACUGUUAAGACAGGACUUGUUAUAAAAACCACACCCUGACGUCUGACGAGAAACAAUGGUUUUUUUUCACACUAACCCUUGCUGCCAACGUCCAUGAUAGAUUUACAGGGUUAUUCACAUUUAAGGCCAGAGUAGCUGAACGAAAACUAUAGCUGACUUAGAGAAUUGGUUCCAGUUCGUCUACUUAGGCCUCAUACUAAAAAUUCACUUUGAACUCCCCCAUUAGUGAAAAAAACCCUGCUACUCAAAGAAUUUGCACAGCUUUGUUUCAAAUUGAGUAUUUUGGUCUAUAUUUUUCCUGUCUUUCGUUAGCGUAUCACAACUGAUUUGUUGAACUGCUCAGUGAAUACAUCCUGGAAAUAAUUUGUAGGAGCAAUAAUGGUAACAAAUAUACCUUUGUUAUUGGGUGGUAUUCCUCAUACAGACAGUAAUGAGCUAGGUUGGCUAAAAGGUAGACCCCUGGGUUGUUUAAAGACUAACAUUCCCAUAGUCCGUCAGGCUGGCAGAACAUCAUGGGAGUUGUAGUUUCAUGUUAUCUAAUCUAUUGGCUAUCCCUGCUAUAGAGUGUUAAAGGACCACUAUAGUGCCAGGAAAACAUACUCGUUUUCCUGGCACUAUAGUGCCCUGAGGGUGCCCCCACCCUCAGGGUCCCCCUCUCGCCCGGCUCUGGAAAGGGGAAAGGGGUUAAAACUUUCCUUUUUCCAGCGCUGGGCGGAGAGCUCUCCUCCUCCAAUCCUCCUCUUCUCCUCCCCGUCGGCUGAAUGCGCACGCGCGGCAAAAGAUGCGCGCGCAUUCAGCCGGUCACAUAGGAAAGCAUUCAUAAUGCUUUCCUAUGGACGCUGGCGUGCUCUCACUGUGAAAAUCACGGUGAGAAGCACGCAAGCGCCUCGUGUCAAUGAGACAGCCACUAGAGGAUUAGGGGAAGCUUAACCCAUUCAUAAACAUAGCAGUUUCUCUGAAACUGCUAUGUUUAUAAAAGAAUGGGUUAAGCCUAGCUGGACCUGGCACCCAGACCACUUCAUUAAGCUGAAGUGGUCUGGGUGCCUAGAGUGGUCCUUUAAUUACUUUGAGUAAAAUAUAUCUCUUAUUAAUCAAUACUUAAACGUUACUCUUUGUAUAAUUGAGGCUGCGAAUAGACAUGUGCAUUCGUUUUUGGACAAAUGGUAAAAUCAACGUAGACUUUAGUUUUUUUGUUUAUUUAGUCUGAAAACAAAUAACUUAAAGGAACGCUAUAGUGUCAGGAAAACAAACAUGUAUUCCUGACACUAUAGUGGUAAAAUGGCUAUUUAGGUCCCCGGCCCCCUUCUCCGCCUUGUUCCGCCUCCAUAAUGAAAUAGGAUGAUUUUAUCCAAUCUAAUUAUUUUCCGCACCUGUGGACACCAGGCAACCGUCCUUAAGAAGCAUGGUGUUAAAGUGAUGCACUUGUUAUAAUCAAUGUUAUAAACUUUGUCCUUUGCAACAGACGGUCAGUACAGAGAAAGUUUACCGGGACAUGAUGAGAAUACCGUUUCUAUUUCUCCUGCUCAUGUUUUCCUUGAUCUUGCCUUUUCUGAACUGGAUUGUGAUGUAAUUUGCUAAAUAUUUCAUGUAAAUUUAAAAGAAAAUAGGCCAUCUCAUGUAAAGACGUUAACACAAGUUAUAGUUGAUUUUUAAUGUUUUAUUCAAUAGUGCAAACACCACAGAAAUGGUUUUUUUCCCCCUUUAAUGUAGGCAAGGUCUUGACUAGUGGGUGAGUGUAAGAUAUUGGGCUACAGAAGUCUACUUUUAACCUGAGACAUCAUGUACUUCACAUCCAGUCUUUCAAGUCAUAACAUGUCUUCCAUCUCCAGUUCCCUUUUCACCGCAAUAAAAACCUCUAUUUAAUUUGCAAAUUCAGUGCAAUUACAACCUAACAGCUAUGGGUGCGGUAUAUAAGAUAGCAUGGGAAGGAGUCUAACUGAUGGCACACACUGUCUGCAAGGGAAAACCUGGCUAUUGGCAAAUGGACAUUUAAAAAUAAGAAGGUGAUAUUUUAAAUAAAAUUCUUGUUGAUUCUCAUUUAUAAACAGGAAAAUUUUCUUAAAACACUUAACGAUUUAUCAUGUCAAAGAUAAAAUACAGUGGGACCUCGGUUUACGAAUUUAAUGCGUUCCCCAGGAUGUUUCUUAUUGCGAAACAUUUGUAAACCAAAACGCAGUUUCCCAUAGGAAUGCAUUGAAAACCAAUUAAUCCGUCCUUGGGGUCAGAAAAAAAGUCAAAAUGAGCUGGCAUGGAAACCAACCCACAAUGAAGAACACACAAUAAAAGGCAAGCAAACGACGAAGCUCAGCUCCCUACCUUUCCACAGCUUGAGAAAUGCACCAAAAAGUCCCAAAACAACGGCAAACAAUUUCCAGAAUGGCUCCAAAACUCGAUGCAAAAGCCGCUCCAACACCUUCACCCUCUAUGCCACGUGCUACUCGCAGGCUCCAGCAUGCAGGGGGCGGUGCUAUAAACCUCCUAGGUGCAAUACACCCUGGAGAAACUUGCUUUGUAUUGUGAAAAAAGUUUGCAAACCGAGGCAUUAUUUUCAAUGGAGUUUCAUUUGUAAACUGAAAAUUAUGCUAACCAAGGCGUUUGUCGACCAAGGUCCCACUGUAGUUUAAAUAAAAAUUUUAAAUAUAUAACACUGACACAUUGCUGCAUUAUUAAUCUUUAAAGAAAAUGAACUCCUUGUGAUAGCACAAAGCUCCUCCAGUAAGUUAAGAACAGACCAUGCAGUCAAUGAGCUAGCCAAUGAUGCACUCAGCCAAUGAGCUGGCCAAUUACGCACUCAGCCAAUGAGCUGGCCAAUUACGCACCUAGCCAAUGAGCUGGCCAAUGAUGCACUCAGCCAAUGAGCUGGCCAAUGACGCACUCAGCCAAUGAGCUGGCCAAUGAUGCACUCAGCCAAUGAGCCGGCUCUGAAAUACAGAGCUCAGCUCAAGUUCCUUGAAUGAUCCCAGCUCCAGAGCAGGCGCGGGCACCCUGCAGACCUCAGGUAAGUUGUCAAAAUGUUCUUAAAUAGUUUGUCUACUAACUUUGUCAUGGCGCCUGGGCACGCUUGGUACCACUACACUGGUGCAAAGUAGUUAUGGUGCUUGGAAUAUUACUUUAGUCUUGAUAAGCCGUUACUAAACUUUCACUGGCUUUUGAAUUAUAUCACAGCUUUAAGCUUAUAGGCAACCAAGUGAAUUGAUGUUCUUAAUAGGUGACAAGUGUAUAAUUAGCCUAUUAAGUUUUAAUAUGGGGGUGUGUUUUUUUUCGGUAGUUCUGAACAGACAUUUUAGGUAUCGCAUAGAGUAUUUGUUAUCUUGUAGUUACAGUGCUUAUUGGUAUAAAUUGUGGUGGUAUACCCUUGCGAAAAUUGGUUACUACCGGCUAGGUUGUCCCUCCUCUGCAAAGUACCGGUGUCUAACCCAAACAUUGAAUGGUGAAAAAGAACUGUUUUAUUGGCUCACAGUACACAAAUUUACACACAGACACUCAGCAUGGGUUCUCCAUUCAGAAUAACACAAGCCCACCCAGGCGCAUCUGUGUCUGGGAGAUAAAAGAGUCAGCUCUCGGUUAAACUAAUUAUCUCCCGGACACAGAAAGCUGAAUACUUAAAACCCCUGAAAACACAAGAUAAUAUAAUAUAUUGAAGCACCCCCUCAUGACAUACAUCCCUGGAAAGAUCUCUAUGGAGCGCCCAUUUUGUCCAAAAAGAUCCGGCCAGGGUUCCAGAGUGCUGGGUAGAAAUCCCCAGUCACCUAAACACACAGCACUGUCUGUGGGUACAUGGAGCUACCCAAGUCCUUGGUGUCAUUUGAUGCCUCACCACCUCCUCUGUUAACCCUCUUAAAAGCACCAUGUUUGCUGGUCCAGGGACUGAGAGUUCCAGAAGGGUUCAGAGUUACUCCCGGUCAGGCGCACCGUGUCUCAGUGGUUCUCUGGCCGGUAAAGGGUGAUUCUGGGACUGCGAUUAAGUACGGUUGGGUCGGGAGACACGGAAUGGAGGGUCAGCCCAUAGUGAUAAUAGUCUUUUUAGAGAGGGUGAGAGUUGGAGAUACAUGUACCUGGAUUUGGUGACCACAGGGUCCGUCACAUAAAUAAUUAACGAGGAAUUCUAAGCUAGCUUUGUAAAUGUACCUCAAAUUUAGCUAACAGCUCAAACAAUAGUUAAAGGGUUAUUCCAAGAACCAUGACUACUUCAGUAACUUGAAGUGGGCAUGGUGAUUGGUGUCUGAAUGUGCAGUCUUUCGGGUUGAAACGCUGUACACACAGAGUUCAAACCCUUUGCUGUUGGAGGAGUAACUUCACCAUUAUGAAAGCUUCAGCCUUUUCUCAAUUCUGUGCAUAUUUGACGUGUCCUCAGCACACAAAGCAUGUUGGCAACAGACACAGUCCUCCAUUAAUUUUUAGCUUUAUUUCCUGUUUCUUUUUUUUUUUUUUACGUUUUUCUAAAGUGAGGGACCAUUCCAGAAAGGGUUAAAACAAACAUAAACAGUGCUUUAUUAAUAUACUGUUCUGUGUUGGAUUAACCCUUUAAACACUGGUCUUUAUUACGUUUAUUAAAAAAUAAACGUAAUAAAAUGAAAAGAAGUUAUAAAAUUUAUUUUUUAGCAGAGGAAGCAGGCACAGAUCACAAGAUAAGACUUCCCAAAGAUAACACAGAACGCAGUUACAUUUAAGUAAUUCUUGUUCACUUAUUUGUUAAUGUCUUUUGCACACGGAUACUUUAAUUGUGCAUGACUGUUAAACAAAAAAAAAAUAUAUUAUUAUUAUUAUUAUUUAUAUAACGCCAGCAAAUUCCGUAGCGCUAUACAAUGGGUUAUAUAUCUGUUGAUUUCUAAAUCUGUGGAUUAGAAGUUCCAGACUGACUGCAAAUGUGUGUUUGAAGUUUUACUUGAGAUGUUUCUAUCCAAAUACCAACAUUAUCUAAUCUUUUUUUGUAGUGGUGAACUAUAAAGACUCAAGCCAGCGUGACUUCACCACCGGGUAAUCAAAAAUAACAACAAUGAGCUGUUAUGUGGUUCAGCCAGUCUGAUAAGAAUCUCUGUUGUGUCCGGCAGUUAUUUCCAGUUUAGAUUUCUACCGGUGCAAUGUCAAAAAUAAUAAAGACUUCACAAAACUCUCUGGUUCUUGUACGCUGACAGAUUCCAAUCACAUCCCUCUCUUAAUUCUGUUCACCUCUUCACUGAAUGGGACUAAUACUGAUGAGUGAUAACAUUAUUGUUAAUAUUGUGAUUAUUGUUUCAUGUGAAUGUGUCACUGGCUGAAUGCUUUCAAGGUCACUUGAGAAAAGAUCAAGGUGAAUAGGACACAGAUGAGACUAUUAUAUUUUAUAUUGACCUAUUUAAAGAAAAAAUUACUUUUAACACGGAGAGAGAGCACUGACAAGAAAACCUUGCAUUGGACAAACAUCUUUUUUAUUAACAUGUAACGUUUUACUAAUAACACAAAAAAGAUGUUGAUUACUUUGACCUUCUAUAUUGAGAAGUCCUUGAACUAUAUGUCAGUAGUUAGACGGCUCAACAGCAAAGAACACCAACAUGGAAUGGAAUGUUUUUGAUGCACACUGCGCUUGUGAGAUGCAUUUAGUAUAGGGUGCACCAUCAUUCCUCCCAACUGACCCAAAUCCAGAAGAAAACAUUUAAUUGUGGGUCACAUUUAAAGCACAAUGGUGCCAGUCUGAUACAGCGCCACAGGCCCAACCAGGCCAACCUCCCCCACCAGAAUCAGAGAGCUGCUGCAUAGUACUCUAAAUUUCAAUUAUUUAAAUAGCACCAACACAUUCUGCGGCGCUGUCCAAUAGUAAACAAUCCCAACAGUUAAUUCUAACAAAACAAGAAUGACAUAUGGGAACAGUAGGUAAAGAUGGCGCUGCCCAAACAUGUACGCAAUCAAAACAGUCUCUCUGCAGUAUUGCUGCUGCCUGCAAAUAGUCCCUUUUUAGGAAACAAUGUUUUGUGUAAGUGUUGUGUGUGUGUGGAUGGAGGCUGGGGCAGGAUGUUACAUCAUAACCCCGCUCCAGCAUACACUGAGAGAGAACCACGUGGAACGGCAGCAUUAUCUGCUAUGAGGAGGGUGAGAGAGAAGCUGCAUCCCAGCUAGCCACACUAAGCAGGACAAUAAAAAUGGAGGAAGGGGAUGGGACAGAAAAUGAUAUACCUAGGGGUUGAAAUAAAAGAAGGCUGGAAUAGAAGGAGAGAGAAAAGUAGAAAAGUUAGGACUAGGAUAAAGAAAAGUGGUGACUAGGAUGGAGAAAAGUGGUGACUAAGACAGAGGGAGAGAGAAAAGUGGACUACUUAAUUUUUUCAUUCAUAAAUGACUGGUCCACAGGCGCCUCGUGACAUUGCUAUGCCCUUGAGCCAAAAUAUACAUUUCUCAACAGUGGUGCUGCUGUACAGACCGAAAUGUGUACAAAAUACACAUUAAGGGAAAAGCACACAAAGAAAAAUACAGUUUUAAAUCUUACAAGGCUUUUUACAAUGACCUCUCUUAGCAAAUAAAAAUGGGGGUUUAGUCACACCGCAUGGCCGUACCAUGUGUAAGGCCUCCACUGCUUCAAUAUACCCAAUACUAGUAAGUCCUACUAGUGUGUCUUACUUAUCUUCUCUGCUUCACUCCUUACAGAAGCAGGGAAGACCACAGACACUGUCUGACCCAAAGUGCACGGAUACGACUGAAAGAAAUGAGUUUCUCAUUUGUUCACAUAUACUUAAUUUAAAAAGAAAUCUAUUUCCUCUCAAUACUCGAUGAAAGUAUUAUGGCAUUAAAAAAUAUUUUUUAAGGUGACAGUUGUCCUUUAACAUGGGAGAUAAACGUGCUUACAAAAACACAAAUUGCUUAAAGAGACUGCUCAAUAUUAUGAUUUUCCUCUGGUCACUCCUAAAGGCAGUGUAAAUGUGGUGUGCUCAUACCUUUGGGUAAAUCACCAUGUCCCUCACUAAAAGUGACUACAGAAAAGCUUACAUUUGAUUAGAGACUCUGUAAGCGUUUAAGCAGAAAGUUUAGCAGAUAGCAUGGUUACUACACAUGUUAACAUGAAUGUAAGACUCGCCAUUAAUUGGGGUUACUUUGAAGCAGAGGUAAGCCUAAACAUGCUAUAUAUUGGGGAAACCAAAUCCUGAAAUGUAUUUGCUAAGAUAGCUGAAUUAAGGAAACAGGAGACUGUCCUGGAGAGCUGUUGAGGGCAAACAUUGUGCCUAUCCCAAAAGCAGACAAAGACCUAGUAAAUAUAGGUAAUUAUAGGCCCAUAACAUGAAUUAAUACAGAUAUUAAAAUACUAUCUUCCAUUAUAGUUGAUAGAUUAAAAACAGUAAUACCACAACUUAAUAAUGAUCAAGUCGUAUUUAUACCAUGGAGGUCCUCAGUUAACAACCUUAGAAAAAUAAUAAACAUAAUGGAGGAAGCAGAGAGCAGUGGAACCCCUUUAAUACUUCUGUCAAUAGAUGCAGAGAAAGCGUUUGACAGGGUUGGAUGGGGUUUCAUGUUCGCCCCUUUAAACUGCUUUGAAAUUACUGGAUCAAUCCUACAAGCCGUGUCUGCUUUCUACAGCUCUCCAUCAGCCAAGAUAACAGGGUCAGGUUUAACAUCACAAAAUUUUAAUAUAAAAAAAUGGGACCAAAUCUCAGAUCUGCCUUUCCUUAGCUCAACUCCAAACCAAACUCACCCAGUACAAAAUAUACGAAAGAAUGGCGAUACUAUCUCCACAAAAAAACCUUGAAUUUGAUAUGAGCUGGAGGGACUGGGAGGGAGAGGUGGACGAGACAAAAAGGUCAGACAUGAAUAACUAAUGUACCAUCAACAAAUGGACAAGCAUAAGAAACCACCCCCAUUGCGAGUAUACCGACGACCCAAACUCAGACACCGGCAAAACCCAUAAGCAAAAUUGAUACCGCCAGAGGUAAAAAAAAAUAAUAAAUCCAAUAAAGAGGUAGCCAAAGUAUCCACACUUUGUGUGGAUAAUAAUAUAAUAUCGGGCAAUAAUAUCAGGCUGUUUCAAAUCUUCAGUAAUAAAGCCACCAUUUCUUAUCAACCUAAACUGAGAUGCUCGACAGUGUGCUAAAGUGGACUCAGUAAACUGAUGCAGUAUUUCAAAUCAGGAAUAUUGCAACAAUAUAUAUCUGAAAUGGAAACUUUGUGCAGCAUCCCAACAAAGAAAUAAAUGAAUGUUACAAUCAGUUACGAAUAUAUCAGAAACACAUUUAUAUGGGGAAAUAGACACCGGUAAUUAUGACAGAGAGGUUAUGCUCACUGUAUACAAAACAGAGCUAGUAACCAUCUAGAUAAACAACAUAAGAAAUGGAUAAAAAAUAUAUAUGCAUAUAAAGUGUACCUGACCUCGGUGUGGGCCCCCACAAGAGGUAAAAAAAAUUAUAAAUCCAAUAAAGAGGUAACCAAAGUAUUCACACGCCACUUGAAUGAACUGGUAAUGGAAGGCAGCAAUACGGAUAAAUACAAACAGGUGAACCUAUCCUGAGUAAACCUACGCCCUGAUACCGCAGUCGGGAUCUUCAAAAAAGACUGCAGUAUAGCCUCGAUGAUGGAAGCCCAGGGAUGUAGAGAGAUAUAUAUGCAGAUGAAAGUUGCCCGUAAUAGAUAUCCCUCGUCAAAAUAUCGUGGUCAGCAAUCAGUAGGGAGACUUUAGGCACCAAAGAGUCAGAUGGAAUGAAGAUAAAAAACAGCCGAUAAAAGUGUGUACGUUAGUCAACGCAUUUCGUCCCCCAUAAAAUAAAUCUGGAAAAAUCAACAUUUAUAGCUAAAAAUAUGAAUAAAAGGACUAUUAAACUGCUUGUACAGAACACGGGGCUACCCAAAAACAGCGACAGACUAAAAUAUCUGGGUAUCAACAUAACUUCAGAAUCAAAAGAUUUAAUAGAACUUAACUUUCUACCCCUACUAAAGCAAACUAACAGAAAUUUAAGGUAUUGGAAAGGCAUGGGUUUCUCAUGUUCGGGUAGGAUUAACAUCUUAAAAGCAUUUAUCCUGCAAAAAUGGUUGUACCUUUGCAGAAUGAUUCCAAUUAAUUUCCCAGAAAACUGGCUGUCUCUGUUACACUCUCAUUUUGUUAAAUUUAUUUGGGGGGCAGGAAACCAAGAGUCAAAAUGAAAGUAUUGGCCAGAUCAAGACAGGAUGGAGGCUUGGGGUUCCCAGAAGUUUUAAAAUGUUAUCAGGACAGCAGACUAUUUCAUAUAAUGCUCACACAAAGCAAGGCGGCUACUCAAGAAAUAUGGUAUAAAAUGGAAAAAGCUAAAACUGUUAAAACUGCUAAAAAAUUAUUAGAGAGGCACAAAGCAAAUCUCAGAUACUUAAAGAGCUAACGAGAUGGUGGGAUACACAUACAAACAAGAAAGGCUUUAGAAACAAAAUAAUUGAUACGCUCCUUUUCGCAAGUAUCUCAGAUAUGUUAGAAAAUAUAAAAACAGACUUAUGGAUGCUAAAAGGGGUAAAGGAAUUUAAAGACAUAAUGGAGGAAUACAACAUUAAACCUUUCAACCAAAUUAUGAAGGACUUUAACAUUCCCCCCAGUGAAAUGUUCAACUAUCUGCGUAUUAAAAGCUUUCUAGUAACACCUCUUUAAGAAUAAGGAGGAGGAUACCAUAACUCUUAUACAAUUAUUUGAAUUAAAGAACUAUAAAAACCUAAUGGCAAAAUGUGCUAAAGUUGUAUAUAGAUGGAGACAUGACAAACCAAUAGCAUUGAUUAAUAAAUGGGUAAAAGAACUACAUGUACCUGUAGAACAAGAACAAUGGAUAAAAUCCCUAAAUAAGUUGAAUAAAAAUAUACACUGCCUAAAUCUUUUAGAAACCCAGUUUAAACUAUCAAAUAGAUGGUAUUUAACACCCAAACACCUAAAGAACUCCCAGACAGAUGCUGGAAAUGCAAUACUGCUGAAGGUAAUAUGACCCAUAGUUGGUGGCAGUGCACACCCAUAAAUACAUUUUGGAAAUAAGUAAACAAGAUAAUAUAUCAAAUAACGGAAAUAAAACUACCCUGUAAGCCUGAAGUGGUUUUACUAAACUUGCACUGUCCAGAAAUGACAAAAAACCAUUAAUGGUGUCAUUACAUUUAAUUAUGGCAGCCUAAUUACUUCUUGCAAGAAAUUGGAAAACAGAGACAAUUCCAAAUAUCAACGAAUGAAUAAAACAAGUAACAUGGCAAGCAAGAAUGGAAAGAGGUAUACUAGUAAACUUGGGAAACAGAUAUAAACAAAUAGAGGACUGGGAUACAUGGAUAAAUAGACUGGAUGAUUUGCUAGGCCUUCGGUGUUCCACAUAGUGACCUGACUCUUCUCGUUUAGAUUCUUCCUUCCUGACUUUGCCCUCUACCAAGGAGCCACAAAAGAUCAGAGGAAGGGAGAGGAGGUGAAGGGAAAAAAAAAAGAAAGAAAGGGGUAAUACAACCCUGAACCAGGCAGACAGACAAAUAGAAUAUCAAAACAUAGAAACCAUACAAGAGGCUCUCGUACUCUCCAGGAUUAAAUGUGCAGGGUACAGGCAAGAAACCUACAUUAAGGAAUAGAUAGAACUAGGGGGGGACCCAGGUGGAAGGGAUGGGUAGAUUAACAAUCCAGCAAUAUAUUGAUGAUGACAUUGCACCAAAGCCCACUUCACACAAGUAAUACAAAGCGUAUGCAGGACUGGUACAAGUCUGAAAUAAAAAUAAAAAAUAAAAAAUGUAAAAAAAGAUAGCUGAAUUAAAACUGUUUUAUUUUUACAGCAUGAAGGUGACUCAAGCCAUAUAUUAUUUUAAGUCACCAACCAUCAAAUAUGUUUCAUCUUAUAUUUGAGCUGAUAGUGGUGUGUUUGAAAUCACUGUUUGAUGGGACGUAGCUUUAUAGAGGAAAUGUCACUUGUAGGGUCUUUGCAUUUUUCCAAAAAUCACUCAAAGGUGAAAUGUCAACUUCUCUAGCUGCAACACUGAGGAAAGAGCAAAGGUUUAUAAACCUCUCUCUCCUUUGUGCCACCAAAAGCCAGAGGAAAAAUGGAUAGCUAAUGGAAUGGAAGGAAUACUAUAUACUUUGUAGAUCAGGAGUAGGCUACCUUUGGCAAUCCAGGUGUUGUGGACUACAACUCCCCUGAUGCAUUAUGGGAGAUGUAGUCCACAACAUAUUCAGUGCUGAAGGGUGCCUACCCCUGCGAGAUAGAAUAUGUUGCAGGCAAGGUAGUAAGAAUAUUAGCCAGUAGCCAUUGCUCUAUGCCUGAUGGCAAAUGGAAAGAUAUGGCAGUGAAGAGGCUUGCAGCACCAAAUUUUGCCAAACAUUGUCUCUUUCUUGUAAUGAUUUUUCCCGUAUUGUCUUAUCUUGGGUAUUUCAAUGCAAUCAGAUUCAAAACAUUAAAGUGGCAGAGAAAAAAAAACAGAAAUAGAAAAAUAAACAAAUAUUUUUACAACUUUAAUAAACUUGAGGCCAGGCAAAUACAUGUGUGUAGAGUUUUACUAACAAAGCUUGGCUCUUCAGCUAAGAUUUAACACACAAGAUUCCAACAAUUGUUUUCUGAGUGCUAGUAGUCUGAUCUAGACUGUGCUUCCAAGGCUAAACAAAAAGAAAAAGGGCGAGGGAGAGAUACUGCAGCCUGUGCCUCUUUAUCAAGCUUCUUAAAUAAAAAUUGUUUCCAUCGGUUGCGCUGCUUCACCAGAUGUUGGCUGUUAAAUUCUGCAGACGCUACAGUUCAUGACUCCUCAACGAACGGCUGCAUGCCACAUCUGUAGCUGAUGAAACAGAGUGUAGAAGUGUGGCAGACAACGAGGGGAAAGAAAGUGUGAGCGAGGGAUAGACAGAGACGCAGCUUGGGCCAAGUGAAUUGUCUUCAGUCCUUGACUAAAAAUAGACACAGGCACACACUUAAGCAGGCUCUGCUCUCUCUCCAGCACUUAAAAAAGCCUUAUUGUCUAUCCUAUUACAGAGUCAGCCUAUCAUAGAAAUUUCCUGAAAGCAGCUUCAGCUGUGGAGAAAAUGAGCACAUCCAGGAAAGAGAGAGAGUUCACACAGAGGCAGCAAACUGUGACCGCGUUCUAUAAGAAAGAGAAAAAAAAAUCUUCCCUCUUAGAUCCUUGUUAACUUGGCCCAACUCCAGAAUCAUCUGGGCCCAGGAGAAAGGCAAUCCUAAGACUGCACAGACCUGGCAUGAUAGUAAGAGAUUUACAUAUGCAAAACUGUGAAGCAACAGGCGAUCCCCUCCUCAAUUGACCCACACCUUGUAGCGGCUGCUGAGUAAUUCCCGGUUUGGGCACCGCAACCAAGUGGGCGUCAUGUGAUUACCAUCUGGGUACCACUUUGUUAUAGCUGGCAGCCUUCCUGUUACAGGCAAGCUGGCAAAGAGGAGAGAAUAAAUUGCAUCAUUUAGUUCCCAUCCAAUCACUUUACGGCUGUUAAAAAGCCAUGACAGAAUAAUAAUUUGGUUAUUGCUUUUGCCAGAUGGAAAAUAUGCCAGAUUUAUUUGGUGUUCAAUGGGGGGGGGGGCGGGGGUGGGAGCAAACAAAGUUUUGAUAUUUUUUUUUAUAAUUAAAGAAAUUCCUAAAUUUAAAGAGGCAAUGUCACUUGUAAGUUCUUCUUAAAGAUACAAUCAUUAUUAUUAUUAUUAUUUUGUUAUUUAUAUAGCGCCAUCCUAUUCCAUAGCGCUGUAUAAUGGGUGGACUAACAGAUAUGUAAAUGUAACCAGACAAUUGGACAUACAGGAACAGAGAAGGGGAGGGCCCUGCUCAAUGAUCUUACAUUCUAGAGGGAGUGGGGUAUAGUGACACAAAGGGUAAAAGUAGGGGUAUGAAGUAGGUUGUUAGAAAAGUUUUCACUGAGGGCUUAGUAGGUAAUUUAGACAGUUGCAGGAGAGGGGUCAUGGGGUGUGGGAAAUAAAAACCUGCUAACAGUUUAAUUGAUGUGCUUUCUUGAAGAAGUGAGUUUUCAAUGAUUUUUUGAAUGAGUGGAGACUGGUUGAAAGUCUUACGGAGAAGGGAAGGGAGUUCCACAGAGGAGGUGCAGCCCUGGAGAAGGUCUUUGGCAGAGCGUAGGGGCCUCAACGGGACAUACUUGUGUAUUAUGAAAUGAUUAUAUACUAUUUUGAAUUUCCCUGAAAUUCUAUCGGAAUCAAAAGAUGACACACUGUCCUAUUAUCGUAACUAUGGAAAAAGGCAGAGCCUUAACGAGGUUCUGCUUGGUGUACUUUGCCAUUUCCCAUCAACCAGCACUUGUCAUGACUAAUGAGAAAAGGCAUCUUCAUGCACAAUCUACGCAAUUCUAAUCUUGUUUCAUUUUAAAUUGAAAUACUUAACUGGCUAAUUUUUCUAGGUGUUCUUGAUUUUAACCAAGGGGCAUAGUAUAAACUAUAGGUGAUUCUAGGUUCCAAAAACAUCAGGGGCUUGAACCCCCCCAAAAAGGUUGAUGAUUUCUACAGAGAGGUGGAGAUAUGUCAUGACAUGGCCCUGCCUUUCUAUGUUGUGUGCCCUUAUUUUUACCCAUGAAGAGCAUGCAGGUUGGGCUCUACAGGAUCCAAUGAAUGCACAGCCAGGUAUUCGAUGUGAUCCCACCAUACUACCUAGCUAAUAGAGGGGAUGCAGCAAAAUUCUCUUCCUGAGCAGCUGCUCCCAACAGUCCUCUGGGGGGCUCAACCACCUCUUCACAAGUAUUCUGGGUAAGCACUAUACUUCUAUCCAUUGUUUCAAUAAUAGAACUUAGAAAUGACAAAAAGCACUAAUAUCCCCUAAUCCCAGUUCACCAACUGUAGAGAUCACAACCAGAGCUUCAGCACUGAAAGCCCCACUCAGGAAUGCCUAUGGUAUAAAUUUGUAGCAACAUUUUUAGCCACUUGCCUUUAGUGAACAGCUAGCUAUUUAAAUGAAAGAUUCUAAGAGGUAAAUUAAUUGGUAUGUGGCCAAAGCAGUGAAAGGUAAAAAAUUACUGAUACAUGUAUUUCUCCUAAAAAUUAUUUGCUUGGAAGACCGACGGUUAAAUAAAAAUGCGUGACUUCACAGCUCCAGAAGAAACGGUUUUCCAGCGUAAUGCCUUUAAACUCAAACCGAAAUUUGAUAUGUCUGUGGUAGUUGUUGUACUUGUUCUCUUUAACAUUGUUUCAACGUACUGUAACUAGCGUGUUAAAUAUAAAAUUUGCAUGUUUAAUUCUUCCAUGCGAAUAUGGCCUCAAAGGCAAAACAUAAAGAUGUGGACCUAUAAUCCCUUCACACUCCAGCCUCAUAAUCCCCUAAUGAGACCUGCCUUCAAAAUCCCAAUCAAUCACAUUAUCCUAGCUCCAAAGAACCCACAUAUGAUGGUCCUUAAACCCCAUCUCUAAUAACCUGAUCCCUCAUAAUCCUUUUUUUCCUAUCACCUCGAGACUCAUAGCCACCUACCCCCUUCAUAAAAAUUUCCCUCAUCCACCAAACCCAAUUAUUAUUAUUUUAUUAUUUAUAUAGCACCAGCACAUUCCGUAGAGCUGUACAAUGGGUGGACUAACAGACACGUAAUUGUAACCAGACAAGUGGACAGGAACAGAGGGGUUGAGGGCUCUGCUCAAUAAGCAGAAAGAAAGUGCCCUCAAACCUGCAUUCCCUGAUCAUAUUAGCUCUAGCCCCAUAGUGCUCUAAUCCAAAUAGUUUAAUUGCAGGGGGAGCCUGAGCAUAGUCUGGGCCCCAAGGAAAAAUUAGAACAUGGCCACACUUAAGUUCACCCUGAUUUUAAUUUAGUAUUGCAUUGAGAAAAAAACACAAAUAAUCUAAAAGUAAAACAUAUUUAUUUAGUGUGUGAAAGGAGUGGAGUAUUUCUGUGCAACAUAACCAUGUAAAUGCGAAGAUAUCUUUCCAUGGCAUCUCAACGUGUGAAUGUGGUAUUUAUAUAGAGCGUCAGCGUUUACACGCGGGGCGUUUUUCUGUAGCAUGUGUUCGUGUGACUGUGAGGUCUAUGUAUGUGAAAUGCCAGCAUGUGUGAGGGAUGUACUUUUGUGUAACAUCAGUGUGCGUCCAUGCAAUUUGAGUGUAGUGUAUGAAGGCAGAUGGCAUUUUCAACGGAUUUUGAAUAAAUGUGAUGGUGUUUUUUUUUAAUCUUCCCUUUAUACUCCCGAUUUCCAUUAGUAUCUCUUUCUAAUUUCCCCUUCUCUUUCUCCUCAAGCUCCUCGCCUGCCCUGUACCCACAAAGAUUAAAGAGGCUGCAUCUUGGCCCCGCUACCUAGUAAAGGGGUUGUGGUGCAUAUACCAACCCUAGUAGGCUGGUUGGGAAGCUCCUCCAACUCCACAGCUGAACUGCCAAGACCAAAAUUUAUUUAUUUUUCUGCAUGUGUUUCUUUUCACUGGUGUGGCCGAUUAAAUAUGCACACUUUUAAAUACCAAUUUAGCCAAUUUAGCUGUUAAUUUGUGUUCUGAUCAACCUGAAAUGUGGCUUUAAACAUCAAUGGAUUGACGGAGAACCUUGGUCAAUGUAGUUUAUAAACAUCUGCUGUGCCAUGAUCAUUGGCAACUGGUUUUGUAGCUCCUUCUGUAUGCUGGUUUAAUUUUUUACUGCACUGAAAUAUUUUAAAGACCGCGGCUAAGAAGAGGUUUAAGAGGCUUGUCAAGUCUCUCUCACACUAUGUAAUUAGUUCCUUGCAGGCGCUUAUUAAGGCAGAUUAGGAUAACUGUCAUUUAUGGACUCUGCUGUUGAAGUCAGCAGAUCCUGCAAGUCUUUAUUUCUUAAUGGGGUACAGCCAAUCUGAUUAUAUAUUCAGGAAGACUUGCAUGCACUUUAUGGAAGAUGUAUUCUUUUUUCAAUAAGAAUAAACUCCCUGCUAUGUGGUUGUAACGUAAUAGUAGUCAUCAAUUGAUCAUUGAUGGCCAGAGUUCUCUGCAAAGUCUUCUUUAUCAUUCUGCUGUUCUCCCUCUAUAUUUAACUUCAACAAAGCUCUCCUCAGUUGGUGGACAAUGUAAGGGAAAUUUUACCCUACUUAACAUUCUACUACUGAGAAAAGAUCACAGAUGCAUUUCUGAUAUGGUAUGGAAAAAAAGGUAUGUGUUAUUUCUUGCACAAAAUCUCAAAUGCAACUUUUACACCAUGCAUGCAAUUUGCUAUAAGCAGGAAGUCGACCUGCAUGUUAGAAGACAAAAGACAAAGACAGCACCCUCUUUAGAUCAAGACUAUAAGCUUGCCUUCUCUAAAUUUUUUGUAUGUUAAUUACUUGUUACUAUAUUAUUAUUAUUAUUGGUAUUCAUAUAGCGCCAACUUAUUCCGCAGUUCUUUACAAUAUUACAAAAGUGGGGAAAUUUAACACUAAAUGAGACAAAACAAAAUGAUACAUGAUCAAAAAGUAGAUGAUGACCCUGCUCAAACAAGCUUACAGUCUAGAGCAGGGGGUAGUCAACCUGAUCCCAACCGGUUUGGGAUUUCAGGUGGGCGGUGGUAGGUUCUGCAGAAAAGGCCCGUGGGCCUCGAUAGCCGUGGACCAAGGCCAUCAGAGGAGGUCCUUUGAUCUCCCUUGCCAGCCCAUGCAGAGACAGGCUUGCUGUAAGCCUUUUCAGGCUGGUGAGGAGAUCAAAGAUCUCCCUCACCGGCCCGAGGACACUUAGUUCCAGCAGAGGGAGGGAAGUGCCUGGGAGGAUCUGUGUUCCUCCCGCGAGCAGGCUGGUCGGAGGGUUGCCACAUGUAACCAUGGCAAUGCUCCGAUACAGUGCUGUGCUUGCAGGAGGACCUGCAGCUGGAGAAGCUACAGGCUGAAGUGAACAUGCCACCACUGGACCACUAGGGCUUGCAACUUUAUGUUCCCCUUCCCUGGUAAAAAGAAGGGAGGGGAAGACAUUAAAAUAGAUUUUCACAUCUCACCCACCUACACACAGCAUAGACUCUAUGCACCCUUCACAACCAAACACACACUACACCCCUCACACACACACUGCCCCCUAAAACACACAUAGACUGGCCCCUUCACACACUGCCCCCCCCUCAGAUGCACGGCCCCCUCACACAAACACACGCACUGCCCCCUCACACAUGCACUGCCUCCUCACACAUACACACAUGCACCGUCCCCCUCACGCACACACACACUGCCUUCUCACACACACUGCCUCCCUCACAGACACACGCACUUCUCCCCUCACACACACACAUACACGCAUACACGCACUGCCCCCUCACACACACUGACCCAUCGCACACGCAUUACUCCCUUGCACACACACUGUACCCAUCACACAUGCACAUGCACCCCUCGCACACACACUGCACCCCUCACACAUAGAAAAAAGUAGCCUUCCAACUGAAGUGGUAGAGGUUAACACAGUGAAGGAGUUUAAGUAUGCAUGGGAUAGACAUAAGGCUAUCCUAACAAUAAGAUAAGGCCAGGGCAGACUAGAUGGGCCGAAUGGUUCUUAUCUGCCGUCACAUUCUAUGUUUCUAUAAAUGCUAAUAAUAAUAAAUAAUCAAGAAAGCAUUCUGAAUCUAGGACAUUUCUUGCAAAUAUUGAAGACUGAUUAAAAUUCUUUCAAAAUCAGAUUUUUAAAUGCAACUCCUAAUUACAGAAAAAGUGAUAUAACUGGGUGGAUUGUACGGCUGAAGGUAAAAUUAGAGCAAUGAAAGAAAAACAGCUGCAAAUCGAGACAGAAUGAUGCCUUCAAUAAAUGUGGAAGUAGAAAAUGAAAUGACAGUAUCAAAUGACAGUGAUUAUUGUAGCCUCACAAGAUUCCAGAAUGUCAUUAUUGACUGCUAUGUAGAAGAAAUUCUCUAAACAUCUGCAUCCAGAAAAUAAAGUCAUGAUGACCAUGAUAUAACAGGUGACCCCAAGUUGCAAGAUAAAACUUCUUCGUACCGCGGUACAUUGAAUUAAAGCGGCAUUGUCAAACCGAACUUACCUUUCUCCUAUUGUUUCCUCUUCCUCUCUCAGAAUCUGUUCUUCUUUUCUUUAUUUCUGAUCUAGUUUUAAAACAUAUGACAUAGCAGGGACUUCUUUGUCUUAUGUAUUUUCCCUAAGCUUGACUUUCUUUGUGUCAUGAUCAUCAGGGGAACCUAAGCAUGCAGAUGGGACACAAUACAUAGAAUUCCAAUACCGGUCCUUAGAAUGGCCGGGCAGUGCAAAAAGGGAUAGUCAAAGUACAAGCCAAGGUCAAAGGGAAACAGAGUAAACGUAAGACAAGCCAAAGUACAGUAACUGAAUAAGCAGACAGAGUUUAACGUGCUAGCGAGCUAAACACAGACCACAAAAGGGCACUGAGGCAAGGGGGAGGUUAGCUUAUAAACACACAGGGUGUGUCUGUUUAUCUAACCUCCAAUUAGUGCUAACCAAAACACGUGGGAGGAGUUUCCGUGUGCCGGGUCACUGUGUGCCGGGUCACGUGGAACGUGCAGCGUCAGACACACUGCCAGUCUGGAGCGCGGUGGCGGGGACAGCCGCACACCGCAGACAGGGACCAGAAGGUGCCACUCGUGGUGACUGGGUAAGCAAGGUUCCCGCAAGCGGUGCGGGGGCAGGGGACCUGACACUUUGACCAAAGGAGUUAGAGAAAGUCUUCCCACAAUACUCACUCUCCUCCUUGACACAGGAAAUUGAACUGACUUAAGCUCCUCCUUGGGUCAAAGAUGGUCAAGCUUAGGAAAAAUACACAAGACAAAGUAGUCCCUAUUUUAUCUUAUGUUUUAAAGAAAACUAGAUCAGAAAUAAAGAAAAGAAGAACAGAUUCUGAGAGAAGAAAAAAUAGGAGAAAAGAAAGUUCAUCAUGACAGUGCUUUUUUAACACAUAGCUUCUAAGUCGUAUCCCUAAAAGAUAAAAUUAAUCAGAGCUGGUUAAUCAUGCACAGAACAGCCACUGCAUAAUUCCACUGACGUCCACAUACUGUACAACUUCAUUCCUACAGGUACAACAUAUCACACCGUCAGAAACGUGCUAAUAAAUAAGAUAUCACAGUCACUUGACAAGGACAUGGAAGAUCAGAAAAAUUCUUCUUGGGUCAGUAUCUUAAAUUUUUAUUAAUGCGUUAUUUUUCAACAUAAUGCAUGAAAUGGUAGAAAAAAGAUCCCGGUGUAUCUCUUUAGACCACAAGAAACAUCUUUCAAAAUAUGUAUAUUCAGCCUCAUCGAUAAGAAAAGCACAUACGAUUUCAAACCUUGUGUAUGAACGCCAUAGAACAGAACAUGGUUUUACUUUAGUAAGUUUACCAUUGCAAAGAAAACAUGCAUCUUAAGCAUAUUUUCAAGAAUCCAGACUGCAGAUUGGGAAGAUGCCAUAAACUAAACGAUGUACCUAGAAAUAUGAAUAAACCUGCCGUAAAUCAUCUUGCAGUGAUUCAUUUGAACAGUCAAAGUAAGUGAUCAUUUCUUGUAAAAAAAGAGAAAUAUCUUGCCUAGUUUUUAGCUUGGCGUUUUGUCUUACUUCUGCAGUUGUGUUUUAAAUAACUUGGACUUCAAGGAACUGGCAAUGCAGGAUAAAGGAUUUAUUAAAGAAAUUAUAAAAAAAAUAAUAAUUAAAUGGCAUGAAGCUUGCUACAAGCCACAAAACUUCAAAUCUCAAAAAAAAAUUUAAAAAAAAUUAAACUUAUUAAACAUGAAAACACAUUUUGAAAAGAUGGAAAAAGGCUCUAAUGUAAGCGACGGAAAUCCAAUACUCUCUUAAAACAGUUUGUUAAAAUUAACAUUAAAACAAAGUGGCUGAAACCUUACCAGUGUGUCUACAAAGUUGCAGAACACUUAAAAGGGCACUCUACGUACCAAAACCACUACAGCCUAAGGUAGUGGUUUUGGUGCCUAAAUGCUGUCUGCACAUGCUGACAAAUGUAAGUAAUGUAAUGUCAGAGAAUUGCAAAUUUUCACAUUUGUCAAUCAGUGUAAUUAUCGUGGCUGUCAAUAGCGUCUACUCAUUGAGGGAUGUCAGGGGAGGCAGAGCGGAGGGAAGAGGGGCGCGAAGAAGGGUGGAGACAGAGGGAGCUGUGGUGCCAGGAAUACAGCUUUAUAAUUAAGCUACUGUAACAACAAAAUAAAUUACAUAAAUACAUUCACUGGGCUAUAUUUGCAAAUGUAUGUUGUGAUCUUCAGGUAAACUGUUGCAUAUAUUCUCCAUGCAGAAACCUUCAAGGCAUUAAAGUACAAAACAGUGAUUUUUUUUUUUGGGGGGGGUUGCUAGUUUAAGAACAUACUACAUAUUUAUUAUUAUUAAAUAUGUGUUUAGUGGUAAGUUUACUUCGAUGCCCCUGUCACUAUGUGAAAAGAAUGCUGCAUAUAUUUAUUGCAGUUUUGUUGUAAGUCGCAUUUGAAAUGGAAUCAACUUUGCGUAGCCCUGAUAGGAAAAUGACAACGGUAUACACAAGAACAUUUUUACCUUUCUAUUUAAAUUACAAAAAGAUUAUGAUUCUACUCAGCCGAGACUCCUAUUAAAUUGAAACCCAUUGGAACGUCUUUAAAUACAUUCUAUCUUAUCCAAAGGAGCAGUGUGUUAUUUAUCACUAAUAUGUAAUGAUAAAAAUACUGACACAUUUCCCUGAUCAUACCAGUGAUUUGAUCUAGACAUGCAUCAUUGACUAAGGAUACCAUCAGAAUUAUCACAGUGCAUAAACCCCAGCUCAUUCACCUGCUUUUAGAACUGCGGAAAGCACAUUUGACCCUUAUGCAUUGUAGACCAAAUAUAAUCCAUAUCCUUCUUCUGCUUAACUAGUAUUCCUUAAUUAUGGCAUAAAUGGGUCUAUAUAAAUAUGUACACAUUUAUAUUUAUUUAGAGAUGUAAAUUAAGUUUCAGUAAGAUUGAAGACACCCUGAUUCUUACAAACAUAAAUUGCAUGCAUUAUAUGUUGUAGAUAUGUUUAAACAAGCCAAUAUUUUAAUGUGACAUAAUGGAGCAGUUUUCAACAAAUUAAAUUUAUUUAUUUUUUUUGUUCAUUUUCUUUUCUUUUUUAUUCAGUCAUUAGUACUUGAAAACAUUUAACAAAAUAAAUUACUAUUUAUAUUUGUCCAUUAUCUGGUUACAAAAUUACACCUGGUAGAAAAGUAAAUUGAUGUUAGAAAACGUACCUGGGACAGUACUUUGGAAUAGGUGAGCUACUUCGUUGUGCUGUGAUGAAUAAAGGGUCAAUGAGGGCAAAGCUAGAUUAGGGUUACCCCUUGGUGUCGAGGCUGAUUGUUGCAUGGGUGUGGUGGAAUGUUGUGUAUGUUAGUGGCUGAAUGUUAGUGGCUGAAUGUUAUGCAUGUGGAGUUUUGUAUGUGUGCAAGGGAGCCUGAGUGUGACUGAGUGUUGUGUGUGUAGUAUAGCAUGUGGAGCUGGGAAUGCUGCAAUAGUUGUGGAAACUCUUGUUCUUGGAGUUUUUGUGCCCUACUUGGACUACCAUAUAUAUAUAUGGCAACCUUACCAUCAGUCCAUCAAAGCGACAAACAGUUUGACAGAGAUGCAAAAGGUUCAAAUGAAUACAGAAAGUGUGGCUAACAUGCAUAUACACAUAGAUCCUUUUCUUAUACCACAGUAACAAUUAUAUUACCUAAAGCCUACCCCCAUUGCUGUGCGAUAAUGUGAAGGUUGACUUGCUUAUUAAUAGACCCACCUGCCUGCAUGGAACAUCCCUUUAAAUAUAGGAUAUAGCAACAUUACUUGCAACUAACACAUAUCUUCUCCAGUUGAAGAUGUGCAGGCAAUUCAAGGUGAAUCCAAAAGACACACACCAAUAUGUGUAAUGUAAUGGUCAUAAAAUGCUUGUGAGUUAAACAUUCCCCAUUAAAUGAAAAGCUAUUAACGAAAACAUAUGGCUAUUUUAAACCCUGGCAUUCAGAGACCUAACAGGAAGCCAGGCUUUGCCAACAUGGCAGUUGCCUGGAAAUUUUACGUAGCAGGCAUUAACGAAUCAUUUUGUUUGGCAAGACUACUCAUUGUGCAGACGUUGAAUCCAUGCGAUUAUGGUUAAAAAAAAAUUAAAUAAAAAAAAAAAAAGUAGAUUUCUGGCCUUUUUUUGAAUGUUCUGAUUAAAUUUGUAGGUAAAGUAUAUAAAUAAUAUUUCUGUAGAAAUGUAGAUUUUCAAAUCCCACCAGCUAAGGCAAAGACAAGCCUAAGGCAAAGACAAGAAAGCUUCAUUUAAAAGAGAGAGAAAAAAACACAGAACAUGGCCAGAAUGAGAGGGCGGUGAAAUGUAGCCGCACCAGAGACAUUUUUUCUGUUACACUUUGUGGUUUUCCUGGCAGAGGGAACAUCAAACAUGCUUGCAUGAAGUUUACAAAUCACUACUCAGGACAUUAGGAGUAAUGUACUUGAAAAUAUGGAUGAAACCCCCAAUUUAAGGGACUGGAGAAGUGAGAGAAGAACGUGUACGCCACUACAAGCAAAUCAAUUGUAUGCUUGAAAAUUUUAAUGACACCUUCCUUAUAUUAGAAACCUUAAUCUGAAGAAAAUACAAGCACAUAAAAAAUAAAUAAAAACUCUCUCUCUCUCUCGUAAACCUAAUUUAAAGCCUUCAUGCUUUUAGCUACAAUUCUGUUUAAAAAUAACAAAAAAAAAAGAAUAAGGCAUAAGAUGGGCUUUUAUAAGCGAAUCCAUUAGCUUAUAAGUGAGAAAUAAACGCCAUAUUUAAAAGAACAGCUGCACAAUUUUCUUGAGUGUGUGUAUUCACAGUACAUAUUUUUUUUUAUUGAGCUACAGCAGUUUCUGCAGCGCUGGGCAAUAUAAGACAGCUACAGACAAGUAAACAGACAAGUUUAGUAGACAUUGCCAGUAGCCCCAGAUCUCUAAUAGAGGGGAGUAUUAUUGCUAUGAAACUCUUACACACUCACACCCACAACAUGGAGCUCCUAGAAAAGAUGGAUAUUAGGAUAGUAAAGAGGGACGAGGGACAAAGGGCACAAACUAGGCGUAAGUCCCUCCUAAGUAGGAACAGUUGGGAGCUAUGCCUCUCUAUUACUGUAAGGUUCAUCAAAAUUUCCUUAGGUGUUUCUGGAACCUAGCAACGCCCCAGCAUACAGCUUUACACUAGUACAGAAAUAUAAAUCUUGCUCUUGCAAGCUUACAAUUUGGCAGGAAGUGUAAAUGUUAGAGACAAGUAGGGGAUUGUUUGAUAGAGGAAGUCAAAUUGUGAGGAAGAGCACAAGUUCGAGGAGAAGAACAAAGUGGAGUAUUUGAAGAGAAGAGCAGAGAUUUAAGGACUAAGCGCUAAUCUGAGAUAUGCGAGUAAGGGUCAUUCUGUCCAGACCUGAAGAGGAAUUAAUAGAAAGACUGGCCAAAUGAUGGUGUGAAGGUUGGCUGUUGGCAACCUUAGGAAUCUAUAUUGUAUAUGGGAGGCGGGUGGUAGGCAUCUCUGAAUUGGUGAGUUUUAGGCAAUAUUUAAGGCUAUAAAGUGUUUGAUAGAGAGGCUGACCUAUAGAGGUAAUGAAUUACAGAGAAAAUGUACAGCACAGGUGAAGUACUGCAGACAGAAGUUGGAGGUAGUAGUGACUGAAGAAGAGAGGCACAAGUCCUGGGCAAAAAUAAAAAGACGUAUAGGAGAAGAGUAGACAUUAAUUAGAACUUGGUAGGUAAUGGUUGGGACCUUGAAUGUUUGACAGAGAUGGAAAAAAGGUUGAGUAAAAUCACCUUUUUAACUAAAGGGGGGGCCUCCUACACAGCGUAUUUAGAACUAUGGUUUUAGGAAAACAUGUUUGUAUUCCUGAUACUAUAGUGUUUCUUUAAUCUGAAGCUAACAGGGAUCUAAGAUCCAAUGGAGAGACUGCUGACAAGGAAAUUAGGUAAAUGAUUGUAGUAGAGGUAGAAAUAAGACAGAGGAGUACUUAACUGGACUUAGUGGCAGUAAUCCAGUUGAGAUCCUAAAUAUUUAUUUAUAUUACUUAAGUGAAAAUGCACAAAAAACAUAAAAGGGAAUUCUCAAUACUCUGUGAUAGAAGACACAGAAAACUCAGCAAUAAUGUGUUUUUAGUGACUGAGUUGAUUCAUGACAUCCAAGUGGAUUAUCCGGCAAUGAUUCAACACUAAACAGUGUCUUCGUGGAGCCUAACAAUGGGAUGAAAAUGACAGCCUGGAACUCAGCAAGAAACACCUCACAGAUAGUUGCUAGAACCAUUCACGCGCGUUUCUUGCUGAGUUCCAUGCUGUAAUUAUUUUCUAUAACUUUAUUAAAGCGUGGAGAGGUCACUCUAUGUACUGCAGAGCUGGUAUUUAAUUUAUCAUUUGAUCCAAUUCACUGAAUUUGCUUUGAUGUUCCCCCCCGCCCUUUUAUUAUUAUUAUUAUUGAUUUCUACCUGUUUAUUUUCACUAUUAUUUUCCAACUAAAUGCACUAACUUAAGAAGUGUUGCGAUGUUGCCGCAUUUCUGUAUCUCCUUUAAGUGAAAGAGGUAGGAUUAAGUAGCUGAAUGAAUGUGGAUGAAGAAGGAGAGAAGGGCAUUAAAUGUAACACCAAGGUUGUGAACAAGGGCAGAUAGUGGGAUUUUCACAUUAUUAGUAAGAAGAGAGAUUUUACCUAUAUAAAAUAGAUAUACACAUAUUUACAAAAUGUAAAUACAUUCAUACCUCAAUAAACUGUGAAUUCAGGUUCCUGUCCCACUAUCCCUGAUUAGUUCCCUAGUGUCCAAUAUCUGAGGACACCAGGAAAAUGUCUGCAGAAAGAGUGUAAUUAUUUUGUGCAGAGUGCUCUUAAGGCAUUUAGCCCAUGCUAGAGCACAUCAACAUUUCUUUUAAUGGGACCAAAGUCAUUCAAUUUCCAUACUACAGGUGAGUGCUUACUGAUGUUUAGCUGAACUCACUGACACCAGAUUUGACUAAAAGGACGUGUGUCACUCCAUGUAUCCACCAAAAUGAAAAUGGAGGUGUGCAAAUUCCAAUAGCUAGCUCCAAUCAGUGUUUAGCCAUAGGCCUUCGAUUUGAUAUUUUGAAUAAGCUUUUCGAAUGAAUUAACAUAUUUGAUUAAACUAUUAAAAUUAUUAUUUUUAAAAAUUAAAAUAUAAAAAAAUAUAUCAUUUAUAAAACUAUUUCAAUAUAUCAAAAUAUUUUUCCAAAUAUUAAAUGGUUUUGAGAAGUUUAUCCAAAAAUAUAAAAUAAUUUGAAGAGUUAUCCAAAAAUAUUAAAUUGAGGCCAUAGACUAGAAUACAAGUUUGUGGAAGCCUUACUCUUUGACCCUUGAUGCAUUCCUAUUACUACUAUCUCUCCUGGUCUGAUAUGUAUUUACAGGUUAAUUGAACACUGGCUUACUAUGUUAACUUUGAUCAGAUCUAGUCUGUAGGUCAUUGCCUGGAUCUGAUCAUACUAUACUGCAUUCAGCACUGACCAGCUCUGACUUGCACUGACGCUAUGGACACACAUGCUCACCCUGUUGACUUAAUUCACCAUUGCUCUAUUUACCUUUCGGCUGUUGUGUUGGCCCCAGUGCUUCCACUCACUCAAAGGGAGCUUGUGUUUUCCUGAUCAUGACCUUGCAAGGGCAUCUCUGGGGUUCCAGAACAACCAAUAAAAGGGUCUCAACUACCGAAGUUCUUAACACAGUUUUUUAAUAAUUUACACUGUGUUAAAAGUUAAUACAAUAAUAUAUAUAUCUUUUGACAGUAUUAUAUUGAUAUAUUAACAUCAAUUAGUGCGUGAUAGUGAGAUUGGUGGAGGAGAUUUCCAAACUAAAUUGAGCAAUUCAGAUGAGAAAUAUCCAUGGAAAAGUUUUUUUUCCUCCAUACAUUUUAUGAAAAUUGUAUCCUGAACAUAAUAAAAUGUUAUUAAAAAAAAAAAAAAAAAUCACUUAGGGAGGGGAUGCUGUCCUAAAAAAAAGAUGAUUCAUUAGGUAUCGGGAAUUGUCAGUAAACAGCUGUAGAGAGCUAGUGUUUGGAAUUUGGAAACAGAAAACCACACAUUUUCAGACUCAAUGACUAGUUUAUUACAAGCCAGCCAUAUAAAGUAGCUAAAAUACAUCUUUCCAACUGCAUCAACCCCUACCUUUGAACUCACUCCCUGCCGCUGCAGACUGCCUGAAAAACAAUGGCAUCUGUACAAAGGAUGUAAAGGGUUAAGGGGUUACCUCCCAGCAUUGCGCUCAUGCAGUGCUGUGUCACUACCAUACAUGGUCCAGUUCAUGGGAAAAUCGUUUCUACAUUAUUCUCUUUAACACAUUAAAAACAGUUUUUGUAACUAAAAACACCUCUCCUAACAAACUGAUCUUUCCCAUUACCUAAAUAAUUCAAUACAAUGUGUUUUGUUUUUUACAAAAAAAAAAAAAAGAAAUGGGGCAAAAAAGGAAAAGGUUUCUGUGUUGCUAGUUACAGCCUUAAAUAUUAUACAUGUAUCCUAUAAUGAAACAUGCUUACAAGUACUAAAAAUUAGUUUCAUGGUUAUACAAAAACAGAAAAGCAACUGGCUUUGGUUCUUUUAAAUAUAUUAAAGUUGGCAAAAAGUGCACAAAUAUAAUAUAAAAAAAAAUGUAAAUUUCACGAGGGAGGGAGCCAAGUGGCCAUGCUGAGUGGUCGCACAUGAGAAGAGCUCCGUGCAAAAUCGCUCCCAAUCAGCCAAAAUCGGGGCAAAACCCACCAAAUCGAUGGUUAGGCGACCUGGAGAAGGGAGCCCUAAACCGCAGAACCAAGCGACAAGCAUCCCGACUGAAAUCGUCGGCUUCUAAGCGGGGAUAGACCUUAGGCCUACCACAAGCCUACUCGGACAAAGCAAGGGAGGUGGCCGAUCCCUACGCUGACUGCAGCCACUCACCUGGAGGUCUCCCUGGCAUACUCCCUCUCUCCCCUGCCGGUGAGGGAUAUCCCGGCAACUAAAGCCUGACACACAGCAGCAAAACUACAGCGGAGACUGUUCCACACAGCCGGAACAGCACCAGCAACCAUGGCGGUCACCACUUGUAACCAUCUGAUUAGCGCCCCGCUACCCCCUCUGGAAGAAAGGUUGGAUCGCCUGUUCGUCGCCUUUUGGGCCGAAAUAUACCACCAGGGGGCACAGAAGUGGAGACCCCAUCAGCAGCAACCCAAGUGAAGGCCGGGCAGAGACCCGCGGCUCCCAUCAGGGGUAAUAGCAAAGCUAAAAUGGCGUGAAAGAGGAGGCGGACGACCCGACACAAACCUCGACAUCGCAGACCAAGACCAGCAGUGAGUCGUCCUACCACCAAACAGGGACUACCCCUUUGCAGUCUCACCACACUCUGGAAGUCCCACCAUGUGGAGAACCCACACAAGAGACCGCGGAGACAUAAAGUGGAAUCUUGCCGCACUCCCACAGCACCCCCGAGAACUCAUACCCAAGUAACUGACCUGCCUCACACGCUGACGACAAAAGCGGCUCAGAGUCAGACACCUUUUCCAGCUAUAACACCCCUGCACAAGCGGGGCAUAGGCUGAAAUGACCACACCAUCGAGGCACCAGCCCCCCCACCGCGAGAUGCAGGCCGAUCGGAAGAUUGGUGUACAAGCCCUACACACUCGCACUGGGACGCUCUCCUGCAGAUACCGUUGAUCUAGUUUUGCCUAAAACGGACCCCAUACAUGACUUUGCGCAGCAUCUUAUAAUGUGUUAUGUUCAUUUAUUUCACAUGUAAUUUAAGUGUGAACCUUAAUGCAUGCUAAAGUCACUAACGACCAGGAAAGCCUGUACUUUAUAAGCCUGACAGCCUAAAACUGACUAACCAUAAUCUUUAGCGCAGAUCAUAUGUUGUUGUAAAGUAUUCUGUCCUGGCUAGUUGUGUACCCUGAAAAGCGACAUCAACAUAUAUACACAUAAAUGGGCAAUAUCAUCUAACGCCUAACUAAUGCAACACCAUGCUAGAAUAAUUGCCCACCUAAGUUGUGUUAGUAUUAUCAGCCUGAGUAACAACGCUCUUACCUUUAGAACUAAUCUCCUGUUAAUUCAUGUUAUUUCAUGCUACUUAUGUUCCCCUGUUCUAACUAACCUUGCACCUCACCUUCUCAGAUAAGCAGUUCGGGAGUAAAUACUUGACGAGCGACAUUCAUAUAUAUAUAAAAAAUGUGCAAUGCCCUCUAAUGCCUAACUAAUGUAAAACCAUGAGAAUAACUGCUUGACCUUGCUCUUGUGGCAUAAUGAAUGCGGCAGCGAGGCUCAUCUUCCUGUCCGCCCGCACCUCCCAUGCCUCAGCCUUCUGUCAGUCCCUACAUUGGCUUCCUAUAAAAUAUAGAGCUCAAUUUAAAAUUCUGGUUCUUGCCUUCAAAUCUCUACAUAAUGCUGCUCCCACCAUCUAUCCUCCCUUAUACACAAGUAUGUCCCGUCUAGGCCCUUACGAUUUGCUGAAGACUUACGUCUAUCUUCUGUCCGUACUCCCACCUCUGAUGCUCGCCUUCAAGAUUUCUCGAGGGCUGCACCGUGAGGGAUAUCCCGGCAACUAAAGCACCUGUGGAACUCGCUUCCCUCCUCCGUUAGAUGCUCACCCAGUCUCCACUCCUUCAAAAAAUCGUUAAAAACCCACUUCUUCAUAAAAGCGUAUCAAUUAAACUGUUAAUAGCUCCUGACUGAUUCCUCUUCUGCCACUGUCACUAGUCUAAUACUAUCCUUACCUUUUUGUGUCAUUUUACCCCACUCCCUCUAGCAUGUAAGCUCAUUGAGCAGGGCCCUCAACCCCUCUGUUCCUGUGUGUCCAACUUGUCUGGUUACAACUACAUGUUUGUUUGUCCACCCAUUGUAAAGUACUGUGGAAUUUGACGGCGCUCUAUAAAUAUCAUCAUAAUAAUAAUAAUAAUAAUAAUUGUAAGCCUGAUGUGUCUUUUCCUUGCACAAAUAAAAUAAAGAAUUUAAAAAAAAAAAUGUAAUUUUCCCACUCCAUUUUGUAAAUGAGGAAAUACUGAUGCCAGGGAACGCCUGACACCAUUAUAACUUCAUUCUGAUGUUGUUGUUAUGGUGCCCAAAGUGUUCCUUCAAGUUUUCCACCAUAUAUCUCAUUUGCUCUGAUAGUAUAAGGUUUUACUUUUACUUGCUUGCGCUUUAUCUUUUUGAAUUAAUAUUACUAAAUAAAUAUCUCUGCUGAUAUCAACUUCAGACAUUGCUUCUGUUGUUAUAUAGAAUUAUACAAUGAUAUCCACAAGGCUAAUCUGCACAGUAGAACGUGUCAAAACUAGAAUUUUUUUUUUAAAGUUUUUACAAAACCAAAAAAAAGAAAAAGCUCUACAAAAAACAAAACAAACUAAAUCUUACCCCUAGCUAGUUGCUAACCCAUGUUAAUUUUACUCUACAUGGGUUUAUCAACUACUGGCUCUUACUGCCUCCCUAUAAAAAAAUUAAAAAGUCCUGUAAAAAUAGCCGAAAACUUACAAGGUCCUUCAAGACUACUUUUUCCUCAAGCCGGAUCAUCCGGCAAGCACCAUCACUUGUAGUGGAAGUAGAGAAGGAAAACUGGACAGUGGGAGGGCUGGACUGUAGGGAUUCGAGUGAGAGUUCAAUGUUAGGAGGCAGGGAGGGUUGGAAAGAGCAAUUUGUGCAAGGAUGGACUGAAGUGAAUGAGAUAAUUACACCACGGUAGAAUUUUUUGCGCAGAGCUCAUAUAGUCAGCCCAGGAACAGAAUUCUGGCCUAAGUCAUGUGUGCAGGGAGGUUUAACACCUCGCAACAAAAACUUACAGGGUAAUAUACUAGAGGGUGUAUAUGGAUAGCAAAGGAGUAUAGCUGAUAAUCUACCGAAAAAUCUAAGAAAAACAGUACAAUAGUGUAAUACACCCGGAAGUGAAAAACGGAAGUGACAUACCAGAAGUGAUGUCAUAUGGGUACAGCACCCACGAAAAUCAACUGAAAAAUCCUCUGAAACAGCUGGACAGUGUGGAAGACACCCCCUGGAUCACCAACAGGAAAAGAUGUCAGCCAUAUAUAAGGAAGGACUGGGGAGGGAUGGGUCAAGCUGCUUUUUUGUCCAUUUGUUAGGAUAUUUCAUAUGUCCAAAUUUGUUUUUUAUUACUUUGUCCCUGAGGAAGUCUUAUAUAAGAUGAAACGCGUAGGACCAGAUUUGUUUUUUUUAUCUUUUAUACUUAUAAAAUACUUAUUAAUAAAGCAGAUUAUUUUUACCAUUUCCUGAGUCUGGACUUCCAUAUUGUGGCGACACCACCAGCCAGCUGAGAGGGAGUUCUGGAUAUACCCCCCAAACAUGUAAGGGGAGGCACCCUGAGGCGAUCUUACUAUUCUCAUCUUGUGUGAUCGAUUGAUAUUGGCGCAGUUUUAUUGUUUAUUUACAAUAUUACACUAUUGUACUGCUUUUUUUCUGUAGAUUUUCAGCUAUACUCCUCUGCUAUCCAUAUAUAUAUAUACACUCUAUUUUUACGGGUUAAGGUCUGGAACAUCCCGAGAGGAAGCUGUUAUUUUAUAACGAUAAGUUAUUUAUUUGUAUACUUUAUAUAUAGAGGUGUGGGUUCAGACACACUCUGUCUCUUUUUUGCUAUAUACUAAUAUACUAGAGGAAAAUUUGGAAUUCACUUUGAAUUCUCACUUUGGUGAACAACCCGGACAGAUUUCUUUGUAUAUUGGCCAUGGUGGUUGGAAUAAACCUUAAAGGGACCCCUGAAGCACUUUAGCUUGCUAAAAAACCUAAUGUGUGAAGGGUGUAUCCUCAUUUUUUCAUUUUGGAAUUAGUGCAGAUAUACAAUAGAAAUUGACACUUUUAUGAAUUUACCUGGUUACACCCCCUUGACUUUUCAAGCAGACAACUGCUCUUGUUACUUUGUUUUACUUGUUUGGUUGUUUUGUGUGUGUCUCUGAUUCCUUUUUAUCAUAUUGACUUCAGCACAGGCCUUUGUCUUGCAGCCCUUGACCUUGUUACAUACACUUGGCGCAACCUUAAAGGGACGUGAUUAACGUGAAAAAAAAUUUUAAGCCCGCAAACAAAUCCUUUUAUACAGAUAUACAAACGAAAAUCAAAUCAAAAAUAGUUUGAAAAGUAUUUAAUAUAUGUUUAUAAACUUACUAAAAACGUUGCCAGCUUGCUUUGUCUGGCACGCCUCUCAACUAGGGUAAUUCCUUCAGCCUCAACCCCAUGCCACUUACCCACCUUUCACGCACCAACUGACCCACUCAUCUCAGUUUCACGUUAACUAGCACUAGCCAUGCAUGACAAACUAUGUACACAUUCAUAAAUUUUGCAAACAAAAGACCAAAGGUGCUGAGAGUCAGGGAAACAGUAAUGCCAAAUUAGUAUCUACAGAAAAGAGCUAGUGUAACAAUUGAUUGUGUGUAUGUGUUACGUGUGCUGUCUGUAUGUGAUGUGUGCCUUUCACGUAGUUCAUACUAAUAGUCAGAACGUUUUAUCCCAACAAAGAAAGAAAUGGUGGAAUUUAAUGUAAAAGGAGCAUGCUAGGCAGGAGGCCAACUGAUUGCAAAAGUUCUACAGGAUACCUUGAAUUAAAAAAAAAAAAAAAAAGUACAAGUUCAGAAAAAAAAGUGUUGUGACAUUAAAUGAUAAUUUUAUAUUUUUUUAUUAUUAUUAUUUAUAUUGAAAGCGCUAGAAAGAGGUAACCACUGUCUUCAUCUAGAUACUUCACUUCCAGCAAAUAAUACCGGUAUCAUAUCACUCUCCCAGUUUGGCAGCAUGGCAAAAUCAAAAGGUAAAUUUAUCGAGGUUGAGAUAAGAAUUGAAAAUGCCAUUACACGCUGAAUUUCCUCCAAGAAUACUAAAAUCAAAGCCAGAAUUAAAUGCAAAUCGGUACCAACAUGAAACAGAAAAUUCAACGACAUUUAUAUCAUAAAGUAAAACAGGAUUACUGAAUAUUGUUGAAAUAUUCCCUUUCAGCUCUGCUUCGUACCAUACUGUUUGUGCUCAAGGUUCUGACAGCCCACCUGCCCCUAAAGGGUUAAAAAAAAUAAUAAUAAAGCAAACCUAAAUUUAGAUGACACAUUUUGAUUUUGCAUUUAAAGAUGAGCAGGGUUAUUCAAUAAAACUGUGAAUAAUCACAUUGAAAAAAUUCUUCAAGUUAGCUAUUUUUCCAGCGCUCAACAUUUGACUUAUAAAUUGCAAUUUUUACUCAUUUGUUCAUAAUUCCUAAUUUAGUGAAUAGCCCUACCCUCUAAUUAAAAUUAAAAUUCUGUAGGGAUCAUAUGUCAAAAGUAGCAGUGUCAUCAAAGGUUAUUUAUAACAAAGAGAAGAUAAAUAUAUAAAUAAAGCAAAAUGUUUGUUUCUGUUUGAUUAGUGCACAUUUCCUAUUUAACACGGCUGAUGUUAUUUCACACGUCCUCAUAGCAGAGCACUUGUUCUUUAAUCUCCCUUAAUGCACUCUGGCAUCAUCUGCUUGAGCUAUCUCGAGUUAACGGCAACACAUGUCCACUCGCAUAAAACUUGCUGCGAGUUUUCUGAGAUGCCUUGGGAAACGGGACUGCUUUCUUUCACUGAUGUGAUAAUAUGCUGGAAUGACUAAUUAAUGAAAAUAAACAACUUCACUUAGAAAAGAGAGAAGGGGGGGAAGAGACAUAAUAUUGUGAAAGUAAAGCAUGCAAGGACCAGGGAUGGGAAUAUUGAAUCUGAUAAUAUGUAACAGCAAACAAAAUAUUUUCAAAAAGCAAUGGAAGGAAUCAGAUGGGUGCUCAAUCUUGUACCUAAACCUGAGUUUGGCCUGCAUAUCCCACAAUUCACUAUCACUUCUGUAAGACCAAGGUUGGAAAAUCUAAUUAAUGAUGCAAUCCUAUAGAUUGUGAGGUUUCUUAUUCAUAUUUUUAAAAAAUAGUUAAUGUUUUAAAGGAACACCCCACGUACCUAAAACACUUUAACAUGCCUUUCCUUCAGGUUUAUUUGAUAAAAGUGCAGGUUUCAAGAGAAGUGUCUGCUGUUUUCCCAUUGUUUAACAUUUUACCUGGAUACAAUCUGUGCCACAUUCGCCGUCAGAAAAUGCAAUUCUUGGCGGAGAGCGUCUGCUGAGCGCUUUCAGCCAAUGACUCCAGUCCUGCAAUCUUAUUGCUUUCUUCUAAAGUGACGUCUGGCUUCUCCUCCUGGAGAAGACCAUACAUGGCAUGGGUGCCCAAUGGGAUCAGGCAAAAGCGGUAAGAUAUUUUACUGGGGGAUGGCACCAGGGCAUCCAAGCUGUAAUAGUUAUGAUGCUUGGACUGUCCUUAUGAAAGAUCCCUCUAAGCACUAUAAUCACUACACUCAUUGCAACUGUUUUGGCUAAGGGAGACUUUGGGUGCCAUUUUUGAUCAGUGUGGUCAAGAAAAAAGCCUAUCCAGGCACAAAAAGCCCAGCCCUUCUGAUCUGACUUGGCUACAGCGACAGUGAACUUCUGCAUUGGACGUCAAGAACUGGACAGCUCUUAAGGGACAAUAUAAGCACCCAGACCAGAGAUAUACCAAUCUUUAUAUUGCAGGGUUCAACAUAACUCCAGUGGAUGUCCUCUUGACAGCUACUUAGGACUGUUUCCGCAUCCAGGACAGAGUCAAACUUGGUUCUUGACAUUCAACCUCCUGACGUCAAAGUUUAAAGGGCUAUUCCCUAAAUCAUGGAUUGUUGGGAACACACAAGGCAAAUUGAAAUUUGAGGCCAAAAUAGACAAUCUGAAAAAAUAGGUUAGUCCCAGGUUUUUUCUAUAUGCUAUUUUGACCUAACAUUUUUAAAUUUCCAGGAUAAUUUCUAAUAAUUUGUGGUUUAGUGAAUUAGCAAUUAAUAUUUGGCACAGCAAGCAUAUCCCAAACCAAGAGAAUAUAAUAAAGCAGCGAUCCUGUAUGCAUCAUUAUACUUAAAGGAACACUAUAGCGUUAGGAAUACAAACAUGUAUUCCUUGUUAGAUAGGUUCCGCCCCCCACUGAGAAGUCACUUAUGCCCAGUGCUAUAUAGGGUUCCCUUCACUAGUUACUUAAAGAAGUAGUCUCUAUUACUGUGUGUAACAGACAGUCAAUAAAGCUUGGAUGCUCUGUUACAGUGGAAUAUAAAGUACAAUAUAGUUUCAAAGGUUUAGAGGUGGAUUUCAUAAAACACAAACAUUAUUUCAAACAAAUAUCACAGGAUGCUACCAAACCAAUCAGAGAUGCUUAUAAUUAUAACUUCUCUUCUACACAGUGAUAGAUAUAUAUACUGUGGCGUACAUAUAGGGGUUGCAGCUGUGACCGGGCACCUCACUAUGGGGGGCCCGGCCGACCCCUGGGACCGGGUACCAGCAGCUAUGUUUUGCAGCCCUGGCCCACGUGGCAAACCGCUGGGGCCGCACGUUCAAGAGUCCAUCGGGUGGCCCAUCCUGUUAGGGCCACCAGAUGGAAAUGAAUUUCCAGGGGGUGCUUUAACAGCGCAACCGGGCCCCAUGUGAUAAGAUCACUGCUAGGAGGAAGUGACUGCCCCGGUCACUCCUCCCAGCUAUCAGCAAGAGAACUCUGACUCCCACCAGCCUAAGACACCACUAGACCCCAGGGAAAGUCACCCUCCUGCACCUGAAAGGUAGGAAACAGGAGGGUAACUUAAACAUUUUGUAUAUGUGUGUAUGUUUGUUUGCAUGCCUGUGUGUGUGUGUAUGUGUCUGUAUGUAUGUGUGUGUCUGUAUGUGUCUGUGUGUAUGUGUGUGUGUCUGUCUGUAUGUAUGUUUGCCUGUCUGUUUGUAUGUAUGUAUGUGUUUUUGUAUGUAUGUGUGUCUUGUGUGUGUGUGUGUCUGUCUGUAUUUAUGUGUCUGUGUAUCUGUCUGUAUGUCUGUCUGUAUGUAUGCAUGUUUCUGUCUGUGUGUGUGUAUGUAUGUAUGUAUGUGUGUAUGUAUGUGUCUUUGUAUGUAUGUGUGCCUUGUGUGUGUGUCUGUGUGUAUGUAUGUGUGUAUGUGCCUGUAUGUAUCUGUCUGUGUGUGUGUGUAUGUGUCUCUGUAUGUAUGUGUGUCUAUAUGUAUGAGUGUGUGUGUGUUUGUCGGGGGAGGAGGAGCGAGGGGGGGAAGGGAGAGGGGGAAUGGAGGGGGGGAAGGGAGGGAGGAGGGGAAGGGAGGGAGGGAAGGGGGAAGAAGAAGGGGCCUCAUGGAUCAGUUUCGCACCACGGGCCCCAUGGAUUCUGUGUACGCCACUGUACACACACAAACGAGCACGUCCUGAGGAAGCCGAUUGGCGAAACGCUUUGACGUCAUACAAAGGGGGAGGAGCGUACAGACCACGGAGUCCGGAGGCGUUUGUUUUCUGGCAGCAGACAAUACACGAGGAGAUUCUCUAGCAGCCAAACAGGAAGAACGCCGGACGAGCAGCCUACCACCCUAAUGAUUGAACUCUGAUAGUGAGUUGACAUAUAUGUGUCAAACUCACCACCUUAUCUAGUAAGGGGCUUGUCACCCUAUUUUUUAUCAUAAUUUUUUAUUAUUCUAUUUUAUGUAUAUAUGUACUGCUUUUUCUGCAUGUGACAGAUAAUAAAUUUAUGUCAGCUUUUUCCUAUUGGGGUUUCACCAAAUAUUUCUUAAAGUGAUACUUCACAAUUUAUGAAUUGUUACAAGUAUAUAUGCUUAUAUAUUUUUUAUACAAUCUGCACUAUCAUUGCUUUUUUUCCCUUUUUUCUUUACAUAUAUACCAUUAUUGCUGGAAGUUACACUUAAAAUCGAAACCAGUUUGUAUAUAUAUUCUUUCUUCUGUCUUAUAUAUGGUAUAAAUUGCUCCACUCACUAGCACACAUUACUUUCUCUUUUUGGUGGAGUUUUGGGAUUACACCAGAGUGUGAAGCCAUUUUGAAAACAAUUUUGAAAACUAUUUAGCACCCAGGUUACAUCUGUUAAUAUUGUACAUAAUGACAAAUAAAGAAAAUGGUAUACCUUAAAACAAGCAUGUCAAACUCAAAGGCUAACAUGGGCCAAAUAAACAAGGUUAAAGUUUACCUAAAACUUCAGUUUUCAUAGAAACGUAUAAAAAUGUUGCCUAACUGACAUUGGAAGUCCUCACGCUCGUGGGGUUUCAAAGUAAACAAAAGAGCACGUUUAUUUUAAGGAGAUGUGCAUUUGCAUAUAACCAAUGUUUCAGUCCAACUACCUUGACAUAUUAAGAAAAGUUUGGUAAUGGAACUGAAAUGGUAGAUGCAUGCUGUUACACAGCUGUAAAAACAAAUGACAAUAUCUUGUUGAUUUUUCAGUCCUAUGAGUGUGCUCUUCACGUUGGCUGAGAUCAUCAAACUUGAUGAUCUCAGCCAAUCCAAUGCUUUCCCACUGGGGGCUAUUGUGAAUGUGUGGGAAAACGCUGCGCUGCCAAUUAGCAUCUCCAUGGGGAGCAUUCAGCGCCUCCAUGCAGACCCAAUCUAAUACACUGUCCCCUCCCCCCACUCUAGUAGAGUGCCUCCCAUCUAACACACUACUCCAAAUACAAUACACUGCCUUCCCAUCUAACAGACUUGCCCCCAAUCAAAUACACAGCAUCCCCCAAUCUAAUAUACUUGUACCCCCUGCCUCUCCCAAUUUAAUACACUGCCCUCCCUAAUUUAAUACACUGGCCCCUCUCCCACCACUCUAAUACACUGCCCCCUGCCUCUCCCAAUUUAAUACACUGCCCUCCCUAAGUUAAAACACUGCCCCCUCUCUUACCACUCUAAUACACUGCCCCCAUCCUUCCCCCAAACUAAUACACUGCCUCCCUCCCCAAUUUAACACACUACACAGGAAGGUCCCCCAUGCCACUCUUCCCCUACCUUAAGAUGUCAUCCAGUUCCAGCCCUGCUCUUCUCUGCUCAAGCAGGCCAGAUGCUUCUCUAGCACUGUGAGCAGGUGGGAAGGGGUAGUGGUUGGCUGCUGACAGACAGCCACUCUGUGCACUGUAGCACCAGCACCACUGCACAGCUGCCGGAUAUGAUGUCACACGCUGUAUGCGCAUAUCUGAUGGCUGGCGUAGACUAAUGCUUAGCGCUCUUGCGGCCGCCGUAGCACUCGAUCGGCAAUGGCAGAGCAGACAGGAAAGGUGUUUCCGGUCUUGCAGUUUGUCGCAGCCACAGAACAAAGAUGCCCCAGGGCAGGCGUGCCACAAAGAUAGUCACUGUGGGCCGCAUGUGGCCCACGGGCCGCAAGUUUGACAUGCUUGCCUUAAAACAUAGUUCAACAUGUUAAGUCCCAUGCUACUAGCCAAAACUUAAAAGAUACUAGUCACUGAAAAGUCUGGAGAGCCUAUAACACAUUCACCAGGGGAGACUUUCUAGUCACCAGUGCUGAUGUUUCACUAACCAUUGGCUAGUGUUUGAGUGAUAAAUUUGAGUCCUGACUUAAAAAAGAAAUGGAUGAAACAGAAUAUGCCUUAUCUUUACAAUAAUAAUCUGCAUGCUGCAAUUUCAGCUUAGAACCAUCACAUAUUCUACAUUGCACAAAAUGAGUAGCUAAUGCCAUAUGCAAUUUAUUUGCCGGGGGAAGAGAGAUCAACCGUGAAGGGAGAAGAACAACAAGUGUACCUGUCAUUGUACACCAAUCAUAUGUUAAAAGCAUAACAUUUCAUCUACAUGUUGUGGUAGCAGAAAUUAUAGCCAAUUAGCUAUAAAUGUUUACAUAUUUUAUUUGGAAGUUACAUCCCUUCUCAAACAAUCAAUUCACAUUGUUACGAUCUAUGCUGUUGGCCUUGACAUCUAGCAGAGAAUUGAUUGACAAAAGAGAAGCAGGAGAAUCCCUCCUAUUGAUGGCUCUCCUGCCCUUCCUAACAGCCACCCAAACCUAGGCGCCUCCUACCUCUCCUUACUUUUAACAUGAUUGCUCUUAGUGAAGUGUAGAUAGCAGAGUCAAUCAUUUCGUGAAGGGAGUGAGAAAUGUAGGUGGAACUGGAGGUGCAAGUUACAUUAGUGUAACAGCCAUGAAUGCAAGAAGAUAAUGACAUUCUUGGUGCUAGGCAAGAGUUAAGCAUUAACCUAAGUUCUCAGUUAAGAUAUGAGAUACAUUAUUGAUAAUAAAGAUCAAUUAUCCAAAUUUUGCCUAAUGAUGUAUUAGGAACUUAAAGUGAACUUGCUAGGUUCACUUUAAUUCAUCAGCUUUAAAGGACCACUAUAGUGCCAGGAAAACAUACUCGUUUUCCUGGCACUAUAGUGCCCUGAGGGUGCCCCCACCCUCAGGGUCCCCCUCCCGCCCGGCUCUGGAAGGGGGAAAGGGGGUAAAACUUACCUUUUUCCAGCGCUGGGCGGAGAGCUCUCCUCCUCCGAUCCUCCUCUUCUCCUCCCCGUCGGCUGAAUGCACACGCAUUCAGCCAGUCACAUAGGAAAGCAUUCAUAAUGCUUUCCUAUGGACACUGGCGUGCGCUCACUGUGAAAAUCACAGUGAGAAGCACGCAAGCGCCUCUAGUGGCUGUCAAUGAGACAGCCACUAGAGGAAAUAGGGGAAGGCUUAACCCAUUCAUAAACAUAGCAGUUUCUCUGAAACUGCUAUGUUUAUGAAAAAAUGGGUUAACCCUAGCUGGACCUGGCACCCAGACCACUUCAUUAAGCUGAAGUGGUCUGGGUGCCUAGAGUGGUCCUUUAAGGAGAGCAGUUUGGGAGUGUCAAAUACAUAUGGCUAGAUUUGCACACAGUUGUAACUGUUGUAUAUACUGUAUAAAGUGUAGAGUGUGUUUAGUGUAGAGGGUCUCCUGAUUUCAUCCAUAGGUGAGUAGUCACACCAUUCUCUGUUUAGAGCUUUCCUGGGUCCCCCAAGUGAUGUCAAUUCUCUUCCCUUUGGACAGACUUUUUUGGCUGAAUACAUAAACUGACUCUCUCAGCCAAUGAAUAUUGUCCAAAUAUAGACAAAAUUGAUCUAUUGAGGAAGGGAAAUUUUAGAUAAAUGGAGACUGCACUGAAGGUGUCCAGGGAACAAAGUAUCAAACUGUUUGAAAAUGGGCUAUAUACUGGGUACACAGAGAACAUAUCAAAUAAAACUUUUGCCAAUAAAGGGGCACCAAAGUCACCAGAAACACUUCAAUGAAUAGCCUGUCCUUGAAGUCUUAGCAAUGUAAAAUAUGCCUUUUCAGAGAAAAUGCAGUGCUUACUUUGCUGGCUAGUAACACCUCUAGUGGCAGUCACUCAGACGGCCACUAAUGGUGCAGCACUGGUGUUCAGGAUCUCCACACUCUGCAUGGAGACGUUGAACGCUCCCCAUAGAGAUACAUUGAUUCAAUGCAUCUCUAUGAGGAGAUAAUGAUUGGCCUUGCGCAGAGUUUUACUGCGCAUGCGCAAUUGUCUCACAAUGGUUUUCUAUGGGAAUGCAGUGAAUUGUUGACAAUCUCAGUGAUGGAGACAGAGUCAACCGCAGCAGUGGAGUAAAGGUAAGUAAACUACCUUUAAUCUUCACAUAUUGGGGUGCUGGGGACCUAAUGAUGUAUUCCAGCACUAUAGAGUCAGGAAUACACGUUUGAAUUCCUGACACAUUAGUUCCUUUAACUAAACAAUAAUCUACAGUAGCAUUAAGUAUCUAAAAUGAUAUGAAUAGGUUUUAAAAAAAUAUAUAUAUAAUAGCAGACAUAGACAAUAAUUAGGAAUGGGGAAGUCUUAAAGUGCUGGACAUCUUGCAUACAAUUUUGACUAACCUUUUUGGCGGUGGUCCAUCAUCAAGCUUUCUUUAUCGUUACCCCAACUUCUGCAGCAGCAAAAACCCUAAAUGACUCCCUAAAUCUGUCAGGUGUAGCUGUUGGUGGGUGUUUUUAUUGUGCAUUUAAGUGUUUUAACAGACACCACCAUUACAACUACGACUAAUCUUAUCAUCAGACUUAUGUUUAACCCGCCAAUAUAAUGAAAUACCUCAUUAUGGUUUUAUUUGGGAGAUAGCAUUUACACAUUUCAUUUCAUGGAUGGCUGCUAUUAACAUUAUAUACAAAGCACCAACAUAUUCUGGAGCGCUGUACCAUUAGCAUGGUGCACUAAAUAGAAGUAGAGUGGAAGACUCAGGGGUAAUGUUUUUACUGUAACAAAUAACAAUAAAUAAAAAAUACUUGCUUAUAGUAGGACUAGUUGACACUUAGAUUAGCUUUUCAGUUAAUACAAUUAAUGAAAGUCAACAAUUUAAAGGUACUGAAAAAUGCUUGUGAUAUACAGAAUACUGGUAGGGAAUUAUAGUGCAUUGACAUUAGAAAAACAAAUUGUAAGAUAAACUAGCCAAGCUGUAACUAUAGGAGAGCUCGAUAAUUUCCCAACUUUGCCAUUUUGGAUUUACUUCACUUCAUUGUAUAGUGAAUAACCUUGUGAUAUUUGAUUUCAGGCAGACUAACAUGUGCAAUUGUUUCAUACCACCCAUCACAAACUAAUCACUAAAAUUAGAAUGAAACAUUACAGUUAUAUAUUACAUUGCAAUGCACCUACAAAAUAAAUUGUUCUCUCAAGCUUGCCUUUAAAUACCCGUAUCCUUGUAAAUACCCGUUAUAAUACAUAAGGAGAAACCAAAAUAAUAUAAUAAAAAUACAAACAGGGCUUUAACCCUUUCAGUGCCAGGGUGCACUGACCAUUCCUCUCGCGCUGAAAAGGAUUAAUACUUUGACUAAUUCAAGGGUAUGCACUGCUUGCCAAAGCUUCCUUGCAUUUAAAGAGUUAAACGUCUCUCUGAACUAUAAAGCAUCACUUUCAGUUAAGACUGCACAGAAUGAAACGGAUCUAGCACUUACAAUUAAAUAGCUGAAUUGUAGCACCUAGCACUCUGCUCCAAAGACCAACCAUCCAGUCCCUUGAAGAUGCAAUAAAGUCUCUGUAAUUUAAGAUUAUUGCAAAAGAGCAAAGGCCAGUUGAUGCUUUUUAGAACUCUAAUUUCAACACUUAAUGCUGUUCAUUACAGGGGUUAAACAAGUUUCUCCAAUGCAAGUACUUAAAGUAGCUUAAACCAUAAACAGAAUCUAUUGCAUGGUCUGACAGACACUAAUAUAUUUCCCCUUUACAUUUCAGUAACACAAAAAGGUUAAGUACAGAUAGCUAGACUAUAAAAUUCUGAAAAGAUAAUACAUGAAAGGGCCACUUGAAAAUAACAUGUACCCCAUAUAAUUUUGGGGUAACAAUACAACAAAUCAGUGAAUGAUUGAAUUCACGCUUACUUUAUAUUCCAUUUUAAAUAUACAAAAUAAAGUGACGUUUUCAAAUAGUUUCAGUUGUGUUAUGUCAAUAAAAGGUUUUCAUGAAUGAAUCGUUAGUAAUGUGAUACUCUUCUGUAUUAAAAAUGGUUUUAAUUGUUUUGUUUUUAAAGAUGGAGGAUAUUAGAAAUUUCAAGGUUAACAAAAAUUGCUAAUUCGGACAAACUAUAACUCUCAUGCGAGUGUGAAUUAUCAUUUUUUUAUUGUACAUAUACAUGAUUACAGAUCACAGUGUUAAAUUAAAAGGUGCAUUACAACAUACAAGGAAAUAAUAAAAAAAAAUUGGAGAAAAAUAAGGAUACAUGCUGCAUUCUUCAACACAUAGGUCCCUGGCAAUAAUAAAAACACUGCAUGUGUUCACAUUCCAGAUGGAGAGAUAUUUUGCAGAAUAAAACAAAUACAAUAAUAAAAUAAAAAACUCCAGUAUUUAAAAGAUGGUUUCUAUCAUUUAAGGAGUUAAAGAGUACAUGUUUUUAGAAAGUUACCAAAAAAAGAACAUAGCCUCAAAAUGGCAAUUUAAUAAAAAAUGUACUUACCCAGAAAAGGUAAGCAGAACAUAAGCAGGUUGUAGUGUCACAAGAUUUAAAACACUAUUUAAAUAAUCUUACACUUUAAAAGUAAUAGAAAAAAACAAACAGAGAGAUGACACAAUGAGACCAAAGGCUAAACUUACCCACCUUAAAAAAAUACCUACUUCAGAGCCUACGAAAUUCCAUUACGCGAUUCAAUCUUCGCUGUAAAACUUUACUCAAGCUUAAAAAAAUAAAUCUCAAUAUAGCAUUAAGAAACGUAGAUGUGGGAUUACUGUCCCUUAAGCAUUUUUUUUUUCAGUAAGGAAUUUUCUAUAAACGUUGAAUUGCUUAAAUGCACCAUUUCCCUUCACCUCUUUAUUCAGUUGUCUCUAAAAUCCAUGUUUAAUAACUAUGAAACUGUGCUCAUAAUUCUGAACCUUUGGUUUCUCAACAAAGACCAACGUAUGUGAGAGCCUGUUUCUGCAUAAGUGAACUUGCUAGCCCACAGCCUCCAGUCAGGCUGUUCUUGACAACAGCUCAGUAGAAGUUCUGUUUGAUCUCCCCUGCUCUCCUUAAUCUGACCUGUCAAGGUUCACUUGUUGGAGGCUGUUUACUUUACGUUCCCCCAAAAAAGGGAUUUUUUUUCCCCUCUCUCUCAGACAAUGACUAAUCCAAAGACUACAAAAAAGGAAGUUAAAAAAAAAAAAAGCAUUAAAUCUACAAUAAUACUUUUAUUUUCCGUCGUAUUUCAAAACUUUCAGUUUGCACUUUCACUUUUUAGAAAAUAUCUCUGUCUUUUAUAGGAAUUUGAACCAUCAAAAAUAAACACAUACAAGCAUUGAUAUACUACUAAUGAGCAUUGUACGAAUGUGAGAAAUCGAUGAUAUUUUAAUAUAAUAAAGAGGGGGGCUGAAAUUUGUUAUGCAUACCUUGUUGUAGAUCUGUGACUUAAAUUCAGAAACAAAUCAUAUGAUUAAGAUUUCCAUCCAUCAUUUAAAAUUGGAAUGCCUUCAUUUCCAGCCAGGAAAACGUAUAAAAAACACUUGCU